rnacentral:lncRNA from 1 species
UCUGCGACGACGCACACCCCCAGUGCCCCAAGGGCUGCUCGGCCUGCCGCGUGGUGACGCCGAGCCCUCACAAGACGUUCCGGUGCGCCGACAUGAAGAGCACCGUCGACGGCACCUGCGGCGGGCCAUGCAAGAAGCACUGAUCCGUUCAGGGCUUCAGGCUCAGACGUGGUGUGCCGUCUAAAAUAAAGCUCAGAUGAUGAGCCAGCUUGUCACAGUGUUUGUGCGUGCCUGUGGCUCCACCUUGCAUACCGACAAUACAUACGCUGUUGUCGGUCGUCGUUGUUUCAUCACCGUCAUUGUUCUUCGUUUUAAUUUCUUCUUCAAGAGUUGUCUGUUGUUGCUCGCCUUUCAGGUGCCUGUUGUAUCAUCCGCGAAUAAAAACGUGUGUUGGUUGUGUGUCUCAGCUUAAAAUGCCUUUGGUCAUGUCACGCCAUUUUCUUAGGGACAUGGCUUUAAUAUCUUUCUACUUGUCUGCACUGUAGAGAACUCUUAUUGUCCUACUAUUCUCUCUCCCAAAAUUCGAAAUUUUUGGCUGCCAAAUUGUCUGUAACAUUCAGAGUGCUCAGACUAUUGGUAGAUCUACCCUCUUGGUCCCAAUGCAUACAUAUAUGUGCCAAAUAAUAAAUUUAUUGUGUCUACUUUAAGUCUAUAUAUAAGGAAAUGCGUAAAGAAAUACAGAACGUAAUUGUUCACGUGUGUCGCCCUUGAGAAGGUAUGAGAAUCAUCCCCACCACCCCUGCCCCUAGCCCCAGGUCUCUCGCUCGUUCCAUUGGCGGCAACAAUCCAUUGCAAACUCGAUGUCGGGAGGUAGGCUGGAUGCCGGCUGCUUAUAGAUCCAAAUGAGUAAGAGCAUCUACAGUCGGGCGUCUCAAACCUUUCUCAAACGCCCGGACGACCGUCGCAAACUGGCUUCAAACACUGACCGGCACCCUCAUAUCCAACCCAAAAAUGUGGCGGAUAUGGGGGCGUCUUGGCAUGCCCGGGACAGCCCGCCACAUCGGACCCGGCCGACGUUGGCCCACCCGAUCGCACAUACAUUCGUCCUCAUCCGCUCGCCGAAGCAAAUCCUAGCCACUUCACUCCACUCUCCAAUGGUCUUGCCGGAUUUACUGAGUCCGGCUGUAGAUGCUCUAAUAAGAGGCCAGGGUGCUCACCAAUGCAACUUACUCCUUUACUUUGGUAAAUAUCAUCAAUUAAAUAUAUCGUGUGAUGUAGACAUGUAGUUAAUAUGGAUGCAAGCCAUUUUCUUCUUGGAAGACAUUGCAACGAUCCGUGGAGUGUUUUUACCUUGCAUUUUACAUGUUACAGUGCCUAUUCUUUGCGGCAGAAAUUUACCAUGGCUCGAUGGUGUCUGCACUUGUUGCCAGCCACCUGUGCCUUCUAUAGCCGUAGUACGUACUCCGUACAAGUUUUGCAUGUGGUACUGGGCUCGUCAUCAUGGCUUGAUGCAAUCUCAAGCUCACGUGGAAGUAGUGGCCGCCUGGCCGGCCAUGCGACAUUUUCCCUUUCUUUAGCAAAGGCUAUGCGACAUUGACUGGCUCAGUGAUGCCGUUUCUAUCAUGCAAGGGGCAACUUCUUCUAUCACACAAGGGCCAAGUUCUGUGCGUACAAAUAGAACGUGAAAGCUGUGUGUUUACAACUGCAGUAAUUUGCGCCCGUGCAAUCUGCACUGCAGUACGCGACAGCAGGUCCUGAAGCUCCCACGCGAGUAGUAUGUUUUUUCUCGCUGGUGAACACUUUUACCAAUUGAAGACCGUGUUCUGGUUUAAGAAGAACAUGGAAGAUCGUUUGAUUUGCUGCAAAGGGAGUCGUAUGCCUAUUUUUCUUGUCGGUGACCUGGCUUUAGUAAGGUUUGUCCCUUUGUUAUCGCCCCAAAGAAAAAGACUGUAGCCCUUGGUGGUUUAGUUUAUAGAAGAAACACAUGAGCCACACAGUGCUAAGUCCAGGACUCGAACACUGGUGGGCAGCGAACACGCCCGUGCUGCUAAACACACGUGCGACACUUGGUUCUCCUAAUUUGAAUUUGAUACACAAAGUUACAAGCCAUGUGUAUCCUUUUAGCGCAUUAUUUCUCUACCAUGGCGUGCCUAUCUAUAUACCUUCACAGUCCAUAUUAAUCUUAUGAAAUGUGGCGGUGACGUGACGCGGAGACAAGUAAGGGGUGAGUAAAGUGGCGGUGGUAGAUAUGUGAAGAUAGUAGCCGUGUAGACCUGAUGUGUAUUGGAAAGGGAAUUGUUCAUGUCAAACGAAACCGAGGUAACUCUAUAAAGUGAUAAGGAACUUUUUUGAACAUUAGUAAGGCAGCUCUUUAUUCAUGUCACAGAGUCAUUGCAUACAAUGUCCUGGAUGCGACCAGGAGUAAUAUCACGGAUGAGAGAGUAAGAACAAAGCUCACUCCUCCUAGACUUCCUAAUCCCAAGCCAUAGAAGCAAAGUCAAAAUAUUUCAAAAAAGAAAAGGUAAACUUCUUAAUGUACAGACACGUAUUUCAUAUUUACCCUGUCACACCUAUUAGUUCAAUAGCAGUGAUCCGCCUCGUUUUUGUUGGCCACCUAUUAGAUCCAAAGAAGCAUAGGCUAGUUGUGAGAGAGUAUGUAGUAUAACGAGUCUAUUUAUGAGGUAAUUUUUUUAGUGAAUAAUGAAAAUGUGCUAGCUUUUGAAGUAAGAAAACUUUAUGAUUAUAUGUAGGUUAUUAAUGAAAUGUGUUUGUGGUACUUAGGUUGAGUGAGGUUUUCUUUUGUCUAAGUCGAUGAUGCUAGCGGUCCGAUGUAAUCUCAAUACACUUAUCCAUGCAUGACACGUAGGAAAGCUCAAUGUGUUGACUUAGACAUUAAAGAAUCUCAAAAAACUUAUAAUCAGAAACACGCUUAAACUUUACAUGUAUCCAUUUGGUCCAGGUAUGUCCUAUACUCAAGGAGGCGAGAGGUGGUGCAUGAGCUAUGUGCAGGAUACAUUUGAAGAUCGUGUUCCAAGUGUCUUCACCAAAUACAGAUGGAGAUGUUUUUGAAAGGUUAUAGAUGAAGACAUAACAAUUAGCUUGGCCUAGAUUUGGCCUACAAGUCGAAUGAUUGCCAAUUUGCAUGUCCAUUGAACAUGUGAAAAAAAAUAUGUGUGUAGUGGUGCACGUUGUGUGUCGAACUUUAUCAUCCCACUCACCCAGUUGAUGGCACGCGGGCAUGGUAGAUUGGAAAGUAAGGCGCCAAAUCUGCACCUAUAAAUAGAGGUGCUACUAACUCUGGCCAAUAACAGCAAUUACAACAUAGUAUUCCACUCACAACCUAAAGAGAUAAGUGAGAGACAUUUGCUCGAAAACCUUAAAAUCAACCAUGAAGAACACCAAGCUCGUGGCGAUCCUUGUCCUCCAGGCCAUCCUGGUCAUGGGAAUCCUCCCACACGUGAAUGGUUCGUAGUUGUUCAUGCUUCUUUAUUCUAUUUGUUUCCUUAAAAAAGUUUGAUUGCCUUUUUGCAAUUCCAUUGAUGUCUUAUAUACCUUAUAAGUGAUUACUAACAUGAUACCAUGCUAUGUGUGCGUGCAGCCAACUACUUCCCCAAGUGUUGUGACAAAUGCAGGUCAUUCUCGGGGGUCGAUGUAUGUGACGACGCCCAUCCUCAGUGCCCCAAGGGCUGCUCCACAUGCCGCGCGGUGCAGACAGGCCGUGUCAAGAUGUUCCGGUGUGCCGACAUGCGCUCCACCAUCAAUGCCACGUUGCAAAAAGAACUAACCAGUUCAACUCAGAUCACAAGACUUGUUCCGCCAAUAAGAGAAGCUCAUAUAAGAUGAGAAUUGUCACCGUAUUUAUGCGUACAUGUGGCCUCACAAUGCACGCUGACAAUGCAUCGAGUAAUAAGAAUGCCAGUGAUCCUCCCGGUUCCUCAGCCGUUUGGGAUUCCUGGCCGUCGGAUCGGCUGGCUUGAUCGGAUCUGGGCCGUCGGAUCGACCCCUAGAGCGACCGCGUCCGUCGGAUCAAAAAAAGUUACUGCUGGAAUGAAUAGUUACUACCGUUUCGCGCCACCGCGCGUAAUUAGUCUGCCCCAUCGGGGGCAUUUUCGUCAUUUCGCCUGCAGGUGUAUAAAACUUGACCACCCGCGUGGAGAUGACCUAGCCCGCACUCGCGCCCCCUCCCUCGUCCUCGCCGCCCCGCCCGCAUCGCCCCGCCCUCUCCCCUCCUUCUCCCGCCCGCAAUGCCGCCGCCCCGCCCGCAUCGCCGCCGCCCUUUCCUCUCCCUCUCCCUCCCUCAGUCCUCGCCGCCCCGCCUGCGUUCUUCCCCAUCUGCUGCUACCUGCGUUCUUCCCCAUCCGCCGCCGCCGCCCCCAGCCUCCGCCCCCAGCUGCACCUAGUCAUCGCUCCUCCCGCACAGCCGCACUCGCACCGCCCCCUUCCCCUUCCUCUCGCCUCACCUCUCUUUCCUUCCAAAUCUCCUCCCGGCCUCGCCUCUUCCUUCCUUCUCCUCCGGCGCCUCCUCCCCGUUGGCUCCUUCUUGCCCCUCCUCCGCCGGUCCUCCUUCUCCUACGUCACCCGGAGGGGUGCAGCUGUCGCUUGCGUUGUAGCUCCCCCUAGGAGCUCGCGCGCCUGAUCCCGCGGCAGUAAGGGGCCGCGGCAGCCGCCGCACAGCCUGACGACCAGGAGCUCCCCGGCGUGGUUCCCUGGAUGGAGGGAUGCUUCCUCCAUCACUGCCUUCUCCGUGCCGACGCCAUCAGUAGCGGCGGCGGUCGGGCUGAUGCGAUGCGACUGCAAGCUCGUCGUGAGAGCAGCGGCAACGGUAAGCUCACCACUCCUUCGUGUUGCACCUGCUAGACCUCCAGGUGCAUCUCUCCCCCCUCCCCCUCUCCCUCCCUAGAGAAUCUGGACCUGGAGAUUUCAAACUGCUGAGCGUGGAAUAGAAAACCCUAGCAAUUUGGUGUGGUGUUCAUAGAGAGGCAGAUCCAGCUUUGCAUUUUUUUCUCAUGAUGUUGUGUUCUUCAAUUUUGCAUUGUGUGAAUAGGUUAGAAUUGAGGGGGUGGGUAGAACUAGAUGUGUCCUAGGUAUCUGCACAGUAGUUUUUGUUGCCUUCCUUAGCUUGUUGGGUACCUGUUUAUUUUCUGUUUAGGAGGACCGAUUUGUCAUGAGGUUGUAUCCUUUCUCAAGGAAUUUUUUGUUCCUAUCUGAUACUAGCAGACAAAUUGGUUGCAGGGUAGCCAGGGUAGGUCUUUCUGCAUAUGCAUUUGAAUAUGAGAUGUCUCAAGAUUGUUGGUCUACUUCUUUUGGUCUUAUACUGACUCUGUCUUUGGUCAGGACAACUUUGAACAACUUGUGUGUCCCUCUCAGAUUCCUACAGAAGAAAGGAUACAUUUUCUUUUCUAUUGGAUGGACAACAAAAUAACCACAACAAUAGGUCUAUCAGGUAAUUGGCCAUGUGUCUUUAUCCAUCUGUAGUUAGAACUUAUAUGUCAGAUUGUGCAAACCACCUCGAUUGUCAUCUAAAUAUUAUCACGAUCUUUCUUUUUUUGUUUAGCCUAGCAAAGGUCAAAUUGCUUCUUCUUUUCAAAAAGUAAUUUCUGAUGUUUGGAGUUUGUGCCUCCAGGAUCUUGGGCUUCUACUAAUCUUUUUUGAACUUUGUUAAUUUUGUCAGAAGAAGCAGGAGCGAAGCAAAGGCAGGAUUCCAUGGUGAGUUUGGAGUUUACCCUCUGUUGAAAUUGGCUCUCAUGCGAGCCGCGACCUUUUCUUAGCCAUGGUGAGUUUGAGGCUUACCCUCUGUUCUUGCUAGCCAAAAUUGGUUUCUCACUGAAUAAUGUUCAUCACACUAUACUCAAGAAUACAAAGGAAGCUACCCAAAUGUGAUAGAUCCUACUCUUCGGCAGCUUAAAUUUAAAGAUGUAGUAGCUGAACAAGACUAGGAUCAUGUUUAUGAUGCAUUUUCCAUCGAUACAGAGGUAUGAAUCAUUGAAUCCUAUGAUUGACAUUGUAAAAACUCUCAGUGAGCAGCCUACCUCCUGAAUUAAUAGUGAGAAGCCAUAUAUUUUCCUUUUAGGUGUAAAAAAUAGUAAAAGAUGAGGUAGCCAUCUCCUACUAAAUUAAUAGUGAGAAGCCUACCAGCUGAAUUUUAUUCUUAGAUGAUAUGAAGGAUUAUCGAUAUUUACUAUUUAGGAUGUAUACAUAUAUGUUACUGGUCUUAUGAUAUUGUUAGCAAAAGUUUUAGUGCUCUUUAUGGUCGACAGUGGCGUGCCGCUCCAAGACACUCUGCUUUCCAUCAACGCCGACAACCACAGCAGGGGUGGAUCCAGCCGACAAGAGGCAGAGCGGCGGUCAACGGUGGUGGCCUGCUCCCAAGCUGCAGGUGAGAAGGUGACGCAACAGUGGUUGGUUUGCAUAAAUAUUCGUCAAUGCAUUCUGAGAAUAUUUUGUGAGGUAUCCUGAUUGGCAUAUGCCGCUUCCAGCAUUUGGGCAUCGUGGUUGUAGCUCACAGUCAGGUAGAAAAUCAGUUAUGUAGCUAUGCCAAAUUAUUUCCUUCAAUAUUGUAAAAAUUUGUGUCCAUUGCAGGAAGCAAAAAACCUUUGAUGGUAUAUGACUUAAUAAUCCACAUGGAUUCUUAUACAUAGGCUGUUUAAUUACUACGUCCACCAUUUCUUUUCAGCUAAAGUCUUUGUCAUACUGUGUAUGGUGUCAAUGCAAACUACCAGAGUCAGAUGAGGCUCACAAUAAGCAGCAAUAUUAGUGCCACUCCUAUCCAGUGUUGAUAACUUGAUAUUUAGCCUGUUUACCUGGCACCAUCAGGUCCAAGGCAUUAGUAUGCUCUUACUUAUUGUACAUGUCAAUAAUUAGAGAACUAGAUUAGCUAACCUUAGCCGUGCAUCGCUCCCAUGUUUACUCUUCUUUGGUGCUGCUAUUACUCACACAAUUUGGAUCGGGAAUACAACACUGUUUAACAUUCAGUUUUGUUUUCUCAGUGCUUUGGAGAAGAUGGACAUGAGGCCCCAAUGGUGGUGGCCUCGCUUUGUUAUCCAUGAUUUCCCUCAUUUGAUUGAUUUGACACAUGUUCAUUCACUAGAUUAUAGUCUACUUCGUGUAUUUAGUUCUAGGUUGUUUUGAUCUAAGUGGUACUUGAUUUCUUGGCAUUGUUCAUUGCCUCGAGCCAUGUCUGAUACUGAAUUUGACCAUGAUCCUCUUGCAGUAAAUAUGACUUAUUUGCUCUCUAUUGGAAUAUUUCUUUCCACAUAUUGCUAGCUCCUUAGGUGUAAUGUUGUUUAAAAUAUUUGUCCUGGAGCUCCUUUGCUCCUGUUCUUGGUGUAGAUAAACCAAAACUGCUCCUUUUAGGCCAUCCAAGAGUCUUAAACGACCAACAUUGUAAUUAGCAUAUGUGGACAGUGUAAGGUAGCCUAUGUCAAUAUCUGAAAGUUUUUUGUGUUUGUUUAUCCUCCUUAAAUCAAUAUGUUCUUUUGAUUUGUAGGACUGUUAGUAAGGUUGAUCAUCGGCAAGCGAAAGUGCUUCGUGGAUGCUUGCACGACCAAGGUGAUUGCAUAUGGACGAGCUGGUGACGAAUCAGUUUCACUUUUGUAUUUCCUUUUGCAUUGGCUUAUUUGAUUUCAAUGUUAUGGGUUCAGUGUUCAUCUUGGAAAAGAUCUACAUCAUAAUUUGGUGUCUCCAUUUAGGGCUAAAUAGUAAAAAAUAUUGUUGUUUCUUGUAACGAUAAACAACUUAUAGUUGUUUUGGUAGCAUAAUUAGGUAAUGAUAUUGUUAAAAGUUUAACUGAUUUAUGAGAAUAAUUCCAUUAUUUAGUCUCACGGUCAUGUUCUUCCUUCAGCGGCUUGGGAGGGAGGAGUGCAUGUUUUCGAGGUAAAAUGCAUGAUGAAUUUAUCUGUAGGGUGUUUUGGCCAUAUGUCAGAGGAGAUCAUUGGAUUUUCCUAUCCUUAUGUUUUACUCCUGAAAAUAGCUUCUAACGAUAUUGUUCUGCAAGCCCUUAAAGCUCCUAGAGUGCAAACACCAUGAGAUAGGGAUGUGAAACUGAAGGAAAGAAGGCCCUGACCACUCUCAUCAUUUACUCAAGUAAUAACACCAUCGGCGACAGGAACGACAAGCUGACACAGGUGAGCUUAGUGUCUCUUAUGAUGUCGUUUUAUGUCUUGGCCUCAAGUUCACAACCAGUUCUUUGUUUGGUGAGAUGUAUGUGUUCUUUCAUGGUUAUUCUCAUUAGGUGGCUGCACUUUUUUUUUCUCAAUUUGUGUUCUGAAUUUAAGGUUGCAGAUGCGUGCCUCGAUUGUUUAUAUAAAUGUGUAAGUAGAAAAAUCUCAUGGGCAACAGCCUGGGAUAGAUAAGAGAGAUACGAAUCAUACGAUGGUCUUUCAGAAGAGAUGCUGCUAUGAAGACCUUUGUAUGUCCCUUGCGGCCAUGCCGACAACUUACUAGAUGUUUUUCUUCCAACGUGGAUCUUCUUUUCUUAAGAACAAACUUUUAUUGUAGAUAUUUUCGAAAGCAUGGCAUAUGAAGUAGAACUGGAUUUUACAUAGUUAUAUCUACGUGCUUGUCCAAGUAUAGACUUCAAUAUAUAGCUUGUGAAAAUUUAAAAUUCGUUUGGUUUAGUGAAUUUCCUUUGUCCAAGUAUGAUUCCUUUUAUACUUCCAUUUUUUUUAGUUGCCACCAUUUUGUAUUUUGUAUUAAAUUGAAAUUUUGAAAUAAGCUGACGACGAUCCUCGGCAGCACAAGUGUAUGGAUAAUUCAGUUUCUUUAGUGAACUCAGUUAAACCUUGCAAUUUUAAGUAUGUGCCGAGUCGUGCAUAGCUUUCUGUUUUGUGUAAGUGGAAAGUAUUAGUAGUUUCACUUUGUCCAAUUUUUUCAGGGACAACUUUUGAGAGUUGGUCCAAACUUAAUGCAUUCAUGGGAUCACCAAUUUUUGGUGCUGGUUGAGAUUGGGUAGGUUGUACCAUGAGUUCCUGGAUGAUUGUUGCAAUUCUCAUGCUUGCUUGCAAGGAUGUUGCAUGAAUUGGAGAGAUUGGGACUGAAUACUGACCUCGAAUAUAUAUAUAUUGAUGCUCCUAUCUUCUCAUUGCAUUUGUCUCUGCAUUAAAUUAGUCAAAUUAAAUUUUUAGUACCAAUUCUACGAUGUAUUCCCCUCAUGGAAUUUUGAUUCCUCUUUCUAUUAGAGUUUUAUGUCUUAUUUAUAUACUAGAUUUAUUUCUUCUCCUAUGACAUGCAGUUCUACAGUUGCGUUUCGGUAUGCAUCUACGCCCCACCAGUAUACUUGGUCUUUCAGUUAUGCCAUCCAGUUUCCUCCCUUUUUGCCUGGUUAUGGCCGUGGUUAGCUUAGGAAGAGAGAGCAGCACAAAUGAAUUGCAUUGAUAAGUUCACAUGUAGCAAAAUCCGGAUUGAAGUGAUCCUCCAAUUUCAAGAAUAGCAUACUGAAUAUGGAUCUAUUAAAUAAUACUGAAUGUCAUGAUGGCCUUCCCAGGAGAUGUAGUUCUGAAUAUCCUACUGCUCUAUGGAUCCAUUAUUGCAAGAACUGUAUAACAAUAUGCACCGAGCUGCUUCAUACCAUCAUUUAGCGUCUCUGUAUUCUAUCUGAUUAGCUUUCCUUAGUGCCAUCUGAUGAGAGGCAUUCUUGUUGCCCUGUACACAUCUUGUGCUCCUAUGAUGGGGCAGAUGAUGUUAUUUAAUUAAUUAUUGGAAGAAAAUGAUAAUCCAUUGGGCUCCCUUCCUUCCUCAUGUCUUUUUUUGCAUGUAUAGUACUUCACUGCUUCCUGCAUGUGAUUCCAUUUGAUUUCACUUUGAUUUUGUUUUCUGCAGAUCGUUUCUUGGUGGCUGCUAAUGAAUCAUGUAAGGAUGGCGCAGAAUUCACCAGAGGAAAAAGACCGAACUACGGGGUUUCCCCAUUGUUAGAGCUCUUGGUGCCCGGACAAGCCCUCUAUAUCCAUUCUCCCUUCGCAGCUCAGCUCCACUGACCAGGUCAGUCCUCACUAAUGGACGGUUACAUAGUUUUUUUUCCUUUUGAACUCUAAAUGUGUGCCCGCCUCUAAGUAAUUUCUUGGAUCCACAUGUUCUGUUCAGAUGGAGAUGGCUGACGAAGAGCUCGAUGUCCAUGACUCGUCAGGUUCCGCUGGCUCCACUAACAACCGUCUACGGGCGCUUGCACAGGUCAGGUGAAACCCGUCCUAUCCCCUCUCUGAUUUUACUGGACGGUUGCAAAAAUAUGAUGAGUGUGUGACUCGGGAAUUUUUAUAAUUAAAAGAAGUACUCACAGAUGUAAACAUUGCUAACUCUGCAAAGAAACACGCAUCUGAUCUAGGGAUUAUUGAUGCUCGCAGAUAGUAGUAAAGAAAUGGUGAUAUUUAGAUCCAGGCAGUGUGAUGAUUUUAACUCUAUUUCUUUGACGUGCUCUUCGUGUAGUUAAUAGCUCUGUAGGUGUUUCCUCGAUUGAUUAGAUGUUGUCUAGGCCUUCUAUGUAGAUGUAUUUUGUUUACAAAGCGCAAGCAUUCUACGUGAUAAUUAGAUUUCUGUCUUUGAAGGUGAUCAUAUUGAUCUUACCUUAUCGACUACUCUUACUAAAACAAGUUGUAUUUUCAACUGACUAAUAGCCCCGUUGUUCUUAAAAAUGCUCAUCACAUGCUCAAGACAAUCUGAUUAACCGAUAGACUUAACGUAUCUCUUUUUAACACUAUGUCUGCUUUUAUCCGCGACUGAUUUCUCUGAUAUAUCUCCCGUACUGUGAUGCAAUUACUGUAAGCAGCUCCUCAUGGCCUUAUGUUUUAUGUUCUCGGGCGCUACAGGAUACCAAGCGAGUGUUUAGGAUCCCACACCGGGCAUUUCUUGACAUGCUCCUAGCACACCUUACACUAAUCACCGGCUCAGUAUGAUCGUGUUGUACAUGAUGACGGCAAGAUCUGUGUGACCAUCUUUUUCAACACCUCUACAUUGGAUCUUGGAGGACCAAUCAGUAUGAACGCGUCGUGUCGUCAUUCCUCCUGGUCUACAUUAUGCCCAAGACAUGCAAAGUUGUGGAUUGUAUGUAAGCUACCAUGUGCUUUUGUACAUCCUAUGCCUGUGAUAUUUGCUACUAAACCUAUUGUGCUACGUGCUUUCUAUGUUUAUACAUUGUUAGGUGGCUCCUUAUUGUGUGCAUACAAACAAACCUUACUUCUGAAUGAUUCUUUGUUAGUUUUUUAUUUUUAUCAUGGUUGACAUAAUAAUGAGUGCAAAAAUUACUUUGCUUAAAUCUGGUUGCUUGGCUGACAAAGAUAUGCUUUCUAUGCUUGUGAUGCUUUCUAUGCUAUGGAUUUUACGUAUUGGAUUAGGGCCAAUGCUUACUUAGGCCAUUUUAAUUUUGAUAAGCCUAUUGUUAAAGUUCAAGAUACUAUGGUUGAUGGCUGAGUACAACUGUACAUAGAUUGUCCUUGGAUUUUCCUUUACGGUAUAUACUGAGUGGAUUGUAAAUACGGUUACCUUGGCCAUUAUUCUUUGUAUGAUGUAUACAGUGUGAAUGCAUAUGCUAAACCUGGUGUUUGGACCGGCACCCUCGCGCCAGGGCGCGAUUCUGAUCUAGUGUACUAUUAUCGGUCGUCGUCGUCGUCGUUUACCUCUUCGAGACUAAGAUGUUGUUGUUCACCGAUCAGGUGCUCGUUCUAUCCUCCGUGAAUAAACACGUGUGUUAAUUGUGCAUCUCUGUUUAAAGAGCAUUUGUUCAUGUCACACGAAUUUUGUGAGCAAGUAGUGUCUAAACGUCGGUAUGCUUUUAUACAUAGUAAAUAACUCUUAUCGUCCUGCUCUUUUAACAUUUCUUUGCCAGAAUUUAAACUCUAUGUCUGCUAAACUGUUAUUAACAUUCGGAGUGCUCAGGCUAUAUGUGGCUCUAUCUUCAUAGUCUACACAUGUAUAUAAAACAAUAAUUUCAUUGGACCUACUUACGUCUAUACAAAUGAAAAUACGGAAGGAACACAACAUAGUUGUUCACGUGUACCACCCUUAAGAAGGUGCGAGAACCAUCUUUGUCGCUCCCCGAUCUCACUCUCAUACAUCCAAGAGCGGGUGUCCUCCUCAAUGGAUAACAAUGGCAACAAGAAGCUUGACGAGGUAUGUUGGUGGUGACCAUCCACUACAAAUCCGACGUUGAGAGGUAGGGUGUGGACAUCGAUGAUGUGCCUAUAAAUCGCUUUCCUUGGGUAGAUGUCAUCGCUUGAACAUAUUGUGUGAUCUUGUUAAUAUGGAUGCAACAUGUUCUUCUUGGAAAACCUUGGAAGUAUUACACAAAGUGCGAAGGGGAUUAAUAAAGCACGACAGAGGUAGCAGCGCAUCGAAACUCCUAUAUGGUGCACUAGGACUGCCCUAAUGCAAUAGUACCCUUUUGGAAGUAACUUUCUAAUCAAUUUGAUUAAUUGCAAAUUGAGUUGUUUAAGUAAUACUCCUUGUUUUUUUUAGAAAAGGAGGAUGACCCUCGGCCUCUGCAUCCGGACGAUGCAUGCGGCCACUUUAUUAAUUAUUCUCGCAAGACCUUACAAAGUCAUACAACAGCAAGACUAAAGCCACCGUGUAAGCAACAACUAUCGCUACACCUAUCCAAUUGAUGAAUGGGCGCUGAUAGCCUGGGCCUAAUACCAAACAGACGUCGUAGCCAAAUCUAAAAAUCUAAGACUUGAGGGCCCAACCAGGACGCCUACCUGGUAUGGGGCACCUACCAGUCCGGCGCACUCCUCAACCAGGACGCCUGCCGGGUAUAUGUUGGGGAUCGUUGCAGAAAAUAAAUAAAAAUUACGCAUCACCAAGAUCAAUCUAUGGAGUCAUCUAGCAACGAGAGAGAGAUGCAUCUACAUACUCUUGUAGAUCGCGACCGGAAGUGUUCAAGAGAACGGGGUUGAAGGAGUCGUACUCAUCGUGAUCCAAAUAACCGAUGAUCCUAGCGCCAAACGGACGGCACCUCCACGUUCAACACAUGUAAGGAGCGGAGACGUCUCCCAUGCCUUGAUCUAGCAAGGAGGAGGGAGAGGUUCAGGAAGAGAUCUCCAGCAGCAGCACGACCGCGUGGUGGUGAUGGAGAGGCAGUACUCCGGCAGGGCUUCGCCAAGCUUCUUCGGAGGAGGAGAGGUGUUGGGGAGGGGAGGGGUUGCGCUUUGGAGGUGUGUGUGCAACCCUCCCCUCGCCCCUCUAUUUCUAGGGGGAGGAUGAAGGGGGCCGGCCCCCUCUAGAUGAGAUCUAGAGGGGGGCGGCCAAGGGGGGGACUUGCCCCCAAGCAAGGGGGGGCGCCCCCUUGAGGGUUUCCCCCCAACCCUAGACACAUGGGCCCAAGGGGGGGUUGCGCCCAGCCCUCUAAGGGCUGGUUCCCUUCCCUCUACGGCCCAUGAGGCCCUCCGGGAGAGGUGGCCCCUCCCGGUGGACCCCUGGAACCCUUCCGGUGGCCCCGGUACAAUACCAGCAUGCCCCCGAACCUUUCCGAUGACCAUAUUACAACUUCCCAUAUAUAAAUCUUCACCUCCGGACCAUUCCAGAACUCCUUGUGACUUCCGGGAUCUCAUCCGGGACUCCGAACAACAUUCGGUUAUCACAUACAAGUCUUCCUAAUAACCCUAGCAUCACUGAACCUUAAGUGUGUAGACCCUAUGGGUUCGGGAAUCACGCAGACAUGACCGAGACAACUCUCCGGCAAAUAACCAACAGCGGGAUCUGGAUACUCAUGUUGGCUCCCACAUGUUCCAUGAUGAUCUCAUCGGAGGAACCACGAUGUCGAGGAUUCAAGCAAUCCCGUAUACAAUUCCCUUUGUCACACGGUACGUUACUUGGCCGAGAUUCGAUCGUCGGUAUCCCAAUACCUCGUUCAAUCUCGUUUCCGGCAAGUCACUUUACUUGUUCCGUAAUGCAUGAUCCCGUGACCAACCACUUGGUCACAUUGAGCUCAUUAUGAUGAUGCAUUACCGAGUGGGCCCAGAGAUACCUCUCCGUCAUACGGAGUGACAAAUCCCAGUCUCGAUCCCUGUCAACCCAACAGACACUUUCGGAGAUACCUGUAGUAUACCUUUAUAGCCACCCAGUUACGUUGUGACGUUUGGCACACCCAAAGCACUCCUACGGUAUCCAGGAGUUACACGAUCUCAUGGUCUAAGGAAAUGAUACUUGACAUUAGAAAAGCUCUAGCAAACGAACUACACGAUCUUGUGCUAUGCUUAGGAUUGGGUCUUGUCCAUCACAUCAUUAUCCUAAUGAUGUGAUCCCGUUAUCAAUGACAUCCAAUGUCUAUAGUCAGGAAACCAUGACUAUCUGUUGAUCAAUGAGCUAGUCAACUAGAGGCUCACUAGGGACAUGUUGUGGUCUAUGUAUUCACACAUGUAUUACGAUUUCCGGAUAACACAAUUAUAGCAUGAACAAUAGACAAUUAUCAUGAACAAGGAAAUAUAAUAAUAACCAUUUUAUUAUUGCCUCUAGGGCAUAUUUCCAACAGUCUCCCAUUUGCACUAGAGUGAAUAAUCUAGUUACAUUGUGAUGAAUCGAACACCCAUAGAGUUCUGGUGUUGAUCAUGUUUUGCUCGCGGAAGAGGUUUAGUCAAAGGAUCUGCGACAUUCAGAUCCGUAUGCACUUUGCAAAUAUCUAUGUCUCCAUCUUGAACAUUUUCACGAAUGGAGUUGAAGCGAUGCUUGAUGUGCCUGGUCUUCUUGUGAAACCUAGGCUCCUUGGCAAGGGCAAUGGCUCCAGUGUUGUCACAGAAGAGAGUCAUCGGCCCCGACGCAUUGGGAAUAACUCCUAGGUCGGUAAUGAACUCCUUCAUCCAGAUUGCUUCAUGUGCUGCCUCCGAGGCUGCCAUGUAUUCCAUUCAAAAUAUACAUGUAUCCGGUUUGUGACUUAGAGUCAUCCAGAUCUGUGUCGAAGCUAGCGUCGACGUAACCCUUUACAACGAGCUCUUCGUCACCUCCAUAAACGAGAAACAUAUCCUUAGUCCUUUUUAGGUACUUCAGGAUAUUCUUGACCGCUGUCCAGUGUUCCAUGCCGGGAUUACUUUGGUACCUUCCUACCAAACUUAUGGCAAGGUUUACAUCAGGUCUGGUACACAGCAUGGCAUACAUAAUAGACCCUAUAGCCGAGGCAUAGGGGAUGACACUCAUCUUUUCUCUAUCUUCUGUCGUGGUCGGGCAUUGAGCCGAGCUCAAUUUCACACCUUGCAACACAGGUAAGAACCCCUUCUUGGACUGAUCCAUAUUGAACUUCUUCAAUAUUUUAUCAAGGUAUGUGCUUUGUGAAAGACCUAUGAGGUGUCUCGAUCUAUCUCUAUAGAUCUUGAUGCCUAAUAUAUAAGCAGCUUCUUCAAGGUCCUUCAUUGAAAAACACUUAUUCAAGUAGGCCUUAAUGUUGUCCAAAAGUUCUAUAUCAUUUCCCAUCAAAAGUAUGUCACCUACAUAUAAUAUGAGAAAUGCUACAGAGCUCCCACUCACUUUCUGGGAAAUGCGGGCUUCUCCUUAAGUCUGCAUAAACCCAAACACUUUGAUCACUUCAUCAAAGCGAAUGUUCCAACUCUGAGAUGCUUGCAGCAGCCCAUAGAUGGAGCACUGGAGCUUGCAUACCUUGUUAGCAUUCUUAGAAAUGUUAGCAUUCUUAGGAAGUCGUUAAGGAAUGUCGUUUUGACAUCCAUUUACCAUAUCUCAUAAUCGUAGAAUGCGGCAAUUGCUAACAUGAUUCGGACGGACUUCAGCUUCGCUAUGGGUGAGAAGGUCUCAUUGUAGUCAACCCCUUGAACUUGUCGAUAACCCUUAGCGACAAGUCGAGAUUUAUAGAUGGUAACAUUACCAUCCGCAUCCGUCUUCUUCUUCAAGAUCCAUUUGUUUUCUAUCGCUUGCAGAUAAUCAGGAAAGUCUGUCAAAGUCCAUACUUUGUUUUCAUACAUGGAUCCUAUCUCGGAUUGCAUGGCUUCUAGCCAUUUGUUGGAAUCUGGGCCCGCCAUCGCUUCUUCAUAUUUCGAAGGUUCACCGUUGUCUAACAAUAUGAUUUUCAAGACAGGGUUGCCAUACCAUUCUAGUGUGGAACGUGUCCUUGUGGACCUAUGAAGUUCAGUAGUAACUUGAUCCGAUCCUCUCUAGUCGGUGCAGGCACCACAGGAACAUCUUCCUGAGCUGCGCUACUUUCCGGUUUAAGAGGCAGUACUUCAUCGAGUUCUACUUUCCUCCCACUUAUUUCUUUCGAGAGAAACUCUUUCUCCAGAAAGGACCCGUUCUUGGCAACAAAGAUCUUGCCUUCGGAUCUUAGGUAGAAGGUAUACCCAAUGGUUUCCUUAGGGUAUCCUAUGAAGACGCAUUUUUCCAACUUGGGUUUGAGCUUUUGAGGUUGAAGUUUCUUGACAUAAGCAUCGCAUCCCCGAACUUUUAGAAACGACAGCUUAGGUUUCUUUCCAAACCAUAAUUCAUACGGUGUCGUCUCAACGGAUUUAGAUGGUGCCCUAUUUAAAGUGAAUGUAGCUGUCUCUAAAGCGUAUCCCCAAAAUGAUAGCGGUAAAUCGGUUAGAGACAUCAUAGACCGCACCAUAUCCAAUAGAGUGCGAUUACGAUGUUCAGACACACCAUUACGCUGAGGUGUUCCAGGCGGCAUGAGUUGUGAAACAAUUCCACAUUUCCUUAAGUGUGUCCCAAACUCGUGACUUAAAUAUUCUCCCCCACGAUCUGAUUGUAAGAACUUUAUUUUUCUGUCACAUUGAUUUUCUACCUCAUUCUGAAAUUCCUUGAACUUUUCAAAGGUCUCAGACUUGUGUUUCAUUAAAUAGACAUACCCAUAUCUACUUAAGUCAUCAGUGAGGGUGAGAACAUAAUGAUAGCCACCGCGAGCCUCAACGCUCAUUGGACCACACACAUCAGUAUGUAUAAUUUGUUUGAAAUAUGCCCUAGAGGCAAUAAUAAAAUGGUUAUUAUUAUAUUUCUUUGUUCAUGAUAAUUGUCUGUUAUUCAUGCUAUAUUUGUAUUAUCCAGAAAUCGUAAUACACGUGUGAAUACAUAGACCACAACAUGUCCCUAGUGAGCCUCUAGUUGACUAGCUCGUUGAUCAACAGAUAGUCAUGGUUUCCUGACUAUGGACAUUGGAUGUCAUUGAUAAUGGUAUCACAUCAUUAGGAGAAUGAUGUGAUGGACAAGACCCAAUCCUAAGCAUAGCUCAAAGAUCGUGUAGUUCAUUUAGCUAGAGCUUUUCCAAAUGUCAUGUAUCAUUUCCUUAGACCAUGAGAUUGUGCAACUCCCGGAUACCGUAGGAGUGCUUUGGGUGUGCCAAACGUCACAACGCAACUGGGUGACUAUAAAGGUGCACCACGGCUAUCUCCGAAAGUGUCUGUUGGGUUGGCACGAAUCGAGACUGGGAUUUGUCACUCCGCAUGACGGAGAGGUAUCUCUGGGCCCACUUGGUAAUGCAUCAUCAUAAUGAGCUCAAUGUGACCAAGUGUCUGGUCACGGGAUCAUGCAUUACGGUACGAGUAAAGUGACUUGCCGAUAAUGAGAUUAAACGAGGUAUUGGGAUACCAACGAUCGAGUCUCGGGCAAGUAACGUAACAAUUGACAAAGGGAAUUGUAUACAGGGUUGAUUGAAUCCUCAAUAUCGUGGUUCAUCCGAUGAGAUCAUCGAGGAGCAUGUGGGAGCCAACAUGGGUAUCCAGAUCCCGAUGUUGGUUAUUGACCGGAGAGGCGUCUCGGUCAUGUCUGCAUGUCUCUCGAACCCGUAGGGUCUACACACUUAAGGUUCGGUGACGCUAGGGUUGUAGAGAUAUGAGUAUGCAGUAAACUGAAAGUUGUUCGGAGUCCCGGAUGAGAUCCCGGACGUCAUGAGGAGUUCCGGAAUGGUCCGGAGGUAAAGAAUUAUAUAUAGGAAGUCAGGUUUCGGCCAUCGGGAAAAUUUCAGGGGUCACCGGUAUUGUACCAGGACCACCGGAAGGGUCCCGGGGGUCCACCGGGUGGGGCCACCUAUCCCGGAUGGCCCCAUGGGCUGAAGUGGGAGGGGAACCAGCCUCUGGUGGGCUAGUGCGCCCCGCCUUGGGCCCCGCCUGCGCCUAGGGUUGGAAACCCUAGGGGUGGGGGGUGCCUUCACUUGCCUUGGGGGGCAAGGCACCCCCCUUGGCCACCGCCCCCCCUAUGAGAUCCCAUCUCCUAGUGCCGGCGCCCCCCUAGGGGCCCUAUAUAAAGCGGGGGAGGGAGGGUAGCCGCAACCUUGUACUUGGCGCCUCCCUUCCCCCUUGCUACACCUCUCCCUCUUGCGGACGCUUGGCGAAGCCCUGCCGAGAUCACUGCUGCAUCCACCACCACGCCAUUGUGCUGCUGGAUCUUCAUCAACCUCUCCUUUCCCCUUGCUAGAUCAAGAAGGAGGAGACGUCUCACUAACCGUAUGUGUGUUGAACGCAGAGGUACCGUCCGUUCGGCGCUAGGAUCUCCGGUGAUUUGGAUCACGACGAGUACAACUCCCUCAACCCUGUUCUCUUGAACGCUUCCGCUCGAUCUACAAGGGUAUGUAGAUGCACUCCUCUCUCUCGUUUCUAGAUUAAAUCAUAGAUUGAUCUUGGUGAAACCGUAGGAAAUUUUUUAUUUUCUGCAACGUUCCCCAACAGUGGCAUCAUGAGCUAGGUCUAUGUGUAGUUCUCUUUGCACGAGUAGAACACAAAUCUGUUGUGGGCGUUGAUGUUGUCAACUUUCUUUCCAUUACUAGUCUUAUUUUGCUUCAGCAUUAUUGUGGGAUGAAGCGGCCCGGACCGACCUUACAUGUACGCUUACGUGAGACAGGUUCCAUCGACUGGCAUGCACUUGUCGCUUUAUUUAAGGAAAUAAAACGCUAUGUAAUUGCUUUACUUUAUCACUAAGUGGUAGCGAUAGUCGUAGAAGAAAUGGUUGGCGAGACGACCACGACGCUACGAUGGAGAUGAAGGUGUCAAGCCGGUGACGAUGGAGAUCAUGACGUUACUUUGGUGAUGGAGAUCAUGAUCACAAGAAGAUGUUGGAGAUCAUGAGUAAUUGUUGGCAAGCAACUUCAUGGAGACACGAUGAUGGAGAUCAUGAUGAUGGAGAUCAUGGUGUCAUGCCGGUGACGAAGAUGAUCAUGGAGCCCCGAAGAUGGAGAUCAAAGGAGCUAUAUGAUAUUGGCCAUAUCAUGUCACUGUUUAAUUGCAUGUGAUGUUUAUUAUGUUUAUGCAUCUUGUUUACUUAGAACGACGGUAGUAAAUAAGAUGAUUCCUCAUAAUAAUUUCAAGAAAGUGUUCACCCUAAAUGUGCACCAUUGUGAAAGUUCAUCGUUUCGAAGCACCAAGUGAUGAUCGGGUGUGAUAGAUUCUAACGUUCACAUACAACGGGUGUAAGACAGAUUUACACAUGCAAAACACUUAGGUUAACUUGACGAGCCUAGCAUGUACAAACAUGGCCUCGGAACACAAGAGACCGAAAGGUCGAACAUGAGUCGUAUGGAAGAUACGAUCAACAUGGAGAUGUUCACCGAUGAUGACUAGUCCGUCUCACGUGAUGAUCGGACACGGCCUAGUCGACUCGGAUCAUGUAUCACUUAGAUGACUAGAGGGAUGUCUAAUCUGAGUGGGAGUUCAUUAAAUAAUUUGAUUAGAUGAACUUAAUUAUCAUGAACUUAGUCUAAAAACCUUUGCAAAUAUGUCUUGUAGAUCAAAUGGCCAACGCUCAUGUUCACCUCAACUUCAACGCGUUCCUGGAGAAAACCAAGCUGAAAGAUGAUGGCAGCAACUAUACGGACUGGGUCCGGAACCUGAGGAUCAUCCUCAUAGCUGCCAAGAAAGAUUAUGUCCUAGAAGCACCGCUAGGUGAAGCACCCAUCCUAGAGAACCAAGAUGUUAUGAACGCUUGGCAGUCUCGUGUUGAUGAUUACUCCCUCGUUCAGUGCGGCAUGCUUUACAGCUUAGAACCGGGGCUCCAAAAAUGUUUUGAGCAACACGGAGCAUAUUAGAUGUUCGAAGAGCUGAAAAUGGUUUUCCAAGCUCAUUCCUGGGUCGAGAGAUAUGAAGUCUCCGACAAGUUCUUCAGCUGUAAGAUGGAGGAAAACAGUUCUGUCAGUGAGCACAUACUCAAGAUGUCUAGGUUGCACAACCGCCUGACUCAGCUGGGAGUUAAUAUCCCGGAUGAUGCGGUUAUUGACAGAAUCCUCCAGUCGCUUCCACCGAGCUACAAGAGCUUUGUGAUGAACUUCAAUAUGCAGGGGAUGGAAAAGACCAUUCCUGAGGUAUAUUCAAUGCUAAAAUCAGCGGAGGUAGAGAUCAAGAAAGAACAUCAAGUGUUGAUGGUGAAUAAAACCACUAAGUUCAAGAAAGGCAAGGGUAAGAAGAACUUCAAGAAGGACGGCAAGGGAGUUGCCGCGCCCGGUAAGCCAGUUGCUGGGAAGAAGUCAAAGAAUGGACCCAAGCCUGAGACUGAGUGCUUUUAUUGCAAGGGAAGUGGUCACUGGAAGCGGAACUACCCCAAGUACUUAGCGGACAAGAAGGUCGGCAACACUAAAGGUAUAUGUGAUAUACAUGUAAUUGAUGUGUACCUUACCAGUACUCGUAGUAGCUCCUGGGUAUUUGAUACCGGUGCAGUUGCUCAUAUUUGUAACUCAAAGGAGGAACUGCGGAAUAAACGGAGACUGGCAAAGGACGAGGUGACGAUGCGCGUCGGGAAUGGUUCCAAGGUCGACGUAAUCGCCGUCGGCACGCUACCUCUACAUUUACCUACAGGGGUAGUUUUAAACCUCAAUAAUUGUUAUUUAGUGCCAAGUUUGAUCAUGAACAUUGUAUCUGGAUCUCGUUUAAUACGAGAUGGCAACUCAUUUAAAUCCGAGAAUAAUGGUUGUUCUAUUUAUAUGAGAGAUAUGUUAUAUGGUCAUGCCCCAAUGGUCAAUGGUUUAUUCUUAAUGAAUCUCGAACAUGAUGUUACACAUAUUCAUAGUGUGAAUAAUAAAAUAUGUAAAGUUGAUAACGAUAGGCCCACAUACUUGUGUCACUGCCGCCUUGGUCAUAUUGGUGACAAGCGCAUGAAGAAGCUCCAUGCUGAUGGACUUUUAGAGUCUCUCGAUUAUGAAUCAUUUGACACAUGCGAACCAUGCCUCACGGGCAAAAUGACCAAGACUCCGUUCUCCGAAACAAUGGAGCGAGCAACCAACUUAUUGGAAAUCAUACAUACUGAUGUCUGCGGUCCAAUGAGCGUUGAGUCUCGCGCAGGAUAUCGUUAUGUUCUCACUCUCACUAACGACUUGAGUAGAUAUGGGUAUGUCUACUUGAUGAAACACAAGUCUGAGACCUUUGAAAAGUUCAAGGAGUUUCAGAAUGAGGUAGAGAAUCAACGUGACCGAAAGAUAAAGUUCCUACGAUCAGAUCGUGGAGGAGAAUAUUUAAGUCAUGAAUUUGGUAUGCACUUAAGGAAAUGUGGAAGCGUUUCACAACUCACGCCGCCUGGAACACCUCAGUGUAACGGUGUGUCCGAACGUCGUAAUCGCACUUUAUUGGAUAUGGUGCGAUCUAUGAUGUCUCUUACCGAUGUACCGCUAUCUUUUUGGGGAUACGCUCUAGAGACAGCUACAUUCACUUUAAAUAGGGCACCUUCUAAAUCCGUUGAGACGACACUGUAUGAAUUAUGGUUUGGGAAGAAACCUAAGCUGUCGUUUCUAAAAGUUUGGGGAUGCGAUGCUUAUGUCAAGAAACUUCUACCUAAAAAGCUCGAACCCAAGUAGGAAAAAUGUGUCUUCAUAGGAUACCCUAAGGAAACCAUUGGGUAUACCUUCUACCUCAGAUCCAAAGGCAAGAUCUUUGUUGCCAAGAACGGGUCCUUUCUGGAGAAAGAGUUUCUCUCGAGAGAAGUAAGUGGGAGGAAAGUGGAACUUGAUGAAGUACUACCUCUUGAACCGGUGAGUAGCGCAGCUCAGGGAGAUGUUCCUGUGGUGCCAGCACCAACUGAAGAGGAAGUUAAUGAUGAUGAUCAAGGUACUUCGCAUCAAGUUACUACUGAACUUCGUAGGUCCACGGGGACAUGUUCCACACCAGAGUGGUAUGGCAAUCCUGUCCUAGAAACCAUGUUGUUAGACAACGGUGAACCUUCGAACUAUGAAGAAGCGAUGGCGGGCCCAGAUUCCAACAAAUGGCUUGAAGCCAUGCAAUCCGAGAUAGGAUCCAUGUAUGAAAAUGAAGUAUGGACUUUGAUAGACUUGCCCGAUGAUCGGCGAGCGAUGGAAAACAAAUGGAUCUUUAAGAAGAAGACGGACGCGGAUGGUAAUGUUACCAUCUAUAAAGCUCGACUUGUCGCUAAGGGUUAUCGACAAUUUCAAGGGGUUGACUACGAUGAGACAUUCUCUCCCGUAGCGAAGCUAAAGUCCGUCUGAAUCAUGUUAGCAAUUGCCGCAUACUAUGAUUAUGAGAUAUGGCAAAUGGACGUCAAAACGGCAUUCCUUAACGGUCAUCUUAAGGAAGAAUUGUAUAUGAUGCAGCCGGAAGGAUUUGUCGACCCUGAGAAUGCUAACAAGGUAUGCAAGCUCCAGCGAUCCAUUUAUGGGCUGGUGCAAGCAUCUCGGAGUUGGAACAUUCACUUUGAUGAGAUGAUCAAGGCGUUUGGGUUUAUGGAGACUUAUGGAGAAGCCUGCAUUUACAAGAAAGUGAGUGGGAGCGCUGUAGCAUUUCUCAUAUUAUAUGUAGAUGACAUACUUUUGAUGGGAAAUGAUAUAGAACUCUUGGACAGCAUUAAGGCCUACUUGAAUAAGUGUUUUUCAAUGAAGGACCUUGGAGAAGCUGCUUACAUACUAGGCAUCAAGAUCUAUAGGGAUAGAUCGAGACGCCUCAUAGGUCUUUCACAAAGAACAUACCUUGAUGAGAUAUUGAAGAAGUUCAAUAUGGAUCAGUCCAAGAAAGGGUUCUUGCCUGUAUUGCAAGGUGUGAGAUUGAGCUUGGCUCAAUUCCCGACCACGGCAGAAGAUAAAGAAGAGAUGAGUGUCAUCCCCUAUGCCUCAGCCAUAGGGUCUAUUAUGUAUGCCAUGCUGUGUACCAGACCUGAUGUAAACCUUGCCGUAAGUUUGGUAGGAAGGUACCAAAGUAAUCCCGGCAAGGAACACUGGACAGCGGUCAAGAACAUCCUAAAGUACCUGAAAAGGACUAAGGAUAUGUUUCUCGUUUAUGGAGGUGACAAAGAGCUCAUCGUAAAGGGUUACGUCGAUGCUAACUUCGACACAGAUCUGGAUGACUCUAAGUCACAAACCGGAUACGUGUAUAUUUUGAAUGGUGGGGCAGUAAGCUGGUGCAGUUGCAAGCAAAGCAUCGUGGCGGGAUCUACAUGUGAAGCAGAGUACAUGGCACCCUCGGAGGCAGUGCAUGAAGCAAUCUAGGUGAAGGAGUUCAUCAUCGACCUAGGAGUCAUACCCAAUGCGUCGGGGCCGAUCAAACUCUUCUGUGACAACACUGGAGCUAUUGCGCUUGCCAAGGAGCCCAGGUUUCACAAGAAGACCAGGCACAUCAAGCGUCGCUUCAACUCCAUACGUCAAAAUGUUCAAGAUGGAGACAUAGAUAUUUGUAAAGUACAUACAGACCUGAAUGUGGCAGAUCCGUUGACUAAACCUCUCCCUAGGGCAAAACAUGAUCAACACCAGAAUUCCAUGGUUGUUCGAUUGAUCACAAUGUAACUAGAUUAUUGAACUCUAGUGCAAGUGGGAGACUGUUGGAAAUAUGCCCUAGAGGCAAUAAUAAAAUGGUUAUUAUUAUAUUUCUUUGUUCAUGAUAAUUAUCUGUUAUUCAUGCUAUAAUUGUAUUAUUCGGAAAUCGUAAUACACGUGUGAAUACAUAGACCACGACAUGUCCCUAGUGAGCCUCUAGUUGACUAGCUCGUUGAUCAACUGAUAGUCAUGGUUUCCUGACUAUGGACAUUGGAUGUCAUUGAUAACGGGAUGACAUCAUUAGGAGAAUGAUGUGAUAGACAAGACCCAAUCCUAAGCAUAGCUCAAAGAUCGUGUAGUUCGUUUAGCUAGAGCUUUUCCAAAUGUCAAGUAUCAUUUGCUUAGACCAUGAGAUUGUGCAACUCCCGGAUACCGUAGGAGUGCUUUGGGUGUGCCAAACGUCACAACGUAACUGGGUGACUAUAAAGGUGCACUACGGGUAUCUCCGAAAGUGUCUGUUGGGUUGGCACGAAUCGAGACUGGGAUUUGUCACUCCGCAUGACGGAGAGGUAUCUCUGGGCCCACUCGGUAACACAUCAUCAUAAUGAGCUCAAUGUGACCAAGUGUCUAGUCACGGGAUCAUGCAUUACGGUACGAGUAAAGUGACUUGCCGGUAACGAGAUUAAACGAGGUAUUGGGAUACCGAUGAUCGAGUCUCGGGCAAGUAACGUACCAAUUGACAAAGGGAAUUGUAUACAGGGUUGAUUGAAUCCUCGACAUCGUGGUUCAUCCGAUGAGAUCAUCGAGGAGCAUGUGGGAGCCAACAUGGGUAUCCAGAUCCCGCUGUUGGUUAUUAACCGGAGAGGCGUCUCGGUCAUGUCUGCAUGUCUCCCGAACCCGUAGGGUCUACACACUUAAGGUUCAGUGAUGCUAGGGUUGUAGAGAUAUGAGUAUGCAGUAAACCGAAUGUUGUUCGGAGUCCCGGAUGAGAUCCCGGGCGUCACGAGAAGUUCCGGAAUGGUCCGGAGGUAAAGAAUUAUAUAUAGGAAGUCAGGUUUCUGCCAUCGGGAAAAUUUCGGGGGUCACCUGUAUUGUACCGGGACCACCGGAAGGGUCCCGGGGGUCCACCGGGUGGGGCCACCUAUCCCGAAGGGCCCCAUGGGCUCAAGUGGGAGGGGAACCAGCCCCUGGUGGGCUGGUGCGCCCCCCCCCCCCUUGCCCGCGCCUAGGGUUGGAAACCCUAGGGGUGGGGGGCGCCUCCACUUGCCUUGGGGGGCAAGGCACCCCCCUUGGCCGCCGCCCCCCCUAGGAGAUCCCAUCUCCUAGGGCCGGCACCCCCCCUAGGGGCCCUAUAUAAAGAGGGGGGAGGGAGGGCAGCUGCACCCUUGUACUUGGCGCCUCCCUUCCCCCUUCCUACACCUCUCCCUCUCGCAGACACUUGGCGAAGCCCUGCCGAGAUCAUUGCUGCAUCCACCACCACGCCGUCGUGCUGCUGGAUCUUCAUCAACCUCUCCUUUCCCCUUGCUGGAUCAAGAAGGAGGAGACGUCUCGCUGACCGUACGUCUGUUGAACGCGGUGGUGCCAUCCGUUCAGCGCUAGGAUCUCUGGUGAUUUGGAUCACGACGAGUACAACUCCCUCAACCCCGUUCUCUUGAAUGCUUCCGCUCGAUCUACAAGGGUACGUAGAUGCACUCCUCUCUCUCGUUGCUAGAUGAACUCAUAGAUUGAUCUUGGUGAAACCGUAGGAAUUUUUUUAUUUUCUGCAACAUUCCCCAACAUAAUUUCCAAUAAGUUGGUUGCUCGCUCCAUUGUUCCGGAGAACGGAGUCUUGGUCAUUUUGCCCAUGAGGCAUGGUUCGCACGUGUCAAAUGAUUCGAAAUCAAGAGACUCCAAAAGUCCAUCUGUAUGGAUCUUCUUCAUGCGUUUGAUGCCAAUGUGACCAAGGCGGUAGUGCCACAGAUAUGUGGGACUAUCAUUAUCAAUCUUACAUCUUUUGGUAUUCACACUAUGAAUAUGUGUAACAUCACGUUUGAGAUUCAUUAAGAAUAAACCGUUGACCAGCGGGGCAUGACCAUAAAACAUAUCUCUCAUAUAAAUAGAACAACCAUUAUUCUCGGAUUUAAAUGUGUAGCCAUCUCAUAUCAAAUGAGAUCCAGAUACAAUGUUCAUGCUCAAAGCUGGCACUAAAUAACAAUUAUUGAGGUUUAAAACUAAUCCGUAGGUAAAUGUAGAGGUAGCGUGCCGACAUCGAUCACAUCGACCUUGGAACCAUUCCCGACGCGCAUCGUCACCUCGUCCUUCACCAGUAUCCAUUUAUUCCGCAAAUCCUGUUUUGAGUUACAAAUAUGAGCAACUGCACCGGUAUCAAAUACCCAGGAGCUACUACGAGUACUAGUAAGGUACACAUCAAUUACAUGUAUAUCACAUAUACCUUUGGUGUUGCCGGCCUUCUUGUCCGCUAAGUACUUGGGGCAGUUCCGCUUCCAGUGUCCACUUACCUUGCAAUAAAAGCACUCAGUCUCAGGUUUGGGUCCAUGCUUUGGCUUCUUCCCGCCAACUGGCUUACCGGGCGCGGCAACUCCCUUGUCGUCCUUCUUGAAGUUCUUCUUACCCUUGCGUUUCUUGAAACUAGUGGUUUUAUUGACCAUCAACACUUGAUGUUCCUUUUUGAUUUCUACCUCCGCUGAUUUCAGCAUUGGAAAUACCUCAGGAAUAGUUUUCACCAUCCCCUGCAUAUUGUAGUUCAUCACAAAGCUCUUGUAGCUUGGUGGGAGCGUCUGAAGGAUUCUGUCAACGACCGCAUCAUCCGGGAGGUUAACUCCCAGCCGAGACAAGCGGUUGUGCAACCCAGACAUUUUGAGUAUGUGCUCGCUGACAGAACUAUUCUCCUCCAUCUUACAACUGUAGAACUUGUCGGAGACUUCAUAUCUCUCGACCCGGGCAUGAGCUUGGAAAACCAUUUUCAGCUCUUGGAAGAUCUCAUAUGCUCCGUGUUGCUCAAAACGCUUUUGGAGCCCCGGUUCUAAGCUGUAAAGCAUGCCGCACUGAACCAGGGAGUAAUCAUCACUACGCAACUGUCAGACGUUCAUAACGUCUUGAGUUGCUGGGAAAACGGAUGCUUCAACUAGCGGUGCAUCUAGGACAUAUGCUCUUUUUGCAGCUAUGAGGAUGAUCCUCAACUUCCGGACCCAGUCCGUAUAGUUGCUGCCAUCGUCUUUCAGCUUGGUUUUCUCUAGGAACACGUUGAAGUUGAGGGCAAUAUUAGCGUGGGCCAUUUGAUCUACAAGACAUAUUGCAAAAGGUUUAGACUAAGUUCAUGAUAAUUAAGUUCAUCUAAUCAAAUUAUUUAAUGAACUCCCACUCAGAUAGACAUCCCUCUAGUCAUCUAAGUGAUCCAUGAUCCGAGUCAACUAGGCCGUGUCCGAUCAUCACGUGAGACGGAUUAGUCAUCAUCGGUGAGCAUCUUCAUGUUGAUCGUAUCUUCUAUACGACUCAUGUUCGACCUUUCGGUCUCUUGUGUUCCGAGGCCAUGUCUAUAAAUGCUAGGCUCGUCAAGUCAACCUAAGUGUUUUUGCAUGUGUAAAUCUGUCUUACGCCCGUUGUAUGUGAAUGUUAGAAUCUAUCACACCCGAUCAUCACGUGGUGCUUCGAAACAACGAAAUUUCGCAAUGGCGCACAGUUAGGGGGAACACUUUCUUGAAAUUAUUAUGAGGGAUCAUCUUAUUUACUACCGUCGCUCUAAGCAAAUAAGAUGCAGAAACAUGAUAAACAUCACAUGCAAUCAAAUAGUGACAUGAUAUGGCCAAUAUCAUUUUGCUCCUUUUGAUCUCCAUCUUCGGGGCGCCAUGAUCAUCAUCGUCACCGGCAUGACACCAUGAUCUCCAUCAUCAUGAUCUCCAUCAUCGUGUCUUCAUGAAGUUGUCACGCCAAUGAUUACUUCUACUACUAUGGCUAACGGUUUAGCAAUAAAGUAAAGUAAUUACAUGGCAUUAUUCAAUGACACGCAAGUCAUACAAUAAUUAAGACAACUCCUAUGGCUCCUGCCGGUUGUCAUACUCAUCGACAUGCAAGUCGUGAUUCCUAUUACAAGAACAUGAUCAAUCUCAUACAUCCCAUAUAUAUCAUUCAUCACAUCCUUUUUGGCCAUAUCACAUCACAAGGCAUAUGCUGCAAAAACAAGUUAGACGUCCUCUAAUUGUUGUUGCGUGUUUUUACGUAGCUGCAAUAGGGUUCUAGCAAGAACGUUUCUUACCUACGUCAAAACCACAACGUGAUAUGCCAAUUUCUAUUUACCCUUCAUAAGGACCCUUUUCAUCGAAUCCGAUCCGACUAAGGUGGGAGAGACAGACACCCGCUAGCCACCUUAUGCAACUGCGUGUCAGUCAGUGGAACCUGUCUCACGUAAGCGUACGUAUAAGGUCGGUCCGGGCCGCUUCAUCCCACGAUACCACCAAAACAAGAUAAGACUAGUAGUGGCAAGUAAUUUGACAAAAUCUACGCCCACAACAAAACUGUGUUCUACUCGUGCAUAGAAACUACGCAUAGACCUAGCUCUGAUACCGCUGUUGGGGAUCGUUGCAGAAAAUAAAUAAAAAUUAUGCAUCACCAAGAUCAAUCUAUGGAGUCAUCUAGCAACGAGAGAGAGAUGCAUCUACAUACUCUUGUAGAUCGCGAGCGGAAGCGUUCAAGAGAACGGGGUUGAAGGAGUCGUACUCAUCGUGAUCCAAAUAACCGAUGAUCCUAGCGCCAAACGACGGCACCUCCACGUUCAACACACGUAAGGAGUGGAGACGUCUCCCAUGCCUUGAUCUAGCAAGGAGGAGGGAGAGGUUCAGGAAGAGAUCUCCAGCAGUAGCACGACCGCGUGGUGGUGAUGGAGAGGCAGUACUCCGGCAGGGCUUCGCCAAGCUUCUUCGGAGGAGGAGAGGUGUUGGGGAGGGGAGGGGUUGCGCUUUGGAGGUGUGUGUGCAGCCCUCCCCUCGCCCCUCUAUUUCUAGGGGGGAGGAAGGGGGCCGGCCCCCUCUAGAUGAGAUCUAGAGGGGGGCGGCCAAGGGGGGACUUGCCCCCAAGCAAGGGGGGCGCCCCCUUGAGGGUUUCCCCCCAACCCUAGACGCAUGGGCCCAAGGGGGGUUGCACCCAGCCCUCUAAGGGCUGGUUCCCUUCCCUCUAUGGCCCAUGAGGCCCUCCAGGAGAGGUGGCCCCUCCCGGUGGUCCCUCGGAACCCUUCCGGUGGCCCCGGUACAAUACCAGCAUGCCCCCGAACCUUUCCGAUGACCAUAUUACAACUUCCCAUAUAUAAAUCUUCACCUCCGGACCAGUCCGGAACUCCUUGUGACUUCCGGGAUCUCAUCCGGGACUCCGAACAACAUUCGGUUAUCACAUACAAGUCUUCCUAAUAACCCUAGCAUCACUGAACCUUAAGUGUGUAGACCCUACGGGUUCGGGAAUCACGCAGACAUGACCGAGACAACUCUCCGGCAAAUAACCAACAGCGGGAUCUGGAUACUCAUGUUGGCUCCCACAUGUUCCACGAUGAUCUCAUCGGAUGAACCACGAUGUCGAGGAUUCAAGCAAUCCCGUAUACAAUUCCCUUUGUCACAAGGUACGUUACUUGGCCGAGAUUCGAUCGUCGGUAUCCCAAUACCUCGUUCAAUCUCGUUUCCGGAAAGUCACGUUACUCGUUCCGUAAUGCAUGAUCCCGUGACCAACCACUUGGUCACAUUGAGCUCAUUAUGAUGAUGCAUUACCGAGUGGGCCCAGAGAUACCUCUCCGUCAUACGGAGUGACAAAUCCCAGUCUCGAUCCCUGUCAACCCAACAGACACUUUCGGAGAUACCUGUAGUAUACCUUUAUAGCCACCCAGUUACGUUGUGACGUUUGGCGCACCCAAAGCACUCCUACGGUAUCCGGGAGUUACACGAUCUCAUGGUCGAAGGAAAUGAUACUUGACAUUAGAAAAGCUCUAGCAAACGAACUACAUGAUCUUGUGCUAUGCUUAGGAUUGGGUCUUGUCCAUCACAUCAUUAUCCUAAUGAUGUGAUCCCGUUAUCAAUGACAUCCAAUGUCUAUAGUCAGGAAACCAUGACUAUCUGUUGAUCAAUGAGCUAGUCAACUAGAGGCUCACUAGGGACAUGUUGUGGUCUAUGUAUUCACACAUGUAUUAUGAUUUCCGGAUAACACAAUUAUAGCAUGAACAAUAGACAAUUAUCAUGAACAAGGAAAUAUAAUAAUAACCAUUUUAUUAUUGCCUCUAGGGCAUAUUUCCAACAGUCUCCCAUUUGCACUAGAGUGAAUAAUCUAGUUACAUUGUGAUGAAUCGAACACCCAUAGAGUUCUAGUGUUGAUCAUGUUUUGCUCGCGGAAGAGGUUUAGUCAAAGGAUCUGCGACAUUCAGAUCCGUAUGCACUUUGCAAAUAUCUAUGUCUCCAUCUUGAACAUUUUCACGAAUGGAGUUGAAGCGAUGCUUGAUAUGCCUGGUCUUCUUGUGAAACCUGGGCUCCUUGGCGAGGGCAAUGGCUCCAGUGUUGUCACAGAAGAGAGUCAUCGGCCCCGACGCAUUGGGAAUAACUCCUAGGUCGGUAAUGAACUCCUUCAUCCAGAUUGCUUCAUGUGCUACCUCCGAGGCUGCCAUGUAUUCCAUUCAAAAUAUACACGUAUCCGGUUUGUGACUUAGAGUCAUCCAGAUCUGUGUCGAAGCUAGCGUCGACGUAACCCUUUACGACGAGCUCUUCGUCACCUCCAUAAACGAGAAACAUAUCCUUAGUCCUUUUCAGGUACUUCAGGAUAUUCUUGACCGCUAUCCAGUGUUCCAUGCCGGGAUUACUUUGGUACCUUCCUACCAAACUUACGGCAAGGUUUACAUCUGGUCUGGUACACAGCAUGGCAUACAUAAUAGACCCUAUAGCCGAGGCAUAGGGGAUGACACUCAUCUUUUCUCUAUCUUCUGUCGUGGUCGGGCAUUGAGCCGAGCUCAAUUUCACACCUUGCAACACAGGUAAGAACCGCUUCUUGGACUGAUCCAUAUUGAACUUCUUCAAUAUUUUAUCAAGGUAUGUGCUUUGUGAAAGACCUAUGAGGUGUCUCGAUCUAUCUCUAUAGAUCUUCAUGCCUAAUAUAUAAGCAGCUUCUUCAAGGUCCUUCAUUGAAAAACACUUAUUCAAGUAGGCCUUAAUGUUGUCCAAAAGUUCUAUAUCAUUUCCCAUCAAAAGUAUGUCACCUACAUAUAAUAUGAGAAAUGCUACAGAGCUCCCACUCACUUUCUUGGAAACGCAGGCUUCUCCUUAAGUCUGCAUAAACCCAAACGCUUUGAUCAUUUCAUCAAAGCGAAUGUUCCAACUCUGAGAUGCUUGCAGUAGCCCAUAGAUGGAGCGCUGGAGCUUGCAUACCUUGUUAGCAUUCUUAGGAUCGACAAAACCUUCCGGCUACAUCAUAUACAAUUCUUCCUUAAGGAAGUCGUUAAGGAAUGCCGUUUUGACGUCCAUUUGCCAUAUCUCAUAAUCGUAGAAUGCGGCAAUUGCUAACAUGAUUCGGACGGACUUUAGCUUCGCUACGGGUGAGAAGGUCUCAUUGUAGUCAACCCCUUGAACUUGUCGAUAACCCAUAGCGACAAGUCGAGAUUUAUAGAUGGUAACAUUACCAUCCGUGUCCGUCUUCUUCUUAAAGAUCCAUUUGUUUUCUAUCGCUUGCAGAUCAUCGGGAAAGUCUGUCAAAGUCCAUACUUUGUUUUCAUACAUGGAUCCUAUCUCGGAUUGCAUGGCUUCUAGCCAUUUGUUGGAAUCUGGGCCCGCCAUCACUUCUUCAUAGUUCGAAGGUUCACCGUUGUCUAACAAUAUGAUUUUCAGGACAGGGUUUCCAUACCAUUCUGGUGUGGAACGUGUCCUUGUGGACCUAUGAAGUUCAGUAGUAACUUGAUCCGAUCCUCUCUAGUCGGUGCAGGCACCACAGGAACAUCUUCCUGAGCUGCGUUACUUUCCGGUUUAAGAGGCGGUACUUCAUCGAGUUCUACUUUCCUCCCACUUAUUUCUUUCGAGAGAAACUCUUUCUCCAGAAAGGACCCGUUCUUGGCAACAAAGAUCUUGCCUUCAGAUCUUAGGUAGAAGGUAUACCCAAUGGUUUCCUUAGGGUAUCCUAUGAAGACGCAUUUUUCCAACUUGGGUUUGAGCUUUUGAGGUUGAAGUUUCUUGACAUAAGCAUCGCAUCCCCAAACUUUUAGAAACGACAGCUUAGGUUUCUUUCCAAACCAUAAUUCAUACGGUGUCGUCUCAACGGAUUUAGACGGUGCCCUAUUUAAAGUGAAUGUAGCUGUCUCUAAAGCGUAUCCCCAAAAUGAUAGCGGUAAAUCAGUAAGAGACAUCAUAGACCGCACCAUAUCCAAUAUAGUGCGAUUACGACGUUCAGACACACCAUUACGCUGAGGUGUUCCAGGCGGCGUGAGUUGUGAAACAAUUCCACAUUUCCUUAAGUGUGUCCCAAACUCAUGACUUAUAUAUUCUCCCCCACGAUCUGAUUGUAAGAACUUUAUUUUUCUGUCACAUUGAUUUUCUACCUCAUUCUGAAAUUCCUUGAACUUUUCAAAGGUCUCAGACUUGUGUUUCAUUAAAUAGACAUACCCAUAUCUACUUAAGUCAUCAGUGAGGGUGAGAACAUAACGAUAGCCACCGCGAGCCUCAACGCUCAUUGGACCGCACACAUCAGUAUGUAUAAUUUGUUUGAAAUAUGCCCUAGAGGCAAUAAUAAAAUGGUUAUUAUUAUAUUUCUUUGUUCAUGAUAAUUGUCUGUUAUUCAUGCUAUAUUUGUAUUAUUCGGAAAUCGUAAUACACGUGUUAAUACAUAGACCACAACAUGUCCCUAGUGAGCCUCUAGUUGACUAGCUCGUUGAUCAACAGAUAGUCAUGGUUUCCUGACUAUGGACAUUGGAUGUCAUUGAUAACGGGAUCACAUCAUUAGGAGAAUGAUGUGAUGGACAAGACCCAAUCCUAAGCAUAGCUUAAAGAUCGUGUAGUUCGUUUAGCUAGAGCUUUUCCAAAUGUCAAGUAUCAUUUCCUUAGACCAUGAGAUUGUGCAACUCCCGGAUACCAUAGGAGUGCUUUGGGUGUGCCAAACGUCACAACGUAACUGGGUGACUAUAAAGGUGCACCACGGCUAUCUCCGAAAGUGUCUGUUGGGUUGGCACAAAUCGAGCCUGGGAUUUGUCACUCCGCAUGACGGAGAGAUAUCUCUGGGCCCACUUGGUAAUGCAUCAUCAUAAUGAGCUCAAUGUGACCAAGUGUCUGGUCACGGGAUCAUGCAUUACAGUAUGAGGAAAGUGACUUGCCGAUAAUGAGAUUAAACGAGGUAUUGGGAUACCAACGAUCGAGUCUCGGGCAAGUAACGUAACGAUUGACAAAGGGAAUUGUAUACAGGGUUGAUUGAAUCCUCAAUAUCGUGGUUCAUCCGAUGAGAUCAUCGAGGAGCAUGUGGGAGCCAACAUGGGUAUCCAUAUCCCGCUGUUGGUUAUUGACCGGAGAGGCGUCUCGGUCAUGUCUGCAUGUCUCCCGAACCCGUAGGGUCUACACACUUAAGGUUCGGUGACGCUAGGGUUGUAGAGAUAUGAGUAUGCAGUAAACUGAAAGUUGUUCGGAGUCCCGGAUGAGAUCCCGGACGUCAUGAAGAGUUCCGGAAUGGUCCGGAGGUAAAGAAUUAUAUAUAGGAAGUCAGGUUUCGGCCAUCGGGAAAAUUUCGGGGGUCACCAGUAUUGUACCAGGACCACCGGAAGGGUCCCGGGGGUCCACCGGGUGGGGCCACCUAUCCCGGAGGGCCCCAUGGGCUGAAGUGGGAGGGGAACCAGACCCUAGUGGGCUAGUGCGCCCCGCCUUGGGCCCCGCCUGCGCCUAGGGUUGGAAACCCUAGGGGUGGGGGGCGCCUCCACUUGCCUUGGGGGGCAAGGCACCCCCCUUGGCCGCCGCCCCCCCUAUGAGAUCCCAUCUCCUAGUGCCGGCGCCCCCCUAGGGGCCCUAUAUAAAGCGGGGGAGGGAGGGCAGCCGCACCCUUGUACUUGGCGCCUCCCUUCCCCCUUGCUACACCUCUCCCUCUCGCGGACGCUUGGCGAAGCCCUGCCGAGAUCACUGCUGCAUCCACCACCACGCCAUCGUGCUGCUGGAUCUUCAUCAACCUCUCCUUUCCCCUUGCUAGAUCAAGAAGGAGGACACGUCUCACUAACCGUACGUGUGUUGAACGCGGAGGUACCGUCUGUUCGGCGCUAGGAUCUCCGGUGAUUUGGAUCACGACGAGUACAACUCCCUCAACCCCAUUCUCUUGAACGCUUCCGCUCGAUCUACAAGGUUAUGUAGAUGCACUCCUCUCUAUUGUUUCUAGAUGAAAUCAUAGAUUGAUCUUGGUGAAACCGUAGGAAAUUUUUUAUUUUCUGCAACGUUCCCCAACAGUGGCAUCAUGAGCUAGGUCUAUGCGUAGUUCUCUUUGCACGAGUAGAACACAAAUCUGUUGUGGGCGUUGAUGUUGUCAACUUUCUUUCCAUUACUAGUCUUAUUUUGCUUCAGCAGUAUUGUGGGAUGAAGCGGCCCGGACCGACCUUACAUGUACGCUUACGUGAGACAGGUUCCAUCGACUGGCAUGCACUUGUCGCUUUAUUUAAGGAAAUAAAACACUAUGUAAUUGAUUUACUUUAUCACUAAGUGGUAGCGAUAGUCGUAGAAGAAAUGGUUGGCGAGACGAUCACGACGCUACGAUGGAGAUGAAGGUGUCAAGCCGGUGACGAUGGAGAUCAUGACGUUACUUUGGUGAUGGAGAUCAUGAGCACAAGAAGAUGAUGGCCAUUUCAUGUCACAUAUUUUGAUUGCAUGUGAUGUUUAUUUUUUAUGCAUCUUAUUUUGCUUAGUACGGCGGUAGCAUUAUAAGAUGACCCCUUACUAAAUUUCAAGGUAUAAGUGUUCUCCCUCAGUAUGCACCGUUGCGAAAGUUUUUCGUGCUGGGACACCACGUGAUGAUCGGGAGUGAUAGGCUCUACAUUCAAAUACAACAGGUGCAAGCCAGAUUUGCACACGCGGAAUACUCGGGUUAAACUUGACGAGCCUAGCAUAUUCAGAUAUGGCCUUGGAACACUGAAGACCGAAAGGUCGAACGUGAAUCAUAUAGUAGAUAUGAUCAACAUAGUGAUGUUCACCAUUGAAGACUACUCCAUCUCACGUGAUGAUCGAACAUGGUUUAGUUUAUUUGGAUCACGUAUCAUUUAGAGGACUAGAGGGACGUCUAUCUAAGUGGGAGUUCUUAAGUAAUAUGAUUAAUUGAACUUAAUUUAUCAUGAACUUAGUCCUGAUAGUUUUUUUGCAUAUCUAUGUUGUAGAUCAAUGGCAUGUGCUGCCGUUCCUUUGAAUUUUAAUGCGUUCCUAGAGAAAGCUAAGUUGAAAGAUGAUGGCAGCAACUACACGGAAUGGGUUCGUAACUUGAGGAUUAUCCUCAUUGCAGCACAAAAGAAUUAUGUCCUUGAUGCACCUCUCGGUGCAAGGCCUGCUGCAGGAGCAGAAGUUGACGUUGUGAACGCCUGGCAAGCUCGAUCUGAUUACUACUCGUUAGUUCAGUGUGCCAUGAUUUAUGGCUUAGAAUCGGGACUUCUAAGACAUUUUGAACGUCAUGGACCAUAUGAGAUGUUCCAGGAGUUGAAGUUAAUAUUUCAAGCAAAUGCCCGAGUUGAGAGAUAUGAAGUCUCCAACAAGUUCUAUAGCUGCAAGAUGGAGGAGAAAAGUUAUGUUAGUGAGCUCAUACUCAGAAUGUCUGGGUACCAUAAUCACUUGACUCAGCUGGGAGUUAAUCUUCCAGAUGAUGGUGUCAUUGACAUAUUUCUUCAACCACCGCCACCAAGCUACAAAGGCUUCAUGAUGAACUACAGUAUGCAAGGGAUGGAAAAGACUAUUCCGGAGCUCUUCGCGAUGCAAAAGGCCGCUGAGGUAGAAAUCAAGAAGGAGCAUCAAGUGUUGAUGUUUAACAAGACCACUAGUUUAAAAAAAGUGCAAGGGUAAAAAGAAGGGGAACUUCAAAAAGAUUGACAAGCAAGUUGUCACUCCCGGGAAGAAACCUAAAAAUUGUUCCGAGCCUGAAACCGAGUGCUUCUACUGCAAAGGGACUGGUCACUUGAAGUGGAACUGCACCAAGUAUUUGGCGGAUAAGAAGGAUGGCAAGGUGAACAAAGGUAUAUUUGAUAUACAUGUUGUUGAUGUGUACCUUACUAAUUCUCGUAGUAGUGCCUGGGUAUUUGAUACUAGUUCAGUUGCUCAUAUAUGUAGCUUGAAGCCAGGACUAUGGAUUAAACAAAUAUUGGCUAAGGACGAGGUGACGAUGCGCGUCGGAAAUGGUUCCAAGGUUCAUGUGAUCACCGUCGGCACGCUACCUCUACAUCUACCUUUGGGAUUAGUUUUAGACCUGAAUAAUUGUUAUUUGGUGCUAGUGUUGAGCAUGAAAAUUAUAUCUAGAUCUUGUUUAGCGAGACGGUUAUUCAUUUAAAUCAGAGAAUAAUGGUUGUUCUAUCUAUAUGAGUAUCUUUUAUGGUCAUGCACCCUUGAAGAGUGGUCUAUUUCUGUUGAAUCUUGAACGUGAUGAUACACAUAUUCAUAAUAUUGAUGCCAAAAGAUGCAAAGUUGAUAAUGAUAGUGCAACUUAUUUGUGCACUGCCGUCUAGGUCAUAUCGGUUUAAAAUGCAUGAAGAAACUCUCCAUAAAGAUGGGCUUUUGGAAUCACUUGAUUAUGAAUCAUUUGAUACUUGCAAACCGUCCUUUAUGGGCAAGAUGACUAAAACUCCGUUCUCCGGUACAAUGGAAAAAGCUAGUGACUUAUUGGAACUAAUACAUACCGAUGUAUGCGGUCCAAUUAGUGUUGAUGCUCGUGGCGGGUAUUGUUAUUUUCUGACCUUCAUAGAUGUUUUAAGUAGAUAUGGGUAUAUCUACUUCAUGAAAUACAAGUCUGAAACAUUUGAAAAGUUCAAAGAAUUUCAGAGUGAAGUGGAGAAUCAUCGUAACAAGAAAAUAAAUUUUCUACGAUCUGAUCGUGGAGGAGAAUAUUUGAGUUACGAGUUUGGCCUUCAUUUAAAACAAUGUGGAAUAGUUUCACAGCUCACGCCACCUGGAACACCACAACAUAAUGGUGUGUUCGAACGUCGUAACCGCACUUUAUUGGAUAUGGUGCGAUCUAUGAUGUCUCUUACCGAUUUACCACUAUCGCUUUUGGGUUAUGCAUUAUAUAGAGCUACAUUCACUUUAAACAGGGCACCGUCAAAAUCCGUUGAAAUGACACCGUAUGAACUGUUGUUUGGCAACAAACCUAAGUUGUCGUUUCUUAAAGUUUGGGGAUGCGAUGCUUAUGUCAAACGGCUUCAGCCCGAUAAGCUCGAACCCAAGUCAGAGAAAUGUGUCUUCAUAGGAUACCCUAAGGAAACAAUUGGGUACGCCUUCUACCACAAGUCCGAAGGCAAGAUUUUUGUUGCUAAGACGGAACCUUUCUAGAGAAGGAGUUUCUCUCGAAAGAAGUGAGUGGGAGGAAAGUAGAACUUGAUGAGGUAAUUGUACCUGCUCUCAAUUUGGAAAGUAGCUCAUCCAAGAAAACUGUUCCCGUGAUGCCUACACCAACUAGAGAGGAAGUUAAUGAUAAAGAUCAUGAAACUACAGAUCAAGUUGCUACAAAACCUCGUAGGUCUGGCAGAUCACGAUCCGCACCAGAGUGGAAUGGUAAUCCUGUUCUGAAAGUCAUGUUACUUGACCAUGACGAACAUAUGAACUAUAAAGAAGCUAUGAUGAGACCAUAUUCCGAUAAAUGGCUUGAGGCCAUGAAAUCUGAGAUAGGAUCCAUGUAUGAGAAAAAGUGUGGACUUUCGUGGAUCUGCACGAUGAUCGAAGACCCAUAGAGAAUAAAUGGAUCUUCAAGAAGAAGACUGACGCUGAUGGUAAUGUCACUAUCUAUAAAGCAUGACUUGUUGCAAAAGGUUUUUGACAAGUUCAAGGAGUUGACUACGAUGAGACGUUCUCAACCGUAGAGAUGCUUAAGUCUGUUCGAAUCAUGUUAGCAAUUGCCGCAUUUUAUGAUUAUGAAAUCUGACAAAUGGAUGUCAAAACUGCAUUCCUUAAUGGAUUUCUUAAAGAAGAGUUGUACAUGAUGCAACCAGAAGGUAUUGUCGAUCCUAAAGGUGCUAACAAAGUGUGCAAGCUCCAGCGAUCCAUUUAUGGACUGGUGCAAGCAUCUUGGAGUUGGAAUAUACGCUUCAAUGAGGUGAUCAAAGCAUAUGGUUUUAUACAAACUUUUGGAGAAGCCUGUAUUUACAAGAAAGUGAGUGGGAGCUCUAUAGAAUUUCUAAUAUUAUAUGUGGAUGACAUAUUGUUGAUCGGAAAUGAUGUAGAAUUUUUGGAUAGCAUAAUACUCCCUCUGUCUGAAAAUACUUGUCGGAGGAAUGCAUGCAUCUAGACGUAUUUUAGUUCUAGAUACAUCCAUUUUUAUGCAUUUCUCCGACAAGUAUUUUCGGACGGAGGGAGUAGGAUACUUGAACAAGAGUUUUUCAAUGAAAGACCUCGGGGAAGCUGCUUACAUAUUGGGCAUCAAGAUCUAUAGAGAUAGAUCAAGAUGCUUGAUAGGACUUUCACAAAGCACAUACCUUGGUAAAGUUUUGAAAAAGUUCAAAGUGGAUCAGUCAAAGAAAGGAUUCUUGCCUGUGUUACAAGCUGUGAAAUUGAGUUAGACUCAAUGCCCGACCACUGCAGAAGAUAGAGAGAAAAUGAAAGUCAUUCCCUAUGCUUCAGCCAUAGAUUCUACCAAGUAUGCUAUGAUGUAUACCAGACCUGAUGUGUGCCUUGCUAUAAGUUUAGCAGGGAGGUACCAAAGUAAUCUAGGAGUAGAACACUGGACAAUGGUCAAGAACUUCCUAAAGUACCUGAAGAGGACUAGGGAUAUGUUUCUCAUUUGUGGAGGUGACAAAGAGCUUGUCAUAAAUGGUUGCGUCAACGCUAGCUUUGACAUUGAUCCGGAUGACUCUCAGUCACAAUCCGGAUGCGUAUUUUUAUUGAAUGGUGGAGUUGUCGGUUUUUUCAAGCAGAGUGUCGUGGUAGGAUCUAUGUGUGAAGCGGAGUACAUAGAGUCUUCGGAAGCAGCAAAUGAAGGAGUCUGGAUGAAGAAGUUCAUAUCCGAUCUAGGUGUAAUACCUAGUGCAUCGGGUCCAAUGAAAAUCUUUUGUCACAAUACCAGAGCAAUUGCCUUGGCGAAGGAAUCCAGAUAUCACAAAAAGACCAAACACAUCAAGAGACGCUUCAACUCCAUCCGAGAUUUGGUCAAGGAGGAAGACAUAGAGAUUUAUAAUAUACAUACGGAUCUGACUGUUGCAGACCCGUUGACUAAGCCUCUUCCACGAGCAAAACAUGAUCAACACCAAGACUCCAUGAGUGUUAGAUUCAAUAUAAUGUGGAUUAUUGACUCUAGUGCAAGUGGGAGACCGAAGGAAAUAUGCCCUAGAGGCAAUAAUAAAGUUGUAUUUUAUAUUUACUUAUUCCUGAUAAAUGUUUAUUAUUCAUGAUAGAAUUGUAUUAACCAGAAACUUGGUACAUGUGUGGAUACAUAGACAAAACAAUGUGUCCCUAGUAUGCCUCUACUAGACUAGCUCGUUGAUCAAAAGAUGGUUAAGUUUCCUAGCCAUAGACAUGAGUUGUCAUUUGAUAACGGGAUCACAUCAUUAGUAGAAUGAUGUGAUGGACAAGACCCAUCCGUUAGCUUAGCAUAAUGAUUGUUCAGUUUUAUUGCUACAACUUUGUUCGUGUCAAAUAUAUAUUCCUCCGACUAUGAGAUUAUGCAACUCUCGGACACCGGAGGAAUGCCUUGUGUGCUAUCAAACAUCACAACAUAAUUGAGUGAUUAUAAAAAUGCUCUACAGGUAUCUCCAAAGGUGUUUGUUGGGUUGGCAUAGAUCGAGAUUAGGAUUUUUCACUCCGAGUAUCGGAUAGGUAUCUCUGGGCCCUCUCGGUAAUGCACAUCAUAUGAAGCCUUGCAAGCAAUGUGACUAAUGAGUUAGUUACGAGAUGAUGCACUACGGAACGAGCAAAGAAACUUGCAUGUAACGAGAUUGAACUAGGUAUGAAGAUACAGACGAUCGAAUCUUGGGCAAGUAACAUAACAAUGACAAAGGGAAUAACUAUAUUGACAUUGCAAUUCGACCAAUAAAGAUCUUCAUAGAAUAUGUGGGAACCAAUAUGAGCAUCUAGGUUCUGCUACUGCUUAUUGACUGGAGAGGUGUCUCGGUCAUGUCUACAUAGUUCUCGAACCCGUAGGGUCUACACGCUUAACAUUCGCUGACGGUUGGUAUUAUAUGAGUUAUGUGUUUUUGUGACCGAAGGUUGUUGGGGGUCCCGGAUGAGAUCACAGACAUGACGAGGUGACUCGAAAGGGUCGAGAUAUGAAGAUUGAUAUAUUGGAUGGUUACAUUCGGAUACCGGAAUGGUUUCGGGAAGUUUCGGAUAAUUUUCGGANNNNNNNNNNNNNNNNNNNNNNNNNNNNNNNNNNNNNNNNNNNNNNNNNNNNNNNNNNNNNNNNNNNNNNNNNNNNNNNNNNNNNNNNNNNNNNNNNNNNNNNNNNNNNNNNNNNNNNNNNNNNNNNNNNNNNNNNNNNNNNNNNNNNNNNNNNNNNNNNNNNNNNNNNNNNNNNNNNNNNNNNNNNNNNNNNNNNNNNNNNNNNNNNNNNNNNNNNNNNNNNNNNNNNNNNNNNNNNNNNNNNNNNNNNNNNNNNNNNNNNNNCCCUCUCCUUCUCCCUUUCCCUUUCCCCCAUUGCUACCCCAGAAAAAAGGAAAAGGGGGGGGGGCGAAUCCUACUAGUAGUGGAGUCCUGGUAGGACUCCCCCCCUUGGCGCACGCCCCUGGUGGCCGGCCUCCUCCUCCCUCCUUUAUAUACGGGGGCAGGCGGCACCCCAAAGGCACAACAUUAUCUUAGUCGUGUGCGGUGCCCUCCUCCACCGUUUACUCUUCCGAUAGUAUCAUCAUAGUGCUUAGGCAAAGCCCUGCACGGAUCACAUCAACAACACCGUCAUCACGCCAUCGUGCUGACGGAACUCAUCGACUCCAUCGACACUCUGCUCAAUCAAGAGAUCAAGGGAUGUCAUCGAUCUUAACGUGUGUAGAACUCGGAUGUGUCGUACGUUCGGUCCUUGAUCGGUUGAUUCGAGAAGACAUUCGACUACAUCAACUGCGUUAAGUUAACGCUUCCACUUUCUGUCUAUGAGGGUACGUGGACACACUCUCCCCCUCUCAUUUCUAAGCAUGUCCUAGAUAGAUCUUGCGUGAGCGUAGGAAUUUUUUUGAAAUAGCAUGCUACAUUUCCUAACAAUUUGCUCCUUUACCGGAUCUCUAAAGGGACUAAUCAAUGAUGUUUGGCUGACCCUAAAGUGCAUGGAGCAAGUAUGAAUGAACUCAACACUUUCAUGAUCUAAGGAAUUGUGUAAACGUUUAACUUUCUGGUAUUAUCUGUUGGGGAACAUAGCAGAAAUUCAAAAUUUUCCUACGAUUCACCAAGAUCUAUCUAUGGAGAAACUAGCAACGAGGGGAAGGACAGUGCAUCUACAUACCCUUGUAGAUCCCUAAGCGGAAGCGUUCAAGAGAACGGGGUUGAUGGACUCGUACUCGUCGUGAUCCAAAUCACCGAUGAUCCUAGCGCCGAAUGGAUGGCACCUCUGCGUUCAACACACAUACCAUUGGGAGAGACAUCUCCUCCUUCUUGAUCCAGCAAGGGGAUGAGAGGUUGAUGGAGAUCCAGCAGCACGACGGUGUGGUGGUGGAAGUAGCGGGAUCCCGGCAGGGCUUCGCCAAGCGCAAGCGGGGAGGAAGAGGUGUCACGGGAGAGAGGGAGGCGCCAGGGACUCAGGUGCGGCUGACCUCCCUCCCCUCCACUAUAUAUAGGGGCCUAGGGGGCGCCGGCCCCUUGUAGAUCCCAUCUAGGGAGGGUGGCGGCGGCCCUAGGGGUGGCUUGGCCUCCAAGACAGGUGGAGGCGCCGCCACCCCUUAGGGUUUCUAACCCUAGGCGCAUGGGAGGCCUAAGGGGGGUGAACCAGCCCACCAGGGGCUGGUUUCCACGCCCCCUCAGCCUAUGGAUCCCUCGGGAUAGGUGGCCCCACCCGGUGGACCCCCGGGACCCUUCCGGUGGUCCCGGUACAAUACCGAUGACCUCCGAAACUUUCCCGGUGGCCGAAACUGGACUUCCUAUAUAUAAAUCUUUACCUCCAGACCACUCCGGAACUCCUCGUGACGUCCGGGAUCUCAUCCGGGACUUCGAACAACAUUAGGGUUACCGCAUACUAUUAUCUCUACAACCCUAGUCUCACCGAACCUUAAGUGUGUAGACCCUACGGGUUCGGGAACCAUGGAGACAUGACCGAGACGUUCUCCGGUCAAUAACUAACAGCGGGAUCUGGAUACCCAUGUUGGCUCCCACAUGUUCCACGAUGAUCUCAUCGGAUGAACCACGAUGUCAAGGACUCAAUCAAUCCCGUAUACAAUUCCCUUUGUCAAGCGGUAUUGUACUUGCCCGAGAUUCGAUCGUCGGUAUCCCGAUACCUUGUUCAAUCUCGUUACCGGCAAGUCUCUUUACUUGUUCCGUAACACAUCAUCCUGUGAUCAACCCCUUGGUCACAUUGUGCACAUUAUGAUGAUGUCCUACCGAGUGGGCCCAGAGAUACCUCUCCGUCAACCGGAGUAGCAAAUCCCAGUCUCGAUUCGUGCCAACCCAACAGACACUUUCGGAGAUACCUGUAGUGCACCUUUAUAGCCACCCAGUUACAUUGUGACUUUUGGUACACCCAAAGCAUUCCUACGGUAUCCGGGAGUUGCACAAUCUCAUGGUCUAAGGAAAUGAUACUUGACAUUAGAAAAGCUUUAGCAUACGAACUACACGAUCUUUGUGCUAGGCUUAGGAUUGGGUCUUGUCCAUCACAUCAUUCUCCUAAUGAUGUGAUCUCGUUAUCAACGACAUCCAAUGUCCAUGGUCAGGAAACCGUAACCAUCUAUUGAUCAACGAGCUAGUCUCAUAGAGGCUUACUAGGGACAUGGUGUUGUCUAUGUACCCACACAUGUAUCUGAGUUUCCUAUCAAUACAAUUAUAGCAUGGACGAUAAACGAUUAUCAUGAACAAGGAAAUAUGAUAAUAACAACUAAUUUAUUAUUGCCUCUAGGGCAUAUUUCCAAUAGUCUCCCACUUGCACAAGAGUCAAUAAUCUAGUUCACAUCACCAUGUGAUUAACAUUGAUAGGUCACAUCGCCAUGUGACCAACAUCCAAAGAGUUUACUAGUGUCUAAACUAGUUCACAUCACCAUGUGAUUAAGACUCAAUGUGUUCUGGGGUUUGAUCAUGUUUUGCUUGUGAGAGAGGUUUUAGUCAACGGGUCUGCAACAUUCAGAUCCGUAUGUAUUUCACAAUUCUCUAUGUCAUAUUGUAAAUGAUGCUUCCACGCUCCACUUGGAGCUAUUCCAAAUGGUUGCUCCACUAUACGUAUCCGAUUUGCUACUCAGAGUCAUUCGGAUAGGUGUUAAAGCUUGCAUCGACGUAACCCUUUACGCCGAACUCUUUAUCACCUCCAUAAUCGAGAAACAUGUCCUUAUUUACUCCAAGGACAAUUUUGACCGCUGUCCAAUGAUCCACUCCUGGAUCAUUCUUGUACCCCUUGACUGACUCAUGGCAAGGCACACUUCCGGUGCGGUACACAACAUAGCAUACUAUAGAGCCUACGUCUGAAGCAUAGGGGACGACCUUCGUCCUUUCUCUCUCUUCUGCCGUGGUCGAGCUUUAACUCUUAACUUCAUACCUUACAACUCAGGCAAGAACUCCUUCUUUGACUGAUCCAUCUUGAACACCUUCAAUAUCAUGUCAAGGUAUGUGCUCAUUUGAAAGUACCAUUUAGCAUUUUUUUGAUCUAUCCUCAUAGAUCUUGAUGCUCAAUGUUCAAGCAGCUUAUUCCAGGUUUUCUAUUGAAAAACACCUUUCAAAUAACCCUAUAUGCUUUCCAGAAAUUCUACAUCACUUCUGAUCAACAAUAUGUCAACAACAUAUACUCAUCAGAAAUUCUAUAGUGCUCCCACUCACUUCUUUGGAAAUACAAAUUUCUCAUAAACUUUGUAUAAACCCAAAAUCUUUGAUCAUCUCAUCAAAGUGUACAUUCCAACUACGAGAUGCUUACUCCAGUCCUUAGAAGGACUGCUAGAGAUUUGCAUACUUGUUAGCGUCUUUCAGGAUUGUCAAAACCUUCUGGUUGUAUCACAUACAACCUUUCCUCAAGAAAAAUGUCAAGGAAACAAUGUUUUUGACAUCCUAUAUGCAAGAUUUCAUAAAUAAUGCAGUAACUGCUAAUCCAAUUCCAACAGACUCUUAGCAUCACUACGAGUGAGAAAGCCUCACCGUAGUCAACUCCUUGAACUUGUCGGAAAACAUCUUUACGACAAGUCGAGCUUUCUUAAUGGUGAUACUUACCAUCAUCGUUUGUCUUCCUUUUAAAAUCCAUCUGUACCCAACGGCCUUACGACCAUCAAGUAUUUCUUCCAAAGUCAUGGAUCCUUUCUCGGAUUUUAUGGCCUCGAGCCAUUCGUCGGAAUCCGGGCCCACCAUCGCUUCUCCAUAGUUCGUAGGUUCAUUGUUGUCUAGCAACAUGACCUCCAAGACAGGAUUACGUACUACUCUGAAGCAGUACGCAUCCUCGUCGACCUACGAGGUUUGGUAGUGACUUGAUCCGAAGUUUCAUGAUCACUAUCAUAAGCUUCUACUUCAAUUGGUGUAGGUGCCACAGGAACAACUUCCUAUGCCCUGCUACACACUAGUUGAAGUGAUGGUUCAACAACCUCAUCAAGUCUCCACCAUCCUCCCACUCAAUUCUUUCGAGACAAACUUUUCCUCGAGAAAGGACCCAUUUCUAGAAACAAUUAUUUUUGCUUCCGGAUCUGAGAUAGGAGGUAUACCCAGCUGUUUUGGGUGUCCUAUGAAGAUGCAUUUUUAUCCGCUUUGGGUUCGAGCUUAUCAACCUGAAAACUUUCACAUAAGCGUCGCAGCCCCAAGCUUUUAAGAAACGACAACUUAGGUUUCUCCAAACCAUAGUUCAAACGGUGUCGUCUCAACGGAAUUACGUGGUGCCCUAUUAAAGUGAGUGCGGUUGUCUCUAAUGCCUAACCCAUGAAUGAUAGUGGUAAUUCGAUAAAAGACAUCAUGGUACGCACCAUAUAUAUCCAAUAGGGUGCAACUAUGAUGUUCGGACACACCAUCACACUAUGGUGUUCCAGGCGGUAUUAAUUGUGAAACAAUUUCCAUAAUGUCUUAAUUUCGCGCCAAAGCUCGUAACUCGGAUACUCAUCUCUAUGAUCAUAUCAUAGACAUUUUAUCCUCUUGUCACGAUGAUCUUCAACUUCACUCUGAAAUUACUUGAACUAUUCAAUAAUUUAGGCUUGUGUUUCAUCAAGUAAAUAUACUUAGUAUCUACUCAAAUCAUCCGUGAAGUAAGAACAUAACAAUAUACACUGCGUGCCUCAGCACUCAUUGGACUGCACACAUCAAAAUGUAUUACUUCCAACAAGUUGCUUUCUUGUUCCAUUUUACUGAAAACGAGGCUUUCAAUCAUCUUGCCCAUGUGGUAUGAUUUGCAUGUCUCAAGUGAUUCAAAAUCAAGUGAGUCCAAAUGGUCCAUUUGCAUGGAGUUUCUUCAUGCAUAUACACCAAUAGACAUGGUUCGCAUGUCUCAAACUUUUCAAAAACGAGUGAGUCCAAAGAUCCAUCAACAUGGAGCUUCUUCAUGCGUUUUAUACCAAUAUGACUUACAUGGCAGUGCCACAAGUAGGUGGUACUAUCAUUACUAUCUUAUAUCUUUUGGCAUGAACAUGUGUAUCACUACGAUCGAGAUUCAAUAAACCAUUCAUUUUAGGUGCAAGACUAUUGAAGGUAUUAUUCAAAUAAAUAGAGUAACCAUUAUUCUCCUUAAAUGAAUAACCGUAUUGCGAUAGACAUAAUCCAAUCAUGUCUAUGCUCAACGCAAACACCAAAUAACAAUUAUUUAGGUUUUAACACCAAUCUCGAUGGUAGAGGGAGCGUGCGAUGCUUGAUCACAUCAACCUUGGAAACACUUCCAACACAUAUCGUCAGCUCACCUUUAGCUAGUCUCCGUUUAUUCCGUAGCUUUUAUUUCGAGUUACUAACACUUAGCAACCGAACCGGUAUCUAAUACCCUGGUGCUACUAGGAGUACUAGUAAAGUACACAUUACCAUAAUGUAUAUCCAAUAUACUUCCGUCGACCUUGCCUGCCUUCUUAUCUACCAAGUAUCUAGGGUGGUUCUGCUUUAGUGUUCGUUCCUCUCAUUACAGAAGCACUUAGUCUCGGGUUCGGGUUCAACCUUGGGUUUUCACUAGAGCAGCAACUGUUUUGCCGUUUCAUGAAGUAUCCCUUCUUGCCCUUGCCCUUCUUGAAACUAGUGGUUUUACUAACCAUCAACAAUUGACGCUCCUACAUGACUUCUACUUUCGCGGUGUCAAACAUCGCGAAUACUUCAAGGAUCAUCGUGUCUAUCCCUGAUAUGUUAUAGUUCAUCACGAAGCUCUAGCAGCUUGGUGGCAAUGACUUUGGAGAAACAUCACUAUCUCAUCUGGAAGAUCAACGCCCACUCGAUUAAAGUGAUUGUUGUACUCAGACAAUCUGAGCACAAGCUCAAAGAUUGAGCUUUUCCUCCCUUAGUUUGCAGGCUAAGAAAAUCGUCGGAGGUCUUAUACCUCUUGACGUGGGUACGAGCCUGAAAUCCCAAUUUCAGCCCUCGAAACAUCUCAUAUGUUCCGCGACAUUUCGAAAACGUCUUUGGUGCCUCUACUCUAAACCAUUUAACUAAACUAUCACGUAGUUAUCAAAACGUGUAUGUCAGAUGUUCGCAACAUCCACAGACUACGUUUGAGGUCCAGCACACCGAGCGGUGCAUUAAGGACAUAAGCCUUCUACGAAGCAACGAGGACAAUCCUCAGUUCACGGACCCAAUCCGCAUAAUUGCUACUAUCAACUUUCAACUAUAUUUUUCUCUAGGAACAUAUCUAAAAAGAGUAGAACUAAAGCGUGAGCUACGACAUAAUUUGCAAAAACCUUUUGACUAUGUUCAGGAUAAUUAAGUUCAUCUUAUGAACUCCCACUCAGAUAGACAUCCCUCUAGUUAUCUAAGUGAUUACAUGAUCCGAGUCAACUAGGCCGUGUUCGAUCAUCACGUGAGACGGACUAGUCAUCAUCGGUGGACAUCUUCAUGUUGAUCGUAUCCACUAUACGACUCAUACUCGACCUUUCGGUCUCUUGUGUUCCGAGGCCAUGUCUGUACAUGCUAGGCUCGUCAAGUCAACCUAAGUGUUUCGCGUGUGUAAAUCUGGCUUACACCCGUUGUAUGUGAACGUUAGAAUCUAUCACACCCGAUCAUCACGUGGUGCUUCGAAACGACGAACUUUCGCAACGGUGCACAGUUAGGGGGAACACUUUCUUGAAAUUUUAAUGAGGGAUCAUCUUAUUUACUACCGUCGUUCUAAGCAAAUAAGAUGUAUAAACAUGAUAAACAUCACAUGCAAUCAAAUAGUGACAUGAUAUGGCCAAUAUCAUAUUGCUCCUUUUGAUCUCCAUCUUCGGGGCUCCAUGAUCAUCAUCGUCACCGGCAUGACACCAUGAUCUCCAUCAUCAUGAUCUCCAAUAUCGUGUCUUCAUGAAGUUGUCUCGCCAACCAUUACUUCUACUACUAUGGCUAACGGUUUUAGCGAUAAAGUAAAGUAAUUACAUGGCAUUAUUCAAUGACACGCAGGUCAUACAAUAAAUUAAGACAACUCCUAUGGCUCCUGCCGGUUGUCAUACUCAUCGACAUGCAAGUCGUGAUUCCUUUUACAAGAACAUGAUCAAUCUCAUACAUCACAUAUCAUUCAUCACAUUCUUUUUUGGCCAUAGCACAUCACAUAGCAUACCCUGCAAAAACAAGUUAGACGUCCUCUAAUUGUUGUUUGCAUGUUUUACGUGGCUGUUAUGGGUUUCUAGGAAGAACGUUUCUUACCUACGCAAAAACCACAACGUGAUAUGUCAAUUGCUAUUUACCCUUCAUAAGGACCCUUUUCAUCGAAUCCGAUCUGACUAAAGUGGGAGAGACUGGCACCCGCUAGCCACCUUAUGCAAUAAGUGCAUGUCAGUCGGUGGAACCUAUCUCACGUAAGAGUACGUGUAAGGUCGGUCCGGGCCGCUUCAUCCCACAAUACCGUCGAAACAAGAUUGGACUAGUAACAGUAAGCAUAUUGAACAAAAUCAACGCCCACAACUACUUUGUGUUCUACUCAUGCAUAGAAUCUACGCAAUAGACCUAGCUCAUGAUGCCACUGUUGGGGAACGUAGCAGAAAUUCAAAAUUUUCCUACGAGUCACCAAGAUCUAUCUAUUGAGAAACUAGCAACGAGGGGAAGGAGAGUGCAUCUACAUACCCUUGUAGAUCGCUAAACAGAAGCGUUCAAGAGAACGGGGUUGAUGGAGUCGUACUCGUCGUGAUCCAAAUCACCGAUGAACCUAGCGCCGAACGGACACCUCUGCGUUCAACACACAUACGGGUGGGAGAGACAUCUCCUCCUUCUUGAUCCAGCAAGGGGAGGAGAGGUUGAUGGAGAUCCAGCAGCACGACGGCGUGGUGGUGGAAGUAGCGGGAUCCCGGCAGGGCUUCGCCAAGCGCAAGCGGGGAGGAAGAGGUGUCAUGGGAGAGAGGGAGGCGCCAGGGACUCAGGUGCGGCUGACCUCCCUCCCCUCCACUAUAUAUAGGGGCCUAGGGGGGCGCCGGCCCCUUGUAGAUCCCAUCUAGGUAGGGGGGCGGUGGCCCUAGGGGUGGCUUGGCCUCCAAGACAGGUGGAGGCGCCCCCACCCCUUAGGGUUUCUAACCCUAGGCGCAUGGGAGGCCCAAGGGGGGCGCACCAGCCCACCAGGGGCUGGUUCCCACGCCCCCUCAGCCUAUGGAGCCCUCCAGGAUAGGUGGCCCCACCCGGUGGACCCCCGGGACCCUUCCGGUGGUCCUGGUACAAUACCGAUGACCCCCGAAACUUUCCCGGUGGCCGAAACUGGACUUCCUAUAUAUAAAUCUUUACCUCCGGACCACUCCGGAACUCCUCGUGACAUCCGGGAUCUCAUCCGGGACUCCUAACAACAUUCGGGUUACCGCAUACUAUUAUCUCUACAACCCUAGUGUCACCGAACCUUAAGUGUGUAGACCCUACGGGUUUGGGAACCAUGCAGACAUGACCGAGACGUUCUCCGAUCAAUAACCAACAGCGGGAUCUGGAUACCCAUGUUGGCUCCCACAUGUUCCAUGAUGAUCUCAUCGGAUGAACCACGAUGUCAAGGACUCAAUCAAUCCUGUAUACAAUUCCCUUUGUCUAGCGGUAUUGUACUUGCUCGAGAUUUGAUCGUCGGUAUCCCGAUACCUUGUUCAAUCUCGUUACCGGCAAGUCUCUUUACUCGUUCCGUAACACAUUAUCCCGUGAUCAACCCCUUGGUCAUAUUGUGCACAUUAUGAUGAUGUCCUACCGAGUGGGCCCAGAGAUACCUCUCCGUCAACCGGAGUGACAAAUCCCAGUCUCGAUUCGUGCCAACCCAACAAACACUUUCGGAGAUACCCGUAGUGCACCUUUAUAGCCACCCAGUUACAUUGUGACGUUUGGUACACCCAAAGCAUUCCUGCGGUAUCCGGGAGUUGCACAAUCUCAUGGUCUAAGGAAAUGAUACUUGACAUUAGAAAAGCUUUAGCAUACGAACUACACGAUCUUUGUUCUAGGCUUAGGAUUGGGUCUUUUCCAUCACAUCAUUCUCCUAAUGAUGUGAUCCCGUUAUCAACGACAUCCAAUGUCCAUGGUCAGGAAACCGUAACCAUCUAUUGAUCAACGAGCUAGUCUCUUAGAGGCUUACUAGGGACAUGGUGUUGUCUAUGUACCCACACAUGUAUCUGAGUUUCCUAUCAAUACAAUUAUAGCAUGGACGAUAAACGAUUAUCAUGAACAAGGAAAUAUGAUAAUAAUAACUAAUUUAUUAUUGCCUCUAGGGCAUAUUUCCAACAUUAUCAACCAAUAAUAUGUGACAAUAGUAUCUCAUAGCAAUAUCAAUCAAUUUGGGUUUGUUCAACACGAGCGUUCUUCUAAGAUUGUGUCCUCAAAGUUGUCGGCACUAACAUGCUUAUGAUUAAGAAAAUAUAACCAUCAUGCAACACUUGAGCUAGUCUUAGAGGCGAGACUAGAAAUCUAUUACCGUUUAAUAUUCCGCAUGGGCACAUGACUUUCCCUCUGACCUCGUGGUUAUCCCACUCCCGAGAACUAUUGCAGUUAUACCACGGAAUAUAAACAUUAAUUACAAACUUGGAGAUAGAUAAUAACUAUAAUUAUUUCCUCUAGGGCAUAUCUCCUACAAACAUAGGCAUACACAAAAACAUCUCAAGAUAGAAAAAUUGGAUUCAACCAAAUUUAGCGUAAGUUUACAACUCGUGCAUUCUCUCAAAAAUACAUAUAAGUCUGCAUAUAUCCAAAACAUAUAUGAGAAGAUCAAUGUGGAUAUAUCAUACCAAUAAAGGACAUUUAUGGUCACACUGUCCUGAUAGGGUACAAAUCCAUUUAGACCUAGGGGUGAUAAUGAAGUGAUGAUAUCGGGACCUAAAGUUUCAUAUCUCACUAAUGCCAAAUCACUCAUAUAAUUACAAACUACAUCAGGCAUGGCACUAUAUUCGCUAUCUUUGUCCCGAGUGCAAACUCCAACAAAAGGUAUAUGGUUGAUGUAAUGGAUAUCCUCUCAUAUAUCAAGAUCACAAUUUAUCUUGGUUAAUUCUAUUAGAAAUAAAGAUAUGACCAUGAUAUGACAUUAUGAUACUGGCUACUUACUUGAUCCCAACAAUGUCAUAUCAAUGACUAAAUUUGCUAGAAUAGCCUCCUCACAGGAUCUAUCAAAAUAGACUCUAAUGGAUACUUCCACCAAUCAUUAUCUAACAAGUACAUUAUAUGAGGCAUUGCAAAAUGUGCAUGGCUUAGCAGAAUGAUUGACCACAAUCAAAAUCAUAUGGCUAAGAUUCAUCAGAAUCACAUAUUAUUAUGCAACAAGAUAAUAUCACUUGUAUCAUUGAAAUACAUUUAGGUUAUAUGGAGAGUAAUAUCACAAACAAAUUAGUCAUAAAUUAUUAUCCACACAAAUCUUAUCCUAUAUACAUAAGAGAGUCAUCUCCACUAACUUAUUUAUCUCAACAUGUAAACAUGUCAGAUCACCAUACAAUUAUGGAUGAGAUAAAGCCCACCUUAGCAUGCAACCAUGCAUGGGAAAGACCCACAACCACAUGCAUCCUUGCAUGAGAAAAUAUUUCCAUUCUAUUAUUCUACUUAUAUUCAAUAAAAAUUUACAACUAUAUACAUAAUCAAAUAUAAUAAGUGGUAUAAUUUUUAAUUUGAUUCAUGUGUGAUAAUGUAAAAUUUUAUAUUCCACACAAUCAAAUCUCAUUGAAAUGUACUCCAAGCGAUUCCCGUAGCAGCAACACUUGGGGUAUCAUUUAGUAUACCUAAAUAUUGAUGUCCACUAUCUCAAUUCUCUCAACAUGCACACAUGUCUCAUCGCCCCACAUACUAUUUCUCUUAGCACACAUGUAAUUCUUAUUUACAUUCUCUCUCAACAUGCACACAUCCUAACUUAAAUCAUUCUAAUAUAUUUUCGACUAUAUAAUAAUCAAAUAGGACAAUAUAUUAUGUCUAUUUUAAUUUUUAUUUAAAUUUCAUGAAAAGUUUGCAACCAAUCUCAGCAGCAACACGUGGGGUAUCAUCAAGUUAUUAAGAAGUGAUAACAACAUAGCAGAAAUUAAGCCUUAAUUAAUGUGUUUCAUUAAUUUCUAACACUCCUCCUGAUCAAUGUUUGUCUUUGUGAAUACACAUCAUCUUGAUAAGGACUCCGCCUAGUAUGUGUUGGCCUUUAAAAAUGUUCAUCAUCUCCUUUCUAAGAAGGACUCCUGCAAAAAUCCCGUGGGAAAUAUAUGAGGAGAAUAGGAUCCACAAAAAGUUUAUCCUUUGGGGACGGCAUUCUUGGAGGUGCACUCGGCUUCGCGAGACCAGUGGACGGCAUAUUUGGUGGAGCGGUGCUUCAUCCUACACAUUGAUGGCGGCGGAUCUCGACGGCGUGGCGCAGUGCAGAUUCGGAGUUCGAUGUGCGAGGAUGGACUCGCGUAGGAGGACGACGCUGUCUGGCGUCGUGGUGGCGUCGAUGUCAGAGAGACCUGGCACGGUAGAUGCAACAGUAUAGCUCUGAAGAUGGAUUUGUGGCAGGUGGCUCAGGCGGCAUCAUACCCGGCAGACGUCCUAGUUGAGGAGUGCGUCGGACUGAUAGGUGCCCCAUACCCGGCAGACGUCUUGGUUGGGACCUCAGGUCUUAGAUGUUUAGGUUUGGCUGGGAUGUCUGUUUGGUAUUAGGCCCAGGCUAUCAGCGCCCCUUCAUCAACUGGAUAGGAGUAGCGACAUUUGUUGCUUAGACGGUGGUUUUAGUCUUACUAUUGUAUGACUUUAUAAGGUCUUAUGAGAAUAAUUAAUAAAAUGACCUUAUGCAUCACUCAGAUGCAAAGGCCGAGGGUCCUCCUCCUUUUUUUAAAAAACAAAAAGUUUAUCACUGUAAACGGAAGAGACAACAAAAUGAAGCUACGUGUGCUCAUCUACAACGAUUUGAGCUCCCAUGUGUACGGAUGCACUGGAACGUUUUGUCGUCCUGCAGCUUCAAUUGGCCCUGUAGUCAAAUGACUACACAACUUCAUAACCUUUUUAAAUGUAUAUACAAGUAAAAUUCCAUGGAUAACUUCCGAAAUACUACAAGAUUUAGAGAGGAAUUACCGUUGACAUGACAUCACAGGUUUAUAGUUCUGGUACCGCCACUGCUAUUGGCUAAUUGUGCCGACAGUCGGUGAAACGUGCUAAACGAAAUGGGCCGAGAAAGUGUGACGGGACAUCCUCCUCCAUGAUUCCUUUGUCUUCCUCGACGCCUCUCUCUUAAAUUUCUACCUAUUCCAGUGCACGCGUUGCCCUGUGUACGGCGAUGUCUUCCUCCAUGAUUCCGUCGUCUUCCUCGAUGUCCUUCCUUGACCUGGGCUGCAUAACCGUCUGUUCGUUUUUUCUUUUCAGCAUAUUCCACGGAUAUGCUGAGCACAAUCAUCUUUCUCUCCUCCCCUGUGACAUCCACUCAUUCAAUCAUGCUACGCCUGCAGCCACGUCUUCUUCUAGCCUCGUCCCCUUCACAGCUUGAUCUAACUGCAAGCUCUACAGUGUAUUACAAUUGUGUAGCUUAAUACAAUUAACUAAUAUGUAUAGCCUGCAUUUGGAUCAUACUCCCUUCGUCCGGAAAUACUUGUCAUCAAAAUAAAUAAAAGGGGAUGUAUCUAGAUGUAUCUUAGUUCUAGAUACAUCUCUUUUUAUCCAUUUUGAUGACAAGUAUUUUCGGACGGAGGGAGUAUAUGGAUGGAUUAAUACGACUAACUAAUAUGGAUGCUAGCUUGGUUCGUCCCUUGACUGAUUCGUCCCAUAUGGUUUUUGGAGUUAGGGGAAGAAGAUAAACAAUGCUACUGCUCGCAGCAAUGCAUUACGUAGAUUGCUUGGAACAAUGCUACUGUUAGGAGGCUUUGGAAUUUGGAACGAUCAGUGGAGCAGGUGUUCCUUUUUACCUUGCAGUUUACAUGUUAGAGAAUGUCUACUCUUUGAGGCAGAAAUUUACCAUGGAUCGAUGGUGUCUGCACUUGUUGCCGGCCACCAGCCUUCCAUAACUAUAGUACAAGUUUUGCAUGUAGUACUGGGCUCCUCAUGGCUGGACGCAAUCGCGAGCUCACGUGGAAGCAGUGGCCGCCAGGCCGGCUAUGCGACAUUUUCCUUUUUUUUGAACGAUGGCUAUGCGACAUUGACAGGCUAUGCCGUACGACGACAGUGAUGCCGUUUCUAUCAUGCAAGGGGCAACUUCUUCCGUCACGCAAGGGCCAAGUUCUGUGCGGAUCUAUCUGUGUAGCGCGUGAAAGCUGUGUUUACAUCUGAAGUAAUUUGCGUCCGUACCAAUCUGCACUCCAUAGUAUGCAACGGUAGGUUUCUUCUCGCAGUUUUGCUAAUUAAAUUAAAGAUCGUGUUAUCAUUCAAGAAAAAUAUGAAAGAUCUGUUGAUUUGCUUCAGAGGGAGCCAUAUGCCUAUUUUUUCUUGUUGGUGACGUGGUUGUAGUACGGUUGGUGUUAAUUUUGAUAUAAAGACAUAUUCUCUCUGUACCGAAAUACUUGUCGUUGAGGAGAACCAGCACAAGUUCCCCAGCGACAAAUAUUGUGGUACAGAGAAAGUAUAUAACAUCAAAAGUAAAACACAUGGGACUUGUAAAAUGCUACUAAUUUGAACUUGAGACACAAAGUUACGAAGCAUAUGCAUCCUUUUAGCACAUUAUUUCUCCGCCACGACGCAUCUAUCAGUAUACCCGCCUCCUCGGGUGUAACACUCGGCAAAGACGUUGCCAGGGUUUAUUUGGCCUUCGCCAAGUUUUUUUUUUUAUAUUGGCAUUCUUUGACUUUUCCUAUAGUAGUGAGUAAAGUGGCAACGAUAGAUAUAUGAAGAUAGUAACCGUGUAGACCUGAUGUGUACUGGAGACAGAAGAACCUGUAUAAGGUGAUAAGGAACUUUUUUUAAAGAUUAUUAAAAGGCAGCUCUGUAUUCAUAUCAUAGUCAUUGCAUACACUGUCUUGGAUGCAACCCGGAGUAAGGGCAUCUCCAACGCUGAUCCGUAAAUUUACUCCGCAUCCGUUCGCGGACAGGGAGGGACCAGUUUACUGACACAGAUGCUAAAGGCGACCAUCCGAUGCUGCCCGCAUACAUUUCAACAAUUGUUUCAACUAACCGGACGAAAUUCAUGAAACACGAUGCAAACAUGGCGGAUUUUUAUGUACAUUUCAAACAUUUUGGAGAAAAAAAAAAAGAAACCCGACCCUAGGCCUAUCCUAUGACGCCAGCGGUCGCCCACUUUCUUUGUAUUCCGCAACGGCGACCACGUCCUUCAUCUGUUGUCUCCAUUAGCACCGGUGGGGGAUUAAGACCCGUGAAGUGAAUGUGCGCUCUCCGACAAGAAAGAGUAGGACAUGGGAGACGGUCCGGCCCACAAGGGACACAAUGUCCUGCCGCCUCCCAUGCCUUACUCAUCCUCUGAGGAGUCCGCAACCUGCCCGUCGCCAGUGCCGGAGGACAUGAGGUCGGUGAUGGAUGUGACGGUCCGUCACUGUUCACCUACCACAUGCGCCCGCAAAAGUUAGACAUCGGCGCAUACGACACGCAGCUGGCGGUGUUCUUGUCCUCAGUUGCCAGCGCAUAUGCACGUGUUGCCGCCUCCGCGUCUGCCUAUGUCGGUUGUUCAUUGCGAGUAGCGCGUAGAGCAUGCGCGGCCUCAUAGAACGCUCUCUGCUCCGCAACGAAGUUUGGGUUAGCCGUGAACAUGGAGGCCACGGCCUCCUCGCUUGCGCGCUCACCGUAGAUCUGGCCCUCUGUCAGCUACUGUUGCUCGAAGAGGAACAUGGUGUACCUCUGCUCCUCUUGCGCCUACUGGAAUGCUGACAUAGGUGACGACCAAGCUGCUCCUCCUUUGCUAUGGCGGCGUCGUAGUGCGCUUGCACCUGCGCCAUGAUCAGGCCGGCAUGCACCAGCGCAGGGUUUGGCGUUGUGUUGUCGUUCGAGACCAUCUCCAUCGUGGAAUCGUCGUUGGAGACCUAGGGCAGGCUAGCCGGCAUGCCCUGCUCUAUCCGCUUGGUGCGGAGAGACUGCCAGGCGGCUGCAAGAGGGGCCACCUCGUGCUUCAUCUCCGACGAAAGACUAUGCCACAGAGCGUUCCCGCUCGCGAUCAUGGCGGAUGCGGAGCAAAGGAGGAGGAUGUUGAGCGGAAGUGUUAUGGUAUGGAGUUAGCCGGGUGUGGCUGCCUUUAAAUAGCAGAUUUCGCUGAGACCAAGCGUCUGGGCGCGUCAAUGCGCGGCGCCAGAAUUGGUUCCUCGGUCGGUGAGUGUGUUUAGUGGCAGCAUAUGGACGUACGGGCAUUGAAUGGGCGUGGUUGAUAUCUGUCCAUCCCGUACAACAAACGUCGCUCCGGCAUAGAACAGACGCGAACAUAGGGGACGCUGCGCCGACGGCUGUCUCAGCCGGUGCGUCGCUUUAAUAUGUUGGCCCCAGUAAGAGGCCGCGUUCGCUCUGGGCCAGCGUCAUUAUGGAGUGGCCGUUCUAUAACAGCAUGAAUGUGGGCACCGGUGGAGGGUUUUAGGUGGGACAGAGGAGUCAGGAGCGGGUCGUGACAAUGGUCCGGACGCCCCCAAAGUCCCCCCUCCCCACACUUUGUCUUUGAUUUGCGGGAAAAACACGUCUGAAUUGCUUGGGGCAUCAAUAUAGGACCGUGUUCAAUGUCACAACACGUCCGUACCAUGUGGUUUGAAUGUAUAGGGUCCGCAUCGGAGAUGCCCUAAGAGCAUCUCCAACAGAGGCGCUAAAAGUAGUCCGCGCUGAAAAAAUCGCUAAUUUAGCACGCGGAGCAUCUCCAGCAGACGCUGCAAAAGCCAGCACGCUGUAAAAUCCAUCCGGCGCGCUGGGAAUUUCUGCAUCACACGCGGGAUAUUUGUUGCGCGGCGUACAGCGCGCUGGACAAUGACGCGUGAAGACCAGCUGCUCCGCUCCGCUUCGUUCCCUCUGCUCGUUCCGUCGUUUCCUGCAGCUCGCCGCCGCCGGCCGCCGCCACUCCUCUGCGUGCUCGUCAUCUGCUCUUCCCGGCAUGGGGCGGAGCCGCCACUGCCCUUCUGCUCGCCGGCUGGAGCUUGCCGCCUCGAGUUCACCGGCCGGGAGCACGUGCCGGCCGGAGCCGCCGUUGCCCUUCUGCUCGCAGCCUCCCUGCAACUUGCCGCCUUGAGCUCUGUGGCCGAAGGCUAGCGUUGUUGGGGAACGUUGCAGAAAAUAAAAAAUUUCCUACGGUUUCACCAAGAUCCAUCUAUGAGUUCAUCUAAGCAACGAGUGAUAGGAGUGCAUCUACAUACCUUUGUAGAUCGCGAGCGGAAGCGUUCAAGAGAACGGGGAUGAUGGAGUCGUACUCGCCGUGAUCCAAAUCACCGAUGACCAAGUGCCGAACGGACAGCACCUCCGCGUUCAACACACGUACGGAGUGGAUGACGUCUCCUCCUUCUUGAUCCAGCAAGGGGGAAGGAGAGGUUGAGGAAGAAGGCUCCAGCAGCAGCACGACGGCGUGGUGAUGGUGGAGAGGCAGUACUCCGACAGGGCUUCGCCAAGCACUUAACAAAGGAGGAGAGGUGUUGGGGAGGGGAGGGGCUGCACCUUGGAUGUUAUGUGCAGCCCUCCCCUCGCCCCUCUAUUUAUAGGGGAAGGGGGAAGGGGGCCGGCCCCCUCUAGAUGAGAUCUAAAGGGGGGCGGCCAAGGGAGGGGGCUUGCCCUCCAAGCAAGGGGGGCGCCCCCACUGAUUUUUUUUUCAAAAUUGUGAUGAUUUUUAUAGCAAAUUCGGAAUCUAUACGUCCUCACGCACCAAAAUCAAAACUAGCACCCCGUUGGCCUCCAGUUGGCCGAAGAGGGGCUCUUCAGCCUACGGUUGACCGAAUUGGGCUCUUCAGCCUCCCGUUGGCCGAAGAGUGCCCCAACUGGGCUGAAAAGGACUAUUUGGUCUGUCGUAGGCCGAAGAGCACUCUUUGGUCAACCGUAGGCCGAAGAGUCCUUGGGCUCCAACUUUUCACGUUAAUGGGAGGCCGAAGCUGCAUGGGCCUUGGGCCCCAAAGAGUAAUCUUCGGCCUAUGGUUGACCAAAGAGUACUCUUCAGCCUACGGCAGACCAAAGAGUCAUUUUCGUCCCAGUUUGGGUACUCUUCGGCCAACGGGAGGCUGAAGAGCCCACUUCGGUCAAGCGCAGGCCGAAGAGCCCCUCUUCGGCCAACUAGAGGCCGACGGGGUGCUAGUUUUGAUUUUCUUGCAUGAAGACAUAUAGACUUCGAAUUUGCUAUAAAAAUCAUCAUAGUUUUGAAAAAAAAUCCCCCCACUAGGGUCCCCCCCAACCCUAGGCGCAUGGGCCCAAGGGGGGGCGCGCCCAGCCCUCCAGGGGCUGUUUUCCUGCCCCCUACGGCCCAUGAGUCCCUCCGGGAGGGGUGGCCCCUCCCGGUGGACCCCCCGGAACCCCUCCGGUGGCCCCGGUACAAUAUCGAUGUGCCCCCGAAACUUUCCGGUGACCGUAUGACAACUUCCCAUAUAUAAAUCUUUACCUCCGGACCAUUCCGGAACUCCUCGUGACGUCCGAGAUCUCAUCCGGGACUACGAACAACAUUCAGUAAUCACAUACAAGUCUUCCUAAUAACCCUAGCGUCACCGAACCUUAAGUGUGUAGACCCUACGGGUUCGGGAGACAUGCAGACAUGACUGAGACGGCUCUCCGGUCAAUAACCAACAGCGGGAUCUGGAUACCCAUGUUGGCUCCCACAUACUCCUCGAUGAUCUCAUCGGAUGAACCACGAUGUCGAGGAUUCAAACAACCCCGUAUACUAUUCCCUUUCUUAGAUGGUAUGUUACUUGCCCGAGAUUCGAUCGUCGGUAUCCCAAUACCUCGUUCAAUCUCGGUGCCGGCAAGUCACUUUACUCGUACCGUAAUGCAUGAUCCCGUGACCAAACACUUGGUCACUUUGAGCUCAUUAUGAUGAUGCACUACCGAGUGGGCCCAGUGAUACCUCUCCGUAAUACGGACUGACAAAUCCCAGUCUCGAUCCGUGUCAACCCAACAGACACUUUUGAAGAUACCUGUAGUGCACCUUUAUAGUCACCCAGUUACGUUGUGACGUUUGGUACACCCAAAGCACUCCUACGGUAUCCGGGAGUUACACGAUCUCAUGGUCUAAGGAAAAGAUACUUGACACUGGAAAAGCUCUAGCAAAACGAACUACACGAUCUUUUGCUAUGCUUAGGAUUGGGUCUUGUCCAUCACACCAUUCUCCAAAUAAUGUGAUCCCGUUGUCAACGACAUCCAAUGUCCAUAGUCAGGAAACCAUGACUAUCCAUUGACCAACGAGCUAGUCAACUAGAGGCUUUCUAGGGACGUAUUGUGGUCUAUGUAUUCACACAUGUAUUAUGAUUUCCGGAUAAUACAAUUAUAGCAUGAAUAAAAGACAAUUAUCAGGAACAAGGAAAUAUAAUAAUAAUCCUUUUAUUAUUGCCUCUAGGGCAUAUUUCCAACAGUCUCCCACCUGCACUAGAGUCAAUAAUCUAGUUGCAUUGUGAUGAAUCGAACACCCAUAGAGUUCUGGUGUUGAUCAUGUUUUGCUCGCGGAAGAGGUUUAGUCAACGGAUCUGCGACAUUCAGAUCCGUAUGUACUUUGCAAAUAUCUAUGUCUCCAUCUUGAACAUUUUCACGGAUGGAGUUGAAACGACGCUUCAUGUGCCUGGUCUUCUUCUGAAACCUGGGCUCCUUGGCAAGCGCAAUAGCUCCAGUGUUGUCACAGAAGAGUUUGAUCGGCCCCAACGCAUUGGGAAUGACUCCUAGGUCGGUGAUGAACUCCUUCACCCAAAUUGCUUCAUGCGCUGCCUCCGAGGCUGCCAUGUACUCUGCUUCACAUGUAGAUCCCGCCACGACGCUCUGCUUGCAGCUGCACCAGCUUACUGCCCCACCAUUCAACAUAUACACGUAUCCGGUUUGUGACUUAGAGUCAUCCAGAUCUGUGUCGAAGCUAGCGUCGACGUAACCCUUUACGACGAGCUCUUUGUCACCUCCAUAAACGAGAAACAUGUCCUUAGUCCUUUUCAGGUACUUCAGGAUAUUCUUGACCGCUGUCCAGUGUUCCUUGCCGGGAUUACUUUGGUACCUUCCUACCAAACUUACGGCAAGGUUUACAUUAGGUCUGGUACACAGCAUGGCAUACAUAAUAGAUCCUAUGGCUGAGGCAUAGGGGAUGACGCUCAUCUCUUCUUUAUCUUUUGCCGUGGUCGGGCAUUGAGCCGACCUCAAUCUCACACCUUGCAAUACAGGCAAGAACCCUUUCUUGGACUGAUCCAUUUUGAACUUCUUCAAAAUCUUAUCAAGGUAUGUGCUUUGUGAAAGACCUAUGAGGCGUCUCGAUCUAUCCCUAUAGAUUUUGAUGCCUAAUAUGUAAGCAGCUUCUCCAAGGACCUUCAUUGAAAAACACUUAUUCAAGUAGGCCUUAAUGUUGUCCAAGAAUUCUACACCAUUUCCCAUCAAAAGUAUGUCAUCUACAUAUAAUAUGAGAAAUGCUACAGAGCUCCCACUCACUUUCUUGGAAACGCAGGCUUCUCCAUAAGUCUGCAUAAACCCAAACGCUUUGAUCAUCUCAUCAAAGCGAAUGUUCCAACUCCGAGAUGCUUGCACCAGCCCAUAAAUGGAUCGCUGGAGCUUGCAUACUUUGUUAGCAUUCUUAGGAUCGACAAAACCUUCCGGCUGCAUCAUAUACAGCUCUUCCUUAAGAUAACCGUUAAGGAAUGCCGUUUUGACGUCCAUCUGCCAUAUCUCAUAAUCAUAGUAUGUGGCAAUUGCUAACAUGAUUCGGAUGGACUUAAGCUUCGCUACGGGAGAGAAAGUCUCAUCGUAGUCAAUCCCUUGAACUUGUCGAUAACCCUUAGCAACAAGUCGAGCUUUAUAGAUGGUGACAUUUCCAUCCGCGUCCGUCUUCUUCUUAAAGAUCCAUUUGUUUUCUAUCGCUCGCCGAUCAUCGGGCAAGUCAGUCAAAGUCCAUACUUUGUUUUCAUACAUGGCUUCUAGCCAUUUGUUGGAAUCUGGGCCCACCAUCGCUUCUUCAUAGUUCAAAGGUUCACCGUUGUCUAACAACAUGAUUUCCAGGACAGGGUUGCCAUACCACUCUGGUGUGGAACGUGUCCUUGUGGACCUACGAAGUUCAGUAGCAACUUGAUCCGAAGUACCUUGAUCAUCAUCAUUAAUUUCCUCUCCAGUCGGUGAAGGCACCGCAGGAACAUUUUCCUGAGCUGCGCUACUUUCCGGUUCAAGAGGUAGUACUUCAUCGAGUUCUACUUUCCUCCCACUUACUCCUUUUGAGAGAAACUCCUUUUCCAGAAAGGAUCCGUUCUUGGCAACAAAGAUCUUGCCUUCGGAUCUAAGGUAGAAGGUAUACCCAAUGGUUUCCUUAGGGUAUCCUAUGAAGACGCAUUUUUCCGACUUGGGUUCGAGCUUUUCAGGUUGAAGUUUCUUGACAUAAGCAUCGCAUCCCCAAACUUUUAGAAACGACGGCUUAGGUUUCUUCCCAAACCAUAAUUCAUACGGUGUCAUCUCAACAGAUUUAGACGGUGCCCUAUUUAAAGUGAAUGUAGCUGUCUCUAGAGCGUAUCCCCAAAAUAUAGCGGUAAAUCGGUAAGAGACAUCAUAGAUUGCACCAUAUCCAAUAGAGUGCGAUUACGAUGUUCGGACACACCGUUACGCUGAGGUGUUCCAGGCGGCGUGAGUUGUGAAACGAUUCCACAUUUUCUUAAGUGUGUACCAAAUUCGUGACUUAAAUAUUCUCCUCCACGAUCUGAUCGUAAGAAUUUUAUCUUUCGUUCACGUUGAUUCUCUACCUCAUUCUUAAAUUCCUUGAACUUUUCAAAGGUCUCAGACUUGUGUUUCAUCAAGUAGACAUACCCAUAUCUACUCAAGUCAUCUGUGAGAGUGAGAACAUAACGAUAUCCUCCGCGAGCCUCAACGCUCAUUGGACCACACACAUCAGUAUGUAUGAUUUCCAAUAAGUUGGUUGCUCGCUCCAUUGUUCCGGAGAACGGGGUCUUGGUCAUUUUUCCCAUGAGGCAUGGUUCGCAUGUGUCAAAUGAUUCAUAAUCGAGAGACUCUAAAAGUCUAUCAGCAUGGAGCUUCUUCAUGCACUUGACACCAAUGUGACCAAGGCAGCAGUGCCACAAGUAUGUGGGACUACCGUUAUCAACUUUACAUCUUUUGGUAUUCACACUAUGAAUAUGUGUAACAUUACGUUCGAGAUUCAUUAAGAAUAAACCAUUGACCAUCGGGGCAUGACCAUAAAACAUAUCUCUCAUAUAAAUAGAAUAACCAUUAUUCUCGGAUUUAAAUGAGUAGCCAUCUCGCAUCAAACGAGAUCCAGAUACAAUAUUCAUGCUCAAACUUGGCACUAAAUAACAAUUAUUGAGGUUUAAAACUAAUCCCGUGGGUAAAUGUAGAGGUAGCGUGCCGAUGGCGAUCACAUCGACCUUGGAACCAUUCCCGACGCGCAUCGUCACCUCGUCCUUCGCCAGUCUCUGCUUAUUUCGCAGCUCCUGCUGUGAGUUACAAAUAUGAGCAACGGCACCGGUAUCAAAUACCCAGGAGUUACUACGAGUACUGGUAAGGUACACAUCAAUUACAUGUACUACCUCCGUCUAGGUGAAUAAGUCAUUCGUGUAGUUCUAGGUCAUCGAUUUGAGCAAUUAAAUAUAUGUUAUAUGUCAUGAAAAGUAUAUCACUAGAUUUCUACACGGAUGUAGUUUCUAAAUAUAUAUAUUUUGUUACAUAUAAUACAUAUUUAGAUAGUUAAAUCAUCGACCUAGAACUACGCGAAUGACUUAUUCACCGAGACGGAGGUAGUAUAUCAAAUAUACCUUUAGUGUUGCCGGCCUUCUUGUCCGCUAAGUAUUUGGGGCAGUUCCGCUUCCAGUGACCCUUCCCUUUGCAAUAAAAGCACUCAGUCUCAGGCUUGGGUUCAUUCUUUGACUUCUUCCCGGCAACUGGCUUACCGGGCGCGGCAACAUCUUUGCCGUCCUUCUUGAAGUUCUUCUUACCCUUGCCCUUCUUGAACUUAGUGGUCUUAUUGACCAUCAACACUUGAUGUUCUUUCUUGAUUUCAACCUCUGCUGACUUCAGCAUUGAAAAUACUUCAGGAAUGGUCUUCACCAUCCCCUGCAUAUUGUAGUUCAACACAAAGCUCUUGUAGCUUGGUGGGAGCGACUGAAGGAUUCUGUCAAUGACCGCCUCGUCCGGGAGGUUGAUCUUCAGCUGGGACAGGCGGUUAUGCAACCCAGACAUUUUGAGUAUGUGCUCACUGACAGAACUGUUUUCCUCCAUCUUACAACUAUAGAACUUGUCGGAGACUUCAUAUCUCUCGACCCGUGCAUGAGCUUGAAAAAACAUUUUCAGCUCCUCGAACAUCUCAUAUGCUCCGUGUCGCUCAAAACGCUUUUGGAGCCUCGGUUCUAAGCUGUAAAGCAUGCCGCACUGAACGAGGGAGUAAUCAUUAGCACAUGACUGCCAAGCGUUCAUAACGUCUUGGUUUUCUGGGAUGGGUGCUUCACCUAGCGGUGCUUCUAGGACAUAAUCUUUCUUGGCUGCUAUGAGGAUGAUCCUCGGGUUCCAGACCCAGUCCGAAUAGUUGCUGCCAUCAUCUUUCAGCUUGGUUUUCUCUAGGAACGCGUUGAAGUUCAUGUUGACAUGUGCGUUGGCCAUUUGAUCUACAAGACAUAUUUUGCAAAGACUUUAGACUAAGUUCAUGAUAAUUAAGUUCAUCUAAUCAAAUUAUUUAAUGAACUCCCACUCAGAUUGACAUCCCUCUAGUCAUCUAAGUGUUACACGAUCCGAGUCGACUAGGCCGUCUUCGAUCAUCACGUGAGACGGACUAGUCAUCAUCGGUGAACAUCUCCAUGUUGAUCGUAUCUUCCAUACGACUCAUGUUCGACCUUUCGGUCUCUUGUGUUCCGAGGCCAUGUCUGUACAUGCUAGGCUCGUCAAGUUAACCCUAAGUGUUUAUGCAUGUGUAAAACUGUCUUACACCCAUUGUAUGUGAACGUAAGGAUCUAUCACACCCGAUCAUCACGUGGUGCUUCGAAACGACGAACUUUAGCAACGGCGCACAGUUAGGGGGAACACUUUCUUGAAAUUAUUAUAAGGGAUCAUCUUAUUUACAACCGUCGUUCUAAGUAUACAAGAUGCAUAAACAUAAUAAACAUCACAUGCAAUUAUAUAAUAGUGACAUGAUAUGGCCAAUAUCAUAUAGCUCCUUUGAUCUCCAUCUUCGGGGCUCCAUGAUCAUCUUCGUCACCGGCAUGACACCAUGAUCUCCAUCAUCAUGAUCUCCAUCAUCGUGUCUUCAUGAAGUUGUCACGCCAAUGACUACUUCUACUUUUAUGGCUAACGCGUUUAGCAAUAAAGUAAAGUAAUUUACAUGGCGUUCUUCAAUGACACGCAGGUCAUACAAAUAAAAAAGACAACUCCUAUGGCUCCUGCCGGUUGUCAUACUCAUCGACAUGCAAGUCGUGAUUCCUAUUACAAGAACAUGAUCUCAUACAUCACAAUAUAUCAUUCAUCAUUCAUCACAACUUCUGGCCAUAUCACAUCACAUGACAAUUGCUGCAAAAACAAGUUAGACGUCCUCUAAUUGUUGUUGCAUCUUUUACGUGGCUGCAAUUGGGUUCUAGCAAGAACGUUUUCUUACCUACGAAUAACCACAACGUGAUUUUGUCAACUUCUAUUUACCCUUCAUAAGGACCCUUUUCGUCGAAUCCGCUCCAACUAAAGUGGGAGAGACAGACACCCGCUAGCCACCUUAUGCAACUAGUGCAUGUCAAGCGGUGGAACCUGUCUCACGUAAGCGUACGUGUAAGGUCGGUCCGGGCCGCUUCAUCCCACAAUACCGCUGAAGCAAAAUAAGACUAGUAGCGGCAAGCAAGUUGACAAGAUCUACGCCCACAACAAAAUUGUGUUCCACUCGUGCUAUAGAGAACUACGCAUAGACCUAGCUCUGAUGCCACUGUUGGGGAACGUUGCAGAAAAUAAAAAAUUUCCUACGGUUUCACCAAGAUCCAUCUAUGAGUUCAUCUAAGCAAUGAGUGAUAUGAGUGCAUCUACAUACCUUUGUAGAUCGCAAGCGGAAGCGUUCAAGAGAACGGGGAUGACGGAUUCGUACUCGUCGUGAUCCAAAUCACCGAUGACCAAGUGCCGAACGGACAGCACCUCCGCGUUCAACACGCGUACGGAGCGGAUGACGUCUCCUCCUUCUUGAUCCAGCAAGGGGGAAGGAGAGAUUGAGGAAGAAGGCUCCAGCAGCAGCACGACGGCGUGGUGAUGGUGGAGAGGCAGUACUCCAACAGGGCUUCGCCAAGCACUUAACGAAGGAGGAGAGGUGUUGGGGAGGGGAGGGGCUAUGCCUUGGAUGUUAUGUGCAGCCCUCCCCUCGCCCCUCUAUUUAUAGGGGAAGGGGGAAGGGGGCCGGCCCCCUCGAGAUGAGAUCUAGAGGGGGGGGCGGCCAAGGGAGGGGGCUUGCCCCCCAAGCAAGGGGGGCGCCCCCACUAGGGUUCCCCCCCAACCCUAGGCGCAUGGGCCCAAGGGGGGCAGCCCUCCAGGGGCUAUUUCCCUGCCCCCUACGGCCCAUGAGGCCCUCCGAGAGGGGUGGCCCCUCCCGGUGGACCCCCCGGAACCCCUCCGGUGGCCCCGGUACAAUACCGAUAUGCCCCCGAAACUUUCCGGUGACCGUAUGACAACUUCCCAUAUAUAAAUCUUUACCUCCGGACCAUUUUGGAACUCCUCGUGACGUCCGGGAUCUCAUCCGGGACUCCGAACAACAUUCAGUAAUCACAUACAAGUCUUCCUAAUAACCCUAGCGUCACCGAACCUUAAGUGUGUAGACCCUACGGGUUCGGGAGACAUGCAGACAUGACCGAGACAGCUCUUCAGUCAAUAACCAACAGCGGGAUCUGGAUACCCAUGUUGGCUCCCACAUACUCCUCAAUGAUCUCAUCGGAUGAACCACGAUGUCGAGGAUUCAAACAACCCCGUAUACUAUUCCCUUUGUCAGACGGUAUGUUACUUGCCCGAGAUACGAUCGUCGGUAUCCCAAUACCUCAUUCAAUCUCGUUGCCGGCAAGUCACUUUACUCGUAUCGUAAUGCAUGAUCCCGUGACCAGACACCUGGUCACUUUGAGCUCAUUAUGAUGAUGCACUACCGAGUGGGCCCAGUCAUACCUCUCCGUAAUACGGAGUGACAAAUCCCAGUCUCGAUCCGUGUCAACCCAACAGACACUUUCGGAGAUAUCUGUAGUGCACCUUUAUAGUCACCCAGUUACGUUGUGACGUUUGGUACACCCAAAGCACUCCUACGGUAUCCGGGAGUUACACGAUCUCAUGGUUUAAGGAAAAGAUACUUGACACUGGAAAAGCUCUAGCAAAACGAACUACACGAUCUUGUGUUAUGCUUAGGAUUGGGUCUUGUCCAUCAUAUCAUUCUCCUAAUGAUGUGAUCCCGUUGUCAACGACAUCCAAUGUCUAUAGUCAGGAAACCAUGACUAUCCGUUGACCAACGAGCUAGUCAACUAGAGGCUUUCUAGGGGCGUAUUGUGGUCUAUGUAUUCACACGUGUAUUACGAUUUCCGGAUAAUACAAUUAUAGCAUGAAUAAAAGACAAGUAUCAUGAACAAGGAAAUAUAAUAAUAAUCCUUUUAUUAUUGCCUCUAGGGCAUAUUUCCAACAAGCGUUGCAAGCGGAGCUCGCGGUUUCAGAUCGAUUGCAAGCCAGCUGAUAGGGAAGCCAAGCUAGCUAGCUCGUGUUUGUGCAUCAAGCUAGCUCGCGUGUGGUGGCCGGGAUUUCAACGAUCCAACAAUUGGGGACCUAAUUGCGUUUUUGUUUUGAUCAGAUGGAUUUAUCUGUAAAUGUUAGGGACCUGUUUGUUGUAGAUAUAUUUGUGAUGCUUUAUUUUUUUAGUGCGUCUGCUGGACCGUUGCGCGCCGUCCGGUACGCGCUAUAUUUUUGUGCGUCUGCUGGACUGAAUCUGCCAUGGCGCGCUAAAAUUACUAAAAUGACGCUGUAAAAUUAUUUUAGCGCGUUGCUUUUUUGGGCGUCUGUUGAAGAUGCUCUAACAGCAUGCAAGAGAGAGUAAGAACAAAGCUCUGUCCUCGCAGAUUUCUGUGGUCGAAAGCCACAGAACCACAAUCAAAAUAUUUCAAGAAAAUUUAAGUCAGUCUUGGAUUUGUCCUACAAGUGUAAUAAUUGCCCUGUGCGGAUAUGUCAUGUGGAACACAAAUGUGUGCAGUGGUGCCCCCAUGUGUCUCAAACUUUAUCAUCCCGCUCAUGAUGGCAUGCAUGCAUGCAAAGCAGAUUGCCAAGUAAGGUGCCAAAUCUGCACCUAUAAAUAGAGGUGCUACGAGCUCUGGCGAACAACAACUACAACAUAGCUUUACACACAACCAUAAGACAGAAGUGAGAGAGCUUUGCGGCAAACCAUAGAAGCAACCAUGAAGAACACCAAGCUCGUGGCGAUCCUUGUCCUCCAGGCCAUCAUGGUCAUGGGAAUCCUCGCACACGUGAAUGGUUGGUGGUUGUUCAUGCUUGUUUAUUCUAUUUGUUUCCCUGACAGAUUGAAUGCCCUUCUGUGAUUACAUUGAGUCUUAUUAUAUCUUAUGUGAUUAACUAAUUGUGAUGUCAUGCCAUGCAUGUGUGCAGCCGAUUACUUCCCGAAGUGCUGCAACAACUGCAGGUCCUUCUCGGGGGUCGACGUCUGCGACGACGCACACCCCCAGUGCCCCAAGGGCUGCUCGGCCUGCCGCGUGGUGACGCCGAGCCCUCACAAGACGUUCCGGUGCGCCGACAUGAAGAGCACCGUCGACGGCACCUGCGGCGGGCCAUGCAAGAAGCACUGAUCCGUUCAGGGCUUCAGGCUCAGACGUGGUGUGCCGUCUAAAAUAAAGCUCAGAUGAUGAGCCAGCUUGUCACAGUGUUUGUGCGUGCCUGUGGCUCCACCUUGCAUACCGACAAUACAUACGCUGUUGUCGGUCGUCGUUGUUUCAUCACCGUCAUUGUUCUUCGUUUUAAUUUCUUCUUCAAGAGUUGUCUGUUGUUGCUCGCCUUUCAGGUGCCUGUUGUAUCAUCCGCGAAUAAAAACGUGUGUUGGUUGUGUGUCUCAGCUUAAAAUGCCUUUGGUCAUGUCACGCCAUUUUCUUAGGGACAUGGCUUUAAUAUCUUUCUACUUGUCUGCACUGUAGAGAACUCUUAUUGUCCUACUAUUCUCUCUCCCAAAAUUCGAAAUUUUUGGCUGCCAAAUUGUCUGUAACAUUCAGAGUGCUCAGACUAUUGGUAGAUCUACCCUCUUGGUCCCAAUGCAUACAUAUAUGUGCCAAAUAAUAAAUUUAUUGUGUCUACUUUAAGUCUAUAUAUAAGGAAAUGCGUAAAGAAAUACAGAACGUAAUUGUUCACGUGUGUCGCCCUUGAGAAGGUAUGAGAAUCAUCCCCACCACCCCUGCCCCUAGCCCCAGGUCUCUCGCUCGUUCCAUUGGCGGCAACAAUCCAUUGCAAACUCGAUGUCGGGAGGUAGGCUGGAUGCCGGCUGCUUAUAGAUCCAAAUGAGUAAGAGCAUCUACAGUCGGGCGUCUCAAACCUUUCUCAAACGCCCGGACGACCGUCGCAAACUGGCUUCAAACACUGACCGGCACCCUCAUAUCCAACCCAAAAAUGUGGCGGAUAUGGGGGCGUCUUGGCAUGCCCGGGACAGCCCGCCACAUCGGACCCGGCCGACGUUGGCCCACCCGAUCGCACAUACAUUCGUCCUCAUCCGCUCGCCGAAGCAAAUCCUAGCCACUUCACUCCACUCUCCAAUGGUCUUGCCGGAUUUACUGAGUCCGGCUGUAGAUGCUCUAAUAAGAGGCCAGGGUGCUCACCAAUGCAACUUACUCCUUUACUUUGGUAAAUAUCAUCAAUUAAAUAUAUCGUGUGAUGUAGACAUGUAGUUAAUAUGGAUGCAAGCCAUUUUCUUCUUGGAAGACAUUGCAACGAUCCGUGGAGUGUUUUUACCUUGCAUUUUACAUGUUACAGUGCCUAUUCUUUGCGGCAGAAAUUUACCAUGGCUCGAUGGUGUCUGCACUUGUUGCCAGCCACCUGUGCCUUCUAUAGCCGUAGUACGUACUCCGUACAAGUUUUGCAUGUGGUACUGGGCUCGUCAUCAUGGCUUGAUGCAAUCUCAAGCUCACGUGGAAGUAGUGGCCGCCUGGCCGGCCAUGCGACAUUUUCCCUUUCUUUAGCAAAGGCUAUGCGACAUUGACUGGCUCAGUGAUGCCGUUUCUAUCAUGCAAGGGGCAACUUCUUCUAUCACACAAGGGCCAAGUUCUGUGCGUACAAAUAGAACGUGAAAGCUGUGUGUUUACAACUGCAGUAAUUUGCGCCCGUGCAAUCUGCACUGCAGUACGCGACAGCAGGUCCUGAAGCUCCCACGCGAGUAGUAUGUUUUUUCUCGCUGGUGAACACUUUUACCAAUUGAAGACCGUGUUCUGGUUUAAGAAGAACAUGGAAGAUCGUUUGAUUUGCUGCAAAGGGAGUCGUAUGCCUAUUUUUCUUGUCGGUGACCUGGCUUUAGUAAGGUUUGUCCCUUUGUUAUCGCCCCAAAGAAAAAGACUGUAGCCCUUGGUGGUUUAGUUUAUAGAAGAAACACAUGAGCCACACAGUGCUAAGUCCAGGACUCGAACACUGGUGGGCAGCGAACACGCCCGUGCUGCUAAACACACGUGCGACACUUGGUUCUCCUAAUUUGAAUUUGAUACACAAAGUUACAAGCCAUGUGUAUCCUUUUAGCGCAUUAUUUCUCUACCAUGGCGUGCCUAUCUAUAUACCUUCACAGUCCAUAUUAAUCUUAUGAAAUGUGGCGGUGACGUGACGCGGAGACAAGUAAGGGGUGAGUAAAGUGGCGGUGGUAGAUAUGUGAAGAUAGUAGCCGUGUAGACCUGAUGUGUAUUGGAAAGGGAAUUGUUCAUGUCAAACGAAACCGAGGUAACUCUAUAAAGUGAUAAGGAACUUUUUUGAACAUUAGUAAGGCAGCUCUUUAUUCAUGUCACAGAGUCAUUGCAUACAAUGUCCUGGAUGCGACCAGGAGUAAUAUCACGGAUGAGAGAGUAAGAACAAAGCUCACUCCUCCUAGACUUCCUAAUCCCAAGCCAUAGAAGCAAAGUCAAAAUAUUUCAAAAAAGAAAAGGUAAACUUCUUAAUGUACAGACACGUAUUUCAUAUUUACCCUGUCACACCUAUUAGUUCAAUAGCAGUGAUCCGCCUCGUUUUUGUUGGCCACCUAUUAGAUCCAAAGAAGCAUAGGCUAGUUGUGAGAGAGUAUGUAGUAUAACGAGUCUAUUUAUGAGGUAAUUUUUUUAGUGAAUAAUGAAAAUGUGCUAGCUUUUGAAGUAAGAAAACUUUAUGAUUAUAUGUAGGUUAUUAAUGAAAUGUGUUUGUGGUACUUAGGUUGAGUGAGGUUUUCUUUUGUCUAAGUCGAUGAUGCUAGCGGUCCGAUGUAAUCUCAAUACACUUAUCCAUGCAUGACACGUAGGAAAGCUCAAUGUGUUGACUUAGACAUUAAAGAAUCUCAAAAAACUUAUAAUCAGAAACACGCUUAAACUUUACAUGUAUCCAUUUGGUCCAGGUAUGUCCUAUACUCAAGGAGGCGAGAGGUGGUGCAUGAGCUAUGUGCAUGAUACAUUUGAAGAUCGUGUUCCAAGUGUCUUCACCAAAUACAGAUGGAGAUGUUUUUGAAAGGUUAUAGAUGAAGACAUAACAAUUAGCUUGGCCUAGAUUUGGCCUACAAGUCGAAUGAUUGCCAAUUUGCAUGUCCAUUGAACAUGUGAAAAAAAUAUGUGUAUAGUGGUGCACGUUGUGUGUCGAACUUUAUCAUCCCACUCACCCAGUUGAUGGCACGCGGGCAUGGUAGAUUGGAAAGUAAGGCGCCAAAUCUGCACCUAUAAAUAGAGGUGCUACUAACUCUGGCCAACAACAGCAAUUACAACAUAGUAUUCCACUCACAACCUAAAGAGAUAAGUGAGAGAGAUUUGCUCGAAAACCUUAAAAUCAACCAUGAAGAACACCAAGCUCGUGGCGAUCCUUGUCCUCCAGGCCAUCCUGGUCAUGGGAAUCCUCCCACACAUGAAUGGUUCGUAGUUGUUCAUGCUUCUUUAUUCUAUUUGUUUCCUUUAAAAAGUUUGAUUGCCUUUUUGCAAUUCCAUUGAUGUCUUAUAUAUCUUAUAAGUGAUUACUAACAUGAUACCAUGCUAUGUGUGCGUGCAGCCAACUACUUCCCCAAGUGUUGUGACAAAUGCAGGUCAUUCUCGGGGGUCGAUGUAUGUGACGACGCCCAUCCUCAGUGCCCCAAGGGCUGCUCCACAUGCCGCGCGGUGCAGACAGGCCGUGUCAAGAUGUUCCGGUGUGCCAACAUGCGCUCCACCAUCAAUGGCACGUGCGGCCCACGUUGCAAAAAGAACUAACCAGUUCAACUCAGAUCACAAGACUUGUUCCGCUAAUAAGAGAAGCUCAUAUAAGAUGAGAAUUGUCACCGUAUUUAUGCGUACAUGUGGCCUCACAAUGCACGCUGACAAUGCAUCGAGUAAUAAGAAUGCCAGUGAUCCUCCCGGUUCCUCAGCCGUUUGGGAUUCCUGGCCGUUGGAUCGGCGGGCUUGAUCGGAUCUGGGCCGUCGGAUCGACCCCUAGAGCGACCGCGUCCGUCGGAUCAAAAAAAGUUACUGCUGGAAUGAAUAGUUACUACCGUUUCGUGCCACCGCGCGUAAUUAGUCUGCCCCGCCGGGGGCAUUUUCGUCAUUUCGCCUGCAGGUGUAUAAAACUUGACCACCCGCGUGGAGAUGACCUAGCCCGCACUCGCGCCCCCUCCCUCGUCCUCGCGGCCCCGCCCGCAUCGCCCCGCCCUCUCCCCUCCUUCUCCCGCCGGCAUUGCCGCCGCCCCGCCCGCAUCGCCGCCGCCCUUUCCUCUCCCUCUCCCUCCCUCAGUCCUCGCCGCCCCGCCUGCGUUCUUCCCCAUCCGCUGCCGCCUGCGUUCUUCCCCAUCCGCCGCCGCCGCCCCCAUCCUCCGCCCCCAGCUGCACCUAGCCGUCGCUCCUCCCGCACAGCUGCACUCGCACCGCCCCCUUCCCCUUCCUCUCGCCUCACCUCUCUUUCCUUCCAAAUCUCCUCCCGGCCUCGCCUCUUCCUUCCUUCUCCUCCGGCGCCUCCUCCCCGUUGGCUCCUUCUUGCCCCUCCUCCGUCGGUCCUCCUUCUCCUACGUCACCCGGAGGGGUGCAGCUGCCGCUUGCGUUGUAGCUCCGCCUACGAGCUCGCGCGCCUGAUCCGACGGCAGUAAGGGGCCGCGGCAGCCGCCGCACAGCCUGGCGACCAGGAGCUCCCCGGCGUGGUUCCCUGGAUGGAGGGAUGCUUCCUCCGUCACUGCCUUCUCCGUGCCGACGCCAUCAGUAGUGGCGGCGGUCGGGCUGAUGCGAUGCGACUGCAAGCUCGUCGUGAGAGCAGCGGCAACGAUGAGCUCACCACUCCUUCGUGUUGCGCCUGCUAGACCUCCAGGUGCAUCUCUCCCCCCUCCCCCUCUCCCUCCCUAGAGAAUCUGGACCUGGAGAUUUCAAACUACUGAGCAUGGAAUAGAAAACCCUAGCAAUUUGGUGUGGUGUUCAUAGAGAGGCAGAUCCAGCUUUGCAUUUUUUUCUCAUGAUGUUGUGUUCUUCAAUUUUGCAUUUUGUGAAUAGGUUAGAAUUGAGGGGUUGGGUAGAACUAGAUGUGUCCUAGGUAUCUGCACAGUAGUUUUUGUUGCCUUCCUUAGCUUGUUGGGUACCUGUUUAUUUUCUGUUUAGGAGGACCGAUUUGUCGUGAGGUUGUAUCCUUCCUCAAGGAAUUUUUUGUUCCUAUCUGAUACUAGCAGACAAAUUGGUUGCAGGGUAGCCAGGGUAGGUCUUUCUGCAUAUGCAUUUGAAUAUGAGAUGUCUCAAGAUUGUUGGUCUACUUCUUUUGGUCUUAUACUGACUCUGUCUUUGGUCAGGACAACUUUGAACAACUUGUGUGUCCCUCUCAGAUUCCUACAGAAGAAAGGAUACAUUUUCUUUUCUAUUGGAUGGACAACAAAAUAACCACAACAAUAGGUCUAUCAGGUAAUUGGCCAUCUGUCUUUAUCCAUGUGUAGUUAGAACUUAUAUGUCAGAUUGUGCAAACCACCUCGAUUGUCAUCUAAAUAUUAUCACGAUCUUUCUUUUUUUGUUUAGCCUAGCAAAGGUCAAAUUGCUUCUUCUUUUCAAAAAGUAAUUUCUGAUGUUUGGAGUUUGUGCCUCCAGGAUCUUGGGCUUCUACUAAUCUUUUUUGAACUUUGUUAAUUUUGUCAGAAGAAGCAGGAGCGAAGCAAAGGCAGGAUUCCAUGGUGAGUUUGGAGUUUACCCUCUGUUGAAAUUGGCUCUCAUGCGAGCGGCGACCUUUUCUUAGCCAUGGUGAGUUUGAGGCUUACCCUCUGUUCUUGCUAGCCAAAAUUGGUUUCUCACUGAAUAAUGUUAAUCACACUGUACUCAAGAAUACAAAGGAAGCUACCCAAAUGUGAUAGAUCCUACUCUUCGGCAGCUUAAAUUUAAAGAUGUAGUAGCUGAACAAGACUAGGAUCAUGUUUAUGAUGCAUUUUCCAUCGAUACAGAGGUAUGAAUCAUUGAAUCCUAUGAUUGACAUUGUAAAAACUCUCAGUGAGCAGCCUACCUCCUGAAUUAAUAGUGAGAAGCCAUAUAUUUUACUUUUAGGUGUAAAAAAUAGUAAAAGAUGAGGUAGCCAUCUCCUACUGAAUUAAUAGUGAGAAGCCUACCAGCUGAAUUUUAAUCUUAGAUGAUAUGAAGGAUUAUCGAUAUUUACUAUUUAGGAUGUAUACAUAUAUGUUACUGGUCUUAUGAUAUUGUUAGCAAAAGUUUUAGUGCUCUUUAUGGUCGACAGUGGCGUGCCGCUCCAAGACACUCUGCUUUCCAUCAACGCCGACAACCACAGCAGGGGUGGAUCCAGCCGACAAGAGGCAGAGCGGCGGUCAACGGUGGUGGCCAUCUCCCAAGCUGCAGGUGAGAAGGUGACGCAACAGUGGUUGGUUUGCAUAAAUAUUCGUCAAUGCAUUCUGAGAAUAUUUUGUGAGGUAUCCUGAUUGGCAUAUGCCGUUUCCAGCAUUUGGGCAUCGUGGUUGUAGCUCACAGUCAGGUAGAAAAUCAGUUAUGUAGCUAUGCCAAAUUAUUUCCUUCAAUAUUGUAAAAAUUUGUGUCCAUUGCAGGAAGCAAAAAACCUUUGAUGGUAUAUGACUUAAUAAUCCACAUGGAUUCUUAUACAUAGGCUGUUUAAUUACUACGUCCACCAUUUCUUUUCAGCUAAAGUCUUUGUCAUACUGUGUACGGUGUCAAUGCAAACUACCAGAGUCACAUGAGGCUCACAAUAAGCAGCAAUAUUAGUGCCACUCCUGUCCAGUGUUGAUAACUUGAUAUUUAGCCUGUUUACCUGGCACCAUCAGGUCCAAGGCAUUAGUAUGCUCUUACUUAUUGUACAUGUCAAUAAUUAGAGAUCUAGAUUAGCUAACCUUAGCCGUGCAUCGCUCCCGUGUUUACUCUUCUCUGGUGCUGCUAUUACUCACACAAUUUGGAUCGGGAAUACAACACUGUUUAACAUUCAGUUUUGUUUUCUCAGUGCUUUGGAGAAGAUGGACAUGAGGCCCCAAUGGUGGUGGCCUCGCUUUGUUAUCCAUGAUUUGCCUCAUUUGAUUGAUUUGACACAUGUUCAUUCACUAGAUUAUAGUCUACUUCGUGUAUUUAGUUCUAGGUUGUUUUGAUCUAAGUGGUACUUGAUUCCUUGGCAUUGUUCAUUGCCUCGAGCCAUGUCUGAUACUGAAUUUGACCAUGAUCCUCUUGCAGUAAAUAUGACUUAUUUGCUCUCUAUUGGAAUAUUUAUUUUCACAUAUUGCUAGCUCCUUAGGUGUAAUGUUGUUUAAAAUAUUUGUCCUGGAGCUCCUUUGCUCCUGUUCUUGGUGUAGAUAAACCAAAACUGCUCCUUUUAGGCCAUCCAAGAGUCUUAAACGACCAACAUUGUAAUUAGCAUAUGUGGACAGUGUAAGGUAGCCUAUGUCAAUAUCUGAAAGUUUUUUGUGUUUGUUUAUCCUCCUUAAAUCAAUAUGUUCUUUUGAUUUGUACGACUGUUAGUAAGGUUGAUCAUCGGCAAGCGAAAGUGCUUCGUGGAUGCUUGCACGACCAAGGUGAUUGCAUAUGGACGAGCUGGUGACGAAUCAGUUUCACUUUUGUAUUUCCUUUUGCAUUGGCUUAUUUGAUUUCAAUGUUAUGGGUUCAGUGUUCAUCUUGGAAAAGAUCUACAUCAUAAUUUGAUGUCUCCAUUUAGGGCUAAACAGUAAAAAAUAUUGUUGUUUCUUGUGACGAUAAACAACUUAUACUUGUUUUGGUAGCAUAAUUAGGUAAUGAUAUUGUUAAAAGUUUAACUGAUUUAUGAGAAUGGUUCCAUUAUUUAGUCUCACGGUCAUGUUCUUCCUUCAGCGGCUUGGGGGGAGGAGUGCGUGUUUUCGAGGUAAAAUGCAUGAUGAAUUUAUCUGUAGGGUGUUUUGGCCAUAUGUCAGAGGAGAUCAUUGGAUUUUCCUAUCCUUAUGUUUUAAUCCUGAAAAUAGUUUCUAACGAUAUUGUUCUGCAAGCCCUUAAAGCUCCCAGAGUGCAAACACCAUGAGAUAGGGAUGUGAAACUGAAGGAAAGAAGGCCCUAACCACUCUCAUCAUUUACUCAAGUAAUAACACCAUCGGCGACAGGAACGACAAGCUGACACAUGUGAGCUUAGUGUCUCUUAUGAUGUCGUUUUAUGUCUUGGCCUCAAGUUCACAACCAGUUCUUUGUUUGGUGAGAUGUAUGUGUUCUUUCAUGGUUAUUCUCAUUAGGUGGCUGCACUUUUUUUUCUCAAUUUGUGUUCUGAAUUUAAGGUUGCAGAUGCGUGCCUCGAUUGUUUAUAUAAAUGUGUAAGUAGAAAAAUUUCAUGGGCAACAACCUGGGAUAGAUAAGAGAGAUACGAAUGAUACGAUGGUCUUUCAGAAGAGAUGCUGCUACGAAGACCUUUGUAUGUCCCUUGCGGCCAUGCCGACAACUUACUAGAUGUUUUUCUUCCAACGUGGAUCUUCUUUUCUUAAGAACCAACUUUUAUUGUAGAUAUUUUCGAAAGCAUGGCAUAUGAAGUAGAACUGGAUUUUACAUAGUUAUAUCUACGUGCUUGUCCAAGUAUAGACUUCAAUAUAUAGCUUGUGAAAAUUUAAAAUUCAUUUGGUUUAGUGAAUUUCCUUUGUCCAAGUAUGAUUCCUUUUAUACUUCCAUUUUUUUUAGUUGCCACUAUUUUGUAUUUUGUAUUAAAUUGAAAUUUUUGAAAUAAGCUGACGACGAUCCUCGGCAGCACAAGUGUAUGGAUAAUUCAGUUUCUUUAGUGAACUCAGUUGAACCUUGCAAUUUUAAGUAUGUGCCGAGUCGUGCAUAGCUUUCUUUUUUGUGUAAGUGGAAAGUAUUAGUAGUUUCACUUUGUCCAAUUUUUUCAGGGACAACUUUUGAGAGUUGGUCCAAACUUAAUGCAUUCAUGGGAUCACCAAUUUUUGGCGCUGGUUGAGAUUGGGUAGGUUGUACCAUGAGUUCCUGGAUGAUUGUUGCAAUUCUCAUGCUUGCUUGCAAGGAUGUUGCAUGAAUUGGAGAGAUUGGGACUGAAUACUGACCUCGAAUAUAUAUAUUGAUGCUCCUAUCUUCUCAUUGCAUUUGUCUCUGCAUUAAAUUAGUCAAAUUAAAUUUUUAGUACCAAUUCUACGAUGUAUUCCCCUCAUGGAAUUUUGAUUCCUCUUUCUAUUAGAGUUUUGUGUCUUAUUUAUAUACUAGAUUUAUUUCUUCUCCUAUGACAUGCAGUUCUACAGUUGCGUUUCGGUAUGCAUCUACGCCCCACUAGUAUACUUGGUCUUUCAGUUAUGCCAUCCAGUUUCCUCCCUUUUUGCCUGGUUAUGGCCGUGGUUAGCUUAGGAAGAGAGAGCAGCACAAAUGAAUUGCAUUGAUAAGUUCACAUGUAGCAAAAUCCGGAUUGAAGUGAUCCUCCAAUUUCAAGAAUAGCAUACUGAAUAUGGAUCUAUUAAAUAAUACUGAAUGUCAUGAUGGUCUUCCCAGAAGAUGUAGUUCUGAAUAUCCUACUGCUCUAUGGAUCCAUUAUUGCAAGAACUGUAUAACAAUAUGCACCGAGCUGCUUCAUACCAUCAUUUAGCGUCUCUGUAUUCUAUCUGAUUAGCUUUCCUUAGUGCCAUCUGAUGAGAGGCAUUCUUGUUGCCCUGUACACAUCUUGUGCUCCUAUGAUGGGGCAGAUGAUGUUAUUUAAUUAAUUAUUGGAAGAAAAUGAUAAUCCAUUGGGCUCCCUUCCUUCCUCGUGUCUUUUUUUUGCAUGUAUAGUACUUCACUGCUUCCUGCAUGUGAUUCCAUUUGAUUUCACUUUGAUUUUGUUUUCUGCAGAUCGUUUCUUGGUGGCUGCUAAUGAAUCAUGUAAGGAUGGCGCAGAAUUCACCAGAGGAAAAAGACCGAACUACGGGGUUUCCCCAUUGUUAGAGCUCUUGGUGCCCGGACAAGCCCUCUAUCUCCAUUCUCCCUUCGCAGCUCAGCUCCACUGACCAGGUCAGUCCUCAUUAAUGGACGGUUACAUAGUUUUUUUUCCUUUUGAACUCUAAAUGUGUGCCCGCCUCUAAGUAAUUUCUUGGAUCCACGUGUUCUGUUCAGAUGGAGAUGGCUGACGAAGAGCUCGAUGUCCAUGAUUCGUCAGGUUCCGCUGGCUCCACUAACAACCGUCUACGGGCGCUUGCACAGGUCAGGUGAAACCCGUCCUAUCCCCUCUCUGAUUUUACUGGACGGUUGCAAAAAUAUGAUGAGUGUGUGACUCGGGAAUUUUUAUAAUUAAAAGAAGUACUCAUAGAUGUAAACAUUGCUAACUCUGCAAAGAAACACGCAUCUGAUCUAGGGACUAUUGAUGCUCGCAGAUAGUAGUAAAGAAAUAGUGAUAUUUAGAUCCAGGCAGUGUGAUGAUUUUAACUCUAUUUCUUUGACGUGCUCUUCGUGUAGUUAAUAGCUCUGUAGGUGUUUCCUCGAUUGAUUAGAUGUUGUCUAGGCCUUCUAUGUAGAUGUAUUUUGUUUACAAAGCGCAAGCAUUCUACGUGAUAAUUAGAUUUCUGUCUUUGAAGGUGAUCAUAUUGAUCUUACCUUAUCGACUGCUCUUACUAAAACAAGUUGUAUUUUCAACUGAUUAAUAGCCCCGUUGUUCUUAAAAAUGCUCAUCACAUGCUCAAGACAAUCUGAUUAACCGAUAGACUUAACAUAUCUUUUUUUAACACUAUGUCUGCUUUUAUCCGCGACUGAUUUCUCUGAUAUAUCUCCCGUGCUGUGAUGCAAUUACUGUAAGCAGCUCCUCGUGGCCUUAUGUUUUAUGUUCUCGGGCACUACAGGAUACCAAGCGAGUGUUUAGGAUCCCACACCGGGCAUUUCUUGACAUGCUCCUAGCACACCUUACACUAAUCACCGGCUCAGUAUGAUCGUGUUGUACAUGAUGACGGCAAGAUCUGUGUGACCAUCUUUUUCAACACCUCUACAUUGGAUCUUGGAGGACCAAUCAGUAUGAACGCGUCGUGUCGUCAUUCCUCCUGGUCUACAUUAUGCCCAAGACAUGCAAAGUUGUGGAUUGUAUGUAAGCUACCAUGUGCUUUUGUACGUCCUAUGCCUGUGAUAUUUGCUACUAAACCUAUUGUGCUACGUGCUUUCUAUGUUUAUACAUUGUUAGGUGGCUCCUUAUUGUGUGCAUACAAACAAACCUUACUUCUGAAUGAUUCUUUGUUAGUUUUUUAUUUUUAUCAUGGUUGACAUAAUAAUGAGUGCAAAAAUUACUUUGCUUAAAUCUGGUUGCUUGGCUGACAAAGAUAUGCUUUCUAUGCUUGUGAUGCUUUCUAUGCUAUGGAUUUUACGUAUUGGAUUAGGGCCAAUGCUUACUUAGGCCAUUUUAAUUUUGAUAAGCCUAUUGUUAAAGUUCAAGAUACUAUGGUUGAUGGCUGAGUACAACUGUACAUAGAUUGUCCUUGGAUUUUCCUUUACGGUAUAUACUGAGUGGAUUGUAAAUACUGUUACCUUGGCCAUUAUUCUUUGUAUGAUGUAUACAGUGUGAAUGCAUAUGCUAAACAUGGUGUUUGGACCGGCACCCUCGCGCCAGGGCGCGAUUCUGAUCUAGUGUACUAUUAUCGGUCGUCGUCGUCGUCGUUGUUGUUUCUAUUUACCUCUUCGAGACUAAGAUGUUGUUGUUCACCGAUCAGGUGCUCGUUCUAUCCUCUGUGAAUAAACACGUGUGUUAAUUGUGCAUCUCUGUUUAAAGAGCAUUUGUUCAUGUCACACGAAUUUUGCGAGCAAGUAGUGUCUAAACGUCGGUAUGCUUUUAUACAUAGUAAAUAACUCUUAUCGUCCUGCUCUUUUAUCAUUUCUUUGCCAGCAUUUAAACUCUAUGUCUACUAAACUGUUAUUAACAUUCGGAGUGCUCAGGCUAUAUGUGGCUCUAUCUUCAUAGUCUACACAUGUAUAUAAAACAAUAAUUUCAUUGGACCUACUUACGUCUAUACAAAUGAAAAUACGGAAGGAACACAACAUAGUUGUUCACGUGUACCGCCCUUAAGAAGGUGCGAGAACCAUCUUUGUCGCUCCCCGAUCUCACUCUCAUACAUCCAAGAGCGGGUGCCCUCCUCAAUGGAUAACAACGGCAACAAGAAGCUUGACGAGGUAUGUUGGUGGUGACCAUCCACUACAAAUCCGACGUUGACAGGUAGGGUGUGGACAUCGAUGAUGUGCCUAUAAAUCGCUUUCCUUGGGUAGAUGUCAUCGCUUGAACAUAUUGUGUGAUCUUGUUAAUAUGGAUGCAACAUGUUCUUCUUGGAAAACCUUGGAAGUAUUACACAAAGUGCGAAGGGGAUUAAUAAAGCACGACAGAGGUAGCAGCGCAUCGAAACUCCUAUAUGGUGCACUAGGACUGCCCUAAUGCAAUAGUACCCUUUUGGAAGUAACUUUCUAAUCAAUUUGAUUAAUUGCAAAUUGAGUUGUUUAAGUAAUACUCCUUGUUUUUUUUAGAAAAGGAGGAUGACCCUCGGCCUCUGCAUCCGGACGAUGCAUGCGGCCACUUUAUUAAUUAUUCUCGCAAGACCUUACAAAGUCAUACAACAGCAAGACUAAAGCCACCGUGUAAGCAACAACUAUCGCUACACCUAUCCAAUUGAUGAAUGGGCGCUGAUAGCCUGGGCCUAAUACCAAACAGACGUCGUAGCCAAAUCUAAAAAUCUAAGACUUGAGGGCCCAACCAGGACGCCUGCCUGGUAUGGGGCACCUACCAGUCCGGCGCACUCCUCAACCAGGACGCCUGCCGGGUAUGUGUUGGGGAUCGUUGCAGAAAAUAAAUAAGAAUUACGCAUCACCAAGAUCAAUCUAUGGAGUCAUCUAGCAACGAGAGAGAGAUGCAUCUACAUACUCUUGUAGAUCGCGAGCGGAAGCGUUCAAGAGAACGGGGUUGAAGGAGUCGUACUCAUCGUGAUCCAAAUAACCGAUGAUCCUAGCGCCAAACGGACGGCACCUCCACGUUUAACACACGUAAGGAGCGGAGACGUCUCCCAUGCCUUGAUCUAGCAAGGAGGAGGGAGAGGUUCAGGAAGAGAUCUCCAGCAGCAGCACGACCGUGUGGUGGUGAUGGAGAGGCAGUACACCGGCAGGGCUUCGCCAAGCUUCUUCGGAGGAGGAGAGGUGUUGGGGAGGGGAGAGGUUGCGCUUUGGAGGUGUGUGUGCAUCCCUCCCCUCACCCCUCUAUUUCUAGGGGGAGGAGGAAGGGGGCCGGCCCCCUCUAGAUGAGAUCUAGAGGGGGGCGGCCAAGGGGGGGACUUGCCCCCAAGCAAGGGGGGGCGCCCCCUUGAGGGUUUCCCCCCAACCCUAGACGCAUGGGCCCAAGGGGGGGUUGCGCCCAGCCCUCUAAGGGCUGGUUCCCUUCCCUCUACGGCCCAUGAGGCCCUCCGGGAGAGGUGGCCCCUCCCGGUGGACCCCUGGAACCCUUCCGGUGACCCCGGUACAAUACCAGCAUGCCCCCGAACCUUUCCGAUGACCAUAUUACAACUUGCCAUAUAUAAAUCUUCACCUCCGGACCAUUCCGGAACUCCUUGUGACUUCCGGGAUCUCAUCCGAGACUCCGAACAACAUUCGGUUAUCACAUACAAGUCUUCCUAAUAACCCUAGCAUCACUGAACCUUAAGUGUGUAGACCCUACGGGUUCGGGAAUCACGCAGACAUGACCGAGACAACUCUUCGGCAAAUAACCAACAGCGGGAUCUGGAUACUCAUGUUGGCUCCCACAUGUUCCACGAUGAUCUCAUCGGAUGAACCACGAUGUCAAGGAUUCAAGCAAUCCCGUAUACAAUUCCCUUUGUCACACGGUACGUUACUUGGCCGAGAUUCGAUCGUCGGUAUCCCAAUACCUCGUUCAAUCUCGUUUCCGGCAAGUCACUUUACUCGUUCCGUAAUGCAUGAUCCCGUGACCAACCACUUGGUCACAUUGAGCUCAUUAUGAUGAUGCAUUACCGAGUGGGCCCAGAGAUACCUCUCCGUCAUACGGAGUGACAAAUCCCAGUCUCGAUCCGUGUCAACCCAACAGACACUUUCGGAGAUACCUGUAGUAUAUCUUUAUAGCCACCCAGUUACGUUGUGACGUUUGGCACACCCAAAGCACUCCUACGGUAUCCGGGAGUUACACGAUCUCAUGGUCUAAGGAAAUGAUACUUGACAUUAGAAAAGCUCUAGCAAAUGAACUACACGAUCUUGUGCUAUGCUUAGGAUUGGGUCUUGUCCAUCACAUCAUUAUCCUAAUGAUGUGAUCCCGUUAUCAAUGACAUCCAAUGUCUAUAGUCAGGAAACCAUGACUUAUCUGUUGAUCAAUGAGCUAGUCAACUAGAGGCUCACUAGGGACAUGUUGUGUUCUAUGUAUUCACACAUGUAUUACGAUUUCCGGAUAACACAAUUAUAGCAUGAACAAUAGACAAUUAUCAUGAACAAGGAAAUAUAAUAACAACCAUUUUAUUAUUGCCUCUAGGGCAUAUUUCCAACAGUCUCCCAUUUGCACUAGAGUGAAUAAUCUAGUUACAUUGUGAUGAAUCGAACACCCAUAGAGUUCUGGUGUUGAUCAUGUUUUGCUCGCGGAAGAGGUUUAGUCAAAGGAUCUGCGACAUUCAGAUCCGUAUGCACUUUGCAAAUAUCUAUGUCUCCAUCUUGAACAUUUUCACGAAUGGAGUUGAAGCGAUGCUUGAUGUGCCUGGUCUUCUUGUGAAACCUGGGCUCCUUGGCGAGGGCAAUGGCUCCAGUGUUGUCACAGAAGAGAGUCAUCGGCCCCGACGCAUUGGGAAUAACUCCUAGGUCGGUAAUGAACUCCUUCAUCCAGAUUGCUUCAUGUGCUACCUCCGAGGCUGCCAUGUAUUCCGCUUCACAUGUAGAUCACGCCACGAUGCUUUGCUUGUAACUGCACUAGCUUACUGCCCCACCAUUCAAAAUAUACACGUAUCCGGUUUGUGACUUAGAGUCAUCCAGAUCUGUGUCGAAGCUAGCGUCGACGUAACCCUUUACGACGAGCUCUUCGUCACCUCCAUAAACGAGAAACAUAUCCUUAGUCCUUUUCAGGUACUUUAGGAUAUUCUUAACCGUUGUCCAGUGUUCCAUGCCGGGAUUACUUUGGUACCUUCCUACCAAACUUACGGCAAGGUUUACAUCAGGUCUGGUAACAGCAUGGCAUACAUAAUAGACCCUAUAGCCGAGGCAUAGGGGAUGACACUCAUCUUUUCUCUAUCUUCUGUCGUGGUCGGGCAUUGAUCCGAGCUCAAUUUCACACAUUGCAACACAGGUAAGAACCCCUUCUUGGACUGAUCCAUAUUGAACUUCUUCAAUAUUUUAUCAAGGUAUGUGCUUUGUGAAAGACCUAUGAGGUGUCUCGAUCUAUCUCUAUAGAUCUUGAUGCCUAAUAUAUAAGCAGCUUCUUCAAGGUCCUUCAUUGAAAAACACUUAUUCAAGUAGGCCUUAAUGUUGUCCAAAAGUUCUAUAUCAUUUCCCAUCAAAAGUAUGUCACCUACAUAUAAUAUGAGAAAUGCUACAGAGCUCCCACUCACUUUCUUGGAAACGCAGGCUUCUCCUUAAGUCUGCAUAAACCCAAACGCUUUGAUCAUUUCAUCAAAGCGAAUGUUCCAACUCUGAGAUGCUUGCAGCAGCCCAUAGAUGGAGCGCUGGAGCUUGCAUACCUUGUUAGCAUUCUUAGGAUCGACAAAACCUUCCGGCUGCAUCAUAUACAAUUCUUCCUUAAGGAAGUCGUUAAGGAAUGCCGUUUUGACGUCCAUUUGCCAUAUCUCAUAAUCGUAGAAUGCGGCAAUUGCUAACAUGAUUCGGACAGACUUCAGCUUCGCUACGGGUGAGAAGGUCUCAUUGUAGUCAACCCCUUGAACUUGUCGAUAACCCUUAGCGACAAGUCGAGAUUUAUAGAUGGUAACAUUACCAUCCGCGUCCGUCUUCUUCUUAAAGAUCCAUUUGUUUUCUAUCGCUUGCAGAUCAUCGGGAAAGUCUGUCAAAGUCCAUACUUUGUUUUCAUACAUGGAUCCUAUCUCGGAUUGCAUGGCUUCUAGCCAUUUGUUGGAAUCUGGGCCCGCCAUCGCUUCUUCAUAGUUCGAAGGUUCACCAUUGUCUAACAAUAUGAUUUUCAGGACAGGGUUGCCAUACCAUUCUGGUGUGGAACGUGUCCUUGUGGACCUAUGAAGUUCAGUAGUAACUUGAUUCGAUCCUCUCUAGUCGGUGCAGGCACCACAGGAACAUCUUCCUGAGCUGCGCUACUUUCCGGUUUAAGAGGCAGUACUUCAUCGAGUUCUACUUUCCUCCCACUUAUUUCUUUCGAGAGAAACUCUUUCUCCAGAAAGGACCCGUUCUUGGCAACAAAGAUCUUGCCUUCGGAUCUUAGGUAGAAGGUAUACCCAAUGGUUUCCUUAGGGUAUCCUAUGAAGACGCAUUUUUCCAACUUGGGUUUGAGCUUUUGAGGUUGAAGUUUCUUGACAUAAGCAUCGCAUCCCCAAACUUUUAGAAACGACAGCUUAGGUUUCUUUCCAAACCAUAAUUCAUACGGUGUCGUCUCAACGGAUUUAGACGGUGCCCUAUUUAAAGUGAAUGUAGCUGUCUCUAAAGCGUAUCCCCAAAAUGAUAGCGGUAAAUCGGUAAGAGACAUCAUAGACCGCACCAUAUCCAAUAGAGUGCGAUUACGACGUUCAGACACACCAUUACGCUGAGGUGUUCCAGACGGCGUGAGUUGUGAAACAAUUCCACAUUUCCUUAAGUGUGUCCCAAACGCGUGACUUCAAUAUUCUCCCCCACAAUCUGAUUGUAAGAACUUUAUUUUUCUGUCACAUUGAUUUUCUACCUCAUUCUGAAAUUCCUUGAACUUUUCAAAGGUCUCAGACUUGUGUUUCAUUAAAUAGACAUACCCAUAUCUACUUAAGUCAUCAGUGAGGGUGAGAACAUAACGAUAGCCACCGCGAGCCUCAACGCUCAUUGGACUGCACACAUCAGUAUGUAUAAUUUGUUUGAAAUAUGCCCUAGAGACAAUAAUAAAAUGGUUAUUAUUAUAUUUCUUUGUUCAUGAUAAUUGUCUGUUAUUCAUGCUAUAUUUGUAUUAUCCGAAAAUCGUAAUACACGUGUUAAUACAUAGACCACAACAUGUCCCUAGUGAGCCUCUAGUUGACUAGCUCGUUGAUCAACAGAUAGUCAUGGUUUCCUGACUAUGGACAUUGGAUGUCAUUGAUAACGGGAUCACAUCAUUAGGAGAAUGAUGUGAUGGACAAGACCCAAUCCUAAGCAUAGCUCAAAGAUCGUGUAGUUCGUUUAGCUAGAGCUUUUCCAAAUGUCAAGUAUAAUUUCCUUAGACCAUGAGAUUGUGCAACUCCCGGAUACCGUAGGAGUGCUUUGGGUGUGCCAAACGUCACAACGUAACUGGGUGACUAUAAAGGUGCACCACGGCUAUCUCCGAAAGUGUCUGUUGGGUUGGCAUGAAUCGAGACUGGGAUUUGUCACUCAGCAUGAUGGAGAGGUAUCUCUGGGCCCACUUGGUAAUGCAUCAUCAUAAUGAGCUCAAUGUGACCAAGUGUCUGGUCACGGGAUCAUGCAUUACGGUACGAGUAAAGUGACUUGCCGAUAAUGAGAUUAAACGAGGUAUUGGGAUACCAACGAUCGAGUCUCGGGCAAGUAACGUAACGAUUGACAAAGGGAAUUAUAUACAGGGUUGAUUGAAUCCUCAAUAUCGUGGUUCAUCCGAUGAGAUCAUCGAGGAGCAUGUGGGAGCCAACAUGGGUAUCCAGAUCCCGCUAUUGGUUAUUGACCGGAGAGGCAUCUCGGUCAUGUCUGCAUGUCUCCCGAACACGUAGGGUCUACACACUUAAGGUUCGGUGACGCUAGGGUUGUAGAGAUAUGAGUAUGCAGUAAGCUGAAAGUUAUUCGGAGUCCCAGAUGAGACCCCGGACGUCAUGAGGAGUUCCGGAAUGGUCCGGAGGUAAAGAAUUAUAUAUAGGAAGUCAGGUUUCGGCCAUCGGGAAAAUUUCGGGGGUCACCGGUAUUGUACCAGGACCACCGGAAGGGUCCCGGGGGUCCACCGGGUGGGGCCACCUAUCCCGGAGGGCCCCAUGGGCUGAAGUGGGAGGGGAACCAGCCCCUGGUGGGCUAGUGCACCCCGCCUUGGGCCCCGCCUGCGCCUAGGGUUGGAAACCCUAGGGGUGGGGGGCGCCUCCACUUGCCUUGGGGGGCAAGGCACCCCCCUUGGCCGCCGCCCCCCCUAUGAGAUCCCAUCUCCUAGUGCCGGCGCCCCCCUAGGGGCCCUAUAUAAAGCGGGGGAGGGAGGGCAGCCGCACCCUUGUACUUGGCGCCUCCCUUCCCCCUUGCUACACCUCUCCCUCUCGCGGACGCUUGGCGAAGCCCUGCCGGGAUCACUGCUGCAUCCACCACCAUGCCAUCGUGCUGCUGGAUCUUCAUCAACCUCUCCUUUCCCCUUGCUAGAUCAAGAAGGAGGAGACGUCUCACUAACCGUACGUGUGUUGAACGCGGAGGUACCGUCCGUUCGGCGCUAGGAUCUCCGGUGAUUUGGAUCACGACGAGUACAACUCCCUCAACCCCGUUCUCUUGAACGCUUCCGCUCGAUCUACAAGGGUAUGUAGAUGCACUCCUCUCUCUCGUUUCUAGAUGAAAUCAUAGAUUGAUCUUGGUGAAACCGUAGGAAUUUUUUUAUUUUCUGCAACGUUCCCCAAAAGUGGCAUCAUGAGCUAGGUCUAUGCGUAGUUCUCUUUGCAGGAGUAGAACACAAAUCUGUUGUGGGCGUUGAUGUUGUCAACAUUCUUGCCAUUACUAGUCUUAUUUUGCUUCAGCAGUAUUGUGGGAUGAAGCGGCCCGGACCGACCUUACAUGUACGCUUACGUGAGACAGGUUCCAUCGACUGCCAUGCACUAGUUGCAUAAGGUGGCUAGCGGGUGUCUGUCUCUCCCACUUUAGUUGGAGUGGAUUCGAUGAAAAGGGUCCUUAUGAAGGGUAAAUAGAAGUUGACAAAUCACGUUGUGGCUUUUACGUAGGUAAGAAAACAUUCUUGCUAGAACCCUAUUGCAGCCAUGUAAAACAUGCAACAACAAUUAGAGGACGUCUAACUUGUUUUUGCAGCAUAUGAUUUGUGAUGUGAUAUGGCCAAAAGUUGUGAUGAAUGAUGAAUGAUAUAUUGUGAUGUAUGAGAUCAUGUUCUAGUAAUAGGAAUCACGACUUGCAUGUCGAUGAGUAUGACAACCGGCAAGAGCCAUAGGAGUUGUCUUAAUAUUGUAUGACCUGCGUGUCAAUGAUUUAUCGCCAUGUAAUUACUUUACUUUAUUGCUAAACCGUUAGCCAUAGUAGUAGAAGUAAUAGUUGGCAAGCAACUUCAUGGAGACACGAUGAUGGAGAUCAUGAUGAUGGAGAUCAUGGUGUCAUGCCGGUGACGAAGAUGAUCAUGGAGCCCCGAAGAUGGAGAUCAAAGGAGCUAUAUGAUAUUGGCCAUAUCAUGUCACUGUUUAAUUGCAUGUGAUGUUUAUUAUGUUUAUGCAUCUUGUUUACUUAGAACGACGGUAGUAAAUAAGAUGAUUCCUCAUAAUAAUUUCAAGAAAGUGUUCACCCUAAAUGUGCACCGUUGCGAAAGUUCAUCGUUUCGAAGCACCACGUGAUGAUCGGGUGUGAUAGAUUUUAACGUUCACAUACAACGGGUGUAAGACAGAUUUACACAUGUAAAACACUUAGGUUAACUUGACGAGCCUAGCAUGUACAGACAUGGCCUCGGAACACAAGAGACCGAAAGGUCGGACAUGAGUCGUAUGGAAGAUACGAUCAACAUGGAGAUGUUCACCGAUGAUGACUAGUCCGUCUCACGUGAUGAUCGGACACGGCCUAGUCGACUCGGAUCAUGUAUCACUUAGAUGACUAGAGGGAUGUGUAAUCUGAGUGGGAGUUCAUUAAAUAAUUUGAUUAGAUGAACUUAGUCUAAAAACCUUUGCAAAUAUGUCUUGUAGAUCAAAUGGCCAACGCUCAUGUUCACCUCAACUUCAACGCGUUCCUGGAGAAAACCAAGCUGAAAGAUGAUGGCAGCAACUAUAGGGAGUGGGUCCGGAACCUGAGGAUCAUCCUCAUAGCUGCCAAGAAAGAUUAUGUCCUAGAAGCACCGCUAGGUGAAGCACCCAUCCCAGAGAACCAGGAUGUUAUGAACGCUUGGCAGUCUCGUGUUGAUGAUUACUCCCUCGUUCAGUGCGGCAUGCUUUACAGCGUAGAACCGGGGCUCCAAAAACGUUUUGAGCAACACGGAGCAUAUUAGAUGUUCGAAGAGCUGAAAAUGGUUUUCCAAGCUCAUUCCCGGGUCGAGAUAUAUGAAGUCUCCGACAAGUUCUUCAGCUGUAAGAUGGAGGAAAACAGUUCUGUCAGUGAGCACAUACUCAAGAUGUCUGGGUUGCACAACCGCCUGACUCAGCUGGGAGUUAAUAUCCCGGAUGAUGUGGUUAUUGAUAGAAUCCUCCAGUCGCUUCCACCGAGCUACAAGAGCUUUGUGAUGAACUUCAAUAUGCAGGGGAUGGAAAAGACCAUUCCUGAGGUAUAUUCAAUGCUGAAAUCAGCGGAGGUAGAGAUCAAGAAAGAACAUCAAGUGUUGAUGGUGAAUAAAACCACUAAGUUCAAGAAAGGCAAGGGUAAGAAGAACUUCAAGAAGGACGGCAAGGGAGUUGCCGCGCCCGGUAAGCCAUUUGCUGGGAAGAAGUCAAAGAAUGGACCCAAGCCUGAGACUGAGUGCUUUUAUUGCAAGGGAAGUGGUCACUGGAAGCGGAACUACCCCAAGUACUUAGCGGACAAGAAGGUCGGCAACACUAAAGGUAUAUGUGAUAUACAUGUAAUUGAUGUGUACCUUACCAGUACUCGUAGUAGCUCCUGGGUAUUUGAUACCCGUGCGGUUGCUCAUAUUUGUAACUCAAAGGAGGAACUGCGGAAUAAACGGAGACUGGCAAAGGACGAGGUGACGAUGCGCGUCGGGAAUGGUUCCAAGGUUGACGUAAUCGCCGUCGGCAUGCUACCUCUACAUUUACCUACAGGGGUAGUUUUAAACCUCAAUAAUUGUUAUUUAGUGCCAAGUUUGAUCAUGAACAUUGUAUCUGGAUCUCGUUUAAUACGAGAUGGCAACUCAUUUAAAUCCGAGAAUAAUGGUUGUUCUAUUUAUAUGAGAGAUAUGUUAUAUGGUCAUGCCCCAAUGGUCAAUGGUUUAUUCUUAAUGAAUCUCGAACAUGAUGUUACACAUAUUCAUAGUGUGAAUACCAAAAUAUGUAAAGUUGAUAACGAUAGUCCCACAUACUUGUGUCACUGCCGCCUUGGUCAUAUUGGUGACAAGCGCAUAAAGAAGCUCAAUGCUGAUGGACUUUUAGAGUCUCUCGAUUAUAAAUCAUUUGACACAUGCGAACCAUGACCAAGGGCAAAAUGACCAAGACUCCGUUCUCCGAAACAAUGGAGCGAGCAACCAACUUAUUGGAAAUCAUACAUACUGAUGUCUGCGGUCCAAUGAGCGUUGAGUCUCGCGCAGGAUAUCGUUAUGUUCUCACUCUCACUAAUGACUUGAGUAGAUAUGCGUAUGUCUACUUGAUGAAACACAAGUCUGAGACCUUUGAAAAGUUCAAGGAGUUUCAGAAUGAGGUAGAGAAUCAACGUGACCGAAAGAUAAAGUUCCUACGAUCAGAUCAUGGAGGAGAAUAUUUAAGUCAUGAAUUUGGUACGCACUGAAGGAAAUGUGGAAGCAUUUCACAACUCACGCCGCCUGGAACACCUCAGUGUAACGGUGUGUCCGAACGUCGUAAUCGCACUUUAUUGGAUAUGGUGCGAUCUAUGAUGUCUCUUACCGAUGUACCGCUAUAUUUUUGGGGAUACGCUCUAGAGACAGCUACAUUCACUUUAAAUAGGGCACCGUCUAAAUCCGUUGAGAUGACACUGUAUGAAUUAUGGUUUGGGAAGAAACCUAAGCUGUCGUUUCUAAAAGUUUGGGUAUGCGAUCCUUAUGUCAAGAAACUUCUACCUGAAAAGCUCGAACCCAAGUAGGAAAAAUGUGUCUUCAUAGGAUACCCUAAGGAAACCAUUGGGUAUACCUUCUACCUCAGAUCCAAAGGCAAGAUCUUUGUUGCCAAGAACGGGUCCUUUCUGGAGAAAGAGUUUCUCUCGAGAGAAGUAAGUGGGAGGAAAGUUCAACUUGAUGAAGUACUACCUCUUGAACCGGUGAGUAGCGCAGCUCAGGGAGAUGUUCCUGUGGUGCCAGCACCAACUGAAGAGGAAGUUAAUGAUGAUGAUCAAGGUACUUCGCAUCAAGUUACUACUGAACUUCAUAGGUCCACGAGGACACGUUCCACACCAGAGUGGUAUGGCAAUCCUGUCCUGGAAACCAUGUUGUUAGACAACGGUGAACCUUCGAACUAUGAAGAAGCGAUGGCGGGCCCAGAUUCCAACAAAUGGCUUGAAGCCAUGCAAUCCGAGAUAGGGUCCAUGUAUGAAAACGAAGUAUGGACUUUGACAGACUUGCCCGAUGAUCAGCGAGCGAUAGAAAACAAAUGGAUCUUUAAGAAGAAGACGGACGCGGAUGGUAAUGUUACCAUCUAUAAAGCUCGACUUGUCACUAAGGGUUAUCGACAAUUUCAAGGGGUUGACUACGAUGAGACAUUCUCUCCCGUAGCGAAGCUAAAGUCCGUCUGAAUCAUGUUAGCAAUUGCCGCAUACUAUGAUUAUGAGAUAUGGCAAAUGGACGUCAAAACGGCAUUCCUUAACGGUCAUCUUAAGGAAGAACUGUAUAUGAUGCAGCCGGAAGGUUUUGUCGACCCUGAGAAUGCUAACAAGGUAUGCAAGCUCCAGCGAUCCAUUUAUGGGCUGGUGCAAGCAUCUCGGAGUUGGAACAUUCACUUUGAUGAGAUGAUCAAGGCAUUUGGGUUUAUGGAGACUUAUGGAGAAGCCUGCAUUUACAAGAAAGUGAGUGGGAGCGUUGUAGCAUUUCUCAUAUUAUAUGUAGAUGACAUACUUUUGAUGGGAAAUGAUAUAGAACUCUUGGACAGCAUUAAGGCCUACUUGAAUAAGUGUUUUUCAAUGAAGGACCUUGGAGAAGCUGCUUACAUACGAGGCAUCAAGAUCUAUAGGGAUAGAUCGAGACGCUUCAUAGGUCUUUCACAAAGAACAUACCUUGAUGAGAUAUUGAAGAAGUUCAAUAUGGAUCAGUCCAAGAAAGGGUUCUUGCCUGUAUUGCAAGGUGUGAGAUUGAGCUUGGCUCAAUUCCCGACCAGGGCAGAAGAUAAAGAAGAGAUGAGUGUCAUCCCCUAUGCCUCAGCCAUAGGGUCUAUUAUGUAUGCCAUGCUAUGUACCAGACCUGAUGUAAACCUUGCCGUAAGUUUGGUAGGAAGGUACCAAAGUAAUCCCGGCAAGGAACACUGGACAGCGGUCAAGAACAUCCUAAAGUACCUGAAAAGGACUAAGGAUAUGUUUCUCGUUUAUGGAGGUGACAAAGAGCUCAUCGUAAAGGGUUACGUUGAUGCUAGCUUCGACACAGAUCUGGAUGACUCUAAGUCACAAACCGGAUACGUGUAUAUUUUGAAUGGUGGGGCAGUAAGCUGGUGCAGUUGCAAGCAAAGCAUCAUGGCGGGAUCUACAUGUGAAGCAGAGUACAUGGCACCCUCGGAGGCAGUGCAUGAAGCAAUCUAGGUGAAGGAGUUCAUCAUCGACCUAGGAGUCAUACCCAAUGCGUCGGGGCCGAUCAAACUCUUCUGUGACAACACUGGAGCUAUUGCGCUUGCCAAGGAGCCCAGGUUUCACAAGAAGACCAGGCACAUCAAGCGUCGCUUCAACUCCAUACGUGAAAAUGUUCAAGAUGGAGACCUAGAUAUUUGUAAAGUACAUACAGACCUGAAUGUGGCAGAUCCGUUGACUAAACCUCUCCCUAGGGCAAAACAUGAUCAACACCAGAAUUCCAUGGGUGUUCGAUUGAUCACAAUGUAACUAGAUUAUUGAACUCUAGUGCAAGUGGGAGACUGUUGGAAAUAUGCCCUAGAGGCAAUAAUAAAAUGGUUAUUAUUAUAUUUCUUUGUUCAUGAUAAUUGUCUGUUAUUCAUGCUAUAAUUGUAUUAUUCGGAAAUCGUAAUACACAUGUGAAUACAUAGACCACAACAUGUCCCUAGUGAGCCUCUAGUUGACUAGCUCGUUGAUCAACAGAUAGUCAUGGUUUCCUGACUAUGGACAUUGGAUGUCAUUGAUAACGGGAUGACAUCAUUAGGAGAAUGAUGUGAUAGACAAGACCCAAUCCUAAGCAUAGCUCAAAGAUCGUGUAGUUCGUUUAGCUAGAGCUUUUCCAAAUGUCAAGUAUCAUUUUCUUAGACCAUGAGAUUGUGCAACUCCCGGAUACCGUAGGAGUGCUUUGGGUGUGCCAAACGUCACAACGUAACUGGGUGACUAUAAAGGUGCACUACGGGUAUCUCCGAAAGUGUUUGUUGGGUUGGCACGAAUCGAGACUGGGAUUUGUCGCUCCGCAUGACGGAGAGGUAUCUCUGGGCCCACUCGGUAAUGCAUCAUCAUAAUGAGCUCAAUGUGACCAAGUGUCUGGUCACGGGAUCAUGCAUUACGGUACGAGUAAAGUGACUUGCCGGUAACGAGAUUAAACGAGGUAUUGGGAUACCGACGAUCGAGUCUCGGGCAAGUAACAUACCGAUUGACAAAGGGAAUUGUAUACAGGAUUGAUUGAAUCCUCGACAUCGUGGUUCGUCCGAUGAGAUCAUCGAGGAGCAUGUGGGAGCCAACAUGGGUAUCCAGAUCCCGCUGUUGGUUAUUAACCGGAGAGGCGUCUCGGUCAUGUCUGCAUGUCUCCCGAAGCCGUAGGGUCUACACACUUAAGGUUCGGUGACGCUAGGGUUGUAGAGAUAUGAGUAUGCAGUAAACCAAAUGUUGUUUGGAGUCCCGGAUGAGAUCCCGGACAUCACGAGGAGUUCCGAAAUGGUCCGGAGGUAAAGAAUUAUAUAUAGGAAGUCAGGUUUCUGCCAUCGGGAAAAUUUCAGGGGUCACCUGUAUUGUAUCGGGACCACCGGAAGGGUCCCGGGGGUCCACCAGGUGGGGCCACCUAUCCCGGAGGGCCCCAUNNNNNNNNNNNNNNNNNNNNNNNNNNNNNNNNNNNNNNNNNNNNNNNNNNNNNNNNNNNNNNNNNNNNNNNNNNNNNNNNNNNNNNNNNNNNNNNNNNNNNNNNNNNNNNNNNNNNNNNNNNNNNNNNNNNNNNNNNNNNNNNNNNNNNNNNNNNNNNNNNNNNNNNNNNNNNNNNNNNNNNNNNNNNNNNNNNNNNNNNNNNNNNNNNNNNNNNNNNNNNNNNNNNNNNNNNNNNNNNNNNNNNNNNNNNNNNNNNNNNNNNNNNNNNNNNNNNNNNNNNNNNNNNNNNNNNNNNNNNNNNNNNNNNNNNCCCCCCCCCCCCCCCUUGCCCGCGCCUAGGGUUGGAAACCCUAGGGGUGGGGGGCGCCUCCACUUGCCUUGGGGGGCAAGGCACCCCCCUUGGCCGCCACCCCCCCUAGGAGAUCCCAUCUCCUAGGGCCGGCACCCCCCCUAGGGGCCCUAUAUAAAGAGGGGGGAGGGCAGCUGCACCCUUGUACUUGGCGCCUCCCUUCCCCCUUCCUACACCUCUCCCUCUCGCGGACGCUUGGCGAAGCCCUGCUGAGAUCAUUGCUGCAUCCACCACCACGCAGUCGUGCUGCUGGACUUCAUCAACCUCUCCUUUCCCCUUGCUGGAUCAAGAAGGAGGAGACGUCUCGCUGACCGUACGUGUGUUGAACGCGGAGGUGCCAUCCGUUCGGCGCUAAGAUCUCUGGUGAUUUGGAUCACGACGAGUACAACUCCCUCAACCCCGUUCUCUUGAACGCUUCCGCUCGAUCUACAAGGGUACAUAGAUGCACUCCUCUCUCUCAUUGCUAGAUGAACUCAUAGAUUGAUCUUGGUGAAACCGUAGGAAAUUUUUUAUUUUCUGCAACGUUCCCCAACAUAAUUUCCAAUAAGUUGGUUGCUCGCUCCAUUGUUCCGGAGAACGGAGUCUUGGUCAUUUUGCCCAUGAGGCAUGGUUCGCACGUGUCAAAUGAUUCAAAAUCAAGAGACUCCAAAAGUCCAUCUGUAUGGAUCUUCUUCAUGCGUUUGAUGUCAAUGUGACCAAGGCGGUAGUGCCACAGAUAUGUGGGACUAUCAUUAUCAAUCUUACAUCUUUUGGUAUUCACACUAUGAAUAUGUGUAACAUCACGUUCGAGAUUCAUUAAGAAUAAACCAUUGACCAGCGGGGCAUGACCAUAAAACAUAUCUCUCAUAUAAAUAGAACAACCAUUAUUCUCGGAUUUAAAUGUGUAGCCAUCUCGUAUCAAAUGAGAUCCAGAUACAAUGUUCAUGCUCAAAGCUGGCACUAAAUAACAAUUAUUGAGGUUUAAAACUAAUCCGUAGGUAAAUGUAGAGGUAGCGUGCCGACAUCGAUCACAUCAACCUUGGAACCAUUCCCGACGCGCAUCGUCACCUCGUCCUUCACCAGUAUCCGUUUAUUCCGCAACUCCUGUUUUGAGUUACAAAUAUGAGCAACCGCACCGGUAUCAAAUACCCAGGAGCUACUACGAGUACUAGUAAGGUACACAUCAAUUACAUGUAUAUCACAUAUACCUUUGGUGUUGACGGCCUUCUUGUCCGCUAAGUACUUGGGGCAGUUCCGCUUCCAGUGUCCACUUACCUUGCAAUAAAAGCACUCAGUCUCAGGUUUGGGUCCAUGCUUUGGCUUCUUCCCGCCAACUGGCUUACCGGGCACGGCAACUCCCUUGUCGUCCUUCUUGAAGUUCUUCUUACCCUUGCGUUUCUUGAAACUAGUGGUUUUAUUGACCAUCAACACUUGAUGUUCCUUUUUGAUUUCUACCUCCGCUGAUUUCAGCAUUGGAAAUACCUCAGGAAUAGUUUUCACCAUCCCCUGCAUAUUGUAGUUCAUCACAAAGGUCUUGUAGCUUGGUGGGAGCGUCUGAAGGAUUCUGUCAAUGACCGCAUCAUCUGGGAGGUUAACUCCCAGCUGAGACAAGCGGUUGUGCAACCCAGACAUUUUGAGUAUGUGCUCGCUGACAGAACUAUUCUCCUCCAUCUUACAACUGUAGAACUUGUCGGAGACAUCAUAUCUCUUAACCCGGGCAUGAGCUUGGAAAACCAUUUUCAGCUCUUGGAACAUCUCAUAUGCUCCGUGUUGCUCAAAACGCUUUUGGAGCCCCGGUUCUAAGCUGUAAAGCAUGCCGCACUGAACCAGGGAGUAAUCAUCACUACGCGACUGUCAGACGUUCAUAACGUAUUGAGUUGCUGGGAAAACGGAUGCUUCAACUAGCGGUGCAUCUAGGACAUAUGCUCUUUUUGCAGCUAUGAGGAUGAUCCUCAAGUUCUGGACCCAGUCCGUAUAGUUGCUGCCAUCGUCUUUCAGCUUGGUUUUCUCUAGGAACACGUUGAAGUUGAGGGCAAUAUUAGCGUGGGCCAUUUGAUCUACAAGACAUAUUGCAAAAGGUUUAGCUAAGUUCAUGAUAAUUAAGUUCAUCUAAUCAAAUUAUUUAAUGAACUCCCACUCAGAUAGACAUCCCUCUAGUCAUCUAAGUGAUCCAUGAUCCGAGUCAACUAGGCCGUGUCCGAUCAUCACGUGAGACGGACUAGUCAUCAUCGGUGAACAUCUUCAUGUUGAUCGUAUCUUCUAUACGACUCAUGUUCGACCUUUCGGUCUCUUGUGUUCCGAGGCCAUGUCUAUAAAUGCUAGGCUCGUCAAGUCAACCUAAGUGUUUUUGCAUGUGUAAAUCUGUCUUACACCCGUUGUAUGUGAAUGUUAGAAUCUAUCACACCCGGUCAUCACGUGGUGCUUCGAAACAACGAACAUUCGCAACGGUGCACAGUUAGGGGGAACACUUUCUUGAAAUUAUUAUGAGGGAUCAUCUUAUUUACUACCGUCGCUCUAAGCAAAUAAGAUGCAGAAACAUGAUAAACAUCACAUGCAAUCAAAUAGUGACAUGAUAUGGCCAAUAUCAUUUUGCUCCUUUUGAUCUCCAUCUUCGGAGCGCCAUGAUCAUCAUCGUCACCGGCAUGACACCAUGAUCUCCAUCAUCAUGAUCUCCAUCAUCGUGUCUUCAUGAAGUUGUCACGCCAAUGAUUACUUCUACUACUAUGGCUAAUGGUUUAGCAAUAAAGUAAAGUAAUUACAUGGCAUUAUUCAAUGACACGCAAGUCAUACAAUAAUUAAGACAACUCCUAUGGCUCCUGCCGGUUGUCAUACUCAUCGACAUGCAAGUCGUGAUUCCUAUUACAAGAACAUGAUCAAUCUAAUACAUCCCAUAUAUAUCAUUCAUCACAUCCUUUUUGGCCAUAUCACAUCACAAGGCAUAUGCUGCAAAAACAAGUUAGACGUCCUCUAAUUGUUGUUGCAUGUUUUUACGUGGCUGCAAUAGGGUUCUAGCAAGAACGUUUCUUACCUACGUCAAAACCACAACGUGAUAUGCCAAUCUCUAUUUACCCUUCAUAAGGACCCUUUUCAUCGAAUCCGAUCCGACUAAGGUGGGAGAGACAGACACCCGCUAGCCACCUUAUGCAACUAGUGCGUGUCAGUCAGUGGAACCUGUCUCACGUAAGCGUACGUAUAAGGUCGGUCCGGGCCACUUCAUCCCACGAUACCACCGAAACAAGAUAAGACUAGUAGUGGCAAGUAAAUUGACAAAAUCUACGCCCACAACAAAAUUGUGUUCUACUCAUGCAUAGAAACUACGCAUAGACCUAGCUCUGAUACCACUGUUGGGGAUCGUUGCAGAAAAUAAAUAAAAAUUACGCAUCACCAAGAUCAAUCUAUGGAGUCAUCUAGCAACAAGAGAGGGAUGCAUCUACAUACUCUUGUAGAUCGCGAGCGGAAGCGUUCAAGAGAACGGGGUUGAAGGAAUCGUACUCAUCGUGAUCCAAAUAACCGAUGAUCCUAGCGCCAAACGGACGGCACCUCCACGUUCAACACACGUAAGGAGCGUAGACGUCUCCCAUGCCUUGAUCUAGCAAGGAGGAGGGAGAGGUUCAGGAAGAGAUCUCCAGCAGCAGCACGACCGCGUGGUGGUGAUGGAGAGGCAGUACUCCGGCAGGGCUUCGCCAAGCUUCUUCUUCGGAGGAGAGGUGUUGGGGAGGGGAGGGGUUGCGCUUUGGAGGUGUGUGUGCAGCCCUCCCCUCGCCCCUCUAUUUCUAGGGGGAGGAGGAAGGGGGCCGGCCCCUCUAUAUGAGAUCUAGAGGGGGGCGGCCAAGGGGGGGACUUGCCCCCAAGCAAGGGGGGGCGCCCCCUUGAGGGUUUCCCCCCAACCCUAGAUGCAUGGGCCCAAGGGGGGUUGCGCCCAGCCCUCUAAGGGCUGGUUCCCUUCCCUCUAUGGCCCAUGAGGCCCUCCAGGAGAGGUGGCCCCUCCCGGUGGUCCCUCGGAACCCUUCCGGUGGCCCCGGUACAAUACCAGCAUGCCCCCGAACCUUUCCGAUGACCAUAUUACAACUUCCCAUAUAUAAAUCUUCACCUCCGGACCAUUCCGGAACUCCUUGUGACUUCCGGGAUCUCAUCCGGGACUCCGAACAACAUUCGGUUAUCAGAUACAAGUCUUCCUAAUAACCCUAGCAUCACUGAACCUUAAGUGUGUAGACCCUACGGGUUCGGGAAUCACGCAGACAUGACCGAGACAACUCUCCGGCAAAUAACCAACAGCGGGAUCUGGAUACUCAUGUUGGCUCCCACAUGUUCCACAAUGAUCUCAUCGGAUGAACCACGAUGUCGAGGAUUCAAGCAAUCCCGUAUACAAUUCCCUUUGUCACACGGUACGUUACUUGGCCGAGAUCCGAUCGUCGGUAUCCCAAUACCUCGUUCAAUCUCGUUUCCGGCAAGUCACUUUACUCCUUCCGUAAUGCAUGAUCCCGUGACCAACCACUUGGUCACAUUGAGCUCAUUAUGAUGAUGCAUUACCGAGUGGGCCCAGAGAUACCUCUCCGUCAUACGGAGUGACAAAUCCCAGUCUCGAUCCGUGUCAACCCAACAGACACUUUCGGAGAUACCUAUAGUAUACCUUUAUAGCCACCCAGUUACGUUGUGACGUUUGGCACACCCAAAGCACUCCUACGGUAUCCGGGAGUUACAUGAUCUCAUGGUCUAAGGAAAUGAUACUUGACAUUAGAAAAGCUCUAGCAAACGAACUACACGAUCUUGUGCUAUGCUUAGGAUUGGGUCUUGUCCAUCACAUCAUUAUCCUAAUGAUGUGAUCCCGUUAUCAAUGACAUCCAAUGUCUAUAGUCAGGAAACCAUGACUAUCUGUUGAUCAAUGAGCUAGUCAACUAGAGGCUCACUAGGGACAUGUUGUGGUCUAUGUAUUCACACAUGUAUUACGAUUUCCGGAUAACACAAUUAUAGCAUGAACAAUAGACAAUUAUCAUGAACAAGGAAAUAUAAUAAUAACCAUUUUAUUAUUGCCUCUAGGGCAUAUUUCCAAGAGUCUCCCAUUUGCACUAGAGUGAAUAAUCUAGUUACAUUGUGAUGAAUCGAACACCCAUAGAGUUCUGGUGUUGAUCAUGUUUUGCUCGCGGAAGAGGUUUAGUCAAAGGAUCUGCGACAUUCAGAUCCAUAUGCACUUUGCAAAUAUCUAUGUCUCCAUCUUGAACAUUUUCACGAAUGGAGUUGAAGCGAUGCUUGAUGUGCCUGGUCUUCUUGUGAAACCUGGGCUCCUUGGCGACGGCAAUGGCUCCAGUGUUGUCACAGAAGAGAGUCAUCGGCCCCGACGCAUUGGGAAUAACUCCUAGGUCGGUAAUGAACUCCUUCAUCCAGAUUGCUUCAUGUGCUACCUCCGAGGCUGCCAUGUAUUCCGCUUCACAUGUAGAUCACGCCAUGAUGCUUUGCUUGUAACUGCACUAGCUUACUGCCCCACCAUUCAAAAUAUACAUGUAUCCGGUUUGUGACUUAGAGUCAUCCAGAUCUGUGUCGAAGCUAGCGUCGACGUAACCCUUUACGACGAGCUCUUCGUCACCUCCAUAAACGAGAAACAUAUCCUUAGUACUUUUCAGGUACUUCAGGAUAUUCUUGACCGCUGUCCAGUGUUCCAUGCCGGGAUUACUUUGGUACCUUCCUACCAAACUUACGGCAAGGUUUACAUCAGGUCUGGUACACAGCAUGGCAUACAUAAUAGACCCUAUAGCCGAGGCAUAGGGGAUGACACUCAUCUUUUCUCUAUCUUCUGUCGUGGUCGGGCAUUGAUCCGAGCUCAAUUUCACACCUUGCAACACAGGUAAGAACCCCUUCUUGGACUGAUCCAUAUUGAACUUCUUCAAUAUUUUAUCAAGGUAUGUGCUUUGUGAAAGACCUAUGAGGUGUCUCGAUCUAUCUCUAUAGAUCUUGAUGCCUAAUAUAUAAGCAGCUUAUUCAAGGUCCUUCAUUGAAAAACACUUAUUCAAGUAGGCCUUAAUGUUGUCCAAAAGUUCUAUAUCAUUUCCCAUCAAAAGUAUGUCACCUACAUAUAAUAUGAGAAAUGCUACAGAGCUCCCACUCACUUUCUUGGAAACGCAGGCUUCUCCUUAAGUCUUCAUAAACCCAUACGCUUUGAUCAUUUCAUCAAAGCGAAUGUUCCAAUCUGAGAUGCUUGCAGCAGCCCAUAGAUGGAGCGCUGGAGCUUGCAUACCUUGUUAGCAUUCUUAGGAUCGACAAAACCUUCCGGCUUCAUCAUAUACAAUUCUUCCUUAAGGAAGUCGUUAAGGAAUGCCGUUUUGACGUCCAUUUGCCAUAUCUCAUAAUCAUAGAAUGCGGCAACUGAUAACAUGAUUCGGACGGACUUCAGCUUCACUACGGGUGAGAAGGUCUCAUUGUAGUCAACCCCUUGAACUUGUCGAUAACCCUUAGCGACAAGUCGAGAUUUAUAGAUGGUAACAUUACCAUCCGCGUCCGUCUUCUUCUUAAAGAUCCAUUUGUUUUCUAUCGCUUGCAGAUCAUCGGGAAAGUCUGUCAAAGUCCAUACUUUGUUUUCAUACAUGGAUCCUAUCUCGGAUUGCAUGGCUUCUAGCCAUUUGUUGGAAUCUAGGCCCGCCAUCGCUUCUUCAUAGUUCGAAGGUUCAUCGUUGUCUAACAAUAUGAUUUUCAGGACAGGGUUGCCAUACCAUUCUGGUGUGGAACGUGUCCUUGUGGACCUAUGAAGUUCAGUAGUAACUUGAUCCGAUCCUCUCUAGUCGGUGCAGGCACCACAGGAACAUCUUCCUGAGCUGCGCUACUUUCCGGUUUAAGAGGCAGUACUUCAUCGAAUUCUACUUUCCUCCCACUUAUUUCUUUCGAGAGAAACUCUUUCUCCAGAAAGGACCCGUUCUUGGCAACAAAGAUCUUGCCUUCGGAUCUUAGGUAGAAGGUAUACCCAAUGGUUUCCUUAGGGUAUCCUAUGAAGACGCAUUUUUCCAACUUGGGUUUGAGCUUUUGAGGUUGAAGUUUCUUGACAUAAGCAUCGCAUCCCCAAACUUUUAGAAACGACAGCUUAUGUUUCUUUCCAAACCAUAAUUCAUAUGGUGUCGUCUCAACGGAUUUAGACGGUGCCCUAUUUAAAGUGAAUGUAGCUGUCUCUAAAGCGUAUCCCCAAAAUGAUAGCGGUAAAUCGGUAAGAGACAUCAUGGACCGCACCAUAUCCAAUAGAGUGCGAUUACGACGUUCAGACACACCAUUAUGCUGAGGCGUUCCAGGCGGCGUGAGUUGUGAAACAAUUCCACAUUUCCUUAAGUGUGUCCCAAACAAGUGACUUAAAUAUUCUCCCCCACGAUCUGAUUGUAAGAACUUUAUUUUUCUGUCACAUUGAUUUUCUACCUCAUUCUGAAAUUCCUUGAACUUUUCAAAGGUCUCAGACUUGUGUUUCAUUAAAUAGACAUACCCAUAUCUACUUAAGUCAUCAGUGAGGGUGAGAACAUAACGAUAGCCACCGCGAGCCUCAACGCUCAUUGGACCGCACACAUCAGUAUGUAUAAUUUGUUUGAAAUAUGCCCUAGAGGCAAUAAUAAAAUGGUUAUUAUUAUAUUUCUUUGUUCAUGAUAAUUGUCUGUUAUUCAUGCUAUAUUUGUAUUAUCCGGAAAUCGUAAUAAACGUGUGAAUACAUAGACCACAACAUGUCCCUAGUGAGCCUCUAGUUGACUAGCUCGUUGAUCAACAGAUAGUCAUGGUUUCCUGACUAUGGACAUUGGAUGUCAUUGAUAACGGGAUCACAUCAUUAGGAGAAUGAUGUGAUGGACAAGACCCAAUCCUAAGCAUAGCUCAAAGAUCGUGUAGUUCGUUUAGCUAGAGCUUUUCCAAAUGUCAAGUAUCAUUUGCUUAGACCAUGAGAUUGUGCAACUCCCAGAUACCGUAGGAGUGCUUUGGGUGUGCCAAACGUCACAACGUAACUGGGUGACUAUAAAGGUGCACCACGGCUAUCUCCGAAAGUGUCAGUUGGGUUGGCACGAAUCGAGACUGGGAUUUGUCACUCCGCAUGACGGAGAGGUAUCUCUGGGCCCACUUGGUAAUGCAUCAUCAUAAUGAGCUCAAUGUGACCAAGUGUCUGGUCACGGGAUCAUGCAUUACGGUACGAGUAAAGUGACUUGCCGAUAAUGAGAUUAAACGAGGUAUUGGGAUACCAACGAUCGAGUCUCGGGCAAGUAACGUAACGAUUGACAAAGGGAAUUGUAUACAGGGUUGAUUGAAUCCUCAAUAUCAUGGUUCAUCCAAUGAGAUCAUCGAGGAGCAUGUGGGAGCCAACAUGGGUAUCCAGAUCCCGCUGUUGGUUAUUGACCGGAGAGGCGUCUCGGUCAUGUCUGCAUGUCUCCCGAACCCGUAGGGUCUACACACUUAAGGUUCGGUGACGCUAGGGUUGUAGAGAUAUGAGUAUGCAGUAAACUGAAAGUUGUUCAGAGUCCCGGAUGAGAUCCCGGACGUCAUGAGGAGUUCCGGAAUGGUCCGGAGGUAAAGAAUUAUAUAUAGGAAGUCAGGUUUCGGCCAUCGGGAAAAUUUCAGGGGUCACCGGUAUUGUACCAGGACCACCGGAAGGGUCCCGGGGGUCCACCGGGUGGGGCCACCUAUCCCGGAGGGCCCCAUGGGCUGAAGUGGGAGGGGAACCAGCCCCUGGUGGGCUAGUGCGCCCCGCCUUGGGCCCCGCCUGCGCCUAGGGUUGGAAACCCUAGGGGUGGGGGGCGCUUCCACUUGCCUUGGGGGGCAAGGCACCCCCCUUGGCCGCCGCCCCCCCCCCUAUGAGAUCCCAUCUCCUAGUGCUGGCGCCCCUCUAGGGGCCCUAUAUAAAGCGGGGGAGGGAGGGCAGCCGCACCCUUGUAUUUGGCACCUCCCUUCCCCCUUGCUACACCUCUCCCUCUCGCGGACGCUUGGCGAAGCCCUGCCGAGAUCACUGCUGCAUCCACCACCACGCCAUCGUGCUGCUGGAUCUUCAUCAACCUCUCCUUUCCCCUUGCUAGAUCAAGAAGGAGGAGACGUCUCACUAACCGUACGUGUGUUGAACGCGGAGGUACCGUCCGUUCGGCGCUAGGAUCUCCGGUGAUUUGGAUCACGACGAGUACAACUCCCUCAACCCCGUUCUCUUGAACGCUUCCGCUCGAUCUACAAGGAUAUGUAGAUACACUCCUCUCUCUCGUUUCUAGAUGAAAUCAUAGAUUGAUCUUGGUGAAACCGUAGGAAAUUUUUUAUUUUCUGCAACGUUCCCCAACAGUGGCAUCAUGAGCUAGGUCUAUGCGUAGUUCUCUUUGCACGAGUAGAACACAAAUCUGUUGUGGGCGUUGAUGUUGUCAACUUUCUUGCCAUUACUAGUCUUAUUUUGCUUCAGCAGUAUUGUGGGAUGAAGCGGCCCGGACCGACCUUACAUGUACGCUUACGUGAGACAGGUUCCAUCGACUGGCAUGCACUAGUUGCAUAAGGUGGCUAGCGGGUGUCUGUCUCUCCCACUUUAGUUGGAGCGGAUUCGAUGAAAAGGGUCCUUAUGAAGGGUAAAUAGAAGUUGACAAAUCACGUUGUGGCUUUUACGUAGGUAAGAAAACAUUCUUGCUAGAACCCUAUUGCAGCCACGUAAAACAUGCAACAACAAUUAGAGGACGUCUAACUUGUUUUUGCAGCAUAUGAUUUGUGAUGUGAUAUGGCCAAAAGUUGUGAUGAAUGAUGAAUGAUAUAUUGUGAUGUAUGAGAUCAUGUUCUUGUAAUAGGAAUCACGACUUGCAUGUCGAUGAGUAUGACAACCGGCAGGAGCCAUAGGAGUUGUCUUAAUAUUGUAUGACCUGCGUGUCAAUGAUUUAUCGUCAUGUAAUUACUUUACUUUAUUGCUAAACCGUUAGCCAUAGUAGUAGAAGUAAUAGUUGGCAAGCAACUUCAUGGAGACACGAUGAUGGAGAUCAUGAUGAUGGAGAUCAUGGUGUCAUGCCGGUGACGAAGAUGAUCAUGGAGCCCCGAAGAUGGAGAUCAAAGGAGCUAUAUGAUAUUGGCCAUAUCAUGUCACUGUUUAAUUGCAUGUGAUGUUUAUUAUGUUUAUGCAUCUUGUUUACUUAGAACGACGGUAGUAAAUAAGAUGAUUCCUCAUAAUAAUUUCAAGAAAGUGUUCACCCUAAAUGUGCACCGUUGCGAAAGUUCAUCGUUUCGAAGCACCACGUGAUGAUCGGGUGUGAUAGAUUCUAACAUUCACAUACAACGGGUGUAAGACAGAUUUACACAUGCAAAACACUUAGGUUAACUUGACGAGCCUAGCAUGUACAGACAUGGCCUCGGAACACAAGAGACCGAAAGGUCGAACAUGAGUCGUAUGGAAGAUACGAUCAACAUGGAGAUGUUCACCGAUGAUGACUAGUCCGUCUCACGUGAUGAUCGGACACGGCCUAGUCGACUCGGAUCAUGUAUCACUUAGAUGACUAGAGGGAUGUGUAAUCUGAGUGGGAGUUCAUUAAAUAAUUUGAUUAGAUGAACUUAGUCUAAAAACCUUUGCAAAUAUGUCUUGUAGAUCAAAUGGCCAACGCUCAUGUUCACCUCAACUUCAACGCGUUCCUGGAGAAAACCAAGCUGAAAGAUGAUGGCAGCAACUAUAGGGAGUGGGUCCGGAACCUGAGGAUCAUCCUCAUAGCUGCCAAGAAAGAUUAUGUCCUAGAAGCACCGCUAGGUGAAGCACCCAUCCCAGAGAACCAGGAUGUUAUGAACGCUUGGCAGUCUCGUGUUGAUGAUUACUCCCUCGUUCAGUGCGGCAUGCUUUACAGCUUAGAACCGGGGCUCCAAAAACGUUUUGAGCAACACGGAGCAUAUUAGAUGUUCGAAGAGCUGAAAAUGGUUUUCCAAGCUCAUUCCCGGGUCGAGAUAUAUGAAGUCUCCGACAAGUUCUUCAGCUGUAAGAUGGAGGAAAACAGUUCUGUCAGUGAGCACAUACUCAAGAUGUCUGGGUUGGACAACCGCCUGACUCAGCUGGGAGUUAAUAUCCCGGAUGAUGUGGUUAUUGAUAGAAUCCUCCAGUCGCUUCCACCGAGCUACAAGAGCUUUGUGAUGAACUUCAAUAUGCAGGGGAUGGAAAAGACCAUUCCUGAGGUAUAUUCAAUGCUGAAAUCAGCGGAGGUAGAGAUCAAGAAAGAACAUCAAGUGUUGAUGGUGAAUAAAACCACUAAGUUCAAGAAAGGUAAGGGUAAGAAGAACUUCAAGAAGGACGGCAAGGGAGUUGCCGCGCCCGGUAAGCCAGUUGCUGGGAAGAAGUCAAAGAAUGGACCCAAGCCUGAGACUGAGUGCUUUUAUUGCAAGGGAAGUGGUCACUGGAAGUGGAACUACCCCAAGUACUUAGCGGACAAGAAGGUCGGCAACACUAAAGGUAUAUGUGAUAUACAUGUAAUUGAUGUGUACCUUACCAGUACUCGUAGUAGCUCUUGGGUAUUUGAUACCGGUGCGGUUGCUCAUAUUUGUAACUCAAAGGAGGAACUGCGGAAUAAACGGAGACUGGCAAAGGACGAGGUGACGAUGCGCGUCGGGAAUGGUUCCAAGGUCGACGUAAUCGCCGUCGGCAUGCUACCUCUACAUUUACCUACAGGGGUAGUUUUAAACCUCAAUAAUUGUUAUUUAGUGCCAAGUUUGAUCAUGAACAUUGUAUCUGGAUCUCGUUUAAUACGAGAUGGCAACUCAUUUAAAUCCGAGAAUAAUGGUUGUUCUAUUUAUAUGAGAGAUAUGUUAUAUGGUCAUGCCCCAAUGGUCAAUGGUUUAUUCUUAAUGAAUCUCGAACAUGAUGUUACACAUAUUCAUAGUGUGAAUACCAAAAUAUGUAAAGUUGAUAACGAUAGUCCCACAUACUUGUGUCACUGCCGCCUUGGUCAUAUUGGUGACAAGCGCAUGAAGAAGCUCCAUGCUGAUGGACUUUUAGAGUCUCUCGAUUAUGAAUCAUUUGACACAUGCGAACCAUGCCUCACGGGCAAAAUGACCAAGACUCCGUUCUCCGAAACAAUGGAGCGAGCAACCAACUUAUUGGAAAUCAUACAUACUGAUGUCUGCGGUCCAAUGAGCGUUGAGUCUCGCACAGGAUAUCGUUAUGUUCUCACUCUCACUAACGACUUGAGUAGAUAUGGGUAUGUCUACUUGAUGAAACACAAGUCUGAGACCUUUGAAAAGUUCAAGGAGUUUCAGAAUGAGGUAGAGAAUCAACGUGACCGAAAGAUAAAGUUCCUACGAUCAGAUCGUGGAGGAGAAUAUUUAAGUCAUGAAUUCGGUAUGCACUUAAGGAAAUGUGGAAGCAUUUCACAACUCAUGCCGCCUGGAACACCUCAGUGUAACGGUGUGUCCGAAUGUCGUAAUCGCACUUUAUUGGAUAUGGUGCGAUCUAUGAUGUCUCUUACCGAUGUACCGCUAUCUUUUGGGGAUACGCUCUAGAGACAGCUACAUUCACUUUAAAUAGGGCACCGUCUAAAUCCGUUGAGACGACACUGUAUGAAUUAUGGUUUGGGAAGAAACCUAAGCUGUCGUUUCUAAAAGUUUGGGGAUGCGAUGCUUAUGUCAAGAAACUUCUACCUGAAAAGCUCGAACCCAAGUAGGAAAAAUGUGUCUUCAUAGGAUACCCUAAGGAAACCAUUGGGUAUACCUUCUACCUCAGAUCCAAAGGCAAGAUCUUUGUUGCCAAGAAUGGGUCCUUUCUGGAGAAAGAGUUUCUCUCAAGAGAAGUAAGUGGGAGGAAAGUUCAACUUGAUGAAGUACUACCUCUUGAACCGGUGAGUAGCGCAGCUCAGGGAGAUGUUCCUGUGGUGCCAGCACCAACUGAAGAGGAAGUUAAUGAUGAUGAUCAAGGUACUUCGCAUCAAGUUACUACUGAACUUCAUAGGUCCACGAGGACACGUUCCACACCAGAGUGGUAUGGCAAUCCUGUCCUGGAAACCAUGUUGUUAGACAACGGUGAACCUUCGAACUAUGAAGAAGGGAUGGCGGGCCCAGAUUCCAACAAAUGGCUUGAAGCCAUGCAAUCCGAGAUAGGAUCCAUGUAUGAAAACGAAGUAUGGACUUUGACAGACUUGCCCGAUGAUCGGCGAGCGAUAGAAAACAAAUGGAUCUUUAAGAAGAAGACGGACGCGGAUGGUAAUGUUACCAUCUAUAAAGCUCGACUUGUUGCUAAGGGUUAUCGACAAUUUCAAGGGGUUGACUACGAUGAGACAUUCUCUACCGUAGCGAAGCUAAAGUCCGUCUGAAUCAUGUUAGCAAUUGCCGCAUACUAUGAUUAUGAGAUAUGGCAAAUGGACGUCAAAACGGCAUUCCUUAACGGUCAUCUUAAGGAAGAACUGUAUAUGAUGCAGCCGGAAGGUUUUGUCGACCCUGAGAAUGCUAACAAGGUAUGCAAGCUCCAGCGAUCCAUUUAUGGGCUGGUGCAAGCAUCUCGGAGUUGGAACAUUCACUUUGAUGAGAUGAUCAAGGCGUUUGGGUUUAUGGAGACUUAUGGAGAAGCCUGCAUUUACAAGAAAGUGAGUGGGAGCGCUGUAGCAUUUCUCAUAUUAUAUGUAGAUGACAUACUUUUGAUGGGAAAUGAUAUAGAACUCUUGGACAGCAUUAAGGCCUACUUGAAUAAGUGUUUUUCAAUGAAGGACCUUGGAGAAGCUGCUUACAUACUAGGCAUCAAGAUCUAUAGGGAUAGAUCGAGACGCCUCAUAGGUCUUUCACAAAGAACAUACCUUGAUGAGAUAUUGAAGAAGUUCAAUAUGGAUCAGUCCAAGAAAGGGUUCUUGCCUGUAUUGCAAGGUGUGAGAUUGAGCUUGGCUCAAUUCCCAACCACGGCAGAAGAUAAAGAAGAGAUGAGUGUCAUCCCCUAUGCCUCAGCCAUAGGGUCUAUUAUGUAUGCCAUGCUGUGUACCAGACCUGAUGUAAACCUUGCCGUAAGUUUGGUAGGAAGGUACCAAAGUAAUCCCGGCAAGGAACACUGGACAGCGGUCAAGAACAUCCUAAAGUACCUGAAAAGGACUAAGGAUAUGUUUCUCGUUUAUGGAGGUGACAAAGAGCUCAUCGUAAAGGGUUACGUGGAUGCUAGCUUCGACACAGAUCUGGAUGACUCUAAGUCACAAACCGGAUACGUGUAUAUUUUGAAUGGUGGGGCAGUAAGCUAGUGCAGUUGCAAGCAAAGCAUCGUGGCGGGAUCUACAUGUGAAGCAGAGUACAUGGCACCCUCGGAGGCAGUGCAUGAAGCAAUCUAGGUGAAGGAGUUCAUCAUCGACCUAGGAGUCAUACCCAAUGCGUCGGGGCCGAUCAAACUCUUCUGUGACAACACUGGAGCUAUUGCACUUGCCAAGGAGCCCAGGUUUCACAAGAAGACCAGGCACAUCAAGCGUCGCUUCAACUCCAUACGUGAAAAUGUUCAAGAUGGAGACAUAGAUAUUUGUAAAGUACAUACAGACCUGAAUGUGGCAGAUCCGUUGACUAAACCUCUUCCUAGGGCAAAACAUGAUCAACACCAGAAUUCCAUGGGUGUUCGAUUGAUCACAAUGUAACUAGAUUAUUGAACUCUAGUGCAAGUGGGAGACUGUUGGAAAUAUGCCCUAGAGGCAAUAAUAAAAUGGUUAUUAUUAUAUUUCUUUGUUCAUGAUAAUUGUCUAUUAUUCAUGCUAUAAUUGUAUUAUUCGGAAAUUGUAAUACACGUGUGAAUACAUAGACCACAACAUGUCCCUAGUGAGCCUCUAGUUGACUAGCUCGUUGAUCAACAGAUAGUCAUGGUUUCCUGACUAUGGACAUUGGAUGUCAUUGAUAACGGGAUGACAUCAUUAGGAGAAUGAUGUGAUAGACAAGACCCAAUCCUAAGCAUAGCUCAAAGAUCGUGUAGUUCGUUUAGCUAAAGCUUUUCCAAAUGUCAAGUAUCAUUUGCUUAGACCAUGAGAUUGUGCAACUCCUGGAUACCGUAGGAGUGCUUUGGGUGUGCCAAACGUCACAACGUAACUGGGUGACUAUAAAGGUGCACUACGGGUAUCUCCGAAAGUGUCUGUUGGGUUGGCACGAAUCGAGACUGGGAUUUGUCACUCCGCAUGACGGAGAGGUAUCUAUGGGCCCACUCGGUAAUGCAUCAUCAUAAUGAGCUCAAUGUGACCAAGUGUCUGGUCACGGGAUCAUGCAUUACGGUACGAGUAAAGUGACUUGCCGGUAACGAGAUUAAACGAGGUAUUGGGAUACCGACGAUCGAGUCUCGGGCAAGUAACAUACCGAUUGACAAAGGGAAUUGUAUACAGGAUUGAUUGAAUCCUCGACAUCGUGGUUCAUCCGAUGAGAUCAUCGAGGAGCAUGUGGGAGCCAACAUGGGUAUCCAGAUCCCGCUGUUGGUUAUUAACCGGAGAGGCGUCUCGGUCAUGUCUGCAUGUCUCCCGAAGCCGUAGGGUCUACACACUUAAGGUUCGGUGACGCUAGGGUUGUAGAGAUAUGAGUAUGCAGUAAACCGAAUGUUGUUCGGAGUCCCGGAUGAGAUCCCGGACGUCACGAGGAGUUCCGGAAUGGUCCGGAGGUAAAGAAUUAUAUAUAGGAAGUCAGGUUUCUGCCAUCGGGAAAAUUUCGGGGGUCACCUGUAUUGUACCGGGACCACCGGAAGGGUCCCGGGGGUCCACCAGGUGGGGCCACCUAUCCCGGAGGGCCCCAUGGGCUCAAGUGGGAGGGGAACCAGCCCCUGGUGGGCUGGUGCGCCCCCCCCCCCCUUGCCCGCGCCUAGGGUUGGAAACCCUAGGGGUGGGGGGCGCCUCCACUUGCCUUGGGGGGCAAGGCACCCCCCUUGGCCGCCACCCCCCCUAGGAGAUCCCAUCUCCUAGGGCCGGCACCCCCCCUAGGGGCCCUACAUAAAGAGGGGGGAGGGCAGCUGCACCCUUGUACUUGGCGCCUCCCUUCCCCCUUCCUACACCUCUCCCUCUCGCGGACGCUUGGCGAAGCCCUGCUGAGAUCAUUGCUGCAUCCACCACCACGCCGUCGUGCUGCUAGACUUCAUCAACCUCUCCUUUCCCCUUGCUGGAUCAAGAAGGAGGAGACGUCUCGCUGACCGUACGUGUGUUGAACGCGGAGGUGCCAUCCGUUAGGCGCUAAGAUCUCUGGUGAUUUGGAUCACGACGAGUACAACUCCCUCAACCCCGUUCUCUUGAACGCUUCCGCUCGAUCUACAAGGGUACAUAGAUGCACUCCUCUCUCUCAUUGCUAGAUGAACUCAUAGAUUGAUCUUGGUGAAACCGUAGGAAAUUUUUUAUUUUCUGCAACGUUCCCCAACAUAAUUUCCAAUAAGUUGGUUGCUCGCUCCAUUGUUCCGGAGAACGGAGUCUUGGUCAUUUUGCCCAUGAGGCAUGGUUCGCACGUGUCAAAUGAUUCGAAAUCAAGAGACUCCAAAAGUCCAUCUAUAUGGAUCUUCUUCAUGCGUUUGAUGCCAAUGUGACCAAGGCGGUAGUGCCACAGAUAUGUGGGACUAUCAUUAUCAAUCUUACAUCUUUUGGUAUUCACACUAUGAAUAUGUGUAACAUCACGUUCGAGAUUCAUUAAGAAUAAACCAUUGACCAGCGGGGCAUGACCAUAAAACAUAUCUCUCAUAUAAAUAGAACAACCAUUAUUCUCGGAUUUAAAUGUGUAGCCAUCUCGUAUCAAAUGAGAUCCAGAUACAAUGUUCAUGCUCAAAGCUGGCACUAAAUAAAAAUUAUUGAGGUUUAAAACUAAUCCGUAGGUAAAUGUAGAGGUAGCGUGCCGACAUCGAUCACAUCAACCUUGGAACCAUUCUCGGCGCGCAUCGUCACCUCGUCCUUCACCAGUAUCCGUUUAUUCCGCAACUCCUGUUUUGAGUUACAAAUAUGAGCAACCGCACCGGUAUCAAAUACCCAGGAGCUACUACGAGUACUAGUAAGGUACACAUCAAUUACAUGUAUAUCACAUAUACCUUUGGUGUUGCCGGCCUUCUUCUCCGCUAAGUACUUGGGGCAGUUCCGCUUCCAGUGUCCACUUACCUUGCAAUAAAAGCACUCAGUCUCAGGUUUGGGUCCAUGCUUUGGCUUCUUCCCGCCAACUGACUUACCGAGCGCGGCAACUCCCUUGUCGUCCUUCUUGAAGUUCUUCUUACCCUUGCGUUUCUUGAAACUAGUGGUUUUAUUGACCAUCAACACUUGAUGUUCCUUUUUGAUUUCUACCUCCGCUGAUUUCAGCAUUGGAAAUACCUCAGGAAUAGUUUUCACCAUCCCCUGCAUAUUGUAGUUCAUCACAAAGCUCUUGUAGCUUGGUGGGAGCGUCUGAAGGAUUCUGUCAAUGACCGCAUCAUCUGGGAGGUUAACUCCCAGCUGAGACAAGCGGUUGUGCAACCCAGACAUUUUGAGUAUGUGCUCGCUGACAGAACUAUUCUCCUCCAUCUUACAACUGUAGAACUUGUCGGAGACUUCAUAUCUCUCGACCCGGGCAUGAGCUUGGAAAACCAUUUUCAUCUCUUGGAACAUCUCAUAUGCUCCGUGUUGCUCAAAACGCUUUUGGAGCCCCGGUUCUAAGCUGUAAAGCAUGCCGCACUGAACCGGGGAGUAAUCAUCACUACGCGACUGUCAGACGUUCAUAACGUCUUGAGUUGCUGGGAAAACGGAUGCUUCAACUAGCGGUGCAUCUAGGACAUAUGCUCUUUUUGCAGCUAUGAGGAUGAUCCUCAAGUUCCGGACCCAGUCCGUAUAGUUGCUGCCAUCGUCUUUCAGCUUGGUUUUCUCUAGGAACACGUUGAAGUUGAGGGCAAUAUUAGCGUGGGCCAUUUGAUCUACAAGACAUAUUGUAAAAGUUUUAGACUAAGUUCAUGAUAAUUAAGUUCAUCUAAUCAAAUUAUUUAAUGAACUCCCACUCAGAUAGACAUCCCUCUAGUCAUCUAAGUGAUCCAUGAUCCGAGUCAACUAGGCCGUGUCCGAUCAUCACGUGAGAUGGACUAGUCAUCAUCGGUGAACAUCUUCAUGUUGAUCGUAUCUUCUAUAUGACUCAUGUUCGACCUUUCGGUCUCUUGUGCUCUGAGGCCAUGUCUAUAAAUGCUAGGCUCGUCAAGUCAACCUAAGUGUUUUUGCAUGUGUAAAUCUGUCUUACACCCGUUGUAUGUGAAUGUUAGAAUCUAUCACACCCGAUCAUCACGUGGUGCUUCGAAACAAUGAACUUUCACAACGGCGCACAGUUAGGGGGAACACUUUCUUGAAAUUAUUAUGAGGGAUCAUCUUAUUUACUACCGUCGCUCUAAGAAAAUAAGAUGUAGAAACAUGAUAAACAUCACAUGCAAUCAAAUAGUGACAUGAUAUGGCCAAUAUCAUUUUGCUCCUUUUGAUCUCCAUCUUCGAGGCGCCAUGAUCAUCAUCGUCACCGGCAUGACACCAUGAUCUCCAUCAUCGUGUCUUCAUGAAGUUGUCACGCCAAUGAUUACUUCUACUACUAUGGCUAACAGUUUAGCAAUAAAGUAAAGUAAUUACAUGGCAUUAUUCAAUGACACGCAAGUCAUACAAUAAUUAAGACAACUCCUAUGGCUCCUGCCGAUUGUCAUACUCAUCGACAUGCAAGUCGUGAUUCCUAUUACAAGAACAUGAUCAAUCUCAUACAUCCCAUAUAUAUCAUUCAUCACAUCCUUUUUGGCCAUAUCACAUCACAAGGCAUAUGCUGCAAAAACAAGUUAGACGUCCUCUAAUUGUUGUUGCAUGUUUUUACCUGGCUGCAAUAGGGUUCUAGCAAGAACGUUUCUUACCUACGUCAAAACCACAACGUGAUAUGCCAAUUUCUAUUUACCCUUCAUAAGGACCUUUUUCAUCGAAUCCGAUCCGACUAAGGUGGGAGAGACAGACACCCGCUAGCCACCUUAUGCAACUAGUGCGUGUCAGUCAGUGGAACCUGUCUCACGUAAGCGUACGUAUAAGGUCGGUCUGGGCCGCUUCAUCCCACGAUACCACCGAAACAAGAUAAGACUAGUAGUGGCAAGUAAAUUGACAAAAUCUACGCCCACAACAAAAUUGUGUUCUACUCAUGCAUAGAAACUACGCAUAGACCUAGCUCUGAUACCACUGUUGGGGAUCGUUGUAGAAAAUAAAAAAAUUACGCAUCACCAAGAUCAAUCUAUGGAGUCAUCUAGCAACGAGAGAGAGAGAUGCAUCUACAUACCUUUGUAUAUCGCGAGCGGAAGCGUUCAAGGGAAUGGGGUUGAAGGAGUCGUACUCAUCGUGAUCCAAAUCACCGAUGAUCCUAGCGCCGAACGGACGGCACCUCCAUGUUCAACACACGUACGGAGCGGAGAAGUCUCCCGUGCCUUAAUCCAGCAAGGAGGAGGGAUAGGUUGAGGAAGAGAUCUCUAGCAGCAGCACGACGGCGUGAGGGUGAUGGAGAGGCAGUACUCCGGCAGGGCUUCGCCAAGCUUCUGCGGAGGAGGAGAGGUGUUGGGGAGGGGAGGGGAUGAGCCUUGGAGGUGUGUGUGCAUCCCUCCCCUCGCCCCUCUAUUUAUAGGGGGGGAUGAAGGGGGCCGGCACCCUCUAGAUGAGAUCUAGAGGGGGGGCGACGGCCAGGGGGGACUUGCCCCCCAAGCAAGGGGGGCGCCCCCUUUAGGGUUUCCCCCCAACCCUAGGCGCAUGGGCCCAAGGGGGGUUGCACCCAGCCCUCUAAGGGCUGGUUCCCUUCCCUCUAUGGCCCAUGAGGCCCUCCAGGAGAGGUGACCCCUCCCGGUGGUCCCUCGGAACCCUUCCGGUGGCCCCGGUACAAUACCGGUAUGCCCUGGAACCUUUCCGUUGACCGUAUUACAACUUCUCAUAUAUAAAUCUUCACCUCCGGACCCUUCCGGAACUCCUCGUGACGUCUGGAUCUCAUCCGGGACUCCGAACAACAUUCGGUAAUCACAUACAAGUCUUCCUAAUAACCCUAGCGUCACCAAACCUUAAGUGUGUAGAGCAUGCGGGUUCGGGAAUCACGCAGACAUGACUGAGACAGCUCUCCGAUCAAUAACCAACAGCGGGAUCUGGAUACCCAUGUUGGCUCCCACAUGUUCCACGAUGAUCUCAUCGGAUGAACCACGAUGUCGAGGAUUCAAGCAAUCCCGUAUACAAUUGCCUUUGUCACACGGUACGUUACUUGCCCGAGAUUCGAUCGUCGGUAUCCCAAUACCUCAUUCAAUCUCGUUUCCGGCAAGUCACUUUACUCGUUCCGUAGUGCAUGAUCCCGUGACCAACCACUUGGUCACAUUGAGCUCAUUAUGUUGAUGCAUUACCGAGUGGGCCCAGAGAUACCUCUCCGUCAUACGGAGUGACAAAUCCCAGUCUCGAUCUGUGUCAAUCCAACAGACACUUUCGGAGAUACCUGUAGUAUACCUUUAUAGCCACCCAGUUACGUUGUGACGUUUGUUACACCCAAAGCACUCCUACGGUAUCUGGGAGUUACACGAUCUCAUGGUGUAAGGAAAUGAUACUUGACAUUAGAAAAGCUCUAGCAACCAAACUACACGAUCUUGUGCUAUGCUUAGGAUUGGGUCUUGUCCAUCACAUCAUUCUCCUAAUGAUGUGAUCCCGUUAUCAAUGACAUCCAAUGUCCAUAGUCAGGAAACCAUGACUAUCUAUUGAUCAACGAGCUAGUCAACUAGAGGCUCACUAGGGACAUGUUGUGGUCUAUGUAUUCACACAUGUAUUACGAUUUCCGGAUAACACAAUUAUAGCAUGAACAAUAGACAAUUAUCAUGAACAAGGAAAUAUAAUAAUAACAAUUUUAUUAUUGCCUCUAGGGCAUAUUUCUGACAGUAUGAGGUCGCCGCGGCCACCUGCCACGAGUCCAUCUUCAGAGUUGUACUGUUGCAUCUACCGUGUCAGGUCUCUCUGCCAUCGGCGCCACCACGACGCCAGACAGCGUCGUCCUCCUGCGCGAGUCCAUCCACCCACAUAGAACUCCGAAUCUGCACUGCACCACGCCGUCAAGAUCCAGUCGCCAUCAAUGUGUAGGAUGAAGCACCGCUCCACCAAAGAAGCCGUCCGCUGGUCCUGCGAAGCCGAGUGGACCUCCAAAAAUGCCGCCCCAAAGGGAGUUAUGACACAUGAAUGCCGCCAUCAUCCGAUCAGCUGAUCUAGGGUUUCCCCCGAAGGUAUUGAGUGGAGUUGGGAGCUUCACCUUGAUGAUGCCUUUGCGAAGGAAACGAUGAUAAUGGCAUCGUCAUCACCGGCUCUGGCCAUCAACCGAAGACCAGGUUUUCACCCGGAUCCGUCCCAAGAAAUCCACCCAACAAUCUGUGCACCGUCUCGACCGCCUUCAAAGCCCCAGAUCCAGCCGCCUAGAUCCGGCGACCAACCGCAUCAACAGUGCCACCGUGGGAUCCCUGGCGCACCGGCCCCUGCCUGAGUGUGCCACCACUGGAGCCUAGGAGGAGGGCUCCCACCCCGCCUCGCCAAGCCGCGAGAGCCGCCGCAGGAAGCCCUAGCUUCACCAGUCGCCACCCUCUAGGGCCGCCGCCCCGGGAUCCAGACAGAACCUUGCCGCUGCCACCGGCCGAGUUCCGCCACCGUCGACCGGCCACUGCGACCGCCGCCGCCAUGCCGCCAACGGAUCUGGGCGAGGAUAGCCAUCCUCCCCGAGGACACACGCCGCAGCCUCUUCUCCGCGUACUCGCACGAGAAGCCACCGUGGCCGCGUCCCCACCCCUCGUCGGAUGCCGCGCACGUGCCACCCCACGGCCGGCGAAGGCCGCCGCCACGAGGAGACCCGCACGCAGCCACCACACAGCUCGGCGUUGACCCAUCUGCAGCCGCGCCAUGGGCCCGCCGCCGUCAAGAUCGUCGCCGCCGUGCCGCCAGGAUCCGUGCACCCCGGCCCCCCGCUUGGCCUGGCCGCUCCCGCAGGCCACGAACGCGAGGAGGGGAGAAGGCCCCCGCCGCCAGCCACCGCGGGGGAUUUGCCCGGCUCUGGCCGGCGGCGGCGGUGAAGUGGAGGAGGAGGAGGGCUAGCGGCAAGGGGUGGCGGCGCCGCCCGCCGGAGGAGCGACGCGGGCGCUAGUAAACUCCUUGUUGAGUCUAUUUUUUUCAAAAUCAAAUUUCUUAUAGUGCGGGAACUAAUUUGUUUUAUACUAAUUGCUACCUGCCUGUGCGUGCGGUGAAGGAGACUUUACUGCGUUUUGUGGGGUAACCAAACAGGUCCUCUAUAUUGUGAAUACUUCAAAAAACGUUGUUAUAUUAAAACCAUGGUAUUUUCUACCUAGAGAUUAAAUUACUGUAGUUUUGGAUACUUUGGUUUCUAUAUUACUUUGCUAUCAAAAAAUUUAAUUACAAAUUUAAGUAACAAAAUAUUAAUGCAUGUCAAUAGAAAUUAUAUCGUUGAAUUCGUAUUUAAACAUAGUUUUUAAAGAUAUAAUUUUUUAUAACAUACAUGAGCAUUUUGUUAGUUCAAUUUAUGAUCAAAAUUUAGCAUGAAAUACAAUUACGAUCCAUAAACCAGGACCAAAGUAGUAUCAUUUAAAGUUUUUAAAUCACACAUGCUUGGGAAGGACAAGUUUUGCGGUAAUUUGCGUCGGUGUUUGCAAAGAAAGCAACGGUAUGUACUGAAGCUCCCGCGUGAGCAUCUCUUUAUUUCUGGUGAACGAUUUUGCUGAUUAAAGGUCAGCUACAUUCCCGAUGAGGGAUCGCUAGAAUUACGCCGAAGACGGAAUGUGGCAUCAUCGACGGAGGCAGAAAAGAAGGUAGGCCUUUUUCAGCUUUAAUAAUGCUGCUCGGAUUAGGGCGUCACCAAUACUGACACACAAACCGUCAACAACUAUUCAGACCGUGUGGUUCGAAUGUAUUGUGCCACCCAACUUAGUCUUGCAUCGGUAUGUAAAGCGGUUCAAUUUUAUUUUCUUCCGCAAACUAAAGAUAUACUAUGAAGAUUUUAAUGGUGUUCGGACCACGGUCGCGUCCGCUUCUGACCACUCUGGCCCACCCAAAACCCUCCCAUCCUUGCACGUGCACCUUCCCGUUUGGCGCCGCCGCUGUAGAGCGGCGACUUCGGAUUGACGCCGGUCCAGAGCAAACGUCACCUCUCACUAGCUCCGCCAUCGAAGUAGCACGCCGGCGAGGGCGCCGCCCACGCCACGUCCUCGGUGUCUGGCAUGUUCAAUGUUGGAGACGCAUUACUGGACGGGACAAGAUGGAUAUCUACCAUGCCCGUUUUCUGUCCCGUCCGUCCGUAUGCCUCCAUUAAGCAGGCUCGCCAGCCGAGAAACCCACUGUGGCGCCGCACAUUGACACACUCAGAUGCCUGGCCUCGCCAGAAUCCAUUAUUUAAAGGCGGCCACACCCGGCUAUCUCCACAUCAAAACACAAGUCACUUCACAUACUCCUCGUUGCACCACAUCCGUCAUGACUGCAGGCGGUAACGCUCUGUGAGAGAGCCUUUCGACGGAGAUGAAGUACGAGGUGGCCGCCCUUUGCGGCCGCCGUGCCAGGCGGAUCGAGGCCGACAUGCAGACCAACUCGCCUGAGGUCUUUGACGACGAGGACGACCCCACGAUGGAGACGGGCUCCGACGACACCGCACCGGAGGGCCACGCUCGUGCAUGUUGGCUUCACCAUGAAGCAGGCGCAGGCACACUUCAACACCACCAUGGCGGAGGAGCAGCAGGCGUGAGCGCCUAUCUCAGCGUUCUAGCAUGCGCAGGAAGAACGUCGCUACAAUAUGUUCCUCCUCGAGCAUCACCGGCUGGCAAAGGACCAAAUCAACGACGAACGCACAAACUAGGACGCCGCUGUGAAACUCAACUUCGCCGCGGAGCAGCGUGCACUCUACGAGGCCGUCCAUGCUCAAGCCACUACUCGCCAGGAAUAGGCCGAUACGGAGGCGCGGCUGUAGGCGAUCACGAAAGAGAACAACGCCAGAUGCGCGUCCUACGGGCCGUCGACGGACUUUCGGGCAGCCCAGUGGGACGACGAGAGCAUAGGCGCCUCCAUUUUCAUCGUGGACCUCAUGCCUAUUGGAAAUAUGCCCUAGAGGUAUUAAUAUUUUAUUAUUAUAUUUUCAUUUUCAUAAUUAAGAGUUUAUAUUUCAUGCUAUAACUGCUAUGAUCUCGGAAUAUGCGAUUCAGUGAAAAACUCAUAUGCACGUGUGGAAUGAUAAAUGAUAAAGAAUAGAUUCCUAGUCUUCCCUCUAAGACUGGCUCAAUUAUUAUUGAUGAUCAUAUUUUCCGAAUCUUAGAAUAUCGUUAAGUGUAACGAUAGUCCUAAAAAAUAUUGAGAGUAUGACGUUAGAAGAACGAUCAAAUUGAAUCGACCCAAAACUUGUUUGUCAUACUUUGAGAUUAUAUCGUCUGAAAUCAAUUGUUAUAACACGAAGUGUUAACAUGUGUUUUUAGUUCCUUAGACCAUUAGAGUAUCGUAGCCACUUCUCAUCGUACGGUGGAGUUUGGGGUUGCUCAAACAUCAUUUGUAACACGUUGACCAUAAUACAACUUACAAGUUCAUCGAAAAAUUUGACAAGGGACUAGAUAGCUCGAGAGUGGGAUUUGCUCCUCCGACAAUGAAGAGGUAUUCUUAGAUCCCUCUUGGUGUGACGGCAUCAAUAGUCGUCCGGAAAGACACGGGUCACUAUGUCGGGGAUGCCGGAACACUGCAACGACAAUAACGGUAUAGUAGCAUGGCAACAUUUCUUUUUCUGUGCACCAUUCAAUUUUCUUGGGAUGCUAUGUUAAAAUAUAUUUUUCAUAUAUUAAAUUGUAUAUACCAUGCUAUUUUUUAUAGAUUUUUCCAUCUUUUUGCAAGAAAGAAUCUCUAACCUUUGCCAUAUGUCCAUAGCAAUUUUUUCAAACAUUUCAUGAUUUUUAUAGAGAAAGAAAUAUACUAACUUACCAUAUUUUCAAAGAACAAACUUGUUAAAAAAAUUCCAUGUGUAAAUUUUCUUUAUAGAUAGAAUGGUUAUUUUAUUAUUUAUAUACCAUUGCAAUUUUACUUGUUACACCAUGGCAAUUUUAUUAAUAAGAGCAAGGUAGGUUUAUUGUAGGUAGCAUGGCAAAUAUUAUUAUUUACAACAUGUCUAUUUUUAUUAGUCAUACCAUGUUAGUUUUGUUUUACGUAACAUGGUACUUUCAUUAUUAAUUUCAUGCAUUUUUUAUUUUGCUACACCAUGAUAGUUUUAUUUUUCAUCGCAAUUUUAAACACAAUAUUGGCAUGUAAACUAGCUCUGAGGCCUUAAGGCCUUUCUAACUGCUCAACAUGGGCUUGUUUGUGGCCCAUUUUUUAUUGGACAUGUUUUAACGAGGUCGGUUUAUUGAUGGUAAUCCCUAUUUGGCGCUGCAGGCGCCAGUUACAGCUGCUUUCGCAAACCGGCGCCUGCAGCGUAGUUAGAUGGGCUCGGCCCAACUACCUGUUUGACACUCAAAAAACGAUGGCAAAGGGAAUGUGUGCGUACCCAGGAAUCAAACCAGCGAUCUUUCUGUUGCUAGAUCCCUCCACUAACCACCACACCACCUACGCCAAUCGCGAAUACAAACCUCCUUUCAUCGUUCUUAUACAUGCAGGAAAUGCCCACUAUGUUCUCCAUGUUUUUUCCCUUUUUUUUGUUUCCUGUUUCCUUUUUUCUUAAGUGCGUGAAAUGUUUCGUAAUAGACAAUAUUUUUUUCUAACACGUGAACUUUUUCUUUCAAUCAAUGAACUUUUUAAAUUUCAAUGAAAUUUUUUCAAGUUUGAUGAAUUUUUUCAAUUUCAAUGAAUUUUUUUUCAAACUUGAUUAACUCUCUUUUCAAAAUGAAUGAACGUUUUAACAUUUUGAUGAAAUUAUUUUAAAGAUCUAUGAACUUUUCUAAAUCCGAUGAACUUUUUUCAAUUUGAUGAACUUUUUUUUCAAAUCCAAUGAACUAUUUUCAAUUCGAUGAACUUUUUUUAAGUCUUAUGAACUUUUUUCAAAUCCGAUGAACUUUUUGAAAAUUGAUGAACUUUUCUCAGAUCUGUGAACUUUUUUUCAAAAUCCAUGAACUUUUUCAAAUUGUGAUGAACUUCUUUGAAAAUCGAUGAACUUUUUUCAAUUCAAUGAACUUUUUUUUUUCAAAAUCCAUGCACUUUUUUUUGAAAUUUGAUGAACUUUUUUCGAAUUCAAUGAACUUUUCUUCGAAAACAGUGAACUUUUUUUCAAAUUUGUGAUUUUUUUUUUAAAUGGAUGAAGGUUUUUUCGAAAUUGAUGAUCUUUUUCCAUUUUUUACGAACUAUUUUUCAUAUUCGUGGUUUUUUUGUGAAUUUCUUUUUCAAAUAAUUAACUCUGGGUAUAUUAUAUAUCUGUAGAGGAAUGGUCAAAUCUUCCCCUUUCUGGUAGUUGACAAGAUAAGCACCUCGGUCUGGUGGUUUGGCCGUUAGGUUGCUAUUCCUUAGGUGAUGGGUUCGAGUUCCAGUUUUUGCAUCGUAGUCUUUUACUGUUUUUUCUCCUCGAUUGGGCCGGCCCGCUAGCUCCCGCUGUUAGCGCUAACCGACCCUUGCAGCGCCGACUAGGAGCUCCCUUUAUCGAUGGCUCUUUGCUUUGUUCGUUCGAUCUUGAUGGGCAACACCGCGAACGCCCUUUUUCUACGAGAGGUUCGCCAGUUAGUUCCUCCCAGUUCGAACGGGCUCUGAAAAGCUAUCCGCCCGUAAUGAGUGCUUUGGUGUUAAUAACAAUAAUGAUUAGGCGACUAACUAUGUUUUGAGUGUGCUUUCAGUAUAUGCAUUAUUGGAACGGAACAUAAAGUUGGUCAGCAACCCUCUAAGCUAAAGGACAAAAGAAGACGACACGUUCAAUUUUCUACCGACAAUUUCUCGUAAGAGGGGAUACAUCAUGGAUCGUGUGUGGAAUCAAUGAAAAUGAUAAGCCAAAAUUACCACCCAAAUCCCAAUGAGAGACGAGCCCAUGUUUCACUUGUUAUUUGACUCUAGGACAAGUUAGACUAUCUGUCUAAUAUCUGGCCAUUAUCUGACUUGGUAACAGAAGCCUAUGUAAAGUCAGAUAAUCGUUGGAUAUUACCCAAAUAAUCUUCUAGUUAGACUAUCUGACUUGAUGACAGUAGCCUCUCUAAAGUCACAUAAUCGUUGGAUAUUGCCUUGAUAAUCCGACUUUUGUCAGAAUGAACAUAACAGGCAGGAAAGGGGACGAACUCCAUUCCUCUUUCCUUCACUAAUUCAAAGCUUCAAUAUUUGAUUCCUCUGUCUCUAGCCAACCAUAUUUCAAACAGACAAGGAGGAACACCCGAUCUACCAAUCCAUAUAAAAAACUUGAGUGUGUUGAUUCGCAUGAGAUCCUAGCAAAUAUUGUUACUCUUGGGUUUGUGGGGAACCCUGGGCAGUUGGCGCUACUCGGGAGCUUCCAAGUCGUGUGGUUGUGCUCCGGGUUCAUUUGCGACGUUUUGGAGAUUGCCCCAAAGAGCUACCCCUAGUCGAAGGGAGCCAAAGCAUUCGUUUCUUGUGGUUCGGGGAGAAGAAGACGAGACACUUGUUUUCGUGGGAGCAUUCAAUGUUGUCCCCUCUCAAACGAAGAUUAGCACACUCCAAGUGUGUGAACUUUGGACUACAUCAUCAUCUUCACCGCUUUCGCUUGUCUCUUUACGCGAGCUUUACUUGUUGUUUAUACUUGCUUGUGUGUUGUCUUGUGUUGGUUACUAGCUUGUUGCAACGUAUCGUAUAGGGUUGUAUCACCUAGUUGCAUUUCUAGAGAACUUAUAUUUUCGCACUUUUGUGCAAAAGCAACUAAGAAAAGGAUUUAAUUUGGUAGUCGCCUACUCAACACCCCCCCCCCCCCCCCAAGGUGACAUUAUUGCCAUCUUAGAUCCUUCAAAAACGUUCAACGGAUCGGAUGACUCACGUUCAGCCAGUAUUGACAUUCAACAAUUAUAUGAAGUACAAAGCAACUCAAAUAUAANNNNNNNNNNUCUCUUUACGCGAGCUUUACUUGUUGUUUAUACUUGCUUGUGUGUUGUCUUGUGUUGGUUACUAGCUUGUUGCAACGUAUCGUAUAGGGUUGUAUCACCUAGUUGCAUUUCUAGAGAACUUAUAUUUUCGCACUUUUGUGCAAAAGCAACUAAGAAAAGGAUUUAAUUUGGUAGUCGCCUACUCAACACCCUCCCCCCCCCCCCAAGGUGACAUUAUUGCCAUCUUAGAUCCUUCAAAAACGUUCAACGGAUCGGAUGACUCACGUUCAGCCAGUAUUGACAUUCAACAAUUAUAUGAAGUACAAAGCAACUCAAAUAUAAAAAUUACAUUGAGGCCUCUAGACUACCGAACAACCACUACCAAUGCCAGAAUGAGCCAUCAACACGCCGCUCCCCUAUCUAAGCCGGUUUGACCUUGUCGCAAAGUUUUAAAUAGCCGGCUAUAGCUCCGUUAUAGCCCGCUAUAUAGCCUUUUUAGUAGGGUGCCGCUAAGUGGUCCCAUGUACAAAUACCCCGCUAUAGCCUGCUAUAGCCCGCUAUAACUCCGCUAUAACUGAUUUUGAGGUCCACCGCUAUUCGGCAAUAGCCGCUAUUUAAAACAUUGCUUUAUCGGUGAUAGCUGAGAAGUCUUCGUGCACAUGCUCCUAAGGACCAAUGCCUUAGAGCCGUAGUCGUCGCCGUGGAACCCUUGAAUAGACCUGAAGCAAUGGCAUCAAAUCUCACCAUUGAGGACACAUGACGAGAGACCCUAACCUCGCCGCCCCAAGGAGACGACAGGAAUAUAUGUCAGAGCUCCAUUGAUGAUGUACAUAUGGAUGAACUUGCAGAGGAUCGGGCCCAAAAGUCGGACUCGAAGAAGAAGCUCAGCCAUCCGCAUGGGUGCCGCACCUGUAAGGACUAAAAAACUCUAACCUAAACCACUAGCAGGAGCGAGGGCAUCGGGAUUCCACACCCACCACUAACUGAUGGAAUGACAUGCAAAGGAGAAGCGAAUCCACGAGCUCGAUGGUGAAGCCUCUAGGGUAUAGUUUGCCCUACUUGUUGGGAGAAAAUGGUGAAAAUGUUAUGAGAAGAGGUCUGGUUUGAUAGGACUUCAUCUCUGAGUUCUUCUCCCUCAAAGACAUUGUCCUAUGUGCGAUAGUAUGAGGUAAGUAUAUGUUUUUUUGUGGGGAAAACUUCUAAUAUAUUUAUCAAACAUCGAAAUUAUAUCCAUGUGCAUACGCCACCUAGCAACGACAACUACCUGGAGCGAGCUGAAGGCGUUUCGCCUUCAACGCCCCUCCCUUGCCCAAGCUUGGCAAACCUUGUUGUAGCAGAAAAUCGUGAAUUCACCGAGCUAAGGCCCCAAAGACUAGCAACCCAGAAAAACAAUCGUCUUUGAUGAAGAGAAGUGUAGAUUGGAAAGAUGCAAUCUUUAGAGACACAAAUACCUUUAGAGACACAAAUAUAGACAAACGAAGACCGGAUCCAAGAAGAGCCAUUGAAGACAAACACCGACAGAAUCCCGUUAGAUCCGCCGGAGACACAUCUUCAUACAUCCUCCUCUGACGCUAGACGCACCGUCGGGGCGAGGGCUGGGAGGGGAGAAUCUUACUCUAUCUUUAGAAUGUCGUCGCCACCGUAUCUUCCUGAGCAGGAUACAAACCUUAAACAAACUAAGAAACUGCACCUAAAAACAAUGCAGGAGCCAUCCCACCGCAAGCGGUAGUCGAGGCAAGGGCUGGCAGGGGCCUCGGCCCGGGCCAACAUGUAGACUUUCCCAUUAUAUCACAGAUGGCUUGCUGCUAAUAUUUGUAUUACUAGCACAAACGCCCGUGCGUUGCAUCGGGUGAAAAAAACCCACACUUCCCUAACCCAAUUGCUCAAGACCCCCUUUCAUUCCACGACACAACGCCAGGCAUGAUGGGAUGAAUAAACUCUUUGAAAUCGGCUGCCGUGAAAAUAUAUACUGUAGAAAAAUAUGCAUGUAUUUCGGUUUUCAGUUCAUUUGUAUUCACCCCACAGGUAUGUCACAAAAGCUUUAGUUGGUGCGGUGGCUAGCUGGUCGGGUGAAUAAAGUGGAGGUCCACAGUUUGAAUCCCAGACGGCUCGCUUUUUUCUUUUUAUGCAUUUGUCGCCCGACCUCUCGCGCGAGGUCAAAGAUUUAUUAUCAUUUGGCUAAUAUAGUAGGGAAAAAUCAAGUAGUUGUGUUGGAAACACCAUGAAAUUUGAGUCUGACUCCUCAUGCAUUGUGACUGGUGGCACUGGGCUGAGCGAGGCUGGCUUCUACGUGACGAUGUCUAGUAGAGGAGCAUGUCAGUGACCGGCAUCUGUUGUUCGACUCGGUCAUACCAAAGAGCAAUGGAGAAAAAAAAUCCCAAUACAGUCAUGGACAUAACUUUCUUCUUAAAGUUUGAACAUAUAUUCAUUCCCGGCAUUACGUCGGCGCUUUCAAUAUUAGGCCAUCACUUAAAUACAGUAGAAGAUUAGCCUCCACGUACGGAUAUCAUGGAAAUUUGGCACAAUUUUCCCUCAAUUCUGGUUCCUUCCUUGAAUAAUCCUUCCUGUAUUUCUCUAUUUUUUUGAGAGAUGCGGAGUCAUUGGACCGAUUUGUGUGCAUGAGUUUUCUCAUUACGGCAAUAUAAUCCAUCGAGCAGCCAGGUUCCACGUAGGUGCAGUUUUCACACACAUAUUUUAACUGAUGAUAUGAGAUGUACUAAAGCGAGGCGGUACUAAACAGAAACAUUGUCUAGCUCGAUUGGUUGCAGCCUUAGAAAUUUCCUAGGAGGCUAUGAGUUCGAUCCCCCUGGUAGCGACACAAUGCGCCACUGUUUUUGCCUUUCCGGAGGCAGGGAAAAGUGUGGUGGGCCGGCUUCAUGAGGCCCAAGCGGGUGCGCGGGGCGGAUGGGUGCAGGCCAAACAAACGCAACGCAGGGUGUACGCUCAACAGCGGAGGCAGGGGAAUAGUACCACCUCGUAGAACCGAUUAAAGAGGCCACGUACGGAAGAGUGAAAAAAAAAAGAGAAUGAUGGUGAACCCACACGGAAUAGUGAAAAAAAAGGAUGACGGUGAACCCGGAGACCCANNNNNNNNNNNNNNNNNNNNNNNNNNNNNNNNNNNNNNNNNNNNNNNNNNNNNNNNNNNNNNNNNNNNNNNNNNNNNNNNNNNNNNNNNNNNNNNNNNNNNNNNNNNNNNNNNNNNNNNNNNNNNNNNNNNNNNNNNNNNNNNNNNNNNNNNNNNNNNNNNNNNNNNNNNNNNNNNNNNNNNNNNNNNNNNNNNNNNNNNNNNNNNNNNNNNNNNNNNNNNNNNNNNNNNNNNNNNNNNNNNNNNNNNNNNNNNNNNNNNNNNNNNNNNNNNNNNNNNNNNNNNNNNNNNNNNNNNNNNNNNNNNNNNNNNNNNNNNNNNNNNNNNNNNNNNNNNNNNNNNNNNNNNNNNNNNNNNNNNNNNNNNNNNNNNNNNNNNNNNNNNNNNNNNNNNNNNNNNNNNNNNNNNNNNNNNNNNNNNNNNNNNNNNNNNNNUUAUUGUCAUUAGGUAUAACAAGUGGCCCCUGCUGCCUUGUAGCUUGCCAUAGGAGAUAGACUAUCUCACGAAUGUUGCCCGCAUAAGCCAAUCUUCACGCAUCAACGAGCAUGCGCAUACUUCUCGGUUGCUCAUGUGUUCUAUUCCAUCUCGUCCGGACGGCCAGCACCAACCAGUCGAGGCCUAGGCACAUCCUUGAGCCUGCGACACAUCGCGAGGAGGCGGGGAGAGACUUGGACAGGGUGUUCGUCGAUGUCGUUGACUGCAUGAACUCUGGCUCACCGGCCGCUGUCGUGGCAGACUGCUACGCUCUGGACAAACUCAACUGAUCGCCGGCGGCUGGUGGCAGAUCAUCUGAGUCGUUGGACGAGGAGCCGUGGUCGCCGUUGUUGUCAGAGGUGUCAGAGAGGAUGAUGAGUCCUUUCAACCGCCAGAUAUCCCGGUCCUGCUGCCGCUUGAGCUUCGCGAGCCAAGCCGCCUCCGCCGCUGCCUCCGCCGCCUCACACUCGGACUGUUCAAUGGCAAUACGGAAUGCCUUGGUGUUCUUCCGGAGGAGUUGCCGCGCAUCCGUCUUCGCGGCCAUAAGCGACGGACGGUAGACCCAUUCGAGGAGACGGGUGUCCAACAUGUUUCAGUCAAGAGCAAGUUGAUAAAUAAUUUGGAUGAUACUCUUUUGGACGAUUGCCUUGUCACAUUAUUGGGAUGGAUGCUUUUUUCCGAGGUGAAUGAUGAUGAUAUAGUGGAUACAUUCAUGGCUAUGCAAAAGCGUAGGCUGGAAACAUAGUUUUCUUUCACUUCUCAAGGUAUGUACUAUGUACUAUGUAAACUUAUUUUAUGCAAAAUUGAGACUUGAAUGAGAAUUUUAGUGUGUUUAUAAGGCCAUACUAAUCUAUUUAUGUGAUACAUGCAAUUAGUUAAAAUGUUUACAUGUCAUACUGUUUAAAAAAGAAGUUGAAGGCGGACCACCCUGCUGUCAAAUGCUAGCUCCGCCACUGGUCGAGGGUGACACCAACGCGAGGCGGCGAAACACUAAGCGUGGACUCGCUCUUGGUCGGAGCAAGAGGAAAACGUUUUGGGUAUAUAAGUAUAUAUGGUUUUAUAUUAUAGUAUUAACAAGAAGGUCUAGCUUUGGCCUAAACUUAUUCCCAAGUGAUCUCGGUUGUGUGUUUACUGUCGUUCGGUAGUGUGAAUCAUGCGGCGCCGAGUUUGAAAUAUGUCCCUUUCCCUAGGCUAAUCCGAUUCACUGAUAUUAUAUCUUACGGACGGAUAAAUGUACAUCUAACUUUUUUGAAGUCAAAGUUUUAAAAUGUUCACCAAUCUUUUAGAGAAAAGUACAAGCAUUUAGGGCAUCUUCAACGGCAACCCGUAAAUUUUCCCCGCGUCCAUCCGUGAACGGGGACCAAUCCGUGGACAUAGAUGUGGAAGAACACCACCCAACCAUAGCCGCAUACAUUUCAAACUCUUUUUUAACAAACCAGAUGAAAAUCAGACAAACAUGAUUGAAUUUCAAAUAAACAUGACAGAAUUCAUACAAACCUGACGAGAAUGGUUAAAUUUUGGACAUACUAACUUAUAAGGUAAAACUGUAUGCACAUACAAUCCACGGACCUCCACUCCCAUGAUAGAAUACACUACAGUAGUCUACGGCCAGGCACGACAGAUCCCUUUGUCUUCCCCAUGUCCGGCAGCCUGCUAACCGGACUGUCGGGAGCCCCGGAGACAUAAUCUUUGCCAGUAUCUUUCCUAUGUCUGGCUACGACGUUCGAAGUGGCAAAGAGGGUGCUUCAGCUGGAGGGGAAGGUGAUUUCGUGAAGCCCAGACGGGUGUGCCCACAAUGGUCUAAGAGAAAGACAGGACAGGUCACCGCUUGUACAGGUCGGCGACACGCCAGCCGUGGCCUCCAUGGGAUACAAGCGGCGGCGGCCUCCAACUCGUCGACAUCCGUGUAGCCGGCUUCUUUUUGUACGUGCAUGGGGCGGCCACGCGCGCGUCAACGACAGAUGAUGUGGUCGCAGGCACUGGUGGCGGCGAUGCCCGUGCCGCCGUGCUCCUCGUUGUGCCUGGAUGGAGCAACUCAACACGCCUCCGUGAGUUGUCUUCGAGCGGCAAUUUGCUGAACCACGCGCUGACUUGAGGAGGCAACUGGCUCCGUCAGGCUAGGCGAGUGAGGUGGAGCAGCGAGCUGCCUCGCUCAUAUCCGGCGGGCUCUGCGGGCCACCCACCCGGCUUUUAUGCCAGAGAACCGCUCUUUCGACUCGUCGGAUGCCAUCGGAAGAGUGGAGAAAAUAGUGAAGUGGAAAUGGGGAGCGGUGGAGUGGUGCUAUUCUUGCCCAGCGUCUGGCCUUAUUUAAAUACAGGACGAACGGGAGGUGCUUGACCGGUGCUGUGUUUAAUGCCGGCCCGUUCGUGAAUGGACGUGUAACCGGAUUAGAUAUCUCGGCUUCCAUGCGGGUUUAAAGAAGGCGUUUGAAUGUGGUAAGGAAGCGUGUUCAACCGAGCGUGCAGCGGGCAGCACCCUCGGCCGAUGCGCCGCUUCAAUUGCGGAGAUAGUGAGAGGUUGUGUCCGCCCUGAGCUGCCUUCAAUGUGGAGCGACGCGCUCUACAGCGGCAUGAAUGUGAGCAGCUAACGCCGGGUGGAAAACGGGCGAGAGAGGGAGGGGUUGGUGGACAAGGACGUUCAGAAACGGGCUUGGGAUUGGUCCGGACUCCCGCAAACCUCGCCGCGUUUGUUGUCGUGGUUCUAAGUCUGACAGUAAUGUAGGGGGUACUAAAGGAGAGGCAAGAUCCUAGCUAUGGAGUAGUUUUUCACGCAAGUGUUUUACGAGUUCAGGACCUUCUCGGAGGAAGUAACAGCCCUACGUCUCGGUGCCCGGAGGCGGUCGACUGGAUUAUAUGCGUGAGAGUUACCGGGGUGCGAACCCUUCUGCCUGUGGAGGGGGGUGGCUUAUAUAGAGUGCGCCAGGACCCUAGGCAGCCCACGUAGCAGAGAGUUCAAUGUACAUAAAGGCCAGGCGUUACUGGUAACGCCUUACAUAAAGUGAUAUCAUGGCCAUAAAGACUACUUAAUAACAGACCGUUUGGCCGUAGAGUGACCUUAGAUCUUCUGGUGGUUGAGUGAGUCUUCAUGGUCGACUGUUUUCGAGUCCGUCGAGUGGAAUCCUUCCAGGUCGACUGAAAGGUAGUUUCUUCUAGAGAUGUCCUUGGGUAGGGUACUUUGGUCAGGUCCGUGACCCUACCCUAGGUUCAUGGCUUCAUCAUUAGCCCCCGAAUGGAUCGAGGUUUGAGUGAGGAAGGAGUUGAGAAUUCUUCCGACCCCUCUUUUUGUGAUAUGAGUAUGUCUUGUUCUGGAUCAAUGACCUUAGGUGACGGCACCAACUUCUUUUUCAGUCACCUUGAUCCAUUCUUUAUAUUAGUCGAGUAACUUUUUUAUACUUGGAGAUCUCCGAGCGAUGGAUCAGAGGAAAUCUUCAGUCUGACAAGUUGCUCUGCUGUUCACGGAUUUAGCGGGAUCUGAAUUUCGGGAAGCGCGCGGGGCGGAGGAAGCCGCAGUACUCGGAUGGGAUAAGGCAGGGACGCCUCGAUUUCCGCGCCACCUUUUUCGCCACGUAUCGCGCGCGCGACUGUUGCGGGAUUUGACAGGAUCGCCCGAGCCUACCAGUCAACCACUCGGAAGAGACUUCAUAUAAGGCACCGGACGAGGGUUUUUCAAACAGUGCGCCCUCAAUCUCCUCUCCCUCUUCUUCGAACUCACCCGCUGCGCUCGCUUGCACCUCUGCCUCGCUGCUCCUUGCGCGCCUCGCCGGCGAUGAUGGUGAAGGAAAAGACGGCGGCUUUGGAGCGGGCGAAGAAGGCGACGGUGAAGGCGAAGGGGAGAGCGCCUAGUCGGGGCGGAUCUUCAUCGCGGUCUGGCCUGCCGCAGGGCUGGAUCCAGGGAGAUUGGAUCCGCUCGACCAUCACCCAGAAGGACCUCGACGACCUGGAAACGAAGGAUUGAUCCCCCAUGGGUCAGCAAGGCUUCCGGGGAAGGAGUGGCAGCCGCAGCCUCAGGAGGGUGAGUGCGUCCUCUUAGCCACCCAUGUAGAUCGCGGUUUUUCUCUGCCGCCGAAUCUUUUCUUCCGAGGGUUUCUGAACUUUUUUGGUGCACAACUCCACCAUUUCACACCCAACUCCAUUGCCUACCUCACCGCUUUCGUGUCUUUGUGCGAAAACUUCUUGGGUUGCCGGCCGCACUGGGGCCUUUUCAGACACAUUUUCACCUGUCGCUCUUAGACGGUGAAAAAGGCUAACCCGAAUGACGAGAGGACCCAAGUAAUCCAUAUGUGUGGGGGUCUUGGGGUUCAGAUGAGGAGUAAGAGUGCCUAUCCAGCCAUGACCCUUCCUGAGUCAGUUCGAGGGUGGCAGUCGACCUGGUUCUACUGCCAAGACCAGUCGACUGACCUCCCCCCGUUCUCCAUGGACCGAGUGAACAAGCCAUCUUCUCUGAAGGUGCUUCCGGAGGAGAAGGCUCAGGUUAGGAUGUUGAUGGAGCGCGUGGUCCAGCUCAUUCGCGACGGAGUGACGGGCAUGGAUCUUCUAGAGGUUUUCCUUCGACGACGCAUUCAGCCACUUCAGUACCGGGGCCAUCUGAUGUGGUUGUACUCUGGUACUGAAGACACCACUCGGGUCCACCCGGAGGAGGUCGACGAUGUCACCCUGGAGAGGUGGAUGACCGCCAUCACGGGGAACAGAGAUAAUCCUCGUGGAGCAAGGAGGAUCCCGCCACUCGACCAGUCCUACGAACCAGACAAGGUUUGACUACAUUUCUCUGACUUGUGAUUCUGUUUUCUUCAUUCUGCUUUGCUGCAGUUCGGUCGACUGACCUUUAUCUUGUUCGUUGUCUUCUAGGUCACAACCGAGAUGUACUCGAUGCCCAACGGGGCGCAAGAACAGGCCAAAGAAGAAGAAGGAAGUGGAGGUGAAAGUCAGGAGGAGUGGGAGUCGGAUGGCGACGAAGGUGAAGAAAAUGCCGGCUCUGAUGAGGAAGAGGAGGAGGCAGUCGAGCCUCCUCGUACUGAAAGAUGGUCCAAGCUCGCCCAUGAUCCUGCGGUCGAGCGAGGCAAGGGAGUCGUGCCUCCUGGGUAGUCGACCAAACGCCCUCGGACGACUUCUCCGGCGCCGACUGAGAAAGCGUCGAAGCAACCCCGAGCGGCACCGACAAAACCGGCGAAGGCUCUACCAAAGAUGAGGAUGGAGAUUCCGACUAUUUCUGGGUAACGGCAUAACCCAUGUUUUCUCUUUCAACCUGGAUAUAUUCUUGGUCGGCUCGAUUGUUGACUCACUGAAUUCUGAAAAUCACAGAGCUGCUACUUCUGAGACCUCAGCCAGGCAUGGAGAUCAAGAAAUGGAGGAUGCUGCUACUUCCAUUCCUGGUAUGAUCUGUGCAGUUUCACUUUUGGUCGAUCGGAUCUUCAUUUUUAACUUUGAACCUUUUGUGUAGCUCCACCUAGCAUUAUCAUUGAUCUCCCCGACGACGACGAUGAGGAGCCACUGAGGCAAAGGAAGAAUAGGAAAGCGUCUGCUGGCAAGACUGCUCAGGUUGCGUCAACGCCUGAGACAUUGGUUCCGGAGGGGGGCAACGUUGCUCGGGCUACCGUGUCCUUUGCGGUGCCAUUGACGAGUGUCCGCCCUCCGUCGUCGAGUGCUGAUCCACCUUCCCUCUUCUCCACACACCACGUCCCGGAGGACCAAGCAGGUGCUGCAAAGGAAGCCAUACGCCAGGCGGGGGUCAUGAUGGAGCAGGUGAAGGCGAUCCGAGACGCCAGCCAAGCAGCUUAUGAUGCAAGUUCAGCUCUCCAGAGCAAUGUCCAGGUUAGUUGACCACCGCCUGUUCUAUUAGGAUAUGAUACCUGACAAUUUUUCUUUCUAAACAUGUUAAUACUUGUCAUACACCCACUGGGUGUGUCGAUUGAAAAGUCUGGAUUAGUGGGGGCACGCUGAGUGCACCCACUGGGUGUAGUCCCCGAGACUACGGUGGACUGCUGGCAGUUGACUGUAGUCUUUAUGUCUUGAUUUUUUUUACUUUCUUCACUCGAUCUGGUCGAAUGGAAUCAUGAAACUAGUGGGGGCACACUGAGUGCACCCACUGGGUGUAGUCCCCGAGAUCGUGGUCGACUGCUGGUAGUCGGCUAUGGUAUGAAGAAUACUUUUGCUCUUUUUUUUGUCUAAUUGUCAGCAGUUAGCUACUUUCGGUCGACUGAUCGAUCCGAGCCGGUAGAAACAUUGGGGGCACGCUGAGUGCACCCACUGGGUGUAGUCCCCAAGGCUACAGUCGAAAUUUUUGGUUCAACUGCAGUCUUAGAAAUGCUAUGAUUUUUCUCUUAGUCACUCAGAAAUGACCUGUCUUUGAUGUCUGUCGACUGAUCCUUCGCAGAAAUCUUGCGAGCUUGUGGCUCGUUAUACUGAGUUGGAGAACAAGCAUAUCCAGCUCGAACUUGAUCUGAAGCUUGUCCAGGAGAAAUUCACGAAGGCGAAGGAGGAGGCAAAAGGUAUGUUUGGUGAGAACCUUGACGACUGCCCUUAUUUGUUGUCCAUUCCUGAGUCUGACCUCACUGUCAUUUCGUAGACAAACUAAGGGAUGCUCUGAAGAAGAGGACCUUGACCUCGCCGAGGCGCAGAAAGCGGCUUCGGACAAGACGAAACUCGCAGAAGAAAAGUUGGCUUCAAUCAGCAAACUUGAAGAAGAAAAUACCAAUCUGAAAGCUGCUCUCGACGUGACCAACAAGGAGGUCACUCGACUGAAGAAUGACAAGAUGGCCCUGAGUGACAAGGCUAGCGAACUGGUGGGAAAGAAGAACGACCUAGAAGCUUAUCUGGGAGGGCUCGCCAAGAAGUUACUCCUCAUGCUCGAAGGUAACCCCUUAUAUCCGACUGGUAAUCACUGACUUAUUGUGUGAACUUUAGCUUAUCCUUGGACCGUAUCCACAGAAUUCUGCCAAAACUUUAAAGAGGAGACUAGUCGAGUGGAGCUGGCUUAGAUCCCGUCAACUCUCCUGUGAAGGAUGAAGCCGCCAUGAACGUGCUCCGUCUCGAGUCUCGCAUUGCUGCUGUGGUCGACUACCUUGCGAGACUGAAGGUUGCAACAUCACGCAUCAACACAGCACUUUGGCCGGGAGAAACACUUCAAAACGAUCUCGAGUCUCUGAUGACUCGACUGAAAGAAGUUCCAAGUCGAGUGCAAGAAUGGAAAAAAUCUUCUGCCAGGUGUGGUGCCGACGUUGCUCUGUCUCUGGUGCGUGUUCACUGCAAGGACGCGCGAGAGGACAAGCUGGCGUCUCUCAAAGUGGCCAAUACCAAGAAGCACGACUUCUGAUCUUUCAUGGAGACCUUCAUUGUUGCUGCCACUCGGAUCGCAGAUGGAAUCGACCUGGACGAGUUCGUUGCACCUUCCAGUCCUCCGCAGGAGGAGUAAAAAACUUCUAUGCUCGAUGCUUUAAAUUUGCCUCGGAAUGCCGAGUGGUUUUUGUAACCGAUAAACUUUAACAGGCUUGGUGCCUGAGCACUUCUGGAUCCAUAAGACGUUAUCUGAACUUGGGUUUGCCGUUGAAUAUGUUUGCUUCUGCCUUUGAACGAUCAUUGUCCUUUGCUCGGAAUAUAUACUAGUGUUUGUGAUGAACUUUUGCAGGUAGGGACAAAGCACAAAUUGCAAUUGACUUGUACUCGUCAUGCUUAGGUGAGCACUGGGCCGUGGCUAAGCUCCCGAGUGGAAGGCUUGCUCGACACUCGGUAGGAUUUUCAAAAACUUAGGCGAGCACUGGGCUGCAGCUAAGCCCCCGAGUGGGAGGUUUGCUCACCACUCGGUAGGAUUUUCAAAAACUUAGGCGAGCACUGGGCUGCAGCUAAGCCCCCGAGUGGGAGGUUUGCUCUCCACUCGGUAGGAUUUUCAAAAACUUAGGCGAGCACUGGGCUGCAGCUAAGCCCCCGAGUGGGAGGUUUGCUCUCCACUUGGUAGGAUUUUCAUGGUGUACCUCCGAAGGAGAAGAUAGCAGUCAACCUGCGCUUCGUCCUCCUUGCGGAGCGCAUGUUGUAUUUAUGGCGUAGCUCGGAAGGAGAAGGCAGGAGUCGACCUACGCCUUGUCUUCCUUGCGGAGCGCACGUUGUAUUUAUGGCGUAGCUCGGAAGGAGAAGGCAGGAGUCGACCUGCGCCUCGUCCUCCUUGCGGAGCGCAUGUUGUAUUUUAUACUUAGGCGAACACUAGGUUGCAGCUAAGCCUCCGAGUGGGAGGCUGGUUCACCACCCGGCAGGAUUUGGUUUAAACUUAGGCGAGUACUUAGACUGCAGCUAAGCCUCCGAGUGGAAGGCUGGCUUACCACUCGGUAGGAUUUUGUUUAAACUUAGGCGAAACGGAUUCACAGCUAAGCCUCCGAGUGGAAGGUUGGCUUACCACUCGGUAGGAUUUUGUUUAAACUUAGGCGAAACGGAUUCGCAGCUAAGCCUCCGAGCGGGAGGCUUGCUCUCCACUCGGUAGGAUUUUUUUACAAACUUAGGCGAAACGGAUUCGCAGCUAAGCCACCCACAGGGGGACAGAUUUGUGUGAAAAAAAGUAACAACAAUCACUAGGAAAAUUAUAAAACUCUUGUCUUUGAUAAAUAAACUACAGAAGUACUUUUAUUACAACUUAUCCGAGUGAAUACUUAAGUAUAAAAGGGGCGGAGCAGAUCCGCAUUCCAAGCUCGUGGCUCGUCAAUCUGGCGAUCGACGUUGUAAAGAUGGUAUGCUCCGUUGUGGAGAACUUUGGUAACAAUGAAGGGGCCUUCCCAAGUAGGGGCGAGUUUGUGCGGCUUCUGUUGGUCCACUCAGAGGACCAAGUCUCCUUCCUGGAAGGCUCGACUCUUCACAUUUCUAGCGUAGAAUCGACGCAAGUCUUGCUGAUAGAUGGUCGACCGGAUCAUGGCCAUCUCUCUUUCUUCUUCUAGAAGGUCGACUGCGUCCUGCCGGGCUUGUUCUGUUUCGACUUCAGAGUAGAGCUCGACUCGUGGUGCAUUGUGAAGCAGGUCACUUGGCAGAACCGCUUCAGCUCCGUAGACCAGAAAGAACGGAGUUCUCCCAGUCGACCGAUUUGGAGUAGUCCUCAAUCCCCAAAGAACUGAUGGAAGUUCGUCGACCCACGCGCCUGCUGCGUGCUUGAGGUCACGCAUCAACCGGGGUUUCAGUCCCUUGAGAAUUAGGCCAUUUGCUCUUUCUGCUUGUCCAUUCGACUGGGGGUGGGCGACUGAAGCAUAGUCGACUCGAGUGCCUUGAGAAGCGCAGAAGGCUUUGAACUGAUCGGAAUCGAAGUUUGACCCAUUAUCAGUGAUGAUGCUAUGCAGAACUCCAUAUCUGAAUAUCAAUUCUCUGAUGAAGCUGAUGGCAGUGCCAGCAUCAAGAUUUUUAAUGGGCUUGGCUUUGAUCCACUUGGUGAACUUGUCGACUGCCACCGGUACAUGGGUAAAGCCGCUCCUGCCAGUUCUCAGUGGUCCAACCAUAUCUAACCCCCAAACAGCGAAAGGCCAGACGAUUGGAAUGGUCUUCAAGGCUGAGGCAGGCUUGUGUGACAUAUUGGAGUAGAACUGACAUCCUUCACACUUGUCGACUAUCUAUUUUGCCAUUUCAUUUGCUCUAGGCCAGUAAAAGCCUGCUCGGUAUGCUUUAGCCACGAUGGUCCGAGAGGACGCGUGAUGGCUACAGGUCCCCGAGUGGAUGUCGUUGAGAAUCAUUCGACCCUCUUCCGGUGUUAUGCAUUUCUGGCUGACUCCAGUCGCGCUUUCUCUGUACAACUGUCCCCUCAUGACAAUAAAGACAUUGGAUCGACGGACGAUCUGCCGAGCCUCUUCUUCAUUCUCUGGGAGCUCUUUCCUUAGGAUAUACGCGAUGUAAGGCACUGUCCAGUCGGGAGUGAUAACCAGAACUUCCAUGAUUAAGUCAACCACAGCUGGGACCUCAACUUCAGUCGGAUCUGUGGCACUUUCUGGCUGCGGGGCUUCUUCGGUGAAAGGAUCCUCUUGAACCGACGGUACGUGGACAUGUUCCAAAAUUACGCCACUAGGAAUGGCUUCUCUUUUGGAACCUAUCUUCGCCAAGUCAUCAGCUGCUUGAUUUUUCAGUCGGGGCACGUGAUGAAGCUCUAACCCCUCGAACUUCUUCUCAAGCUUUCUUACUGCGUUGCAGUAACCAGUCAUAGCUGGGCUUCUGACGUCCCACUCCUUCAUCACUUGGUUGACCACCAAAUCCGAGUCGCCGUAGACCAUGAGGCGACGGACGCCGAGUGAAAUGGCCAUACGCAACCCAUACAAAAGUGCUUCGUAUUCUGCUUCGUUGUUGGAGGAGUCAAAGUGAAUCUGGAGUACGUAUCUGAGCUUAUCUCCUCUGGGAGAAACCAACACUACCCCGGCACCGGAACCAUUCAGCAUUUUAGAGCCAUCAAAGAACAUAGUCCAGUGCUCCGAGUGAACUUGAGUCGGUAACUGCUGUUCAGUCCACUCGGCGAGGAAAUCUGCUAUUGCUUGGGACUUGAUAGCCUUCUUUGCCUCAAAUCUGAUAUCAAGGGGAAGGAGUUCAAUCGCCCAUUUUGCCACUCGACCAGUUGCAUCUCUGUUGUGCAGAAUCUCUGAUAAGGGGGCAUCGCUGACGACUGUGAUGGUAUGGUUAGAGAAGUAGUGAGCAACUUUCUUUGUGGUCAUAUAAAUCCCAUAUACAAGCUUCUGAUAAUGAGGGUAUUGUUGCUUUGAUGGGGUCAGGACUUCGGAAAUAUAGUAUACUGGGCGCUGAACUUUGAAGGUUUUCCCUUCUUCUUCCCGCUCGACCGUAAGUACUGUACUGACGACUUGUCCUGUGGCUGCAAUGUAAAGCAGCAAAGGCUCUUUGCUGAUCAGGGCAGCAAGCAUCGGCUGGGUGGAAAGCAGGGUUUUUAACUCUGCAAACGCUGCGUCAGCUUCAGGAGUCCACUCGAACUUGUCUGACUUCUUCAUCAGUCGGUAAAGAGGCAAUGCCUUCUCACCGAGACGAGAUAUGAAUCGACUUAAAGCGGCCAAGCAACCAGUAAGCUUCUGAACAUCAUGCACACGCACAGGUCGUUUCAUUCGGAGUAUAGUGCCCACUUUCUCUGGGUUUGCAUCGAUUCCUUGUUCGGAAACGAGAAAACCGAGUAACUUUCCGCCAGGAACUCCGAAUGUGCACUUGGAUGGAUUAAGCUUGAUAUCAUACCUCCUGAGGUUGGCAAAUGUUUCAGCAAGGUCAGUCAGCAGGUCGGAACCUUUCCGUGACUUGACCACAAUGUCAUCCAUGUAUGCUUCCACAUUCCGACUGAUUUGAGUGAGCAAACACUUUUGAAUCAUCCUCAUGAACGUGGCUCCGGCAUUCUUGAGGCCGAAUGGCAUGGUGACAUAACAGAAGCACCCAAAUGGGAUGAUGAAAGCUGUUUUGAUCUCAUCGGGUCCAUACAGACGGAUCUGAUGGUACCCGGAAUAGGCGUCUAAGAAAGACAGUCGCUCACAUCUCGCAGUCGAGUCGACUAUUUGAUCGAUGCGGGGAAGAGGAAAAUGAUCUUUCGGACAGGCCCGAUUGAUAUGUUUAAAUUCAAUGCACAUGCGAAGUGAGUUGUCCUUCUUGGGGACCAUGACAACAUUGGCGAGCCACUCGGAGUGGUAAAUCUCUCGGAUAAACUCUGCUGCUAAGAGUCGAGCCACCUCUUCGCCAAUAGCCUUCCUUUUCUGGACGGCGGACCGUCGCAGAUGUUCCUUGACAGGUUUUGCCUUUGAAUCGACUCGCAAACGAUGCUCAGCCAGCCCCCUGGGUACACCUGACAUGUCAGAAGGUUUCCAUGCAAAGAUGUCCCAGUUCUCACGGAGGAACUGGAUGAGCGCUUCUUCCUAUUUUGGGUCGAGUGUUGUGGAGAUGUGAGUCGGAGCAGCGUUGGGGUCGGUCGGGUGGAUGUGAACUGGUUUUGUCUCACCGGACGACUGAAACGUUGAUUCCGUAGCGGGCUUCUUGGCUCGCAAUAAAUCACUCGGGUCUACAUUCCUUUGGUGUUCCUGCCACUCUUCUGCCACCAUCUGAGCAUCGGCGAUCUUUGAGCCUUUUUGGAAGCACUCUUCUGCCUUCUUGUGAUUACCAGUAACGGUGAUCACGCCUUUAGGGCCAGGCAUCUUCAAUAUGAGGUACACGUAACAUGGUCGAGUCAUAAAACGUGCAUAAGCUGGCCUGCCCAAAUUAGCGUGGUAGGCACUCUGGAAAUCUACAACCUCAAAUGUCAGCUUUUCUUUGCGGAAGUUCUUGGAAUCACCAAAAACCACAUCGAGAGCAAUCUGGCCGAGUGAUGCGGCCUUCUUGCCAGGAAUGACUCCAUAGAAACUCAUGUUGCUUGUGCUGAGUCUGGACAUCGGAAUGCCCAUCCCUUUCAGCGUCUCAGCAUACAAUAUAUUCAAACUACUGUCGCCAUCCAUCAACACUUUAGUCAGUUGAGUGCCCUCAACGACUGGGUCGACCACCAGAGCUUGCCUCCCAGGGGUGGCUAUGUGCGUCGGGUGAUCGGACUGGUCGAAUGUGAUGGCCGUCUGAGACCACUUCAGAUAAUUGGGUGUCGCUGGAGCAACCAUAUUCACCUCUCGGUUUAUAACUUUCAGUUGACUUUUGCUCUCAACGUCAGCAAAAAUCACCACAGUAGAAUUGACCUGAGGGUAUUCCUCGUCACUAUCCCCCUUGUCCUCAGCUUUGUCUGACUCCUUUUCCUUAUCCUUGGGUUGUUUCCCCUGGAACUGCUGUAUUAGAAGUCGACACUGUCGAGUGGUAUGCUUCGGGUAAAUGAAAUUACCCUCUUCAUCUUUCUUCGUGUGGAUGUGACACGGCAAAUCCAUCACAUCAUUUCCCUCUUUAUCCUUCACUUUCUUGGGGUUCCAAGGUCCUUUGGGCUUUCCUUUGAACUUUCCUUGAGUCACGACCAAGGUUUCUCCAGGAGCAGCUGGCUCGGCUUUCCGCUUUUGCUUCUGACUAGAGUUCCCUCCUCCGGUUUCCUAGGCGACUGACUUGUGCUUGCUGCUCCGGAGCCGAUCCUCUUCCUCACCAUUGGCAUAUUUGGUGGCUAUCUCCAUCAUUCGACUCAGAGACAUGUCUCCGGUUCGACCGAAUUUCAGGCUUAGCUCUCUGUACUUAACGCCUUCCUUGAAGGCGCACACUGCUUGGUGAUCAGAUACAUUUUCUACUGUGUGAUGCAGUGUGAUCCAUCUCUGGAUGUAAUCUCUCAAAGUCUCAUUCGACUUCUGCACACAAGAUUGCAGCUCCGCCAGUCCUGCUGGUCGCUUGCAUGUUCCUUCAAACAUUCUGACAAACACUCGGGAGAGAUCUUCCCACGUGUAAAUGCUGCUGGGUGUCAACUGAUUCAGCCAUGCCCUGGCUGACCCCUCCAACAUAAGAGGCAGAUGUUUCAUGGACACCUCGUCAUUUCCGCCGCCGAUCUGGACAGCCACUCGGUAGUCCUCAAGCCAAGUAUCGGGCUUAGACUCACUGUUGAACUUACUGACUCCAGUCGCCAACCUGAAGUUGGGAGGAAUCACUGCGACUCUGAUGGCUCUGCUGAAACACUCUGGUCCAGAGACAUGCACUCGGCUGCUGGUGGGUACAUCUCUGUUGUGACCCUCUCUGUGAGCUCUGUUCCGGUCGACCAGACCUUGAACGAUGAUGGAUCUCGCAUCGAAGCCUGGUUCCCUGGGGUCAACUGGAAUUCUUCGCCCGCCAUUGUGCUGACGUCUAUCAUCCUGCUGUCGAGGUACGUAGGAUCCACCCCUAGGGGGAGGGGUGGGCACUCGACGUUGAUCAUCGCGAUCGAAUCGGUGAUCAUACUGCUCAUGGUUCCUGUACUGAUCAUGCCGGUCUCCACGCCCUUCACGCCUCGGGGGCGAUCUGGGGCUAUGAGCCGACUGGACCGUAUUCGCAGCCAUGGAUUUGCUGUGAAUCCUGUUCCGUGACUGUGAUACAGCUGAAUUUUGAUCUCCUGCUGCCCGGAACAAAUCUCUGAUCUGCAUCAAGCCUCUGCCAGCCUCUGACUGGGAAGGCUGAAUUGAUUCUGCUAUACAGGCUGCAGCUGCUAAAUUCUGAAUCGGAGUUCGAUAUACCUGAGUCUGAGGUGGGAAGAGUUGACGUCGACUGGAGUCAGGGACCCGUUGUCGCGCACGCUCAUCGAGUGCUCGCUGAAGGUUCUCCAGUCGAGUGCGCUCAGCCAGGUUGGCCAAGUGCGCGUCCUCCAAGGAGCGAGCCUCAGGGGUUUCUCCAACGAUAGGAGUAUGAAGGGCAUCCAUGUUCCGACGGCGAAGUUCUUCCCUCUGCAGCGAAUUGAGGGGCUCGGGAAGGUAUUCCUCAUGGGGAUGCGACGGAUCGCCUCCGCCGUUACCUCCGUCAGCGCCAGGAAAGCCGGGGGACCGUGUGGUCUGUUGACCAUCAGGACCUCCACCGCUGGAUCACUGCUGUCGCACUCGGAUGCAGUCUCUGCGGAGCCAGUCGACAGGUCGAACAGGCCGUAGAGAGAUUCGUCGGGCUCGAUUGCCGCGACUUGGGCGGUGGUCGACUGGCGAGCCACCGCGUGCCUCACCCAUCGCUGAAGCCUCAACCGACCGGAACGCUUGCGCCGGCGGGAAGCUGGGAGGGAGGAUGACACAAAAAACGGUCGAUACUGGGUCGACGGUUGCCGCAGGAGGACACCGCGGACGCACGCGCGAAAGUGCGUCGCUUCGCGGACUGGGAGCGCGUCGACGUCGAGCGGAGCCUCCUGAAGCCAGGCAGAGUCCUCGGCGAUGAACGUGAGCGCGCCGAGACGGAUGUCGCGGCCCUCGACCAAAACUCCGCCUGAAACCAUGAUGAAGGCGAUCGGAAAAAAUUGCAACUUCUCCAAUAAAUUGCUAAGACACCUGCCCCACGGUGGGCGCCAACUGUCGUGGUUCUAAGUCUGACAGUAAUGUAGGGGGUACUAAAGGAGAGGCAAGAUCCUAGCUAUGGAGUAGUUGUUCACGCAAGUGUUUUACGAGUUCAGGCCCUUCUCGGAGGAAGUAAUAGCCCUACGUCUCGGUGCCCGGAGGCGGUCGACUGGAUUAUAUGCGUGAGAGUUACAGGGGUGCGAACCCUUCUGCCUGUGGAGGGGGUGGCUUAUAUAGAGUGCGCCAGGACCCCAGCCAGCCCACGUAGCAGAGAGUUCAAUGUACAUAAAGGCCAGGCGUUACUGGUAACGCCUUACAUAAAGUGAUAUCAUGGCCAUAAAGACUACUUAAUAACAGACCGUUUGCCAUAGAGUGACCUUAGAUCUUCUGGUGGUUGAGUGAGUCUUCAUGGUCGACUGUCUUCGAGUCCAUCGAGUGGAAUCCUUCCAGGUCGACUGAAAGGUAGUUUCUUCUAGAGAUGUCCUUAGGUAGGGUACUUUGGUCAGGUCCGUGACCCUACCCUAGGUUCAUGGCUUCAUCAUUUGUCUCCGGUUUGUGGGACAAAACACGUCCAAACCGCGCCGCGGACCGAUACAUGACCGUGUUGUAUAGCUUCCACGGUUCGGACAGCACAGACCGGACGAUUGCGGAAGGUUUGAGAGUCGGCGUUGGAGAUGCUCUUAUGGCUCUAAAUUAACAUCACUAGAUCCGUUUUAAAAUGUACUUUCAUACUACGAAUUUGAUGUCAUAUAUGUUACUAUUAUUUUUUAUGAAGUUGAUUGAAGUUUUAAGACUUUGACUCGUAAAAAAAUAGAUGUACAAUAUACAGGGAAGGAGUAUAGAGUAUGUGAAAUUAUAUCUGUUGUCGUGGUCUAAAUUGGUGUGCACGUGAGCUGAUAUGAUGGACAUGAGUGAUAUUUUUCGAUAAAAGGUGGAUUUUAUUAGCUCAAAAUGAAGCAUCAAGGGGAUACAAACACAAUAAGCACACACCCGGCCUCUGCAUAACUAGGGUGCACACAGCCAACAUCAACAUACACAAAAAAACCACGCCAGCAAAUAGCAAAGUCAUCUAAGACCAAAGCUAUGCUUAGGCGAUGGGAAAAAGAAAUAAAAAAAACCUCGAACCGAUUAGAUCCGCAAUUGACAAACUAUUGACCAUAUCCGCACCAAUCAUCUCAUGACAACACACAUACGACGAGAUUCUUCAACAACAACGCCUUCAGGAAGGGAGCGAUGCUAAACCGCCGCCGUCGCCGGUUCCAACCACGCAAAGCCAGAAUGUAAGUUUUCACCCUGAAGAAACAGUCCGAGCAUAUCUGAGCAAUGCCUUCAACAAGGAAACGACAUAAAUAUAUCGCCAUUGCCAGGUAAAACCAAUGUAGUUCAGACCUAGGUUUUCACCCCAGAGCUCGAGACCGGGUGCUCGAGUAGCACCACCAUCAAGUUCGUUAUGGCUUGCCUCCACCACUUUUCCACGAUCCCAGCAGCUACAUGUGGUGUGGACCACAGUCACUGCACAAACAUUCCUUUGCGUCAAGCCAUUGUCGAUAAUUUGUAACUGCCCAUCAAAGUCAACCAUCAGAUCUGAAAGAAGAAAUCCUCACAGAGAUCUAUCGAUGGCCACUUCAUGAAGCUUCAAUGAAGCCUGGCUGUGAGGUCGCCCUGAAGGAGAAUGCUCCGGCUGGUGGGGGGGCAAAGAUUUGCUGCCGGACUCUGUUGGAGGGGCCGCGGCUUCUGGUGGGGCGAAGGGAACACCAUUCUCGGCGGUGUGCUCUAACCUACCAGCUCGCCAUGCCUCUCCUUCCCUCUCGGGCAUUGAAGAUUUACCCCCGGCUGGUCCCUUGGCCUCGAUAAAGAAGAAGAAGUCGUCGGUCAAGAAGUUCUCCGCUAAAAGCAGGGCGUCAGGUGACUCAAGGCAGUCUGCGGCUGGGCUCUGUCGUAGGCUGGAUGCUGAUUUGGGUACAGCCUCGGGCCCGUCUUCUGCUACGUCGUCUCCCUGCCGUGCUCGUCCUGCGCCAUUGCGCUCGCCGUCUUCCACGGCCCGCAAAAGCGGUCGCGUCUCCAACAAUGGCGAGCGAGUUGCUGAUCGGCUCGCUCGGCGCGAUGCGGCUAGGGAUCUGCCUCCUUCAGGUUCGCGUCCAUGCCCCCCGCUCUCCCAACCCCUCUGCUCAUUAUCUAGUGCGUUUAGUGCUUCAGUCUCAAUACGAUGAUCAUUUGCUUCGUAUUUUAGAAGAUGUUGGCAUUUCUUAUGAUGCUAGUUUGGGUACUCCUUCUUCCUUGCUUGGCAUUAUUAGGGCAAACAAAAUAGCUCAGGAUGACAUCGCUAAAGCCAAGGAGGCUAGGCUGGGAUCUACUGCCCCACUGGUUGUGGCUGGUGGGGAUGGGGAGGGAACUGAUAGGAGUCAGGAUCCCUCAGCUGUGUCUAAACGUGGGGCUGGUAAACGAGCUAAAUCCUGCAUGGCUCCUAGCAGGUCGAGCCUUCGCAUUAAAACCUCUCUUUUAGAUGAAGGCACUAUUCUGGAAUAUUACGGGUUUCGGCGCUAGGGGGCGCAGGGAUGAGCUGAAAGACUUGGUUCGUUCUGAAAAUAUUGAUAUCAUUGGCCUUGUUGAGACUCUCAAACCUACCUUCUCCCCAAAUGAGCUCUCUUUCGUCUCUGGGAUCGAUAGAUUUGAUUGGAAUUUUGUGGCUUCUGUUGGACAUUCGGGUGGUAUCCUCCUUGGCACAAAGAGAGACUUAUUCGAUUUUGUCGCUUUUGAUCAUGGGAUUUUUUGGGCUAGCACGGUGGUGUCUCAUCGUACCCUUAAUUCUUUACUAGAAAUCAUGGUGGUAUAUGGUGCGGCUGACCAUUCUAUGUCCUAUAUUUUUCUGGAUGAACCUCGAAAUAAAAUAGAUUCUUGUGACCUGCCGCUACUUAUUGGGGGAGACUUUAACCUGAUGCGCUACCCUUUGGAUAAGAGUUCCUCUAACUUCUCGUGGCCGCUGGCCGACGCGUUUAAUGCUUUCAUCAGAGACACGGCGAUAUGUGAAAUCCCUAGGGUUGGGGCCCGUUUCACCUGGACGAAUCGCCAAGCUUCUCCCAUUCGAUCUGUCCUUGAUAGGGUUUUCUUUUGUUCUAGAUGGGACUCGAUGUUCCCUCGCUCCAUUCUCAGAUCCCUAGCAAUAGUGGGCUCGGACCAUUCCCCUCUGAUUCUUGAUGAUGGCACUCAUUCGGUUUCCUUUCCGAGGUUUCAGUUUGAUGCUUCCUGGCUCCUAGUUGAGGGUUUUGCUAACUUGAUUGUGCAAAAUAUUUUGACUUUCCUGUCUUCUAACCGCUGAUCUUUUGGUCCAAUGGACCACUGGCAUCAGUGCUCCUACUUUCUCCGUAGAUUUCUCCGUGGUUGGUCUAAAAAUCACUUUGCUGAGUCAAGGCGUGAAAAAGUUAGGCUGGCUGCUCAAAUAGGCGCGCUUGAUGCCCGUGCAGAUGGCAUGGGCCUCUCCCCUGCCGAGUGGCAGAUUCGGUACGGCCUUGAAGAGGCCUUUUUGGAUAUCCAUCGUCAGGAGGAAGUGUAUUGGAAGCAAAGAGGCACUAUUAACUGGACUUUAAAGGGUGACUCGCCCACGUCCUAUUUCUUUGCUAUCGCGAAUGGUAGGCGUCGGCAAUGUCUAAUUGAUAGCCUCCUUAUCGAUGGUGUCAGGGUUUCUGAUCAAUCUGCUAUGAUGCAACAUGUGGUCCAUUUCUUCUCUACUCUCAUAUCCGCUAAACCCGAGGUGGGUUUUAGGUUGGCUUAUACCUUUUGGUCCCCACACGAGCAGAUUUUGAGCGAUGAGAACGAGGGAAUGAUGAUCCCUCUUUCUGAAUAGGAGAUCUUUGAAACGAUCUGAUCUGCUAACUCUAAUGCGGCCUCUGGGCCAGAUGGCUUCUCCAUUCCUUUCUUUAGGCAGUUCUGGCCUCAGUUAAAGGGACUCAUACAGGCGAUUAUCCAAGGUUUUUGGCUGGGAACUGUUGACAUCUCUAGAUUGAAUUACGCGGUGCUCACUCUCAUUCCUAAAGUCAAAGGGGCUGAACCGAUUUCCCAAUUUAGGCCCAGUGCCUUAAUCAACAAUUUUGCGAAGCUCUCGAAUAAGGGUCUGGCUACCAAGCUCUCUCCGAUCGCCCAUCGUGUCAUUAGUCCUUUCCAAUCUGCGUUUAUAAAGGGUAGAUUUAUUUUGGAUGGUGUUCUAUGCUUGCAUGAGAUUGUCCAUGACUUGCGAACCAAGGGAACUAAGGCAGUGGUUCUCAACCUUGACUUCGAGAAGGCUUACGACUCGGUGAGCUCGAACUUCCUUCGCCAAGUCCUUCUUGCUAAAGGUUUCGAGGGUGCAGUGGUUCAUCGUCUUAUGCAGCUGAUCUCAGGAGGCCAUACGGCUGUGUCGGUCAAUGGCCAGAUAAGUAAUUUCUUUGCCAAUGGCAGGGGCCUUAGGCAAGGAGACCCAGCUUCCCCCCUUCUCUUUAAUUUCGUAGCGGAGGCUCUCUCUCAUAUCCUUUCUCGGGCAACUCUUGCUGGACACAUUACGCCUGUUAGCUCUCACCUGAUUCCCAAUGGCAUCACUCAUCUUCAAUACGCGGACGACACUAUUAUUAUGGUUGAACUUAAUGAGGCUAGUCUCACGCAUCUGAAAUUCCUUCUUCUAUGCUUUGAAGCGCUAUCAGGUCUUAAAAUCAACUUUUCGAAGAGCAGAGUUAUUAUGACUGGGGUAACUGACUCUGAAGCUCAGAGAGUGACGCAUCUUCUGAACUGCUCUCUUGGUUCAUUCCCUUUCAAAUACCUGGGCCUCAUAGUCUCCCCUCUUAAGCUAUUGGCUAAAGACUUUGCCCCGACAGUGACCAAAGUAGGGAACAGGGUUUUGCCGUGGAGAGGCCGCUAUAAUUCCCAAGCGGGCAAGGUUGCCCUUACUAAUGCCUGCAUGUCUUCCCUUCCUAUGUUUCUAAUGGGCUCUUAUCUCCUGACCGGAGGGAUUCACGCUGGCUUUGACAAGAACAGGGGUGCUUUUUACUGGAAAUCCUCUGACAAUAAGCGCAAAUAUAGGAUGGUUAAGUGGGAUCUCAUCUGUAGGACUAAGAACAUGGGGGGCUUAGGUAUCAUUAAUACGAUGGUCGUGAACAAGUGCCUCAUGAUAAAAUGGUGGUGGAAAAUAAUGUCCCUCGAGGAUCGCCCCCUCUGGCUAUCUCUUCUCAAAGCUAAAUAUUUCCCUUCCUCGAGACCCAUGUUCGCUUCUUCCUCGGGUGGCUCUCAGUUUUGUGUCAGCAUGUUAAAGUUCGCCUGAUCUUUCAGUCCCUCGUUAAGUUUGUAGUUAGGAAUGAUAAGUCCACUCGCUUUUGUUUAGAUUGGUGGGUGGGAGACACCACUCUUGUGGUGGCCUUCCCGACCUUGUUUUCAUACUGCUCUGCUCCGGAGAUCAUUAUCUUUGAGCUCUCGUUUAAAACUGGGACCUUCACUUCCGGCGAUCCCUUUCUCCUGCGGAGUUGGAUGAUUGGCACCGUCUUACUGCAUGCUUCCCCUUGCUCUCGGAGGAAGACGACUCGGUUGUCUGGCCUCACUCUUCUUUUGGUCGUUUUUCAAUUAAGUCUGCGAAUGCCAAACUUAUCUUAGGCGCCCUUACAGUGAAAUCAACGAUAUUUGGUUGGCCCGUAUUCCUCCUAAGAUCAAAAUUUUCAUGUGGCAAACUUUCCAUCGUAAAUUACUUGCGGCUGAUCAAAUUAGGAAGAGGAACGGUCCGGGCUCUGAUAGAUGCGCAUUAUGUGGGGCAUUUGAAAACACCGAGCACAUAUUUUUUCAUUGCUCGCUGGCGAAAUUUCUUUGGAGCUGUAUUAGACAUUGGCUUUAUGUUAAUUGGAAUCCCUCUUCCUUCAAGGACAUGUGGCGUUGUGUUAGUACUUUAUCCGGUCAAACUAAGAGGCUGUUCUGGGUCGGUUGGGCAGCCAUCUGUUGGUCGUUGUGGACAACUAGGAACAAGUUCACUAUGGAGCACAUCUUUCUGACUAACCCUGUGAACUGCUUAUUUAAAGCUAAUGUCUUUUUGCAGCAGUGGAGAUUAUUGACUAAGGAGGUGGACCUAGAGGCAUUCGACGACAUGUUAUCUAAGAUGAGGUCUACGACUUCUUCUCUGCUGCGGCGAUCUAGGAGGAUUGCUUAGUCUCCUACUCCUUUGGUCUCAAGGCUGGCCUGCGUGCCAUGAUUGGCUAGGAUGCCAUGUAUUCAUACUUCUUAAUUGUUACUCUGCUUUUCUGAUGGUUGGAUGGUUGUGACGUGACUUUGCUUGUUGGCUUUAUUUAUAAAGUCGGGUGUAUGCCUUUUUUCUAAAAAAAAGUCGCCCAAAGCCCAGAAGUCGACACUCCUAAAGUGUUUACAUGGCCAUGCAACGGACUAGCAACACCUCCAGGCAGAACCAUCCGUAAGCUACGCUUCAAUACCACCAUUCAGGAGGGGAACAUGAUGUCACCCAACCAGAUGAGGAGGCACGAGGUGUUGCCCAUAGGCCAGAUCGAUCUUCAACACUAGAUCGGAGCCGGCCAGGGCAGAAGACUCAACACGAGGCAAAGAAUCGCAUGACCAACUCGUCCUGGCUGCCGCAGACUCCCAGCGUCGAUGUGUGCUAGGGCCGCACGCGUCUCAUGAUCAAGAGGAGCAGGCCCCGCCGUCACCGUGCUCGGCGGCAGUGGCGGCGGCGAGGAGUUACGGAGGUGCGGAGACCGACAGCUACGGCUGGGACACCCAGGUGUCGCCCACAAGCGACACGGGAGCGAGAUCCAGUUUUUUCGGGAGGGCAGUUUUCCGGCGGAUUGUCGAACAUGAGUGACAUAUACACUGAGACUAGCCACAGUGGAAGCAACUUCAGCAGUAACAUCGAGUCCAACUCAGCAAAUUUGCUUAUGUGGCAAUGAGUUAAUGAGGAGAGAGAUAGUUAUAGUAAGAGUCAAUUACACCAUACGUGUCUGAAGUCGGCGAGAAAAGUUAGUUUGGUGCUAAAACUUGUGGCGUACAUUGAACUGGUGACAAAACUUGGCUUCGAUAUGCAUCUACGGUGCAAAUCACGUUUAUAUACGCACAAGGUGCUGACGAGGCACGCCAAUGUGGCGUGGGACCCAGUUUCAGUGGCAGGUAGUUAGAGACAAGGGCGUGUGGUUCGAUUUUUGUGGAAAACACCUGAAUUUUUAUCAUCACGGAAAAGCCACUUGUUUUUUUCUUAGACAAAUCCCUAAAAUGUAGCUACAUCUCUAUGACAGUUGGGGCCCACCCUGCAGAAAACAGUACAAAGAGGAAACCAAUAUGCAAAAGUGACAGCGGGGAGUCAACCUGCGACCUUAAGUUAACAUGCGAACCAACCUGUGGUUGGAUGGUUAGAAGAACUGUGGUAUCCCCAGCCCACCAGGGUUCAAAUCCUGGUGCUCGCAUUUAUUCCUGGAUUUAUUUCAGGUUUCCAGCGAUGCACAUUCAGUGGGAGGAGACGUUUCCGUCGACGACGAGACGCCUACGAUGAUUUCGUAAAUCUCAAGAUGAUAUGCCGGCUCAGUCUUUCGGAGGUGCUCAUAGGGAUAGAAUGUGUGUGUACAUGAGCGCUUGUGUUUGUACUGAUGUUAAAAAAAAAGACUAAGUUAACAUGGCGUCCGUGCUAGCCACGCCUCCAAGUCUGGCUUCAUGUCUCAUUGGGAUAGACAAUCUUAAUUACCAAUAUGUGAGCACGAAAAUGGGGCUUAAAUAGGCAGCAGCCGGCGUGGACCAUUUUUCACAUGAUAUUUUGUUAGUUCAUAAAUACUAAUAAAUUUCCAUUUAUUAUUUAAAUUUUAUUUUUCCUUAAAUUCCGUAAAAAAUAUUAUAAAUAAUAAUAUGUCUGGUAAAGAGAAUACACGAAUAUUUUCGGUGAACGCAUUAAUAUAGCCUAAAAAUAAAUGAAUAUAUUUUGAAAUAAUAUUUUUAUAAUUUAUAAAUAUUGUUUUAAUUAUAUGUUUGUUUUAAAUAAUAUAUGAAUAUUUUUGGGAUAAAAUGAACAUUCUUUUAAAUAAGAAUAAUUUUUAUAAUUACAAUCUUUUUUUAAACCAGGCAUAACACCAUUCCAUUACUGUGACAUAACAGCAAUACAUCAGUCCAGAGAAAGAGACAGGAGAGGGGAGAGCGGGUUUGAGCAUCGUCGGGAAACCCACUGUGAGCACUCACCAUCGAGAUUACCCACUGUAGGACGAAAACCUGGCGACACCAUAUAUCAGUUUAACUGGGCACGACAGCCCCUACAUCCACCAUAAUCAAGAUGGGCUGCGGUGAACAUUUGUGUGNNNNNNNNNNNNNNNNNNNNNNNNNNNNNNNNNNNNNNNNNNNNNNNNNNNNNNNNNNNNNNNNNNNNNNNNNNNNNNNNNNNNNNNNNNNNNNNNNNNNNNNNNNNNNNNNNNNNNNNNNNNNNNNNNNNNNNNNNNNNNNNNNNNNNNNNNNNNNNNNNNNNNNNNNNNNNNNNNNNNNNNNNNNNNNNNNNNNNNNNNNNNNNNNNNNNNNNNNNNNNNNNNNNNNNNNNNNNNNNNNACUAACCCAUUUCACAUAUACUGCUAUGUGGUAGUAUAUAUACUACUUUAUCAUUUUUAUCUAUAUACCCAUGCUAAAAAAGCAAGGUAUGUUUCGCUAAUUUUUUCAUCCGUUCACCGUCAAUUUUUUUUCUAUCCAAGGUGGUACUAAAUUCUUAUGCGUUUGUCUGCUAGAAAAAGAAUUUUCAUACGUGGGCCGCGUGAUGUGGCCCAGUAAAGCCAGCCCACAUAUUUUUCUAUUCACGCAGCUGGUAAAAUAGUAUUUUUUGCACUGGGCAACAAAUAGUCGGAGUUUCGCACAGGACAACCAAUAAUGGGCUGGUCCUUUUUUCUUUCUUUCUGUGUUUUACUUCUAUUUUUAUUCUACUUUUCCUACUCUUUUUCCCUUCUAAGUUUAUUUUUUCUUUUCGAAUUUAUUUCCUAAAUUAAAAUUUCUCAAAAAACUUUCAGAAUUAAAAAAAUUUGGAAAAAAUUCGGAAUUCCAAAAUUUUGUUGCUACUUUGAUAAAUAUUCAGAACUUGCAAGAAAUUGCACAUUCUUUUAAAACAAAUUUUUUCAAAAUAUUUCGAGAUUUCUUAAAAUAAAAUGGCAUUUCAGAAAAUGCUCCAAAUUUAGAAAAUAUUCAUGUUUUAGUGAAAUUUUCAAAAUUUAAAAUAAAGUUCAUGUAUAAAAGAUACACAUUUUCUAAAAAUCUUAUGAAUUUACUACACAUGUUCCCCUUUGAAAAAAUGUUCACAAAUUCAGAUAAUGAUCAUGUUUUUAUAAAAAAUGGUGUUUUCUAAAAAUGUUUGUCAAUUUUAUAAUAUGUUCCCUUUCAUAUUUUGUUUGCGUUUUUUCGAAAGUGUACAUAAUUUUCAAAAAAAUUGUUCAUGUUUCCUAAAAUAUUCAGAAACUUCAUACCUUAAAAUCCCUCGAUUGAAAGAAUUGAAAGGAAGAGUAGAUUGAAUAACUCGUGGGUCUCCUCUGGCAUACGAUGAUGUAACAAAACUCUUAAAUGCCCUCGAUCAAUGAAUGGAAAAAUAGCAGAUUGAUUCCUUCAUGCGCAGUGAAACCGAGAAACUAAAUGUUCCUUUUUCGUGUGCACACAGUGUUUUGCUUGCAUAUAUAAUUUUCACUGACUUUAAAUGCAUACUCCCUCCGUCCGAAAAUACUUGUCAUCAAAAUGAACAAAAAGGAAUGUAUCUAAAACUAAAAUACAUCUAGAUACAUCCCCUUUUAUUUAUUUUGAUGACAAGUAUUUUCGAACGGAGGGAGUAUUAUUGUAUCUUCCGUUGCAACGCACGGGCAUAUGUGCUAGUUAUUAUUAAUUUAGAUAUGUUUACAGAAUUCUAGGAAAGGAAGAAAAACUAACAUCUGUAAUGGGCCGCGGUGACUGCUGCACACUUAAGCCGUAUGUGCAUGCUCGUUUAUAUUCAGCCCAUUAAGGAUACAAAUUGUAUUUUGACCGAAAGUGAUACUCGGUGUGGCAGCCAGGUUGUCCAACCAGAGGGGAACAUGUCAUGUAUUUGAUCGUGUGCGCAACAUUAUUUUGGUCCCAAUUUCCGCCCUGACUGGUGGGGCCCAAGUGCCAUUGUGACGUUUCAUUCGUUUUUUCAAGAAAGAAAUUUGAGUGUCAUUUUGUGAGUAAAAUAAGAUUCCAGGGUGUGUUUCACAAAAAACCGAGGCACACGCCUUGCAUGUGCCUUCCAGUCACUGACACUGGGUCCCAUGCCAUGUUGGCGCGCCUCGUCAUCACUCUAUGCGUAUACAAACACGAUUAGCACCGUAGAUGAACGCCCAAGCCAAGUUCUGUCACCGGUUCAAUGUAUGCCACAAGUUUUAGCACCAAACUGACUUUUCUCGCCAAGUUCAGACACCUGUGGUGUAAUUGACUCUUAUAGUAACUUAACUAGUUAGUGUAACAUCACAUGCCCAAAUGCAAUAUGAGUCAACCUAAUAAAUGAAGCUUUGCAUGUUACUAUACUUAUGUUACUACCCACUAUGAAGGUAGUAACAUAGUCUAGGGAUACGUGUAUGUUAUGCAUAGCAACAUACACAAAUCCUUAGACUAUGUUACUAUCUUCAUAGUGGGUUGUAACAUACUUCCUCCGUUUCUUUUUAGUCCGCAUAUAAGGUUUGGUCAAUGUCAAGCAUUAUAGAGUUUGAUUAACUUUAUAUUAAAAAAUAUAAACAUUCACAAUAUGAAAUCAAUAUAUUCAGAUGCACCAUGAAACAUAUUUUCAUACUAUAUAGUUUUAGUACUGUAGAUGUUCAUAAUUUUUUAUGUAAAUUUGGUCAAACUUUGUGUAGUUUGACUUUGACCAAAUCUUAUAUGCGGAGUAAAAAGAAAUAGAGGGAGUAAGUGUGGUAACAUGCAAAACUUCAUUUAUUAGGUUAUAGACUUGUAUUGCAUUGGGACAUGUGAUGUUACAGUAACUAGCUAAGUCACUGUAACUACCUCUCUCCUCAUUAACUCAUUGCCAUGUAAGCAAAUUUGCUGAGUUGAACUUGAUAUUACUGUUGAAGUUACUUCCACUGCAGCUAGUUUACUCAUCAUUGUGACUAGUCUGAUAUAUACAAUGCAUGUCAAACUAUCCACGCCGCCUAUAAAACAAAAAAGAAACGAGUCCAACUUUCCAAACCAGUAGUCAAACAUCUUUAUCUCCCCACCUAACCGAAUAAUAACGACCGCUAGCCUAGCAGCCCUAGCAGGAUUGUCAAUCAAGUUACGAAAUCGACGCCUAUAUAUCCGCAGCUUUAGCCAGCCACACCACUACAACAACAGAAAGCAUUCUACUCCUCCACACAAGUGAAGUGAGAGCUUUGCGCUGAAAGUUCAUCAGCAACUAUGAAGGGCACCAAGCUCGCGGCGAUCCUGAUCCUCCAGGCCGUCCUGGUCAUGGGAGUCCUCUCGCACGUCAACGGUAAGCUGCAGAUGCUGCUCAGCCAUUCUACAUGCUCCUCAACAAAGCUCGAUCGAUUGCCUUUUCGUGAUCGCGGUGAGGGAUCGAGGUCUGUGUUUAUGGGUGAUGCUAUCUGAUGCCGAUGUCUUUGCGUGCGUGCAGCCGACUUCUUCCCCAAGUGCUGCAACAACUGCAGGUCCUUCUCGGGGGUCGACGUCUGCGACGACGCCCACCCCAAGUGUCCCAAGGGCUGCUCGGCGUGCCGCGUGGUGUCGACGAGCCCCGAAAUGUGGCGCUGCGCGGAUAUGAAAUCCACCGUCGACGGCACCUGCGGUGGACCCUGCAAGAAGUACUGAUCGGUUCAUGCCGGCAUAUGAUAUGUUCCGCCUAAAAUUAAAUAAAAGCUCGGACGAGAUGAGCAGCGUCAUCGUGCCUAUGCGUGUGUGUGUGACCAACAAAUAUGUAUACCAGUAUGUCGUGUCUUCGUCGCUGUGUUUUCUCUCUCGAGAAAAAGUUGGUGUUGCUUGUUGUUCAGCUAUCCGGAAUAUCCUCCGUGAAUAAACACCUGUAGUGAUUGUGCGUGGCUGCCAAUAAUGUGAGUUCUCUUGUCCACGCAGUUACAUGUUUCCCGUUGUAUUUAUAUACUCUCCGAUAUGAUAUUUGUUGACGUGUUAAGCAGUAUCUUACUAGAUGCUUAGCUUAUUUUAUUUUGCCAGAAAAACUUUCAAUCUAUUCAUCAAACGUCACGGUAGUUCUAGCUUAGUUAUCACAUACUCACACGAACUGAUGGGCAGCUAUUUGAAAUUUACCUUACUAGUGUUUGGCACAUACAAUAACUAUCCUAUGCACUCCUUUUCCAUCUUACUACGGGCAUGCCACACCUUUCAUCCUGACAAAUAUUUUCGGAUGUUUCUAGACGGGAUAAGAAAUGUGUCUGCAAUCACACGUCUGACAAUUUUGUGUGCCUGUAUAAGAAGUAUGAUACAAACCAAACUUGUUGUUCAAAGAAGUUCUUGUAACGUAAUCUCAAAACAUCUAUGUUUGCUCGGUUCAACUUGAAUGCAAAUGGUAAAAGUUUCCAUAUUUGAUCUCAGUUUUUUCCUAAAGCAUAAUCAUGCUUCGAGGAACGGUUGUUCAGCAUAAGAUAGUUUUGAAAAAUGACAACAGAAUUCAUAAAAGCGGCCUCAUGGGAAUGUUAUAUUGUUGUACAAUGAGAUCAUGCAAUUAAGAAUUCUUCGUAACCUAUGAUAAUAUAUGUCGUGCAAAAGUCUUAUCCCAGGAGGAUUGCAACGAUGCCUUCAAUGGCACCAGUGUCAACUCUUGCCAUUACGCUUCCUUGCAAAGGAAGCGAUCGGCCAGGAUGUUUGAGUCAACUUUAUUAUUUUUCUUGUUUUGUUUCUUUACGCAUUUAUAGGCACUAGCUAGAGUACAUAAUAACCACUUGCAUUUCCAAAUGAUGAUGACGAUGAUGAUGAUGAUGAUGACGAUGAUGAUGAUGAUGAUGAUGAUGAUGAUGAUGAUGAUGAUAAUAAUAAUAAUAAUAAUAAUAAUAAUAAUAAUAAUAAUAAUAAUAAUAAUAAUAAUAAUAAUAAUUUCUGAGCCCAGGCUCAUCUGCACUCGGUCAAGAAACAAUUCACAAAAUAUAUAAAAAUUAAAAAAAAUCAUUUUUUUGCAUGGUAAAUAAUUUGGUGCAGGAGGUGCGCUUCAAAUUUCAGUUCAUUUCGACAUAUGUGUAGCUCUGAGAAAAAGAGACAAAUUGGGUCACAACAAUACAUGAACAAUAAACUUUUUUUAUAGACCCCAAAUUUGUCUUUUUCCCCGAGAGCUACACAGAUGUUCAAAUGAUCUGAAAUUUGGAGCGCACCUCACGCACGAAAUUAUCUACCAUGCAAAAAAAAAUAUUUUUUGAAUUUUUGUAGUAUUUGUUUUGAAUUUUUCUUCUUCUUUAUCUUAGGUGCAUAUGAGCCCGGGCACCGAAUUGCUGCUCUCAAUAAUAAUAAUAAUAAUAAUAAUAAUAAUAAUAAUAAUAAAGGAAAUAAUAAUAAUAAUAAUAAUAAUAAUAAUAAUAAUAAUAAUAAUAAUAAUAAGCACUUGCCUAUCCUUACUAGCUAGUAACAUCGCUUCUAAUCUUUCACAAGAGAUAAUUAAAAUACAAUGAAGAGAUUAGUAAAUAUCACUUGUGUUCUUCCUGCAAAUGAAAUAACGGUGUUCACAAUUAUGCGGGUGUAAUUACAUUUCUUCGCAAUACCUAGUUUGAAUAACAAUUCCAACAGAAAAUGGGAUUAGUUAGUUUUUAUGUAUACACUAAAAAGACGUGCACAAUUGUAUUUCAAAAAAUAAGCAACAAAAAAAAAACAAGCAUACAUGCCUAUGGAGUUCAUGCCGUGCAACUGCAGCCAUGAUAGGCUCAAUGAUCAAGUGGUUCGUCCUCAGCGACGAGAGGCUAGAUCUAACCAGAUGACAUGAUGGACCGCCGAUUGACAUACUACAGCAGUGUUUCACAUAGUAUGGCCAAACACGUGCCAAAUCAACUUCUGAGGCAUUUGGCACCAGUGCCUCCACUCCCUCACUACAAGAAAUAUGUCAACUUGUGACCACCACUAUUGGUUAUUGAAAGGUCAUAGUUUUUCAUUUGCGACCUUUUUGUGACCAAAAACAGAAGGUCAAAAGCUGGCGGUCGUAAACUGAAAUUAGUGACCUUCUUUGCGAUAUGUAAAAGGUCGUUGGAUUCCACGACCAAAUUUUUGGUCACAAGCAACCUUCCCAGACCACGUAGGCAUCUAGCAUGGCAAGCUGAUGUGGCACAAGAAUCAGCCCGGUCCGAUUCAGUGUUUGACAUGGGCCGAGCCCAACAAUUCAGCACAUUUAUAUUUUUUUGCUGCUAAUUUUGGUGAACUACACAUGCCAAGCCCUACAAUUUGGCCUUUUUUAUUUUCUGGGCCAUGGCCUUUUUGUACCAGCAGUUUUAGUUUUCUUUUUUUAUAAAAUGGGUCCAUUAGUCAAACAGGUCCCACUUGUCAGGUUCUGAUAAAUGGGUCCCAGCUAUUAGGCUCAGAUUCUUCAUGUUUCAAUUUGACAUCAUAUUUGAAUUUCGUAGUAAAAAAAUAAACAUUAUUUAAAUAGGCAAGCAGAAAACACACAUAAUUAUUCAAAUAACAAUAGCCAGAUUCACUACAAGCUCUACAAAUGACAUGUAAUAAAAGCUCUAACAUAUACAAUGCUUUACAAGCUCUACAAAUGCAAAGCUCUACAGUACUUUACAAGGUCUCCAAGUAAUGCUACAAGCUCUACAAGUGUUCUCUUCUUCAGCAUGGAGCUCCUUCAACAGUGAUCAAAUGUUAAACUCACGGACAGACAUAGUCAGGACUGGGCUGACAGAAAUACAACAUGCCUUCCACAGUCGCCCUGUUACAUGAAUCGGCUGAGAAGAAUCAGAAAAACUGGAGCCAAUAUAAUAUGAACAUUCCAUUCAAAAAAAGUAGUAAAGGAGUAAAGGACAAUUCUUUAUAUAAUGAUAAACAGAUUUCAGCUAGUACCAAGCUUUUUUAGCCGAGCUAGUUAAAAUGAGAUAUUCAUACAAGACAAUAGAGACUAUAUGAAUAUGCAUGGCACAAGUGCAGGUCCUGGUUACUGGCUACACAUGUAACACCAAUAAAUGGAUAGAACAAUAACAGGAACAACUCCAGAUUACACACAAAGCUCUAUCCAUAGUGCCAGCUAUGGAUAAAAUCAUGCACACUCCCAACAGAACUCAGUCACACAAUAUAAUUCUAACUAUAAUAUAACCAAGAACUAAAGAUUGUCACACGGUAUAAUUCUGACUAUAAUAUAACCAGAGAACUAAAGAUUCUACAUACUUAGAACUCAACUAAUAAGUGAGAAUGAUCUGAUUGUAUGCAAACAAUCUUUUUUUUAUUUUUUUAUUACAAAAACAGACAUAUCUUCCUUUAUGUGAAGAAGUCUGGUUCCUUCUUUAGUUAGUAGUAAUCGUUCCAUGAAAAUCAACCGUGUGUGUGUGCUUGAUCAUGGUCUGGAGAUUACACGCAUAGAGGAACAAAAUCCUAAACAAAAUAGUAUCAAAUAGCAGUGGGUGCUCAACCUAUUUGCCAUACACAAGCAACACUUAAAUCAUAGCAUGUGCAUAUACUUGUGUCACAUCAGGGGGUUCAGAAUGUACUCAACAUAAUCUAAUAAAAAGUAUUGGGAGGAGAGGGAGAGGGAGGUGGAGAUGGACGUGCUACCUGUUGCUGCGGUGGUGCCUCUUGGUGGCCGUGCUUGAGCUCCUCCUGAAGCUGCUCACUAACCUGCAAGACAAACAAGACCAUGGGUGAGCUGCAGCACAGGCACAUACAUUAAGUGAAGAUAAGGAGAACAACCUGGAAGAAGAGAGAUGCUCUGUCCUCCGUCCGCGCCCGUCCUUCUCCUCCAUGCCAAUGUCAAACAACCUCUGUUCGUCGCUUGCGAGCACCAUGCGUCUUGGUUGGCCAUGACGCCCUUGUCCUCUGUUGCACGGAUGAAAACCAAAGAAUCAGUACAACUACACUGGCACAUAAUACAAACAUGGUAAUCUGAUGGUUGAACAGCGAAUGACUUUGGCAAAAAUCAGUGGCUAGUUGAAUUGCUUAAUUUCAGAAUUGAAGCUAAUCUCUCAGCUAACCGAAUUGCUUACUGCUACUGUGGAUGAAAGAUUGCGGCAAGAGAGCAAGCAAGCAACUCAGCACAAACAGAUGCAACCUAACUAGUCUCAUGGCAAGUACUUAGUACCAAGCAGCAACAACAACCAAGCACGGCGCAGGGUGCAAAAACAUAAUGGUGCAGAGGACAUGCAAGGAGAAAAUAUGUGGAGAGAGGCCAAUCAAAUGCCACACCAUCCCGAACCACACACAACACAUCUAUGUGUAGCUUGUACCUCGUAUGUGAGUCCUUAAUUUCUACUAAUUACUACACUGAACUUAAUUUCUACAUCAUGUUGUUGUACAAAUUACUACAACAAAUUUCCAUGAAGUGUACUGUCAGCAAAGAACACUGCUAGAAUUACAACAACUACACUGAACCUAUUUCAAAAAGAAAGAAAAUCAACACAUAAAAAUAACACUAGAUAUACUCAUCUAUUUCCCUCAGUUUUUUUAAGAAAAGGACCAAAAAAGGGACAAAUAUGAACUGCAGCUACGGAUACGGUCUACUGACAAACAUGAACUGCAGAAAAAAGAAAAAUGAGAGGGAAGUGGUUAGGGUUCAAACCCAAUACAGAUCCACCCCCACCCCCAUCCCACGUAUCAAAAAAGCCCCAUUGAUCCCCACCAUCAAAAUCUGCCACUGAUCUAAAAACGCAAGCUGAUACAAAGUGACUACAGCCAGAAAAACAUCACAAACAUUUGCUUGAAGGGAGAAAAAAGGGAUCUAGCCACAUAAUCUACCCACCCCGCUGAACUUGCCAUUUUAAAAUCCCCACACAUUUGACAGAAUGUGCACCGGCCCUCCUCUCCUCUCAGGAGAAAAAAUAGGGUUGCUGAGAGCAAGCCGAAGGGGACUGAGCCACAAGGCCACAACCGAGACAAACACAUGCCCCCCGAGCAGCACCAACAAGCCAGCCCUAGCUCGUGAAAAAAACCCAACAAUGGCCUGCCCCAUCUCGAGUGGAAGUGGAAGUCACACAUGCGCAACUAGCGCACAAGGAUAAUAUCAAGUUGCACGGAUUUUAAAGGCAAAAAAAGAUUACUUAGAUGUGAGAGCAAAUCUGUAGAGCAUGCAUAUAUCAUUCACCUACUAGGAACAGGAAUAUCAAUAAACCUGGAGAGCAGCUAACCUGGGAUGGAGCAGGCCUUGUGAAAUAUUUGUUUCCUAGAGGAGAUAUUAGUUUUGAACCUCACAAUGUACAAAGAUCACACCUACACUCAUUGAUUUCAAAUGUACAAACAAAUCCAUAUCACUACACCAGUCAUGCUAAUAUUAUGCAAGCAAGAAAAACAAGAAAUAAGAUCAAUGCAGAGAUUCAGUCAUCUGCACUGCACCGUAGAUUCAGAUGAACAUUGUCCACACCUCCAACAUUGCCAUAUUUUCCCCAUCUUGGACCUCAAAGUAUUUCCCCCGUUCUUUAUCCAGGUAAUGUCGAUCUUUGAAGAACUAAAAAAAAAUGGAAGGGCACAAAUCAAAUGGAUGACAGAAUAAACCUAAACAAGAAGAAAAUUACACAAUCACAUACACUUGCAACGGAGGUUUACAAAUGGAAAUGGCAUGUCUCAUCAAGAUUAAAGAAUCAAAAAGCUCUGGAGAUCAUUGGAUGUAAUGUUCAGUAAGAGCUAUGGCAAGAUUCCAUUUUACUCUUGAGAUAUAUACCACAACCUGAAUACUGGUAAUCAAUUCAAUCAACAUAGAAGAAUGCUACAUGGCCAGAUUGUAAAUGCCAUUACCCGACAAAAACCAAUCCCCUUUAGGCAGCUCAGGAGUCGGGAGCACAAAUUAACAUGCACAUGGAACCGCUAGACCGCUUCAUGCAUGCAAAGCUAACCCUCGCCACUAACAUCAGGUUUAUGCCAUCAAAAUGCAAUGGUUAUCAACUUACCAACCUACUGCGACAAAUCGAAAUCAGCAAACUAGUGAACAGUCAAACAAUCGAUGACCCCCUAAUAAAUUUAGGCCACAAUGUGCUACCUCCAUAUAACAAGAGCCCCACCUCAACGAGACACACUAGCAGCAUCAGGAUACGAGAAUACAAGCAUAACUUCGAAAUAAACACCAACAUCAAGAUCAACUCAGCUGCUAAACCUGCAUUCCCAGAACCCUAAACUAGAUCGACUCCACAUAAGGCAUGAACAACAACAUUACGUCCUAAUCAAGCACGCCAAGCUCUAAAACCAGCCACAUAACAACAGGGAAGCUAUUAAUUACAUAGGGCACAAACAGAUCGAGCGCCACCUCACCUUUCUUAAGCACAGGGGAAGAACUUGUCGACAACCCGGACGACGGUCCGGCCGGAUCUGUCCGUGCCCUGCACGCGGACCACCUGGAGCUCCUCAAGGUCGGAGAAGUCAUCGCCGAGGUCGGGGACGCAGUCGUGCCACUCCUCGCGGUCGGCAGGGGAGGCGAGGAGCGCCGCGCUGGUAUCCACCACGAAGUCGGAGCCUAUCACCCUCACGGAGAAGUCGCUCCCCCCCUAAGCCGCUGCCGGAGCCCGAUGCGAGCGCCAUGGCCGCCCCUCCUGCUUCACGCGUCCCCUCAUGCAGAUGGAAGUCCAGAUCGAUGCCCUGGUGUGAUCCGCGUGAGAUCCCUCUUCUCUUCUGAUGGGAGGAGGAGAGGGAGGGGGCGGCGGGUGUGGGAGGGAAGAGACCGGGAGCGGCAAACGGUGACGAGGUCAGACAGGGCGGUGGGUGGUGGCGGCGAGGUCAGACGGGACGGUGGGUGGCGGCAGCGGUGAUGUGUGGGUGGGAGGGCACGGUCGAUGUGUGGGAUGUGCGCGUCGGAUCUUGUCCAAGGGGAGGAUGGAGCAGAAGGGAGGGCAUCGGGCGUCGUCGGAGGGUGCAGGAAUCGGGCGGUAGGAAUCCAAGGGGAGGAUGGAGCGGAGGGGAGGGAAUCGUGCAGGAAUCGGGCGUCGCGGUAGGUUGGUGACGAGGAGUGGUGCAGGGGAUGGGGAGUAGGUGGCGGUAGCGGCGAGGAGAUGGGGACGAGGGAGGAGGGGUGCGAUGGGGGGAUCUGAGCUAGCUAGGGUUUGGGCUGCGGGUCAAGGUAUGUCUUUUUCUUUUCUUUUUUCUGUAGAUAGAUGGAUGGACGGAUGUGGGAUGAAGAGAUGGAUGGAUGGAUGGAUGGGUGCCAUGUCAUCGAUCCGUGGGAAGGGUUCUGAUUGGUUCGGAAAAUCAGUGAUUUAAAAUAGUUUCCAAGUACUAAAAAUUGAGGUAUUUUAUGAAGAAGCUAUCAAAAAUAUUUGCAAAAGAGCACCACACAAAUUUUCACUAGAUUUAGACAACAUUUUAUGGAUGGGGACCAAUUUGUAUGCAUUUUUUUUAUCUUUCUAACUAUUUUAAAUCAUUUUCGAGUGCCCAAAAUGAGAGUUUUUUCUGAAGAACCUACCAAAUAAUUGUUGCAAAAUUGGACCAAUUCAUUUUUCUAAAAGGGAUAAUUAAUUUGGUGCCCUUAGUUGUGUCCCACUCGGCAGUUUUACCCCUAAUUUCAAAAAACCCUUGGUCUUGCCCAAGUGUGUUUGGUCCCCUUAUGCUUUUGCCCUUCCGUUUCAAUUCCGUCCAGUCAAAGGGGUUUGACCGUUAGUCAGACAUUUUUCUAGACCAUUUUGCCCCUCCUUACGUGUUGGCUCUGACCAGCGAAAUAGGGCAACUGGAUCAGUGGGUCCACCUGUCAUAGAGUGAAAAAGGCCUCUAUCCCAGCCCCAAUCCCUCGCUCCCUCCCAGAUAGCGCCGCCGCCAGAAGAGGAUGCGCGCCGCGCCAGCCGAUCCGGCGCCUGCCCAGGCCACUGCACCACUGGAUCACCGCCGGCGACGACAGCAGGACCCCGCCGCCCUUCUCCUUUCUUUUCUGUCAUGCCCAAUAUGCGACCCUAUCCAAAAGGAACUCGAAGGUCCCACCAAGGAUAGACCCGCAUAUUGAAACGCUUUUGCAAGGUGGAUAUCAUUACAUCAACAUUACAUAAUAGAUGGGGAUACAUACAAGAGGCAUACAAUGCCACUCGAAUACAACAUCAUCAUACAUAAGAUCAUCAUCCGACUACGGAUGAAACACAAACAGAAGCUCAAACGACAUCCACCCUGCUAGCCCAGGCUGCCGACCUGGAACCUAUCCCUAAUCGAAGAAGAAGCAGAAGAAGAACUCCAAAACAAGAAAACAUUGCUCUCGCGUCAUGAUCAUCGCAAAACCUGUACCUGCAACUGUUGUUGUAGUAAUCUGUGAGCCACGAGGACUCAGCAAUCCCAUUACCAUGGGUAUCAAGACUAGCAAAGCUUAAUGGGAAAGGAAGGGGUAAAGUGGUGAGGUUGCAGCAGCGACUGAGAAUAUAUGGUGGCUAACAUACGCAAAUAAGAGCGAGAAGAGAGCAAAAGGAACGGUCGUGAAGCUAGCAAUGAUCAAGAAGUGAUCCUGAACUCCUACUUACGUCAAACAUAACCCAAAAACCGUGUUCACUUCCCGGACUCCGCCGAGAAGAGACCAUCACGGCUACACACGCGGUUGAUGCGUUUUAAUUCGGAUCUGGUGUCAAGUUAUCUACAACCGAACAUUAACAAAUUCCCAUCUGCCUAUAACCGCAGGCACGGCUUUCGAAAGAUUAUACCCUGCAGGGGUGUACCAACUUAGCCCAUGAUAAGCUCUCGCGAUCAACGAAGGAUAUACCUUCUCCCAGGAAGACCCGAUCAGACUCGAAAUCCCGAUUUACAAGACAUUUCGAUAAUGGUAAAACAAGACCCGCAAAGCCUCCCAAAUGUGCCGACAAAUCCUGAUAGGAGCUGCACAUAUCUCGUUCUCAGGGCACACCGGAUUGUCCAAACUUCCGGUAGGCCAGCCCAGAGUUGCCCCUGGUGGCCACCGGCGGCUGACAAGUUGGACCAACACUAACGACGAGCACUGGCCUGGGGGGGGAUAAUAUAAAGAUGACCCUCGAGAGCGCGACUCCCAAGGGAAAAAGGGCUAGGUGAGGCAAAUGUAAAAUCAAGGUUGGGCCUUGCUGGAGGAGUUUUAUUCAAAGCAGACUGUCAAGGGGGUCCCAUAAAUCACCCGACCGCGUAAGGAACGCAAAAUCUGGGAAUAUAACACCGGUGUGACGGAAACUAGGGCGGAAAGAGUGGAACAAAACACCAGGCAAAAGGCCGAGUCUUCCACCCUUUACCAAGUAUAUAGAUGCAUUAAUAAUAUAAGAGAUAUUGUGAUAUCCCAACCAAAAUCCUGUCCACCAUGGAGAAUUCUUCAACUUCACCUGCAACUAGCAACGCUAUAAGAGGGCUGAGCAAAGCGGUAACAUAGCCAAACAACGGUUUGCAUAGAAAAGGUGUCAAAGGUUAGAGGUUCAUGGCAAUAUGGGAGGCUUGAUGAGCAAAAGAUAGGUAACGCAGCAUAGCGAUAGAACGAAGCAACUAGCAUAGCAAUGAUAGUAGUGAGAUCCAGGGUAGCGGUCAUCUUGCCUGAAAUCCCGCAAGGAAGAAGAACGAGUCCAUGAGGAAGACGAACGGAUGAAGCCGAACCAAGCGUAGACGAACGAAUCCUCACGAUCGCAACGAAACAGGAACUAUCGAAAAGAAGCACACAACAUGGUAAACACACCACACAUGAACAAGGCAUGAUGCACAACAAGCAUGAUGCAUGACAAAACUACAUGAAGCUACUCAUGGCCAGAGAUGCUGCAAACAAGAGCAACACACUAAGGCAAGUUUAAAUGAGGCCGGGAAUAACAUAUAACAAUUCCGGUAAGUCCUCAUAUGCAUAUUUCAAAAUUGGUCCAGAUCUGAUUAAACCUUAUGUUCAAAUUGUUAAACAUCAAGUUAAGAUGCACAAGGAUGAUCUACAUGAAAUUCUAGUCAAGUUACAUAUUAAGUUCAUUUAGUUCGGAGCUACGGCCUAGAAGAUAUGAGCAAAACAAGAUAAACAUGGCAUUGAUGCAAAAUGCACCCAAACAUCAAGCAAACACCUCAAAACAAGGAUGCAACAUGAUAAUAUGAAGCUACAUGCAAAAUCAAGUAAGUUUCAUAUAGAUCACACUCAAAACGGAGCAACGGUUCAACACACGCACUCUACACAAGUUCAAAGGACAAGCUGUCCAAAACAGCAACUAGGCAUAUUGCAAGCAUCAAAACAAUACGCUACAGCACCCCAACAUGAUAAUAAAAGGCCUGGACAUGAUGUACAGGUAAAGCAUAACAAAACAUGAACACUGAGCUAUCUCCAGAAACUACUAGAACAUGCUCAAACACACAUGGAAAGAUUGCAAAUAAUAACAAUUCCAGACUUUGCAGAAAAUAACAUCAUGUUGCAAUGUUUAGAGCUAUCAAACAACAUGUUACAGGAACUUAUCAUGGCAAACAAAGGCAUGGCAUGAACCUACUAAAUGCAUAGAUCAAACGUUCUUUACUGACCAUAAGCCAAAAAGGAUCAGAAAAUAUGAUGGCUCCCACGUAAACAUGGCAAGUUAUAUUACAGAUUCAUACAUGGCAGGAACAGAAUUAUGAAGGCAUGUUGGUGAGCUUGUGCAACUCACUACAGAGCAAAACAUGGCAUGACAAGGCAACCAACAGUAAGAAGGCAUGUUUGUGAAGCUAAGCAUGGCAAUAGCAAGUUCAUAUGGUACAAGGAUCAACUACAACAACCUUGGCCAAAUUGAAUAACAUGUAAACAAUCUGUCAGGAAAUAUUUUGAAGCAAAAGUAGAGCACGAAAAUGACAUGCUAGACGACUCCAUAAUUGCAACCAAGGGCAUGAAUGGAUAGAGGAAAACCAUAUGUCCAAAACAUCCUUACUGAAGUAUCUCAAAAUAUGCAUGGAUCUCUCUGUAGCAUCAAGUUUACAUGUCAUAAAAAUAAUAGCAGAACAGGGACUAAAAUCAGCAACAUUAUGAUGCCUAGUUUGCAUGCUUGUGCUAGUCACCAUAUUGAUCACAAAAAUACAUGGUAAGCACCUCUGUAAAGAAGACAUAGCAUAGAUCAAAACACAUGUAGACAUCGACCUCAUGGGAUGCACACGUCAAUCAUGGAAAAAAUGAUAAAAGAGCUCGUUCUGUUAACAGACAACAGAAAACAUCAUGAAGCACUCUUAAAACGAUGACUCAGGCAUCAAGAUGACCUCAAAUGAAUAUGAUGCAAUGGAAUGAAGUGAUGUACUCGUUGAGAAGAACAACUUAACAUAUUACACGCACAAAAUGGAGCUACGGAUGCAGAGAUAUGAUGCGAUGAACAUGGCAAUAAAAUAUGACAGGAAAAGGACUUGGUGGAAUUUCUCACCCUCUGGAAAAGUCAACGGGACGGAGGGAUCUGGGACGACGCGGUACAGGAUGGGGACGAGGGCGCGUUUGGAUGGCCGGGCGGGUGGAUCUCAUCCCACCCGCCGGAUCUGGCCAGGCGGAUCUCCGGCGAGCGGCGCGGUGCUCCGGCGAGGAAGGGGCGGCGGCCAAGGCGGCGGACGGCGGCGGUGGCGCAGGGGCGGCGNNNNNNNNNNNNNNNNNNNNNNNNNNNNNNNNNNNNNNNNNNNNNNNNNNNNNNNNNNNNNNNNNNNNNNNNNNNNNNNNNNNNNNNNNNNNNNNNNNNNNNNNNNNNNNNNNNNNNNNNNNNNNNNNNNNNNNNNNNNNNNNNNNNNNNNNNNNNNNNNNNNNNNNNNNNNNNNNNNNNNNNNNNNNNNNNNNNNNNNNNNNNNNNNNNNNNNNNNNNNNNNNNNNNNNNNNNNNNNNNNNNNNNNNNNNNNNNNNNNNNNNNNNNNNNNNNNNNNNNNNNNNNNNNNNNNNNNNNNNNNNNNNNNNNNNNNNNNNNNNNNNNNNNNNNGGCGCGGGCCUGGGUGGGCCCGACCCGGGCCCGGCGGGCCACGGCGGCGGGAGGAGAGAGAGGGCCGGCGAGGACAGGUGUCGGCGCGGGAUUUGGCCGGGGAAGGCCCGGGCGGAGGCGCGCGGGGCGGAGAGGGACAGGUGGCGGCUGGCGAUUCGACGGGGCGAGCGGGGCGGACGUGUCCGGCCCGGGCGGACGCGUCCGGUGGCGGCGGAGGGCGAUUUUGCUAGGGUUAGGGUAGAAUGAUCCGAAAAUUUCGGGGGAGGUCUAGUUUUAUAGGUAGAGGGAGCUAGGAGAGUCCAAAUGAGACAUGGUUUUCGGCCACGCGAUCGUGAUCGAACGACCGAGAUCAUGGAGGGGAGUUAGAUGGGUUUUGGGCCACUUUGGAAGGGGUGUUGGGCUGCAAAGAGAGAGGGGCUUUACGGUUACCCGGUUAACCGUUGGAGUACCAAACGACCUCCGAAUGGCACGAAACUUGACAGGCGGUCUACCGGUGGUAUACCAAGGCCGCUUGGCAAACCUCGGGCCAUUCCGAGAAAGUUUAACACCCGCUCAUGAAGAGAGGCAGAAGGGGAAAGCCGGAGGGCAUAGGAGUGCCGGAUUGCAAAACGGACAACGGGGAAAAUACUCAGAUGCAUGAGACAAACAUGUAUGCAAAAUGAAAUGCACAUGAUGACAUGAUAAAAUGCAACACGCAAGCAAAAUGACAUGGCAAUGACAGCGAAUAACUGAAGGACACCUGGCGCAUCAAAUUCGGGGCGUUACAUUUUCCCCCUCUAUUUCUUCUCGUCUGAGCGCGCCGCCGUUCUCCCGCAGGUUCAAGGCACCAUGGCCAUGGCGCUCUGAGCCCCAGGACGAAAACAAUUGCCCAUCUGCCUUGCCGCCGGUCGCGAGCACCUCCCCGGCCUCCGUCCCGGCCGGAUCCGGUCCAUCCCGAGCCUCCCGCGGCCGGAUCCACUCUUCUCUCCACCGCGCCCGCAUGCCCCAUGCCGAUCCGGGCCUCCCGUGCAUCUGUCGCCGCCGAUAGCGAGCACCUCCCCGACCUCCGUCCCGGCCGGAUCCGGUCCAUCCCGAGCCUCUUGCGGCCGGAUCCACCCUUCUCUCUACCGCGUCCGCAUGCCCGAUGCAUAUUCCGGCUUCCCCUGCAUCUAUCGCCGCCCCUUGUAGUUGACCUCGCCCGACACCGCCUCGUGCCCUCCGGCGGAGCUCGCCAACUCGCUGGCCUGCCCCGACUUUCCGACGGCAAUUGCUCGCCGUCGCUGCUAUUGUUUGCCCGGCGGCAGAGAGAGGAGACGGGAGAGGAGAGAGAGACUAAUUUUCCUAUUUGGCUUUUUUCUUUUCUAUGUGGCUCGGACCCACUUGUAAGCGUCAUGUUUUUUCUCUUUAUCUUUUCAUUGGACUUGUAAGGAGGGGCAAAAUGGUCCAGAGAAAUAUCUCUCUAACGGUCAAACGCCUUUGACCAAACGGAAUUGGGACGGAAGGGCAAAAGCAUAAGAGAACCAAACGCACUUGGGCUAGACCAAGGGUUUUUGAAAACUAGGGGCAAAACUGCCGAGUGUGACCCAACUAGGGGUAUAAAAUCAAUUAUCCCUUUCUAAAAUACUAGGCCAUAUUUAUUGCACAACUGACCACAUGGUUGGGUGUAAAAACUUUUGAUCCAUCUCUGGUGAAAAAGACAAAUUUCCACUGUUUCAGUUGGAAGCGGGUCAAAUUUGAACUGCAGCUCCCUCAUAGUUUGCUCUUUAUUUUUUCAAAAAAUUAUUUCUAGGUACAUAUGUAUCUAUUUAAUCAGGGAAACACCAAAAAAAUAGAAGAUUCAACCACUAGCUAGGAACGGUCAUUCCCGCCGUUUUGAUCGCAUUUUGAAACGGGCAUAAAAAAAUAAAAAAAAUUCAAAAAAUUGGAAAACCUUCGCAUUGUGUCAUUAUGUAUGACCGAGUUUUCAGGAAAAAUAAUAAACUUGUAAUACUGAAAUUAUUUUAAAAAAUGUUCUCAGAAAUGAGCUAUCAUGCAUGAAGAUUCAUGGCUUUCAAGCCAAAUGAUCAAUCUUAUGGCCACAUUCAUGGCAUAGUUUGUUCAAAUGAUCUCAUAUUGUACACAAGGGUGCAUCUUGGAAUUCCAAACAAUGUUGAUUUGGGGAGUUUUCACUUUCAUUGCACAAAAGAGCCAUUUUCCAUUUUUCGAGUGCCCCAAAUGAGGUUUUUUUGUGAAGAACCUACCAAAUAAUUAUUGCAAAAUUGGACCAAAUCAUUUUUAUAAAAUACUAGGCCAUAUUUAAUGAACAAUUGACCAAAUGGUUGGGUGUAAAAAAAAUUUGAUCCACCUCUGGUGAAAAAGACAAAUUUCUGCCGAUUCAGUUGGAAGCGGGUCAAAUUUGAACUGCAGCUACCUCAUAGUUUGCUCUUUAUUUUUUCCAAAAAUCAUUUCUAGGUACAUAAGUAUCUAUUUAAUUAGAUAAAUAUCAAAAGUUUUCCAAGAUUCAACCACUAGCUAGGAACGGUCAAGCCCGUCGUUUUGACCGCAUUUUGAAACGGGCAUAAAAAUAAAAUAAAAUAAAAAAAUUGGAAGACCUUCGCAUUGUGUCAUUAUAGAUGACCAAGUUUCCAAGAAAAAUAAUAAACUUGUAAUACGGAAAUUAUUUUAAAAAAGUGUUAUCAGAAAUGAGCUAUCAUGCGUGAAGAUUCAUGGCUUUCAAGCCAAAUGAUCAAUCUUAUGGCCACAUUCAUGGCAUAGUUUGUUCAAAUGAUCUCAUAUUGUGCAAAAGGGUGCAUCUUGGAAUUCCAAACAAUGUUUCCUAAGGGAGUUUUCAUUUUCUUUGCACGUAAAAUUCAUUUUCCCUUUUCCGAGUGCCCGAAAUGAGUUCUUUUGUGAAGGACCUACCAUAUAUUUGUUACAAAAUUGGACCUAAUCAAUUUUAUAAAAUACUAGGCCAUAUUUAAUGCACAAUUGACAAAAUGGUUGGGUGUCCAAAUUUUUGAUCCACCUCUGGUGAAAAAGACAAAUUCUCGCCGAUUCAGCUCGAAGCGGGUCAAAUUUGAACUACAGCUGCCUCAUAGUUUGCUAUUUAUUUUUUCUAAAAAUCAUUUCUAGUUACAUAAGUACCUAUUUAAUCAUAAAUACAUGGUUUGGUGGCGAUACGUCGAGGUUUGGAUGGUGGCCGAGGACCCUAACUCUAGAGCGCGUAAACUCGCAUGCCCGCCGCAUGGUCACCGCAUGACCGUGGCGGUGCCAUGUGUUCUGGGCUGCCUAGGCAUGUCUAGUGGGUUGGGCACUCCCCAGGUAGGUGCUAGGAAGAAAAUCACAACAUAAGAUUCUCACGAGGAGACCGAUCGAUGCUCAAAAAUGAAUAAGCAGCCAAGUGUUUGAUUAGCGGUACGGGAAAUGCACAUGGCUAAUGGGUGUGAGUUUUGGUUGAGGAUGAUCAGUUACUAAGAAGACCGUCUUCACAAAUUUUGAGCUCAAAAGGAGGAGCCUAGGUGGUACUCGCUUUGCAAAGUACCACACUGGACAUAAAUACGAAUGUUGAAGCCAGGCUCAAAAUAAUGAAUGGAUUGAGCUAGCAUUUGGUGGAGGAUGGUUAUUUGAGUAGAGGAAAGCACUGUAGAAAAUGGAUACCAUUUGGACAUGCCAAAGUGGUACUUUCUUCACAAAGUGUUUUUCUGAACAGAAUAGGAAAAUGAAUAUUUUUGAAUUAUUUUUGAACUAUACAAGGAAGGUUUUUUACAUAUUUGACGAAGAUAUGACCCAAAGAAUUUAUGAGAUUUUUUUGGGAAUUUUGGGAAUGACAGAAAUAUAGGUUGCUUCACAACCUAGGGCAAAAACUGCCACAUGGACAUGACACAUAGGCAAAACUGAUGAGAUGGCGCCUAGUCAUAGCAACCCACCACAUUUUACAAGGUUAUGACCAUCUAUAUUGGUCAUGAUCAGCUAGAAAUAAGGCAGCGGAGCAGUGCUAUCUGCUUUAUGACCAUUUCGUGUAAGGAAAUUACGACCUUUCUGACCAAAAUGCUUGUUAUAGUUUAGGGUUUGGAGCCCCCCGAAUAGCUUUUGACCAAUUGGUCAGAAAUGGUCAUAGAUUUAUGACCAAUUCUUCCAGGGUCACUGAUAGAAGGUCACUAGUUGCCAUAUUUCUUGUAGUGCCUAGGCAACGCCAUAGGAAAAAAUUAGGGAACUGGAGCACCAGGGCCUCUUUGGUUGGUUGCAUAUUGCUCCUUCCUAGGUUCUACUUUGGCAUGUUUGGAUGCUUGGUCUGCAUUCGGAUUUUGGCAUGAACGUAACUUAAAACACCUCUCAGCGGUGGAACGUCGAGCCGGUGAUGGCUCUCCUUCCUCCCCUCUGCCCCCUCCCACCUUUGGCAUCGUCGGCGUCGGGCUCACUCCCCCCUUCGUCAUCUCCGGCGUCCUCCCGCCGCCUCCGCACGGCAUUGUCCUCUGCCUACUCUCCGCCACCAUAUCCUCGCUCUGUUCUUCACGCCCCUUUCCCCACCAACAGAUUUUGGGCGCUUGGCGAUGAGUCUUCGGAUUCUGAUUCUGAUUCCCCGUCCCCUCCCCGUUCGACGCCAUAGUGCGGCCUGCCCGUGGCCUCGGCUCCGUGUCAGCACCGUAAGUUCGCGCCUGGUGGGCGCGGUCGCCCUGCCCCUGCUGUGUUGGCCGAGGAUGGUUGGACGCAUGUGUCCCGUAGGUGCCGCCGUGCUCCUGCUCCGUCUCCGGCUCAUGGCAUUCUUGAUCCUGGCCGGUGUGUCGCGCCGGCGCCGGUCCCGCUCUCCCCUCCCUCCUCCUCGACGUCUUCUCCGGUCAGGGCUCCGUUCGUUGGCUUGUCGGUGCCCUCGUCGGCGGCGGCUGGGGCGCCUGUAAUCCUAGAUCUGGCGCUGGCUCCUGUGGGGGCGCUAGCUCCUGGGCUGCGGGCCUCAGUUCCGUCUGGUGGCCCUGGUGGGCCGGGGCCCCGCCCCCCUUGCUAGUGUGUCACUCUUUCCCCCUCCCUCUUGUGGCUCUUGGUCCGCGGGUGGCCCAGGCACACUCUCUCGCUCCCCCUUCAGCCCAGCCUGUCGGGCCCGGCCUGGCGCGGUCAGGGUAUAUAUGGGUGCGGAAGGGCUCACUCCCCCCCUUGCUUAGGGUUUCCAGCCUCCUCCUCUGACCUGCGCCGUCAUUGCUUCCCCAUCCGUGUUUUCUCCAAAUCUUCUCCUCCUCCUCCUCUUUCUCUCAACUUCGCGGCAGUCAGAUCGAUGGACCACUCGUGCGGGUCCUCCAGUGAGGUCCUCUCUGUCCAAAAGCGGCGGCAGGAGGGCUCAAUGGAGGGAGAGGCUGAUCUGGAGUAUGAGGCGGCGCUCCGCUCCAAGCUCCACGCUGAUUGAGCCUGGGCGGAGGGGGCGACGAAGGAGCUUGGCGGUCCUCCUUCUCAUGGGUCUGGCUCGGUGGCGGCCGGUCCCUCGGCGCCUCUGGGUGGCGCUGCAUUGCAUGUUGUGGAUCCGUGGGAGGUGGCGACUGCAGCUAGUAGGGCUGGAUAUGCUAGCUCGACUCUGCGGCCCACUCUUCCGUGCAAUACCGCGCCCCCGGCGGGGGCUCCGGUGCGGACUCCAGCGGCUCCUGGGGGGCUCUGCUCGGUCCGUGCCUCGUGGCUCCGUAGGGGCGCCGGACCACCGACCCGCCUCUUGUGGGUGGGGAUCUGGCUCUGCUUCCGGAUCUGCUGGUGAUGGUAUCUUUCCUGCGCCUCCCCCAAGCUCGGCGCGUAUCCCUCCUCCUUCCCAUGUGGCCAACCCCACCCUCACCUGCUUCGCUUGCCACUGUCCUAGCCAUUUCCAAUCUCGAUGCCAAAAUCCCCCCUUCUGUCUCAUCUGCAGAGAGGACGGCCAUCUUACGGUCGAUUGCCAGAAUCGCACUAAACCCCCAACCUUUGUUCAAUAUGGUUUUGGUCUUCCUGGAUGUUCCUUGUUCGCUCUCGACCGUGAGGUUCCUGUAGUGGUUCCCAUUCCUGCUCUCUCAAACUCUGGUAUCAUUACCGUCAAGGACAAGCUUAUCUCCCCCCAGAUUCUUCUCGACGAACUUCGCCUAUGGGACGAUGGAGGUUGGGAUUGGCAGAUUCGCCAGCUUUCAGAGUUUGAGUUCGCUGCUUUGUUACCCUUCAAAGAAAGUUUGCGUAUGAUUCCUUCAUGCUCCAGUUUCACUCUCCCCCUCAACCAUCUGGUUGUAUCUGUCAAUGAGACCUCCAAUGGAUCGAAAGCAAACUCCUUCUUGACUGAAGUUUGGGUCCUAGUCGAUGAUGUCCCACCUUCGCUUUGUUCCGCUGCUUUCAUCAUGGCUUUUGGUGUUCUCAUUGGAAAACCUAUCGAGGUCGAUCCGGAAUCCCUGGCUGUCUUGGGCCCUGUGCGUCUGCGCCUGUGGUGUGUGGAUCCUCUCUGCAUUCGCGGCUCCAUCGAUGUUUUCCCCUCUGCUGGUGGUUUUUGUCUCAGGGUCCGGGUCGAGGGUGACGUGGCUCCGGUGUCGCCCCCGCCCCCGCCCCCCCCCCCGCCCAGCCUUAGGUAACGAUGACAAGGGCAAGGAUGAUGAUGGCCUUCCGGAUGAUUCUCUCCAUGGCAAUGAGCAUCGCUUUACCCAGUCGGAGUGGGAUGGCCUAUCCCUGAAGAUCGUGACUUGCUCAAGGAGAAUGCCCUGGUGGGUGGAAACAAGGACUCGCUGCUCGGCGCCAGUGGGGGACUACGGCCUCUGGUGGAGCUAGGGGUACCCCAUUCUCUGGUGGGUGCUCCAACCGCCCAGCCCGAACCUCCUCCCGUUCCCUCUCUGGUAUUGCAGAUAUGCCCCCAUCUGGUUCCUUGGCCACGAGAAAGAAGAAGAAGUCGUCUGUUAAGAAGUUCUCCGCGUGCAGUAGGGCUUCUGGUGAUUCCAAGCAGUCUGUGGCAGGACUUUGUGGUAGGAUUGAUGCUGAUCUAGGUGCGGCAUCGGGUCCUUCGGCGGCGGCAGCUUUCCCGAGCUAGUCCCGCCCCACGCUGUUGCGUUCACCUACUUCCACUGCCCGCAAGAGCGGCCGCGUCUCCAACAGCGGCGAGCGGGUUGCUGAUCGGGCGGCGCUGCACGCUGCGGCUAGUGCUUUGCCCCCCUCGGGUACUCCCCCAUGCUCCCCUCCCCCUUUUGUUCCUGCUUCUUCCCAUGUUCGUCUAGUGCUUCUGUCGCAGUCCAACGAUCACCUUUUGCAUAUCUUAGAGGACGUAGGCAUAUCUUGUGACCCAAGUUUCGGUUCUCCUUCUUCUUUAUUGGACAUUAUCUGGGCUAAUGAAGUGGCUCAGCCGAAUAUUGCUAGGGCCAAGGAGGAUGCCUCAGGGGCUAUCGCCCCACUGGUUGUGGCCGGUGGGGUCGAGGAGGGACCUGAUAGGGAUCAGGUGCUCUCUGUUGUGCCUCGGCGCGGGGCUGGCAAACAUUCUAAACCCUACAUCGCCCCAAGCAGGUCGAGUCUUCGCAUUAGAAACCUAUCUCAUCGAUGAAGGCCUUGUUUUGGAAUAUUAGGGGUUUCGGUGCUAUGGGCGCCGGGACCAGAUAAAAGACCUUGUCCGCGCUGAGAAUAUUGAUAUCAUUGGCCUUGUUGAAACUCUGAAACCUUCCUUUUCCCCGAAUGAACUGUUGUUGCUGGGAUCGAUGGGUUUGACUGGAAUCAUGUGGCAUCGUGUGGGCACUCAGGCGGUAUUCUUAUUGGCACCAAAAGAGAUUUGUUUGAUUUUGUUGCUUUCGCUCAUGGCAUCUUUUGGGCUAGUACUGUGGUUUCUCUUCACUCCCUCAAUUCUCUGUUGGAAGUUAUGGUUGUUUAUGGUCCGGCUGACCACUCCCUCUCUCUUAUAUCUUCUUGGAUGAAAUUCAGAAUAAAAUUGAGUCUUGUGACCUCCCUUUGCUUAUUGGAGGAGACUUUAAAUUGAUGCGCUCCCCUCUGGAUAAAAACUCGCCUAACUUUUCUUGUCCGCUUGCUAACGCGUUUAAUGUGUUCAUUUGGGACACUGCUAUCCGCGAAAUACCUAGGGUUGGUGCCCGGUAUACAUGGAUGAAUCGCCAAUCGGCUUCCAUUCGAUCUGUUCUCGAUCGUGUCUUCAUUUGCCCCAGGUGGGACUCCCUGCUUCCUCGGGCUUCCCUCCGGGCUCUGCCCAUCGUGGGGUCUGAUCACUCGCCUCUGAUUCUUGAUGACGGGACUGAUUCUGUCUCCUUCCUACGUUUUCAGUUCGAUGCUUCUUGGAUCCUGGUAGAGGGUUUUGUCGACCUAAUAGCGAAUAAGAUCUCAUCUUUUUUAUCUUCUGCUCAUCGCUCUUUCGGGCCGACGGAUGACUGGCACAAAUGCUCUUAUUUCCUUCAUAAAUUUCUUUGUGGAUGGGCUAAGAACCACGCUACUGAGUCCAGGCAUGACAAGGCUCGGCUUGCUGCCCAAAUUGGUCUCCUCGAUGCUCGCACCGAUAGCUCUGGGCUUUCCCCCUCUGAUUGGCAGGCUCACUAUGAUCUAGAAGCAGCCCUUUUGGCCCUGCAUCGUCAGGAGGAAAUGUAUUGUAGACAAAGGGGUGCCAUAAAUUGGACUUUAAAAGGCGAUUCUCCUACUGCGUACUUCUUCGCCAUCGCCAAUGGUAGGCGUCGCCGCUGCCUGAUCGAUAGCUUGCUUAUCAAUGGUGUCAGGGUCUCCGACCAAUCCGAGAUUAUGUCGGACAUGGUCAAUUUAUUCUCUUCUCUCCUCGUUGCUAAACCUGAGGUGGGUUUUAGUCUGGCCAAUUCCUUCUGGACCUCUCAGGACCAAAUUGCAAUCAAUGAUAAUGAAGCCUUGUUGAUCCCCCUCUCUGACGAGGAGAUUUUCGAUUCGAUUCGCUCUGCCAACUCUAAUGCGGCUUCAGGUCUUGAUGGUUUCUCCUUCCUCUUCUUUAAGCUAUUUUGGCCCUAGUUGAGGGGCCUUGUUCAGGCAAUCAUUCAAGGAUUUUGGUUGCUACCGUUGAUAUUUCUGAGUUGAACUAUGCGGUGCUCACUCUUAUUCUUAAAGUCAAAGGGGCGGACCUGAUCACUCAAUUUAGACCUAUUGCCUUGAUCAACAACUUUGCAAAGUUACCAUCUAAAGGCUUUGCCACUAGACUCUCCCCUAUCACUCAUCGCUCUAUUAGCCCUUUUCAACCGGCUUUCAUAAAGGGCAGGUUCAUUCUGGAUGGUGUUCUAUGUCUCCAUGAGAUCGCCCAUGACUUGCGAGUUCGGGGCACCAAGGCAGUGAUUCUCAAACUUGACUUUGAAAAAUCUUAUGACUCAGUCAGUUGGAAGUUUCUCCAGCAAGUGCUUCUUGCUAAGGGUUUUGAUGGCACAAUGGUCCACAAGCUUAUGCAGUUGGUCACGGGUGGCCACACUACUGUGUCGGUUAAUGGAUAGAUUAGUAAUUUCUUCACCAACGGCAAUGGCCUAAGGCAGGGUGAUCCGGCCUCUCCCCUUCUUUUCAACUUUGUCGCUGAUGCUCUCUCUCAUAUUCUAUCCCGGGCAGUUGUAGCUGGCCACAUCAAACCUGUUAGCUCUCAGCUUGUUCCGAAUGGCAUCUCUCACCUUCAAUAUGCGGAUGACACUAUCAUUAUGUUCGAACUAAAUGAGGCUAGCAUUACCCAUCUGAAAUUCCUACUCCUGUGUUUUGAAGCUUUCUUUAGCCUUAAAAUCAAUUUUGCUCAAAGCGAAGUCAUUGUUAUUGGGGCUUCGAACGUCGAGGCUCAAAGAGUUGCUCAUUUCCUCAACCGUUCCCUAGGCUCCUUUCCUUUUCAAUAUCUUGGCCUUCCGAUCUCUCCCAACAAAUUGCUGGCUAAAGACUUUGCCCUGGCUGUCACUAAGGUGGGAAACCGGGUCUUGCCGUGGAGAGGCCGUUAUAACACCCAAGCGGGCAAGGUUGCCCUCACCAAUGCUUGUUUGUCUUCUCUCCCCAUGCUCCCGAUGGGUUUUUUCCUUCUAUCUGGAGGGAUCCACGGUGGCUUUGACAAGCAUAGGGGGUGCUUUUUACUGGAAUUCUGCCGACAAUAGGCGCAAAUACAGGAUGGUGAAAUGGAAAUUCAUAUGUUGGCCCAAGAACAUGGGAGGUUUAGGUAUCAUUAAUAUGUCUGUCACGAACAAGUGCCUCAUUCUAAAGUGGUGGUGGAAGAUCAUGUCUUCUGUGGAGUGCCCUCUGUGGCUAUCCAUUCUCAAGACUAAAUACUUCCCGGACUCGAGCCCCAUGUUUGCUUCCUCCUCUAGUGGCUCCCAGUUCUGGCUCCAGCUCGUUAACGUUCGUGCGGUUUUUCAAUCCUUGGUCAAGUUUGUAGUUAGGAAUGGUAAGUCUACUCGCUUCUGGUUAGAUUGGUGGUGCGGGGACUCCACCCUCACAGUGGCGUUCCCGGUCUUAUUUUCUUAUUGCUCUGAUCCGGAGAUCUCUAUCUUUGAGCUCUCGCUAAAUAACUGGGAUCUAGACCUCCGUAGAACUCUUUCUCCGGAAGAGUUGGAAGACUGGCAUCGCCUUACUGCUUGCUUCCCCAUGCUCUCGGACGAAGAAGACUUGGUUGUCUGGCCCCACUCCUCUUUUGGUUGCUUUUCGGUUAAGUCCACCUACACUAAACUUAUAUCUCGCUCCCCUACGUCCAAGUUCAAGUGCAUCUGGAGUGCCCGUAUUCCCCCUAAGAUCAAAAUCUUCAUGUGGAAAUCUUUCCGUGGGAAACUUCCCGCGACUGAUCAAAUUCGGAAAAGGAACGGUCCGGGUUCUGAGAGAUGCACUUUAUGUGGGGCCAUUGAAAACACUGAGCAUAUUUUCUUUAUUGCUCUUUGGCUAAGUUUGUUUGGUGAUGCAUCCAUUUUUUGCUCCAAGUUAAUUGGAAUCCUUCGUGCUUCGAGGACUUGCGGCGUAUGUCUAGUGGCUUAUCUGAAGUGUCUAAAAUGGUAUUCUGGGUCGGGUUUGCAGCGAUUUGUUGGUCGUUGUGGACUACUAGAAACAAGUUUACUAUUGUAUCUACCUUCCCGGCUAACCCUGUGAGCUGCUUAUUUAAAUCUGGUGUAUUUCUGCAGUAGUGGAGAUUAUUGAUUAAGGAAGCGAACCUCGAGGCUUUUGACGCAAUGGUAUCCAAGAUUCGAUCUAUGACUUCCUCCUUGUAUCGACGAUAUCGGGCGGCGCCUUAAUUAAUUCCCUUCUCCAUGUCUUUCCCGAGAUGGCCUGUGUGCCAUGAUUGGCUAGAUAGCCAUGUAUGUGAACCUUCUUAGCUGUUUCUUUGCUACUUUGUUGGCUUGGUGUUUGGUUGUGUUACUCUGCCUGGUGGCUUUAUUUAUAAAGUCGGGCAUAUGCCUUUUUUCUAAAAAAACAUCUCUCAGCUAGGCCCCUAGGAAUGGAUCAAUCAGGCAUUUCCUCUCAACCAGGCUCUCAGCAUUCAGGGGAGGGAAACGCAACGGUGAGCACAUGUGACCUCGCACGCAUCCCAAUAUAAUUAUAGGAGGAAUUGGAUCACCUCCUGCCAAUUUAGUCACCCUAUUUACUCCCCGCUCGCUCACUGCUGAAACCCCGCCACCAUUUCCUCCUCUUCACGCUCUCCAUCUCGGGCAGAUUCUUCACCAAUGAGCAGUUAUAAGCGCAUCUUCUCAGGUCCGCGGUGGUCCGCGACAUCAAUCGUUCUUCCUCCUCUUCCCCGAGCUAUUGCGUGCCUUCCUCCUUGCUCCAUUGAUGGAUGUAAGUUAAAUCACUCCCUACCUAUUGUACCUUAGAUAUGUGAGCAUGUUGUAGGAGUAGUUUUGAAGGUAGUAUGAUAGGCCUUAUAUAUGUGAUCAUGUGAUGAUGUGGUAGAACAGAUGAUAGUGUUGUCGAUUUGCUGGCAUGCUAGGUUUUGCUUCUCAACAUUUUUGAUGUUCAUGUUAUUGUGGUAGAUGUGGCAAUAUAUUCACCUGGAUGAUAGGAUGUGCAGUAUAGUUGUAUGGUAGAUAGGUAGAUGUGGUAGUGUGUUGAACUUCAUUUUCAGUCAAUGCUAGUUUGCUCCAUGUGUAAUAUGCAUUGUCUUUAUUCAGUGGUCCUGAUGCUAACCGCUGUAGGACAUUAACAGUGCAAUACACUGGGGGUGGCUUGCCUAGAGGAAGCCUAACAAGAGGCCCAUCAUGGGGCCCGUAUGGCUCGAAGAGAGCUCAAUAACAGGAGAGAUCCCGGAGGCCUUGCUGGAGCUCAAUGAUCAUCUUGGAGUGCAAGCCAAGCAAGGCGGCGGCUGGAGGAUUAGCCAGAGGGACCUACUCAUAUAGAAACAUACUCUUGAUAGCCAUAAAUCAUCCUCCGUUGUGACCCUCACACGAGGUACUCCACCUUGAGUACAAACUAGAAGCAGGACGUAGGGUGUCCUCCAGGAGGGGGGGCUUGAACAUGGGUAACUAACUCGUGUGACCUCUGUUUUGGCAGUUCUAGUCGUGUUAUCCACCCUAUCGAGGGUACUGAUGGUUCUACAUACCGUCUGAUGGCACGCCAAGCAGUGGCUACGCUGGUUGGAGAACAAACCAAGACUGGAUCUUUGUUCAUCCCAAACGACUACAUGUCGAGCCAAACCUUCACUUUCGGCUCCUUCGGGCUCGAAGUCGACGACGACCAUGGACUGCACUACAAUGUUCCCAUCGGUGUCAUGCACUUUGGAAAACUCGAAUUCCACUUCGAUCGACAAGGCGAUAUAGUAUGCCUCCGUGCUCCUCCUAUUGGGAAACAUAGCAUGCAAUUUCAGAAAAUUUCCUACGCUCACGCAAGAUCUAUCUAGGAGAUGCAUAGCCCCUUAGGGAGCAUGUCUCUUCUCCUCUUUCCUUCCCCCUCUAUUUUGGCCUACAUGGGGCGCACCAGCCCCUUAGGGGCUGGUCUGUCACACUCUUGUCCCAUUAGGCCCAUGUAGUUGUCGGGGGGAUGCCCGGAACCCCUUCCGAUGACCCGAUACGUAACCGGUACCCCUGGAACACUUCCAGUGUCCGAAUACUAUCGUCCUAUAUCUCAACCUUUACCUCUCGACAAUUUCAAGACUCCUCGUCAUGUCUGUGAUCUCAUCCGGGACUCUGAACAACAUUCGGUCACCAAAUCACAUAACUCAUAUAAUACAAAUCGUCAUUGAACGUUAAGCGUUUCGGACCCUACGGGUUCGAGAACUAUGUAGACAUGACCGAGACACCUCUCCGGUCAAUAACCAAUAGUGGAAUCUAGAUGUUCAUAUUAGCUCCCUCAUAUUGUAUGAAGAUCUUUAUCAGUCGGACCAUUAUGACAACAUACGUUAUUCCCUUUGUCAUUGGUAUGUUACUUGCCCGAGAUUCGAUCAUCGGUAUCUUCAUACCUAGUUCAAUCUUGUUACUAGAAAGUCUCUUUACUCAUUCUGUAAUGCAUCAUCCCGCAACUAACUCAUUAGUCACAUUUCUUGCAAGGCUUCUUAUGAUGUGUGUUAACGAGAGAGCCCAGAGAUACCUCUCCGAUACUCGGAGUGACAAAUCCUAAUCUCGAUCUAUGCAAACGCAACAAACACCUUCGGAGAUACCUGUAGAGCAUCUUUAUAAUCACCUAGUUAUGUUGUGACGUUUGAUAGCCCACAAGGCAUUCCUCCGGUAUCCGUAGUUGCAUAGUCUCAUAGUUGGAGGAAUAUGUAUUUGACAUGAAGAAAGCAGUAGCAAUAAACUGAACAAUCAUUAUGCUAAGCUAACAAAUGGGUCUUGUCCAUCACAUCAUUCUCCUAAUGAUGUGAUCCCAUUCAUCAAAUUACAACACAUGUCUAUGGUUAGGAAACUUAACCAUCUUUGAUUAACGAACUAGUCAAGUAGAGGCAUACUAGGGACAUGGUGUUUUGUCUAUGUAUCCACACAUGUAUCAAGUUUUUGGUUAAUAUAAUUCUAGCAUGAAUAAUAGACAUUUAUCAUGAUAUGAGGAAAUAUAAAAUAACAACUUUAUUAUUGCCUCUAGGGCAUAUUUCCUUGAGUCUCCCACUUGCACUAUAGUCAAUAAUCUAGUUCACAUCGCCAUGUAAUUUAACACCAAAAGUUCACAUCUGUAUGUGAUUAACACACAUAGUUCACAUCGCCAUGUGACUAAUACCCAAAUGGUUUACUAGAGUCAAUAAUCUAGUUCACAUCGCUAUGUGAUUAACACCCAAAGAGUACUAAGGUGUGAUCAUGUUUUUCUUGUGAGAAGUUUUGUCAAUGGGUCUGCCACAUUCAGAGUCGUAUUUAUUUUGCAAAUUUUCUAUGUCUACAAUGCUCUGCAUGGAGCUACUCUAGCUAAUUGCUUCCACUUUCAAUAUGUAUCCAGAUUGAGAUUCAGAGUCAUCCGUAUCGGUGUAAAAGUUUGCAUCGACGUAACUCUUUAUGACGAACACUUUAUCACCUCCAUAACCGAGAAAUAUUUCCUUAGUCCUCUUAGGUAACUCAGGAUAACUUUGAGCGUUGUCCAGUGAUCCACUCCUGGAUCACUAUUGUACCCCCUUGCCAAACUCAUGAUAAGGUACACAAUAGGUCUGGUACACAACAUAUCAUACUUUAUAGAACCUAUGGAUGAGGCAUAGGGAAUGACUUUCAUUCUCUUUCUAUUUUCUGCUAUAGUCGGGUUUUGAGUCUUACUCAACUUUACACCUUGCAACAUAGGAAAGAACUCCUUCUUUGACUAUUCCAUAUUGAACUACUUCAAAAUCUUGUCAAGGUACAUACUCAUUGAAAAAUCUUAUCAAGCGUCUUGAUCUAUCUCUAUAGAUAUUUAUGCCCAAUAUGUAAGCAGCUUUACCGAGGUCUUUCUUUGAAAAACUCCUUUCAAACUCUCCUUUAUGCUUUCCAGAAAAUUCUAUCAUUUCCGAUCAACCAUAUGUCAUUCACAUAUAAUUAUCAGAAAGGUUAUAGUGCUCCCACACACUUUCUUGUAAAUACAGGCUUCACAAGUCUGUAUAAAACUAUAUGCUUUGAUGAACUCAUCAAAGCGUAUAUUCCAACUUCGAGGUGCUUGCACCAGUCCAUAGAUGGAUCGCUGGACCUUGAACAUUUUGUUAGCACCUUUAGGAUUGACAAAACCUUCUGGUUGCAUAAUAUACAACUCUUUUUAAUAAAUCCAUUAAUGAAUGCAGUUUUGAUAUUCAUUUGCCAGAUUUCAUAAAAUGUGGCAAUUGCUAACAUGAUUCGGAUAGACUUAAGCAUUGAUAUGAUUGAGAAAAUCUCAUCGUAGUCAACACCUUGAACUUGUCGAAAACCUUUUGCGACAAUUCGAGCAUUGUAGAUAGUAACACUACCAUCACCAUCCGUCUUCCUCUUGAAGAUCCAUUUAUUUUCUAUGGCUCGCCGAUCAUCGGGCAAGUAAACCAAAGUCCACACUUUGUUCUUAUACAUGGAUCCUAUCUCAGAUUUCAUGUCCUCAAGCCAUUUAUUGGAACCCGGGCUCAUCAUCGCUUCUUCAUAGUUCAUAGGUUCAUCAUGGUCUAGUAACAUGACUUCCAAAACAGGAUUACCGUACCACUAUGGUGCGGAACGUGCUCUGGUUGACCUACGAGGUUUAGUACUAACUUGAUCUGAAGUUUCAUGAUCAUUAUCAUUAGUUUCCUCUCUAGUUGGUUUAGGCAUCACGGGAACGGUUUUCUGUGAUGACCUACUUUCCAAUUCGAGAGAAGGUAUAAUUACCUCAUCAAGUUCUACUUUCCUCCCACUCACUUCUUUUGAGAGAAACUCCUUCUCUAGAAAGGUUCCAUUCUUGGCAACAAAGAUCUUGCCUUCGGAUCUAUGAUAGAAGGUGUACCCAACUGUUUCCUUAUGGUAUCCUAUGAAGACACACUUCUCUGAUUUGGGUUUGAGCUUGUCAGGCUGAAGCCUUUUGACAUAAGCAUCGCUACCCCAAACUUUAAGAAAUGACAACUUAGGUUUAUUGCCAAACCACAAUUCAUACGGUGUCGUCUCAACUGAUUUUGACGGUACCCUAUUUAACAUGAAUGCAGCUGUCUCUAAUGCAUAACCCCAAAACAAUAGUGGUAAAUCGUUAAGAGACAUCAUAGAUCUCACCAUAUCUAAUAAAGUACAGUUACGAUGUUCAGACACACCAUUACGCUAUGGUGUUUCAGGUGGCGUGAGUUAUGAAACUAUUCCACGUUGUUUUAAAUGAAGGCCAAACUCGUAACUCAAAUAUUCGCCUCCACGAUCAGAUCGUAGAAACUUUAUUUGUUGUUUCGAUGAUUCUCCACUUCACUAUGAAAUUGUUUGAACUUUUCAAAUGUUUCAGACUUGUGUUUCAUUAAGUAGAUAUAUCUGCUUAAAUCAUCUGUGAAGGUCAAAAAAUAACGAUACCCACCACAUGUCUCAACACUCAUAGGACCACAUACAUUGGUAUGUAUUAUUUCCAAUAAGUCAUUGGUUCGCUCCAUUGUUCCGGAGAAUGUAGUUUUACUCAUGUUCCCAUGAGGCAUGGUUCGCAAGUAUCAAAUGAUUCAUAAUCAAGUGAUUCCAAAAUCCCAUCAGCAUGUAGUUUCUUCAUGCGCUUUACACCAAUAUGACCUAAGCGGCAGUGCCACAAAUAUGUUGCACUAUCAUUAUAAACUUUGCAUCUUUUGGCAUCAAUAUUACGAAUAUGUGUAUCACUAUGAUCGAGAUUUAAUAGACCAUUAAUAUUGGGUGUAUGACCAUAGAAGGUUUUAUUCAUGUAAACAUAAUAACAAUUAUUCUCUGUUUUAGAUGAAUAAUAGUCUUGCAAUAAACACAAUCCUAUCAAGUUCAUGCUCAACGCAAACACCAAAUAACAUUUAUUUAGGUUCAACACUAAUCCCGAAAGUAUAGGGAGUGUGUGACGAUGAUCAUAUCAAUCUUGGAACCACUUCCAACACACAUCGUCACUACACCCUCAACUAGUCUCCAUUUAUUCUGUAACUCUUUUUUUGAGUUACUAAUCUUAACAACCGAACAUGUAUCAAAUACCCAGGGGCUACUACGAGCACUAGUAAGGUACACAUCAAUAACAUGUAUAUACAAUAUACCUUUAUUCACUUUGCCAUCCUUCUUAUCCGCCAAAUAUUUGGGGUAGUUCCGCUUCUAGUGACCAUUCCCUUUGCAGUAGAGGCACUCAGUUUCAGUCUUAGGUCUGGCUUUGGGCUUCUUCACGGGAGUGACAACUUGCUUUCCAUUCUUCUUGAAGUUCCCUUUCUUUCCCUUUGCCCUUUUCUUGAAACUAGUGGUCUUGUUAACCAUCAUCACUUGAUGCUCUUUCUUGAUUUCUACCUUCGCCGACUUUAGCAUCAUGAAGAGCUUAGGAAUCUUUUUCGUUAUCCCUUGCACAUUAUAGUUCAUCAGAAAGUUUUAGUAGCUUGGUGAUAGUGACUAGAGAACUCUGUCAAUCACUAUCUUAUCUAGAAGAUUAACUCCCACUUGAUUCAAGCGAUUGUAGUGUCCAGACAUUAUGAGCACAAGCUCACUAGCUGAGCUAUUCUCCUCCAUCUUGUAGGCAAAGUACUUGUUAGAGGUCUCAUACCUCUCGACACGGGUGUCGGUGUUCUGGAGAUGGGGGUUCCUAGACUUGCCUGCCUGCGGCCCACUGCAUGGCUCCAUCGACGGCCUGGUACGGCCCAGCUUCAGCAUCAACAAACUCAAGACCCUCGCGAGGCAGACAACCCCAAGACCUCUAAGGGGAUCGGCCUCCUUAGGCUGGCUCCAAAGGAGCGAAGACUUCUAUGCAAGGUGCACCUCGCGAGGCUCAGCUGACGUGAGCCAUGACAACCAAGGCCAGGCGGGCGCCAGCGGGCGCCGAGUACUAGUUUCCUCUUUGGUGCAAGGGAGCCAAGAAGCAGGCAGUGAGUCCUGAGGAAUCAGCCAAAGGUUUCUAUUCUGGUGCAACGAGACCAAGACCGCCAGGAUGGCAGGACGGAGGUCAUCGCCAAGCCCACAGCAGCGUCACAACCAGGGGCUUUUGUAGGCGAAGACCGCUUUAGUCAGGAUAGGGUGUACUUGUGCCCCUUCAUAUCUGGCCAUUGUGGGAUCCCUUCCCGCCAACAUUUGGGAAGAGGACCAAGGCCACUAUAAUAGGACUUAGCCACCACCAUAGAGGGGAUCAAAUCCAUUCUAAUCUGACCACCUCACCAGCUCUCUCGAGCUCAAGAACACCUCACCUCCUGAGGUUGUUCAUCCACUGUACUAGUUCAUCCUCAGCCCCUCGAGUCAAUCCACCAAAAAGCUGGAGUAGGGUAUUACACGGCAAGGUGGCCCAAACCAGGAUAAACUGUUGUGUCUCUCUAUCCCUUUGAGCUCGACGCGCUAGGCUGUGAGGAUCGCGAGUUGGCAUGCUUGGUAGGUUGAGAUAUCUGCACACUCCCCAGAGUUUGAACCUCUCAAGGUUUUUGGAACCCGAAAUCCGACAUUUGGUGUGCCAGGUAGGUGUGCAUCAGAUCUUCUCUUCUAUCGACCGGUCCUCCGCUGCUCCACCGACACCCUGGCCGAGGCCCCGAGAGCCCACGUUGAGCACUAGGUUGUCAGGGCUUCUUCAACAGCAACUACCGACAAGGAAGACCUCCACUCCGCGCUGCUCGCAGCCUGCACUCUGUCUGGGGGCGACCACCGUGGGAGGCGAGGACCGCACCCCCCUCCUCUAGCGCCGCGUCGCAGCCGCCCCGCCACGCGAUCUUCAAGCGACGCAACCGCAACAGCACCUCACACUUGCCGGGAGCAGGCGAACAUGUUGGCUGCAGUCAACGUGGCUCGAGAACUGCUAAGGUGGAGGCUGGCAGAAAGCGGCUGUGACGCCCUGCUGGAGCGAUUUGCCGGGUUGCUGGAUGCAGCAUGCAGGGUCGCAACACCAUUCUACACCCUGCCCACGUCGCAAGGUGUGGCGGGGGAGCGCGCUCACCCUCGCCACACCCGCGCACCCAGUGGCGGAGCCAGGAAAUAUGUAUUAGGGGGGCCAAGUGCUGCUAAAAUAAGUUAGGGAGGGCCAAACUAUAGCAAAAUAGAUUUUCAGCAGCAAAAGAUUACUAAUGAUGUCACUGUUCAUAGCAGAUUAGCAGCAAAAUCCAGAUGUUAGGGGGGGCCAAGGCCCCUACUGGUCCCCCUGUCUCCGACACUGCGCGAGCCCCCUCCCAUGCCCCCUGAAGAGCCUCUCGGCGCCGGCCUACCUCACGGCGCAGCCCGCACUGCUUCGACCAUGCCACCUAGGUGCGGGGCGACUCCGAGCAACCUCCCCUGGGGCUGUGCUGGGGCACCAGCCCUCAGUCACCAGAAUGUGACGACGAUCGCAGGGGCUGGAAGUGCGAGACAAGCGGGCAGAGACUCAGGCAUGGCCAGCCCGGAAGCAUAUGUGCCCAUCGCAAUGGACCUGAGGUAUGCGCCGGGAGAAGGCCCCAGUCGAUCUCCCAGGCCAGGCUGGGCGCUGGAGAUAUACGAAGUCGAGGCUCUUUGCGAGCCGCUGCAAGGCUCCAGCAACAUAUUCGACAGCAACAACUACUGGGUACAACUAACGCCUCAGGAGCACGCUUGUGAUAACCAUGGAUCGCAGGUGAACCAGGGCACAGCCAUCGCCAAGGCUCCCAGGGCAGCGGCCCAGCCACAGGAACAUGAAGGGCCUUGGGAGCAGCGUGGGGGAGCCCAGGGCCAGGGCCUCCCCCACGCUGUGUGGAGCAAGACGCUGCUCGGAGGUAGGUCCCCCGCCGGGGAAGGUGCUGGCAAGCCUUUCCCCCAGCGGAGGGCCUACGGUCACCGAGGGCGCCGCCAGCGUCCCCCUUGCCCCUUUGUCUCGUCCUAGUUUCCAGACUCCCCAACGGUGGUCGUGGGUGGCGCAGGGUGGGGUCCUCGUCGGGCGACAUGAAGCAAGGCUCCAACCUGUGAAGGUCUCUGCUCAUGACACUCUCACAUAAUAAUGAGUGGGGUUGUACAUGCCCCGGAGUCUCCUGAGUGUCGCCCUGGGGCCUCAUGGGGGCUCCCACCCAUGUCCAAGUGGAAGCACCAUGCUCCGCACUGGUCAUCAACACUGUCCCCCAAUGACUAUGCCCACGCCCAGAGGAAGCACUUAGCUCCGCGCUAGUGAGAAGACCUAAAGACUAGCUAGACGCCAGACGUGGCCGUUUGCUUUCGCCUCUCUUUUUGUACCCAAUUCACUCGCUUUUUGGAAUGAACUUGGCUCUUGUGCAUUUACCAAAAGAAAAAUGGGGGGAAGUUUUCUUGUCUUGCGUCAUUCUCUCGCUUUCUGGUUUCAUGUUUUUGAGCGAGGCUCGUGCCUGCUGCCCCUCCCCCAAGUACCUCGUGAGCGGGGGUUGGGUGCAGUGCGCGCGCGUCGAGCAUGAUCAGACCGGCCCCGAGCAUACAAAGGCUACCCCCGGGGACCAGUGAUGCGGCCACCACAUGCGUACCUAGCCGUGGUCCGGCAGUUAGUCCCUCGCGAGGCACUCUAGGACAGGUCAGCAGGCUCCUCGGGGGGGCCAGACCCUCGCGAGCCUACGACAGGCUCUCCGCGAGGAGACAAGUGUUUCUACGGCAUUAGGGCUCACACGAGACCCACGGAGCGAAAGAUAAGUCAUAACAACCACCCUGCCUGAGGCUGCAGACCUGAAGGGUCGCACCACAGGCGCUACUUCAAAAGCAUUUCAUAAUCAUAUACAUCGCAAGGGGGCCCCGCUUUCGAAAUGCUCUCACUAGGAGGUGUUCAAGUUUUGGUCAUACAGGUUAAAGCAAAAAAGAAGUACGGGCCUAACUGAGUGUGCCCUCUUCAUCACCUCCAUCCGCGCCGCAUGCACUACCCGCGUUGUCACGGCCAUUCUCUUCAUCAUCGCUGCAUGUGGCACCUACUCUGGCCGCAAGCACAACCGUGUCAUCCUCAGGAGCAAACUCUUCCACCAGGGCGUCCACAUGGUCAUCCACCCACCUAGCUAGUCUGUCCUGAGUAGCCGCGGGCACGGGGGCUAGCACAACACUGAAGUCGAAGUGGGAAUCGCGGCUGAGGAGGUUGCUGAAGACACACAAGAACGCGUGCUCAAGAAGGCCCUCGCUCCUCUCCCAAACAAGCUUGUGAGCCCUCGUGGCCCGGUCCACCAGGCGGGUCACAAUGUCGAUGAAGAAGUUGAGGUGGCUGGCAUAGUCCUUCUCGUGCGGAUGAGGAGCGCUCUUGUCACAGAUGGUGCCCAAGGUGCGGUUAGCUCUGGCUCAGAGAUCCUGGAGAAUCAGCCAUGCUCGCCUUGCAGCGUGAGGCGACGGUUCGCUUUGUUCGCAGUCCUCUCCACAAGGAAUGCAGUAUCCUUGACCUGCUGCUGAAGGGAGGAUAACUCGGCGCGGGCAGAGGCCAAGGUGGAUUCAGAAGAAGCCAGAGCCUCCUUGGCGGCAUUCUCACGGUGUUCCGCAGAUUCCAACUUCACCUUCAGGGUGGUGGUCCUGCCCUCAAGCUUGGCUUUGAGCAGCUCCAGCUCCAGGUGGUGCCCUUCAGCCAGGUCCGCGCGUGCCUUCGUCACCUUCUCCUCAACCUCCACUUGGAACCGGGCUUCUCAGGCAGCGACAGCGUCCUCAUCCGUGGCCGCCUGGCGCUCCCUCACCUCCAGUCGCUCCGACACCGGGCUAUGCUCCGCAGCCUCCAGUGCCAGGUUAUCUUGGCGCCUCAGAAGUUCCGCCUCAACGAGAGGUGCUUCACCCGGUGAAGCGGCCAGGAGGGCACGCCGCACCUCGAUCUCCUGCCCAAGGGCGGCGUUUGAAGACAGGAGCUCCCGCUCUCGCUCCUCGACUGCCUCACAAUGGCGGUUGGCAGCUUUGGCAUCCUCCAGGGCGCGGGCGCAAGCAUCACGAGAAGUGGCGAGGGAGGCUGCCGCACGCACGUCGGCCUGAUCGCGCCGAAGCUGCCCAAGGUUGAUGGCGACCUUCAGCUAGUGCCAUUCACAUGCCAACUGUUGGUUAUCUACCUCGAGCCGAGUGUCGAUGUCGGCCAGCUCUCCACCAAGCCGGAUACUUGCGUGCAUCGCCUCAUCGAAGAACUCGAAGCGGACAGCACUGCGCUCGUGUGUGACUGCCAGCACGCGGCCAAGCCCUUCUUCAGCCCCAGGAGCCAUCGAAGGGGCGUGGGAUGUCUCGCCUACCUCCGGCCAGGGGCUGGCCGAUGCAGCUCCACAACCCGAGGACGAAGACUGCUUAAGGGGCACCCAACCGCCAGCAAUGACCAGUGGGAGAGCCGUCGGCGCACCCCACGCCUCCCAGGUCGAGUUGCGGAAGAAAGAGUUAGGAGGCUCGGGUCCGGGGCCCCCUUGCAGUGCCCCAGCAGCCAGUGUCGGCCCCGUGCCUUGGGCGGAGCCUGGGCAUGGGUGAUGUGCGUCGGGAUCGAGCCAGGAUCCUCAGAAGGACGCCUCUCCUAAGGCUUCGCCAUCACAAGGACCCUGCUAGGCCCUAGUCAGAAAAAGCAUGGUGCGCGGGGAAUCACAAAAUGAGGUACUUACUCAUCCACAACCAUGAACUUCCUUAGCUUCAGCGGUCGGCGGGCAUCACCACUAUAGGUCGGAGAUCCCUUCCUCUUGUGGAGCGCUUCAAGAUCCAGGCAAAGCUGGCCGGGCCUCGAGGGGCGGUCUGUGACAGCCUGGAUUUUGCCUUCUUUGGUUUUCAGUUGAGUUGGUUUUGAAUUUGGAGUUUUGAAUCUUUUCAUUUGGACUUAACCACUUGGGUACCCCUUGAAUUUCACUCAAGUGCUCCCUCUCCUCCUCAAAACCAUCAUUUCACCUCUGGAUCAACUCAAAAUAUUGCUUCAAAUAUUUUUCUUAAAUGAAUAAUAUUCAUUUUGCCCUCCAAAACCCCAGCUAGCCCUUUGUGCUCCAAAGCAACCCUAAUUUUUCUUGCCCCAAAAAUACUGAGAAAAAUCCCAAUUAUUCUUUGAACCCUAGGGCACCUUUCUGAGCAAAAAUAUUUCAUCACUCUUUGGAAUAUUUUGGCUACAGAAAAUAAAUACAUUUCUGGACAGAAAUGGUAGUUUCUACAGCAACUACCAUUUUACUAGCUCCAUUGUAGCCGGUUUUCUUGUGCCUAUUUACCUUAGUAAGUGUAAGCAAGCCUCCAAAGCUCAGCCCUUAACUCCCAGUGGUUUGACCACAGUAAACCUCCAAAGUUACUGUCCAGAAACUUGCUAGCAGUACAAAUCCAUUUCUAUUGCACCUGGAUCCAAGCCCAACCGUGGUAACACUCCAAACUACCAAGGACUACAUGCCAGACAUCAAGUUAGUGCAUAGGGUGGCCUGAUGUCACGGUUCACGCGAUAACCGCGUUCGUUCGGGCAUGCCGGCAUGCAAAACACGCGCUCUGCGUGCCGCCUAGCACUCUGUUGAGUGCGUGCUCGCUGCCCAGCAUGCCCGAGCAUGCCAAGCCUCGCCACCAUCCCCGUCUCCACUCCCUUAACUCCCCCUAGCACUCGUUGACACUGGAGCUUGCCGCAAUGGGCACAGGCACGGUUCGGCCAACGACAUAGUGCGUGGCGCACUGUGCUCGUCGUCUUCUCCCUCGUCCAUGUGCUCGUCAGCACCCACCAAUAGUUUCUGCGCGACCUACGUCGUCUUCCCCCUCUCUCGCUGGCGCCGUUCGUCACCGGGCGCCAUGGACAGGUGUCCUCCGGCGGAGCCCAAACCCCUCUCGCCGCCCGCCUAUAAAUGUCGCCACCCCCAGCCUCCUUGAGCACCCGCAACUACUCCCACACCCUCCACAAACUAGUAGAAGCCGCAGCCCGGCCGGGCAGGCCGCCGGCUGCCGUCCCGAAGCCCGAGCUCGUCGGCGAUCCCCUUCGGAUCGUCCCCGCAGCUCCAGCCCCUCCCAGGCUAGGGCAACCCUGCCACGGCCUCCGCCAAUCUUCGGUGAGGGUGUUCCGCCCUGUUAGAGCCCCUAGAGCUGCCCCGAGCCGCCGUCGUCUUCUCCGGCGACCGCUGCCCUCUGCCUCCGCUGGAGAAGCCGCUUCCAACGCCACCCGGUCACCUCUAGCCAUGCUACGCAUAUGGGCAGGUGCGCCAUCUUAUUCUCCUUCGAUCCCGCCUCUCGUUUGACCCCAAGAACCCUCGUCGCCGGUGUGUGCUCCGACGAAGCUCCGCCUCCCUCUGUUUCCCUCCCCCUCCUUCUGGCUUGACUAGCGGGGCCCGGUAGUCAGCCACUCAGUACACGCGUGAAGCAGUAUGAGUGGAGGUGCCCCGGGCGUUUACGCCUUCGACGUCACCCCCCCAGUCUAUUUUCUUUUUAAAUCAAAUUCAUUUAAAUCCAGGAAACUUCAAACAGCCACAACUUUUUAUCUAUACGUCCAAGUGCAUUGAUUCUUUUUGCGUUGUGUUCUUUGUCCAGAAAUCUAACGGCACCCAAGAGAUGGGAUUUUUCCUUGCUGUCUAGAUUUUCUGGUAAUUUUCAAAAGGUUUCUUGAUGUUUUCUUUUUGUCGUUUUAUUUAUUUUCAGAAGAGCAAGCUUGUCUUGAGGAUCACCAGUAGAUUUGUGAACCUCAGCAGCACUAAGGCAAGCCACAACAACAUUUUCAUAGUGCCACUUCAAUAUUUGUGAUUUUCCUACUUGAACUUAUGAUUAUUCAUGCAUUUAAAUAAUUAUUAUGAUAAUUAUAUUCUGUUAGAUUCUUGUCAUUUUAAGUGUGUUUGAUUUAUAGAAAGUUUGAAAUGAAUCUUGCUGAUAAGCUAACAAGAACUUAGAUAUGAGUAAUAAUAAAAGGAUAUUGUCAUGAAGGUUAAUGAUUAGUUUAAUUAUUAUUCUUGCAUGAUGAAAAAUGAUGAGAUUGCUAGAAAUGGUUCUGGUUUAAGUGAGGUUUGAUCUUAACCCGAGAAGUAUCUUGAGUUGGUGAUGGCUCCGUGGGAGCGUAGUUGAUUUAGUUAUUUUCUUGGUUAUUUGAUGCAAGUGUUAGUGAUGCAUAGCAUGACAUUAUGACACCGGUUACUUUCACUUUAAGUUGAACCUGAUCAAUCACUCAACUUGAAUAUGUUGUUGACCGGGUCAUGGUGCCGCUGAAACGAGUUUUUCCCAGUGCAACCACAUUUGCCGGUAUGGGAUGGCCUUAAUGCGUUUCAUUGUCGUGCCUCUGUUCGGUGCCUCCAUCUAGGGAAGGUUAUGGGCGUGCUGUACCCUAGCCCGGUAAGCAGGCAUAACCUUGUGUGCCAGUUGAUGAGUUAAGUGUUUGGGUCCCAGAGUGGAUCGUUGCCACGAUGGUGGUUUGAGGUGUCUUGAAGUAGACAUGGGGCCACCCAGGACUAGCCCGAUGGGGAUUUAGUUGGAGUGGCCGGGAGAGUGUCAUGACAAUGAAGUGGUUUCGUCGGAAUGCCGUUGGUCCACCCGAAUGGGAGUGCGAGGCCAUGGGUUCCGUAGUGUGGGUCCAGUGCGCUACCUCUAUAGAAUGUAUUAAUCUAUCGAUAGUCGAGUCCACGGUUACGGACACGCUCGAAAGUAGGGUACACCAUGGGUCAACACUUAAUAAAUUUGCACACUAAGAUUUGCACUAAGGUAAUGGCAGCGAGGCCAUCGGGUUGUGUUAGACCAGGUGUGGUCUGGUUGUGAUUACCGUAAGGAUCACGAGGUUGUCGUUGGGUUCUUCAUGUUUGUGGACUGGAAAUUAUCACGUUCGGUAAGCCAGUCCAUGGGACGAGUAUCACUUGAGUAUAAUCACAGCAUGUUGGAUAUGUAUAUUGUUGCAUUGUCAUUAAUUGGUUAAAUAUCAUGAUAUUGCUUGUCAUUAUGUUUAUACUUGUUGUGAGCUUGCAAGUAUAUUCAAUGUACUAACCUAGCGUGUCAUGCCAGAUUUCAGGAAAGUCUCGUUGGAAAGGAGAGUUGUCCGAGUCUAGAUCGUGUCCACAUUGGUGUCCCUGUGCUAUGGAGUCCCACUACGACGUUGUUCCGCUGCCGCGUAGUUGUCAUGAUCGAGGCCCCUUUAUGUUUACUAAAUAAUGUACAUAUUGUUCAGCCACACCGUGUGUGCCGCUUGGCCUCGCUAACUGUUGUAAUAUGAACUAUGCUCUGCUAGCAUGAAUAAAGCGGUUGUUUUUCUGUACCAAGUUGUUGUGUGUUGCCAGAAGACAUGGUCUCUGGGCUGGCAAUGCAGGGUAAACCGGUCGCUCUGAGCCAGGGUGCCAUAACGCUUGGUAUCAGAGCCACACUGAUUGUGGGCCAUGCUAGACUACGCCAAGUUAACUGGACAUUAAAUACGAGUUGUAGUUAAGUGCCGAUAGCCUAUUGUAGCUGGUUGUUGCAUUGCAUGCACUGGUUUUUAUUUUUAUGCUAAAAUGCUAAUGGUUGUGAGUGUAGAUGGCUCCGGUGCUGUAUCCAUGCCAGUUGCAGCUGAUGCCGUACACGUCGCUGCAUCUCCUUCAUAACGUGUGGCAUCGGCUGUACCCUCAUGGUGACGAUCUAGUCUAUCAUGUGUACCGGGAGCGUCUAGCUGACUCAGUGUAUGAGUAUCACGCCGUGGUUACUCUGCGUACCAGUUCUGAUUCCAGCUCUUACACUCCUACUUCUCGAAGCGGCUACGCUUCUACCGCUUCUUAGGCUGUCCAGUUUGCUGCAUUCGAGGUACUCAUUGAGCUCCGUUAUAAUGAGGUCCGAAUACAGAACCACCCAGGUUUCCACUACUAUCCUUCUCUCCACGAUAAUGGUCGUGUCGGUUUCCCUGUCAUUGAUCCGGAGUCUGGUAGUGUAGCUAGCCACCUUUCUCGCUAUAUCACUGCUAGCUAUCUUCUCAUCUACGAGCUGGCUCGUGAGUUGAGUCGUGCCCGUACUGCUUUAGCCUAUGCUUUAGUCUCUGCUAGCUCAGCUACUACUCCACCAUAUGUAGGAUUUACUCCCUAUAUUCCUGCCAGUUCUAGAUCCCCUGUUUCCCCGAUUACUCCUCCGAGUAGCUCGGGCACCGCGACUGUGAGUCCACUUCGUGCUCCUGCUGAGUGGGUUUCACUCCUUGCCACUCCUAUAGCCCCGAUAAUUCACCCUCCACCUGCCCCGGAGGGAGAGCCCUCGAGGCAGCGUCGUCAUGUCACUUUUAACCCGGAGGUCUCAGUUAACCCCGUCAGUUUAGGAUUCGAGUCUGCUUCAGGAGAGGACACCGCAGCACCAGCCGAGCAGUAGAGAUUCCGAGUAUUCACAGUCGUCAGGAUGGAGUAUGGAUGUAGUCGUACGAGUCAUAAUGUUUCGUUUCAUGUAUGAGGGUAGUUGGACCUGGCAUGUUGUUAUCAUUCAUGUAUGAGUCUAUGUAUAAUUAUGUUGGACUUUAUUUUAUUCACCGUAUUUUCUUCGCCAUUUCGGUUUUACUCGGAUUUUGUUGCUGGCUUCUCCCCAACUUAUUUUGAAUGCUUCUCAUCUCAGUUGCGUUGCCUUGGAAAAAUAACCAUAUUAGGAUGACGUGGGGAGGCUGCAGUAGCAAUGUUCGCGAGGGUUCUCCUUUUCAUCGUUCCGCACGACAGGCGGGACACUCACCCGAGCCGUACGUUCCACCACCGCCUCCACCGCCAAAUCCGCCCUCCACUGAGCAAAUUCUGCGUAUGUUUGAGGAAAGACAAAAUAAUGAUCUGACGGAAAUAUUCAUAAGUAUUCAAGCUGUGGUUGGACAGAAUGGAAAUCAGCCUGGUCAUCACUCCAAGCUAUCUGAUUUUCAAAGGACUAAGCCUCCCAGUUUCGGUCAGGCCAUUGAUCCCUUGGAUGCAGAUGAUUGGUUGAGAACUAUGGAAAAGAAGCCUGAGGUUGCUCGAACUGAUGAAGGGGAUAAAGUUCCAUUUGUAACACAUUAUCUUGAAGGCGCUGCUCCCAUAUGGUGGGAAAAUGAAAAAGCCAUGUGGACUGCUAAUGAAGAAAUUACCUGGUCAAGAUUCAAGGAACGAUUCUGGAAAUAUCACAUCCCAACAGGAAUUAUGAAGACUAAGCAGCAUGAAUUUCUUGCGCUCCUCCAAGGAAGUCAGUCCGUGGGAGAAUAUUUGCAGAAAUUCAAUCAACUGUCAAGUUACUCUCAAUAUGACGUGGCUAGUGAGGAAAGAAAGAUGGACAGGUUUCUUGGCGGGUUAAAACCGCAACUUCGUUGUACUCUCAGCAUGUUUGAUUCCCCGGACUUCCAGACUCUAGUGAACAAGGCUUUCAUUGCUGAAAGGGAACACAAGCUUGUAUCAGACGCUAAGCCUGCCAACAAUGAUCACAAGUGCAAGUUUGAGCCAGGAAAAGAAAUGCAACCAGUGCAGAAGGUUCGUACCCGGUAGCCGACUCAGGUAGCAUACAAGCCCAAUUGGGAGCAAAAUGUUAACAAGACCACCACCCAAGUCAAGAAUGACAUGCUCAACAAAGUUCUAGAGAAUCGUUUGCGCAGCAAUUCCUGUUUCAAUUGUGGUCAAACCAGACAUUAUGCCAAACAGUGUCCCACGAACAAUCGGGCAAAUACUACAUUCAAGCCACAAGUCCAUUAUAUGGAGGCAUGCCCAGAUCAGCACGACUUCAUGGGAUAUAUUCAUCACCUUUCCGCCGACGAAGCCCAAGAGAACCCCGAAGUCGUCAUUGGUAUGUUCCCUGUUAAUAACAUACCUGGAGUAAUUUUAUUUGACUCUGGGCUUCCCACUCUUUCAUUUAUCGGAGUUUGGUUGCCCAAAACAAAUUUCCUUGUUCACUUUUGGGCAAGAAUAUGCUGGUACAAACCCCGGGAUCUCUAAUCAGAAGCAAUAUAGUCUGCCGUAAUUUGGAAGUCAAUAUCAAUAGAGUCUGUUUUCCAACUUCUUUGAUACUUAUUGAAUUCGAUAAGUUGGAUGUUAUCUUGGGUAUGAAUUGGCUGACUCAGUAUCAACUAUGCAUUAAUUGUGCAACCCGAGAUGUCAACUUGACCGACCAAGAGGGACAAACUACAAAAUUAUUGCUCGUAGGAGCAUACCCUCCAAGGAAAUAGUCUUUACAGCAAUGGCUGAAAUGGAAUUAAUUCCGGUGGUCAGCGAGCUUCCUGAUAUAUUCCCAGAAGAACUGCCAGGCAUGCCAACUGAUCGAGAGCUUGAUUUUGCGAUAGAUCUUGUGCCCGGAACCACACCAAUACACAAGAAGUAUUAUUGAAUGCCGUCAUCAGAAUUAUUGGAGCUAAAAAACAGCUUGAUGAAAUGCUCCAGAAAGGGUAUAUCCGCCCCAGCUCCUCACCAUGGGGAUCACCUGCUAUUUUCAUGGACAAGAAAGAUGGUAGCCUCCACAUGUGUGUAGAUUACCGUCAGCUGAAUGAUAUCACAAUAAAAAACAAAUACCCUCUAUCAAGAAUUGAUGAUUUGUUUGAUCAGCUUAGUGGGGCCAAGGUAUUCUCCAAGAUCAAUUUACGGACUGGGUAUUAUCAGCUCAAAAUUAAAAAGGAGGAUAUUCCCAAGACCGCAUUCACCACUCGCUAUGGUCUCUAUGAAUAUACAGUCAUGUCUUCUGGCCUCACCAACGACCCCGCCUUCUUCAUGCAUAUGAUGAAUAAGGUAUUCAUGGACUUUCUCGAUAAGUUUGUGGUUGUCUUCAUCGAUGAUAUACUCAUUUACUCAAGAAUUGAAGAAGAGCAUAAGGCACACCUUCGAGCAGUGUUACAACGACUCCGUGAGCAUCAUUUAUACGCCAAAUUCAGUAAAUGUGAGUUUUGGCUCAAGCAAGUUGGAUUCCUCGGGCAUGUGUUAUCCGCUGAAGGUAUAGCCGUGGACCCAAGCAAGGUAAAGGAUGUGCUCGACUAGUUGCCACCCGCAACCGUAUCUCAGAUCCGGAGUUUUCUUGGAUUAGCCGGAUAUUACCGCCGUUUCAUUGAAGGGUUUUUCAAGAUUGCUAAACCCAUGACAGAGCUGCUCAAAAAGGAUAAGAAGUUUGAAUGGACUAAGGACUGUGAGAAAAGUUUCACUGAGUUAAAGAAACGAUUGACAACUGCACCAGUAUUAACACUCCCAAAUAUCUACCGCAGCUUUGAUGUGUACUACAACGCUUCCAGGCAAGGACUGGAAUGCGUACUUAUGCAAGAUGGCAAGGUAGUAGCUUACGCCUCACGACAGCUACGACCCCACGAGGGGAAUUACCCCACUCAUGAUUUGGAAAUGGCUGCGGUGGUUCAUACUUUGAAAAUUUGGAGACACUACCUCAUCGGGAAAAGAUGCCAAAUUUUCACCGAUCACAAAAGCCUCAAAUAUAUAUUUACUCAGCCAUAUUUAAAUCUCCGUCAACAAAGAUGGCUUGAGUUGGUCAAGGAUUAUGACCUUGGAAUAAAUUACCAUCCGGGUAAGGCCAACGUGGUUGUCGAUGUGCUUAGUCGAAAGCCCGUCCGUUUAAAUGUCCUAUUGGAAUCCUUGCCUCCUGAACUUAAAGAAGAGAUUGCUCAGCUCAACCUGGUCAUAGUUGAGGCUAGCCUUGCCAAUAUUCUGGAAGUUACCCCUACUCUUGAGGAAGAAAUCCGCAAGGCCCAGCCAGGCGACACCAAUAUGCAAAAAUGUGUCAAGCAUUCCGAUUUCUUGAAGGAUCAGUACGGUACCCUCCGAUUUAGGGGAAGGAUUUGUGUGCCCAAUCAAGCGGAUUUAAAGCAGAAGAUCCUAUCAGAAGCCCAUGAAUCCUCAUAUUCCAUUCAUCCUGGAGGUACAAAAAUGUACGGAGACCUUCGACAAAUAUUCUGGUGGGAUGGAAUGAAGAAAGACAUUGCUUAUUUCGUGGCAUGUUGCGACAUAUGCAACAAAGUAAAGGCAGAACAUCAAAAGCCAGCUGGACUUCUCCAACCGUUACCAGUGUCACAAUGGAAAUGGGAUGAUGUCUGUAUGGAUUUUAUCACCAGACUACCUAAGACCCGACGGGGCAAUGAUGCAAUCUGGGUCAUAGUGGACACGUUAACCAAGGUAGCCCAUUUCCUCCCGAUCAGGACCUCAUAUCUAGCAUAUGAGCUUGCACAAUUGUAUGUGUCUAGAAUAGUCAGUCUGCAUGGAGUCCCCCGAACCAUUACUUCUGACUGAGGUUCACUUUUUACCUCUGCUUUUUGGUCCCGUCUCCAUCGAGCCUUAGGGACGGAAUUGAAGUACAGUACCGCUUAUCACCCUCAGACUGAUGGGCAGACAGAAUGAGUAAACCAAAUACUCGAGGAUAUGCUGCGAGCCUGUGUUUUGGCCCAAGGUCCAAAAUGGGAAGACUGCUUGUCGUACGCCGAGUUCUCAUAUAAAAAUAGCUUCCAGACCAGUUUAAAGACGUCCCCGUAUGAAGCUUUGUAUGGCCGUAAGUGCCGCACUCCAUUAAAUUGGUCUCAAACUAGAGAUAGCCAUAUUUUUGGAACGGAUCUCAUACUGGAAGCCGAAAAGCAAGUUAGGGAAAUUAGAGACAGACUUUGAACCCGGAAAAGUUAUUAUGAUGCAAAGCACCGUCAGAUCAGCUUUGAACCCGGAGAACAUGUCUAUCUUCGAGUCACGCCUAUGAAAGGUAUCAAGAGGUUUCAGACUCGUGGAAAAUUGGCACCCAGAUUUAUUGGUCCAUUUCCUGUUAUGACGCGAGUGGGUGCUGUGGCAUAUCAGUUGGAGUUGCCCCCUGAAUUGUCAUACGUGCACAAUGUAUUUCAUGUUUCACAAUUGCAACGGUGCAUAUCGCUGCCUGAGAAAAAGACUGAUUUGACAGAAACAGAGCUGGCAAAGGACUUAACAUAUGAAGAAAGGCAGGUGAAAAUCUUGGAUCAGAUGGAAAGAGUCACACGCAGUAAAGCAUGGAAGUUUUACAAAGUCCAAUGGAAGCAUCAUACCGAGUCAGAAUCAACAUGGGAAUCAGAAGAAUUUCUAAGGACAUGUUAUCCAGAAUGGUUUUCCCAAGCAACCGAAUCUCGAGGACGAGAUUCAUUCUAAGUGGGGGAGGUUUGUGACAGCCUGGUUUUUGCCCUCUUUGGUUUUCAGUUGAGUUGGUUUUAAAUUUGGAGUUUUGAAUCUCUUCAUUUGGACUUAACCACUUGGGUACCCCUUGACUUUCACCCAAGUGCUCUCUCUCCUCCUCAAAACCAUCAUUUCACCUCUGGAUCAACUCAAAAUAUUGCUUGGAAACAUAUUCAUUUUGCCCUCCAAAACCCUAGCUAGCCCUUUGUGCUCCAAAGCAACCCUAAUUUUUCUUGCCCCAAAAAUCCUGAGAAAAAUCCCAAUUAUUCUUUGAACCCUAGGGCACCUUUCUGAGCAAAAAAUAUUUCAUCACUCUUUGGAAUAUUUUAGCUACGGAAAAUAAAUUCAUUUCUGGAUAGAAAUGGUAGUUUCUACAGCAACUACCAUUUUACUAGCUCCAUUGUAGCUGGUUUUUCUUGUGCCUAUUUACCUUAGUAAGUGUAAGCAAGCUUCCAAAGCUCAGCCCUUAACUCCCAGUGGUUUGACCACAGUAAACCUCCAAAGUUACUGUCCAGAAACUUGUUAGCAGUACAAAUCCAUUUCUACUGCACCUGGAUCCAAGCCCAACGGUGGUAACACUCCAAACUACCAAGGACUACACGCCAGACAUCACGUUAGCGCUUAGGGUGGCCUGAUGUCACGGUUCGCGCGGUGACCGCAUUCGUCCGGGCAUGCUGGCAUGCAAAACACGCGCUCUGUGUGCCGCCUAGCACUCUGUUGAGCGCGUGCUUGCUCCCAGCCUGCCCGAGAAUGCCAAGCUUCGCCACCUUCCCCGUCUCCACUGCCUUAACUCCCCCUGGCACUCGACGAUGCCGGAGCUCGCCGCAGCGGGCACGGGCACGGUCCGACCAACGACACAGUGCGCGUAGUCUUCUCCCUCGUCCCUGUGCUCGUCCACGCCCGCCAAUAGUUUCCGCGUGACCUCUGUCGUCUUCCUCCUCUCUUGCUGGAGCCGUUCGUCACCGGGCGCCAUGGACAGGUGUCCUCCGGUGGAGCCCGAACCCCUCUCGUCGCCCGCCUACAAAUGCCGCCACCCCCAGCCUCCUUGAGCACCUGCAGCUACUCCCACACCCUCCACAAACUAGUAGAAGCCGCAGCCCGGCCGGGCAGGCCGCCAGCUGCCGUCCCGAAGCCCGAGCUCGUCGGCGAUCCCCUUCGGAUCGUCCCCGCAGCUCCAGCCCCUCCCAGGCCAGGGCGACCCUGCCAGGGCCUCCGCCACUCUUCGGUGAGGGUGUUCCGCCCUAUUGGAGCCCCUGGAGCCGCCCCGAGCCGCCGUUGCCUUCGUCUCCGGCGACCGCUGUCAUCUGCCUCCGCUAGAGAGGCCGCUUUCGACGCUGUUUGGUCACCUCUAUCCACGCUACAGGUACGGGCAGGUGCGCCAUCUUCUUUUCCUUCAAUCCCCCUCUCGUUUGACCCCAAGAACCCUCGUCGCAGGCGUGUGCUCCGGCGAAGCUCCGCCUCCCUCUGCUUCUCUCUCCCCCUCCUUCUGGCUUGACUAGCGGGGCCUGCUAGUCAGCCACUUAGUACGCGCGUGAAGCGGUACAAGUGGAGGCGCCCCAGGCGUUUACGCCUUUGAUGUCACCCCCUCCCUAGUCUGUUUUCUUUUUAAAUCAAAUUCAUUUAAAUCCAGUAAACUUCAAACAGCCACAACUUUUUAUUUAUAAGUCCAAAUGCAUUGAUUCUUUUUGCAUUGUGUUCUUUGUCUAGAAAUCUAACAGCACCCAAGAGAUGGGAUUUUUCCUUGUUGUCUAGAUUUUCUGGAAAUUUUCAGAAGGUUUCUUGAUGUUUUCUUUUUGUGGUUUUGUUUAUUUUCAGAAGAGCAAGCUUGUCUUGAGGAUCACCAGGAGAUUUGUGAACCUCGGCAGCACUAAGGCAAGCCACAACAACAUUUUCAUAGUGUCACUUCAAUAUUUGUGAUUUUCCUACUUAAACUUAUGAUUAUUCAUGCAUUUAAAUAAUUAUUACGAUAAUUAUAUUCUAUUAGAUUCUUGUCAUGUUAAGUGUGUUUGAUUUACAGAAAGUUUGAAAUGAAUCUUGCUGAUAAGCUAACAAGAACUUAGAUAUGAGUAAUAAUAAAAGGAUAUGGUCAUGUAGGUUAAUGAUUAGUUUAAUUAUUAUUCUUGCAUGAUGAAAAAUGAUGAGAUUGCUAGAAAUGGUUCUAGUUUAAGUGAGGUUUGAUCUUAACCAGAGAAGUAUCUUGAGUUGGUGAUGGCUCCGUGGGAGCAUAGUUGAUUUAGUUAUUUUCAUGAUUAUUUGAUGCAAAUGUUAGUGAUGCAUAGCAUGGCAUUAUGACACCGGUUACUUUCACUUUAAGUUGAACCUGAUAAAUCACUCAACUUGAAUAUGUUGUUGACCGGGUCAUGGUGCCGCUGAAACGAGUUUUUUCCAGUGCAACCACAUUUGCCGGCAUGGGACGGCCUUAAUGUGUUUCAUUGUCGUGCCUCUGUUCGGUGCCUCCAUCUAGGGAAGGUUAUGGGUGUGCUGUACCCUGGCCCGGGGAGCAGGCAUAACCUUGUGUGCUAGUUGAUGAGUUAAGUGUUUGGGUCCCAGAGUGGAUCGUUGCCACGAGGUGGUUUGAGUUGUCUUGAGGUAGACACGAGGCCACCCAGGACUAGCCCGAUGGGGAUUUAGUCAGAGUGCCCGGGAGAGUGUCAUGACAAUGAAGUGGUUUCGUCGGAAUGUCGUUUGUCCACCCGAAUGGGAGUGCGAGGCCAUGGGUUCCAUAGUGUGGGUCUAGUGCGCUACCUCUGCAGAGUGUAUUAAUCUAUCGAUAGCCGAGUCCAUGGUUACGAACACGCUCAAAAGUAGGGUACACCAUGGGUCAACACUUAAUAAAUUUGCACACUUCGUCGGAAUGCCGUUUGUCCACCCGAAUGGGAGUGCGAGGCCAUGGGUUCCAUAGUGUGGGUCCAGUGUGCUACCUCUGCAGAGUGUAUUAAUCUAUCAAUAGCCGAGUCCAUGGUUACAGACACGCUCGAAAGUAGGGUACACCAUGGGUCAACACUUAAUAAAUUUGCACACUAAGAUUUGCACUAAGGUAAUGGCAGUAAGGCCAUCGGGUUGAGUUAGACCAGCUGUGGUCUGGUUGUGAUCGCCGUAAGGAUCACGAGGUUGUCGUUGGGUUCUUCAUGUUUGUGGUCUGGAAAUGAUCACAUUCGGUAAGCCAGUCCAUGGGACGAGUAUCACUUGAGUAUAGUCACAGCAUGUUGGAUAUGUAUAUUGUUGCAUUGUCAUUAAUUGGUUAAAUAUCAUGAUAUUGUUUGUCAUUAUGUUUAUGCUUGUUGUGAGCUUGCAAGUACAUUCAAUGUACUGACCUGGCGUGUCAUGCCAGAUUUCAGGAAAGUCUCGUUGGAAAGGAGAGUUGUCCGAGUCUAGAUCAUGUCCACAUCAGUGUCCCUGUGCUAUGGAGUCCCGCUACGACGUUGUUCCGCUGCCGCGUAGUUGUCAUGAUCGAGGCCCCUUUAUGUUUACUAAAUAAUGUACAUAUUGUUCAGCCGCACCGUGUGUGCCGCUUGGCCUCACUAACUGUUGUAAUAUGAACUAUGCUCCGCUAGCAUGAAUAAAGCGGUUGUUUUUCUAUACCAAGUUGUUGUGUGUUGCCAGAUGACAUGGUCUCUGGGCUGGCAAUGCCGGGUAAACCGGUCGCUCUGAGCCGGGGUGCCACACGGUCCCUAGGAGCAGGAGCGCUCGGCAGGGCGCCCUGGGCGGCAGCCUCUGGAGUAGGAGAGCUCGGUGGGGCACCCUGGGCGGUAGCCUCUAGAGCGGGAGCGAUUGGCAGUGACCCCUGGGCGGCAGCCUCAGGGGCAUCAGGAGGCGCCUCCCCAUCAGCAGCCACCUCGGAGCCAUCACCCCGAGCCUCAGGAGCCUCUGCCUCUGGAGCAUCGGGUUGUGCUGACCCCGCGGUGGUCCCUUCCUGGGUCCCAGGAGUCUCGGCCUCAGGAGCGCUGGAUGGCGCAGGACCUCCGGAGGUCUCCUCGGCAGUAGCUGGCGGCGUGCACCUCCCCGCUACCACACUUGGGGCGCGUGCCGCAGGAUCAAGUAGCAGGGGAGCCACGAGGAUGGGAUUCUCGCGAGGCCCCUCGAGGCCCUCCGGGAGUAACCCUCACUCAUCGAAGAGGGGCAUCUGCUCUAUGAAGGCCACCUUGUUCGAGCAUUGGUAGAGGAGGCAGUCAUUUCUUGGAAGAUCGGCGGGCUUGGAGUCGCCCGUCAGAAGCUCAAACACCUUGCUCAGGGUCUUGGAAGGCAGUGUCGGCUCCUAGAGCCUCAUGGAGUCCUCGGCGCCGGUGAAGGUCAACAUCGGGCAGGAAUGGCGCCGAAGUGGGGCGAUGCGCCACCAGACGAAUUCCUUCACCACCAUUGGCGCUAUCACCCCCAGCAUCUGCAUCAUGUCCAGCCUCUUCCAGACACGGGUAAGCUGACGGUUGACAAGCUUCACAUGGCCCCAGCCGGAGCUGGGCUCCGCAGGCACCCGAGGGGUCAGAAGCAGGGGGUUGCACGUCCCAGCGUCUAUGAACAACCGCUGCUUCCGCAAACCCUUUGUGUCAAGCGACAGCUUGAAGCCGAUCUCUAAGACGGCAGUUGCUGCAACCGGUUCGAAGGUCACGCACCCUGAGUGUUGGCGGGCGUCGACCAGACGGAGCAAGAAGAAGUGGCAAAACAGGGCCACAGAAGGAGCAAUGCCGACCAUGGCCUUGCAAAGGAAGGCAAAGAUAGCAAGGAGGAUGAUGGAGCGGGGAUCCAGGUGCAGCAGGUGGAUCUGGUAGUGCGAGAUUAUGGCGUUGAAGAAAGGAGAGAAAGGGGGAAUCAGGCCCGCGAAGAGACCGUGAAGAUAGAUGGGAAUCUCAGCGGCACUCAUAUCAUCCACAAGCCAAGACGCGGGCCGAGUGGCCAUAGCCUUCCACUCGUUGAAAUCGGCUGCAAGAGCAGGGCGGACCUUUUUCAGCCCCUCCCGAUUUGAUCACCGUCGACUGCUCGAGAGCCGGCUCCAAGGCCGACAGGGGUCCAGCCGGGGCGCACGACCUCCCCUUCUUCUUCCUCUGCUGUGGAGCCAUGGCGGAAGCUAGGAAGGGGGAGCGGUGCUGGCACUAGAUUCGCGCGAAGAAUUGCAAGCCUAGGAUGAGAAAUAAUGAGGGCCAAGCGCGACAAUCGACAGGGGAAAACUGCUCUGGCAACGGGCGGCCGCCAGGCUUGGCGGAUUUCAAGGCAGGAUGGGGUAAUGGAGACUCCCAUGUCCCAUCAAUCGUCACGCGUCGUUCAAGGCCGCACGCUGUUAGGGCCCGCGGCGCUUCGCACUUGCCCCUUGGCUUCACCUAGAAGCCAAGUCCGAGCGCACCUUGGGCCCGGGGGCUACUGUCGGUGUUCUGGAUACGGGGGUACCCAGACUUUCCUGCCUGCGGCCCACUGCGUGGCUCCAUCGACGGCCUGGUACGGUCCAGCUUCAGCAUCAACAAACUCAAUACCCUCGCGAGGGGCCAAGCCUCGCGAGGCAGACGACACCAAGACCUCUAAGGGGAUCGGCCUCCUCGGGUUGGCUCCCAAGGAGCGGAGACUUCUAUGCAAGGUGCACCUUGCGAGGCUCAGCUGACGUGAGCCAUGAUGACCAAGGCCAGGCGGGUGCCAGCGGGCGUAAAGUACCAGUUUCCUCUUUGGUCCAAGGGAGGCAAGCAGCAGGCGCGGAGUCCUGAGGAAUCAGCCAAAGGUUUCCAUUCUGGUGCAACGAGACCAAGACCGCCAGGACAGCAGGUCAGAGGUCAUCGCCGAGCCCACCAAAGCGUCACGACCAGGGGAUUUUGCAGGUGAAGACCGCUUUAUUCAUGAUAGGGUGUACUUCUUGUCCGCCUUCAAAUCUGGCCAUUGUGGGAUCCCUUCCUGCCAACAUUUGGGAAGAGGACCAAGGCCACUUUAAAUAGGACUUAGCCACCACCAUAGAGGGGAUCAGAUCCAUUCUAAUCUGACCACCUCACCAUCUCUCUCGAGCUCAAGAACACCUCACCUCCUGAGGUUGUUCAUCCACUGUACUAGUUCAUCCUCAGCCCCUCGAGGCAAUCCACCAAAAAGAUGGAGUAGGGUAUUACACCGCAAGGUGGCCCGAACCAGGAUAAACUGAUGUGUCUCUCUGUCCCUUUGAGCUCGACAUGCUAGGCUGUGAGGAUCGCAAGUAGGCAGGAGGUUGAGAUAUCCGCACGCACCUCAGAGUUCAAACCUCUCAAAGGUUUGCGGAACACGAAAUCCGACAACGGGCAUGAGUUUGAAAUACAAAUUUCAGCUCUUGGAACAUCUCAUAUGCUCUGUGGCAUUCAAAAUGUCUUUGAAGCCCCGAUUCUAAGCAGUAAAGCAUGGUGCACUUAACUAUCAAGUAGUCAUGAUAUCGAGCUUGCCAAACGUUCAUAACGUCUGCAUCUACUCCUGCAAUAGGUUUGUCACCUAGCGGUGCAUCAAGGACGUAAUUCUUCUGUGCAGCAAUGAGGAUAAUCCUCAGAUCACGGACCCAGUCCGCAUCAUUGCUACUCUCAUCUUUCAACUUAUUUUUCUCUAGGAACAUAUCAAAAAACAUAGGGGAGCUUCAACGCGAGCUAUUGAUCUUCAACAUAGAAACGCAAAUACUAUCAGGAGUAAGUUCAUGAUAAAUUAAAGUUCAAUUAAUCAAAUUACUUAAGAACUCCCACUAAAGCAGACAUACAUCAAGUCAUCUAAGUGUAACGUGAUCCAAAUCAACUAACCCAUGUCCGAUCAUCACGUGAGAUGGGGUAGUCUUCAAUGGUGAACAUCUCUAUGUUGAUCAUAUCUACUAUAUGAUUCACAUUCGACCUUUCGGUCUCCAGUGUUCUGAGGCCAUGUCUGUACAUGCUAGGCUCGUCAAGUUUAACCCGAGUAUUAUGCAUGUGCAAAACUGGCUUCCACCCGUUGUAUGUGAGCGUAGAGCCUAUCACACCCGAUCAUCACAUCGUGUCUCAACACGAAGAACUUUCGCAACGGUGCAUACUCGGGGAGAACACUUAUACCUUGAAAUUUAGUCAAGGGGUCAUCUUAUAAUGCUACCGCCGUACUAAGCAAAAUAAGAUGCAUAAAGAUAAACAUGACAUGCAAUCAAAAUAUGUGACAUGAUAUGGCAAUCAUCAUCUUGUGCUUUUGAUCUCCAUCUCCAAAGCAACGUCAUGAUCUCCAUCGUCACCGGAUUGACACCUUGAUCUCCAUCGUAGCGUCGUGGUCGUCUCACCAACUAUUGCUUCUACAACUAUCGCUACCGCUUAGUGAUAAAGUAAAGCAACUGUAUGGCGUUUGCAUUUCAUACAAUAAAGUGACAACAAUAAGGCUCCUGCCAGUUGUCGAUAACUUUUACAAAACAUGAUCAUCUCAUACAAUAAUGUAUACCACAUCAUGUCUUGACCAUAUCACAUCACAACAUGCCCUGCAAAAACAAGUUAGACAUCCUCUACUUUGUUGUUGCAAGUUUUAUGUGGCUGCUACGGGCUUCUAGCAAGAAACGUUCUUACCUACGGCACAAAACCACAUCGGUGAUUUAUCAAGUUUGAUGUAUUAACCUUCAACAGGGACCAGCCGCAGUCAAAUUCGAUUCAACUAAAGUUAGAGAAACAAACACUUGCCAGCCACCUUUAUGCAAAACUAGUUGCACGUCUAUCAGUGGAACCUGUCUCAUGAACGUGGUCAUGUAAGGUUGGUUUGGGUCGCCUCAUCCAACAAUACCGCUGAAUCAGCAUAAGACAUUGGUGGUAAGCAGUAUGACAAUCACAUCCCACAACUCUUUGUGUUCUACUCAUGCAUAUCAUCUACGCAUAGACCUGGCUCGGAUGCCACUGUUGGGAAACGUAGCAUGCAAUUUCAAAUAACUUCCUACGCUCACGCAAGAUAUAUCUAGGAGAUGCAUAGCAAUGAGAGGGGGAGAGUGUAUCCACGUACCCUCGUAGACCGAAAGCGGAAGCGUUUGUUAACACGAUUGAUGUAGUCGAACUUCUUCCCGUUUCGACCGAUCAAGUACCGAACGUACGGCACCUCCGAUUUCUACACACGUUCAUCUCGAUGACGUCCCUCGAACUCAUGAUCCACCAAAGUGUCGAGGGAGAGUUGCCUCAGAACGACGGCGUGGUGACGAUGAUGCUGAAGUGAUCCACGCAGGGCUUCGCCUAAGCACUACGUGAAUAUAACCGGAGGCAUAAAUUGUGGAGGGGGCGCUGCACACGGCUAGGAAUCAAUAUUGUGUGUUCUAGGCGCCUCCCCCCUUCAUAUAUAUAGGUGGGAGGGAGAGAGGACAACCAAGAGGGCGCCCAAGUAGGAGCAAUCCUACUUGGGGCCCUAAUCCUAUUCGCCCCCCCCCCUACCAUAAUUCCCCAAGGGGGAAGGAAGGAGGAAGGGGGAGGUCGAAUCCCUCCCCUUCCUUUCUCUCUUAUCCUCUCCCCUCCCUCUAUUUCGGCCUACAUGGGGCGCACCAGCCCCUUAGGGGCUGGUCUGUCCCACUCUUGGCCCAUUAGGCCCAUGUAGUUGCCGGGGGGAUGCGUGGAACCCCUUCCGGUGACCUGAUACAUACCCGGUACCCCCGGAACACUUCUGGUGUCCGAAUACUAUCAUCCUAUAAAUCAAUCUUUACCUCUCAACCAUUUCGAGACCCCUAGUCAUGUCCGUGAUCUCAUCCGGGACUCCGAACAACAUUUGGUCACCAAAUCACAUAACUCACAUAAUACAAAUCAUCAUCAAACGUUAAGCGUGCGGACCCUACGGUUUCGAGAACUAUGUAAACAUGACUGAGGCACCUCUCCGGUCAAUAACAAAUAGCAGAACCUGGAUGCUCAUAUUGGCUCCCACAUAUUCUAUGAAGAUCUUUAUCAGUCGAACCGUUAUGACAACAUACGUUAUUCCCUUUGUCAUCGGUAUGUUACUUUCCUCAGAUUCGAUCGUCGGUAUCUUCAUACCUAGUUCAAUCUCGUUACGGGAAAGUCUCUUGACUCGUUCCGUAAUGCGUCAUCCCACAACUAACUCAUUAGUCACAUUGAUUGCAAGGCUUCUUAUGAUGUGCAUUACCAAGAGGGCCCAGGGAUACCUCUCCGAUACUCGGAGUGACAAAUCCUAAUCUCGAUCUAUGCCAACCCAACAAACACCUUCGGAGAUACCUGUAGAGCAUCUUUAUAAUCACCUAGUUACGUUGUGACGUUUGAUAGCACACAAGGCAUUCCUCCGGUAUACGGGAGUCGCAUAAUCUCAUAGUCGGAGGAAUAUGUAUUUGACAUGAAGAAAGCAGUAGCAAUAAAACUGAAUGAUCAUUAUGCUAAGCUAACGAAUGGGUCUUGUCCAUCACAUCAUUCUCCUAAUGAUGUGAUUCCGUUCAUCAAAUGACAACACAUGUCUAUGGUUAGGAAACUUAACCAUCUUUGGCUAACGAGCUAGUCAAGUAGAGGCAUACUAGGGACACGGUGUUUUUGUCUAUGUAUCCACACAUGUAUGAAGUUUCUGGUUAAUACAAUUCUAGUAUGAAUAAUAGACAUUUAUCAUGAUAUAAGGAAAUAUAAAAUAACAUCUUUAUUAUUGACUCUAGGGCAUAUUUCCUUCACCUCUAUCACCUUUCGCGCGCGGGGCACCACUUGUCGCGACCAAACGCAUGCCUCAACAUGAUCUUCCAGGCCAUAGAUACACGCCAGGCCCAGAAGAUCACCUGACGUGCAGUUUACGCAGUCGCGCCGACCCCAACAAAGCUCAUGGAGUGGUCCGAUUCCAUGGCACCAUCUGUCGUAUCGACCGUCCGGCCUAUGUUUCGUAUCCAGGCAAGUUCGCCCUACUUGUAGAUCCGAUUUUUGGGGGAUUCCGCCUCGCUCAAGUCCCAAUGGACAGCGACAGUGGCGUGAACAUCAUCUUCCCCGACACCUUGGCCAAGAUGGCGAUAUCCCGAUCCCACCUGCAGUCCUCGCCCAUCGCCUUCCAGUUUUGCACUUGGCAGGCAGGUGCACCCCCUCGGACAGCUCGACCUAGAGGUCGUCUUUGGGGACGAGGAUGACUUUAGAUCGAAAAAAUAUGAUUUGAGGUCACGCCAUUUCAAACCGGCUACAGCGCCGUCCUAGACAGGUCGGCCUACGUCAAAUUUAUGGCGAUAUCUCCUACACAUACCUCCAACUCAAGAUGCCAAGUCUGAGUGGCACAAUAACAAUCCACGGCAGCCCCGAGAGGGCUCUUGAAGCAGAACCCACGAACGUAGAGCUCGCCGAGGCAGCACUGGCUUCCACAGAGCUUGAGCACAUCAAGAAGUCUGUUGACACAUCUACAAUAAUACUACCAACCAAGCCCCGGCCGUGGUCAGCUUCCAUCUAGCGAAGGAGACCAAAAAAUUUCAAGUCCACCGAGAAGACCGGCAAAAACGAUAAUCAUUGGACUAGACCUACCAAAAGAAUGGGAGGCCACGCUCCUGCAAUUCCUCUGAAGCAACUGAGAUAUCUUUGACUGGAGGCCCGCAGACAUGCCCGGGGUUCCCGUAAAGAUUGCACAACACAACCUGGACGUUCGGAAGGACGCCAGGCCAGUCAAACAAGCCCUAUGUCCCUUCGCCACAUAGAAACGACAGGUGUGAGGAGAUCCCCCGACUUCUAGCCGCCAGAUUCAUCAGGGAAGUCACGCACUCGGAGUGGCUGGCCAAUCCCGUCAUGGUGCGGAAAAAGAACAUGUUCUGCCGCAUGUGUGUUGACUAAACUGACCUCAACAAAGUAUGUCCAAAGGACUUAUUUCCGCCACCUCUCAUCGACCAAGUUAUAUAUUCAACAUUGGGAUGUGAACCCAUGUGCUUCUUGGAUGCUUACUCUGGCUAUCAUUUAAUACGCAUGAAGGACGUCCGACAAGGAGAAGACCUCCUUCAUCACACCUUUCCGGCCCUUUUGCAAGAUCACCAUGCCCUUUGGGCUCAAGAAUGCCGGGGUGACAUAUCAGCGAAUGAUGCAGAAAUACCUCCACGACCAGAUUGGGGCCAACGUGGAGGCCUACAUCAACAACGUUGUCAUCAAGUCCAGACGCCGCUCCAAUCUCCUCUCUGACGUCGAAAAAACAUUCACAAACUUGCAAAAUAUUCUUGUGUCAUAUAUUUUUACUAAAAAUUAAAUAUUUUAUAAGUAAAAUUUGUAGUCAAAGACGUGUAUUGGAGACUGAAAAGUUAAACACAUCUUGUAUUUCGAAAUGAAGGGCUUGGCUAGGUACACUGAAGUAGCGUGCACAUAGAACAUUUGACGAUUCUGUCGAUCCACCGCUCCGGCGCGAAUAGAAAGAGUUCUUUUCAUACAUAACCGACUGAUCAUGAGGAAAUAAGUGUGCUGAUGCGCUGGACAUGGAAGAUGGAGAUGUGCCUAACACGUCUAAGCCGCCUUUAAAGAAAAAGGAAACGAGUCCAAGCUAGCAAGGAGUCAAACAAGAUUAUCCCAAACCUCAAUAACAAAAAACAAUUCAUAGCUGACGCAUCAAAUUGGCAUGCUUCAAGAACGGACAUCUAUAUAUAGAGUUGCUUGUAGCUUUGGCCAGGCACAACCACAACAUAAAUCAUCCUACACCUCAGUUGGAUGGCGUUUGAGUCGGGCGGUGUGGAGGGCGACGCGGAGGGCGACGCGUCUGGGCUGCGCGAGGCGAAGGGAGACGCAGCGAGCGCCGCGGCGGAGGUGGUUGGCUGGACGGUGGUGCGGCCUGCCGCGGGGCGGCCGCGGCGGGGCGCGCUGCCAGAGGGGCGGCCCCCUGCUCCGCCUUUCUCGGCAGCCGGUUCUAGGCGCUAGAGGGGAUUGACUCCGACAUCGACGCCGACGAGGCAGGUCCUCAGGUGAGUUUAGGUAGUUCCGGUGGUUCGCCGAGGCCCAAGGCUGGGUGCUCGGUGGGCGAUUUCAUCGCCCGCGCGGAGGAGCUUGGGGGCUCCUUCGUGGCUGGUCGGCGGCGUGCUUUUGCUCCCGGAGGGCAGGGAGGCCGCCGCCUGGCGGCGCGGAUCUGGUGGCCGCCAAAGGGGGUGGAUGCGGGCCCAGAAGGCCGCUCGUGCGUCAUCCCGGAGGCGGACCACAGAGAUCCGGUGCUGGCGGAGCCCCCUCGGGCUCCUUCGUGCCUGCCGGAGCCGGCAGGGGCUGGCGACGGCGGUGGCGGGGCUGGCCGGGCAGAGGCUGCACGGAACCCGGCUAGGGUUUCAGGGGCACCGACGGCUGGGCCUGUUCCAGUGUUGGGCCAAAGUGACUGGCCCAGCCUGCCAGGGGGUGGGCUGGGAGACCCUGCGUUGGACCAGCAGGCUUCAGCGCCUGUGGGGCGGGUGGGCUCAGUGUCGCUCUCCACCGUGACUGGGCCGGGAGGGGGGCAGGGGCUCCUCACCGAGUCGGGGCUAGUCCAAUCAGGCCGAGUGGCCGGAUGCGAGCCUGCGCCUCGGCCCGGGCCCAGCGUGACGGAGAAGCCGAGGCCGUCUCCUCCUAUUAAUAGGUGGAUGUGGGUGCCGAAAGGAACCCUAGAUCUUUCGCUAGGGUUUCCUGCCUCUCCCUCGCAGGUGCGGCGUUUCGGACAUCUCGCGCGCCGUCUGCACCGAUCCGCCCCUCCCCCCCCCCCUUCGUGCUCAUACGCCACUGCGGUGCGGAUGGGGUCCCGCCGGAGUGACAAGCCCCCCAUGUCUCCACCGAUCCCGGCNNNNNNNNNNNNNNNNNNNNNNNNNNNNNNNNNNNNNNNNNNNNNNNNNNNNNNNNNNNNNNNNNNNNNNNNNNNNNNNNNNNNNNNNNNNNNNNNNNNNNNNNNNNNNNNNNNNNNNNNNNNNNNNNNNNNNNNNNNNNNNNNNNNNNNNNNNNNNNNNNNNNNNNNNNNNNNNNNNNNCCCCUUUCGUGCUCAUACGCCACUGCGGUGCGGAUGGGGUCCCGCCGGAGUGACAAGCCCCCCAUGUCUCCACCGAUCCCGGCGACGGAGCGCCAGCGUGAAAAGGAUCUGCGGGCGAAGGCGCUCGCCAAGGUGCCAGCGUCGCCAGCGGAGGAUGGGGGCUGGGGGCCGCCGCCUCCAUGGUGGAUCGCGGAGCAGGAGCGGAAGAAGGACGAGGAGCGCGAGCGAAAGAAGAGGAAGAAGGAGGAGUACCGGCGGCGGGGACUUGAGCAGAAGAAGGAGCUCAAGCGGAAGGAGUCCCAACUCCCUCCGGGCGGCGAGCGGGCCGGGGUUCCGCAGGCCAAGAAGCCGAAGCAUAAAGGGGGCGGCUCGGCGCCGCUGCAGUUGGCGACUGGCCCCGAGGCGUCUAAGGGAUCGGCGGACGCCCCGAUCCCCGUGGAAGAGGCCGACGGGCCGGAGUGUUUCAAGUGCGGCAGGGUGGGGCACUACCAGAACAUGUGCUCCUUCAAACCCCUGUGUGUCGUCUGCCACGAGGAAGGACAUGCGUCUGCCUACUGUCCCACGAGGGGGAGGCCCCUGGCGCUGCAGAUCAUGGGCAACGCUAUUCCGGGCGAAGGCUUCUUCUGCCUCCCUUUCGUGGACACGGAGGGGGAGGAGGUUCGUGCCCCUCUCGUCUUGGAUACGGCGAUCAUUUCGGCGGCGCCGGGCAAGCUUUCCAUCCCCAUCCUGGAGGCGGAACUCCCUCACCUUUUCGAAGGGGAGUGGGACUGGCAAGUCUCGGUCGUCGGAGCCGACCAGUUCUCGGUCGUCCUCCCAGACAAGGCCAUGCUAAGGAUGGCAACCCGCAGCGGCAAGCUCUACUUCUCCCUCCACGACAUCAUGGCGGACAUCAAGGAGGCGCGUCCAGAGGAGCCCACGGCCGAGCUCAUGCCGUACACCUGGGUCAAGCUGUGGGGCGUGCCACUCAAGCACCGCCACGUGGAUCGCCUCAUGGUAGCCACUGUGAUGAUUGGACGCCCGAUGGAGGUGGAUCUGGCGUCGCUGUCUGGCCUGGGUCCGGUGCGGAUGCGUUUCGCGUGUCGUGCCCCGGCCAAGCUCAAAGGAUACGUGCAGAUCUGGUUUAACAGUGAGGGGUACACCUUCCGCCUUGAGGCAGAAGCGGGCACUCAGCAGGACACGGCUCCAACCCCCCCUCCCCCUUCGCCAUCUGACCUUGACAAGGGCCAGGAAGACAAGGACAAGGACAAGGACAAGGACCAGGACAUGAGCACGGGGGAUGACUCCAUAGACACGGCUACUUGGGACAAACUGGGCCUCAAGGACAAGGAUGGGCAGGCUGCGCCUCCGGUGGCGGGCGCGGCUCAGGAACGGGAGGUGCGCCAAGUGGUGGUGAGCAGCAAUGAGACGGGUUUCAACCAGUACGGAUCCAACAUGACCAUGAGCCUCGACAUCGACAAGGGCGUCUCGGCGUCCUGUGACUCGGAGGGCCGCUCGACGCUGGUCUCCCCGGCGGUUGCGCUGGUGGACGCGUCUGGGGCUGUGGCAAGCCCUCCCAAGGUGGUGACCGGCAGUGGCGGCGGCGUGUUGAAGCCUCAGAAGAAGACGGCGGGCCGCAAACCACCUGUGGUGGCGCCAGCGGGCACCCCCGAGGUCCGGGCGAGCGUGUCGGUCCGGAGGCCGGUGGUGAUGGCACUGGCCUCUCCAGGGAGGCUGGCAGGGGACACCCCAUCGGUCAUCUCCCCCCCACCUCCGGACGCUCUUCGGGUGGAGGUGGCCAAGGUGGCGCCCAUCCCCACGGCCAGGCGGUCCAAGGCGGUGGCGUCCCCGGCGACUCAAGAGAGGACGAGCUCCCGUCCGAAGGGUGCCAAGGGCAACAUGCCGUCCCUCCAGCGGGCCCAGCUACUCCAGGCGCAAAAGAACCUCGAAAUCGAAGGUAACCCCAUGCCCCUCUUUACGAUUUUUGAAGAUUAUACAGAUGAGUGCUUGGGGGGUAUCUUAGCGGAUAGUGGCGUCGCGAUGGCUGAUGCGGGGGAAGCGCAAGAGGUGUUGUCUCUCAUUCGUGCGAAGGAAAUCACGUAGGCUGCGCUUGCUAAGGCAGCGCAGGCCCGCGCUGUGCCUGCAGCAAAGGAAGCAGGGGCUUCUCUGGUGCCAGGUGUGCGGCCCGAACAGGAGGACCAAGUAGCAGGGGCUGCACCGUCCUCCCUCAACCGUUGUCCUGCCAGGACAUGGCGCGUGGCCAAAGCGGUUACCGCCCGCGGUAUCCGUCUAUGAAACCGCAUCAUCUAAUGCGUUUCAUCUUCUGGAACAUCCGAGGCUUCGGCCACGCUGGGAGGCGGACCCAGUUAAGAGAGUUCAUUAGGAACGAGGAAAUCGACGUGGUCGGAUUGCAAGAGACUAUCAAGGCCGAUUUCAACCACCGGGACUUGCUUGCGGUUGACCCGUUGGAGCGUUUCGUCUGGCACUGGGUGCCUGCGGUAGGACACUCCGGGGGUUUGCUGCUAGGAGUUAACCUAGUCUGCCUUGAAGUGGUGGCUUGGGAUGCCGGCCGCUUCUCCCUGUCGGCCCACGUGCGGCACCGCGCCACUCUACAGGAGUGGAUGGUGAUUGCCGUGUAUGGCCCGGCCAAUCACUCGCUCUCGCUGGAGUUCUUGGAAGAGCUUCAGACAAAGGUGAGGGCUGUUGGCGUGAGCAACCUUCCUCUGCUGGUGGGGGGUGACUUCAACUUGAUCCGCUCGGGAGCGGACAAGAACAACGAUAUUAUUAACUGGUCAAGGGUGGCCAUGUUUAAUAAUGCUAUUGCUUCCAUGGCCCUUAGGGAAGUGGCCCGCGUGGGGGCUCGAUAUACCUGGACCAACAAACAGCUCACGCCGGUGCGUUCGGUCCUGGACAGGGUUUUUAUGUCCUCGGAGUGGGAGGUGUUGUUCCCUCUGUGCUCUCUACACGCAGAAACUAGGAUCGGGUCGGACCACGUCCCCCUCAUCCUUUCCUCGGGGGAAGAAAGGCUUAAACGUAGCCCGCGUUUCUUCUUCGAAACAGCAUGGCUGGAGUCUCCGGACUUCGAGCAAACCUUCCUUUCGAAGUGGGCGAAUUGCGUUGCUCGCAUCGGUCGCGUACGCGGCCCCAUGGAGUUCUGGAUAGCCGCAGGGGCGGGUAUGCGAGCGGCUCUCAAAGGGUGGGGAGCUAAUCAGGGUUGGGCGGAUAAGCGGUUAAGGGUGCGCCUGACUGAGGAGCUAGCUCAGCUAGACGCAGCGGCAGAUCUGCACAUCUUUUCCGCGCAGGACUGGGCCCAGCGCUACGCGCUUGAGGCCCAAGUCGAAUCCCUCCUCAGGGCUGAGGAAGAGUACUGGCGUAGGCGCGGUGGAAUAAAGUGGACGCUCAAGGGCGACGCGAACACAAAAUACUUCCACGCAUACGCAAAUGGCCGACGCCGUAAGUGCGCUAUCCUUCGUCUUCAAUCGGAGCAGGGGCUCAUACUGCGGCAAUAGGAUAUCGUCCGGCACAUCUAUGAGUUCUACAUCCAACUCAUGGGUUCCAGGGAGGAACCCAGGGCUCGCCUGAGGGAGGAUGUGUGGGACCCUGCGUUGCGGGUCACGGACGAGGAAAACGAGAACUUGAGCUUAGCCUUCCUCCCGGAGGAGAUUGACAAGGCCACGCUCGGUAUGAAAUCUGACACUGCGCCGGGGCCGGAUGGGUGGCCGGUGGCGAUGUUCAAGCGGUUUUGGCAAGUGCUCAAAAACCCCAUUUUUGACGUGUGCAAUGGUUUUAUGCGUGGUACGGUAGACAUUUCCCGCCUGAACUUUGGGGUUCUCUCUUUGAUCCCCAAGGUCCCGGGUGCGGAUCACAUUAGACUUUUUUGACCUAUUGCCUUAAUUAACGUCCCGUUUAAAAUUUGUGCUAAGGCUUGUUCUACUCGCAUGUCUCAGAUAGCCCACCGCAUUAUUAGUAGAACCCAGUCCGCGUUCAUUCGGGGACGUAACAUCUUGGAGGGGCCGCUGGUCCUCCAAGAAAUUAUCCACUCCUUGAAGCGCGCUCGACAGCCAGCGAUUAUCCUCAAACUCGAUUUUGAGAAGGUGUACGACCGCGUGAACUGGGAGUUCCUCCGACAGGUACUCCUGGACCGAGGUUUCUCAUCGGUCUGGGUUCACCGCAUGAUGCAGUUGGUCUCGGGAGGCCAAACGGCGAUCGCGGUGAACGGAGAAGUAGGGAACUUCUUCCGCAACAAGCGCGGGCUGCGUCAAGGGGACCCAGCGUCACCGUUGCUUUUUAACUUCGUGGCGGACGCUUUAGGCGCCAUGCUAGACAGGGCUCGCCUAGCCGGCCACAUUAGGGGAGUCGUGGACAACCUAAUCCCGGGAGGAGUGUCCCACUUGCAAUACGCGGAUGACACUCUUCUUCUUUUCGAGCCCGACACACAUAGUAUUGCUUCGGUCAAAGCUAUACUGUUGAGCUUCGAACUCAUGUCGGGACUAAAAAUUAACUUCCACAAAAGUGAGGUGGUGUCCAUAGGGAUGGAUGCGACAGAAAGUCAACGGGUCGCCAACCUGCUUAACUGCAAACUAGGCCAGUUCCCGUUUACUUACCUCGGGCUCCCAAUAGCGGCAAAGAAGUGUACAAUCGCUGACUGGGAGCCCCUCUCCUCCAAGGUGGUGAAUAGGGUUUGCCCGUGGAGGGGCCGUUUUAUGUCUUCAGGGGCAAGAUUAAUCCUUACCAACACCAGCCUCUCAUCUUUGCCCAUGUUUGCCAUGGGUCUAUUCUUGCUGGCGGACGGGGUACACUCUAAGUUUGACACACCGCGGUCACGUUUCUUUUGGGAAGGAGCGGGACCGAAACGAAAAUACCAUAUGGUUAAAUGGCAAGCCGUGUGUCGUCCCAAAACCCAGGGGGGUCUCGGGAUCAUCAACUCCAAGUUGAUGAACAUCGCACUAAUGUGCAAGUGGAUCUGGAAAAUGACUCAGGGUGAGACUGGCCUCUGGAGUGACCUCCUCCGGGCAAAAUAUUUCCCCCGAGGGGAUUUUUUUGACGCGGCGCCCAGUGGGUCUCCUUUCUGGAAUUCCAUUCAAUCCCUUAAACCCCUCUUUGCCAGGGGCGCAAAGUUUGCGGUUAACAACGGACGCUCUACGCGUCUCUGGCUUGAUCACUGGAUUGGCCAGCGCCCAUUAUGGGCGGAGUUCCGACAACCGUACUCCUUAGCGGUCGAACCCGAACAACGGGUGGCCUCGGCUCUUAGCACCUCCCCCCCCCCUGUAUUAACUUCAGACGUGAGCUAAUCGGGCCGGAGUUGGCAGAUUGGGAUCGCCUUCUGGCGCUACUUGCGGACGCCCGACUGUCGGAAUCCGCGGACCUGAUCUCGUGGAGACUUGCGAGCUCCGGCAAAUUCUCUGUCAAAUCCAUGUACAGAGAGCUAUGCCACGGUCAGAUCCCGGCGGCGGCCACGGGGCUUUGGAAGGCAAAGAUCCCGCUCAAAAUUAAGGUCUUCCUUUGGCAACUUUGUCAAGAUCGCCUUCCUACCUCUAUUAACCUCGCUAAACGCAACGGCCCCGCCACUGGCCCCUGUGCGCUGUGUGGGGUCCCGGAAGAUGCUGACCACACCUUCUUCCUCUGCUCCCUGGCUCGUUUCGCUUGGAGCGCGGUCCGGGAGGCUGCGGGAGUGGAUUGGGAUCCACGCUCCCGACCCGAGCUCGUAUCUUCCUUAUCUGGGUUUCAAGGCGAGGCUCGUAGGGUCAUGUGGACUUGUGCGGCGGCUAUGCUAUGGGCUAUUUGGAAUACCCGUAACAAGUUUACUAUUGAGGGGGUGUUCCCCUCGCAUCCCGCUGACGUUAUCUUCAAAUGCAUCGUUUUCUUGCAGCAAUGGGCAUCGCUGGGAAGACAACAGGACUCUGAUCUCCACCGCCAAGCUAUCUGUCGUCUACACGCCGUCUACUCCGAGGCUCGAGCUUCGUCGCCUGCUCAACUGGAUGCCGCAUAGGGAUGGGCAAUCCCCCCCCUUUUGGUCUUAGUACCUUCCGAGCCUGCGUGCUCGCUGCUUUUGGGCCGUUCUCCGCCUUGUAACGAAACUGUGCGCUCUUUUAGCGGUCUGUCCUCUUAUCUGUCGUGUUAGUUUAUGCAGUUUCUGUUCGGUGGUUGUGCUACUCUGCCUAAGUUUGUGGGCUUUAUUAAUUUAAAGCCGGACGUCUCUGACGUCUAUGUUCUAAAAAAAACAUAAAUCAUCCUUCCACGAGACACGGCAGUGCAGAGCCUCCAUAUAGAGAAGUUUAGGAGCAACGAUGAAGAGUAGCACACUCGUGGUCAUCCUGGUCCUCCAGGCCGUCCUGGUCAUGGGAAUCCUCUCACAGGCGAACGGUAUGGUUGCUGAUUGCCGUAUUGUGAUUUCGUUGAGAUCCUUAGCUUUACAUUACACACACAAUUGAUAGUUAACCGAUGCGAAUCCAGUUAACAAGGCGAUUAACUGAUUUGAUUCCAUGCAGCCGAGUUCCCCAAGUGCUGCGACAACUGCAGGUUCUUCUCGGGGGCCGUGGUCUGCGACGACGCCGGCCCCAAGUGCCGCGACGGGUGCGUGAACUGCCGCGUCGUGCAGACGAGCCCUAAGAAGACGUUCCGAUGCGCCGAUGCACGCGUCGACGACGGCACGCCCUGCAAGCCCUGCAAGAAGCACUGAUCGCACAUGCUCAGAACAUAAGAUGUUGCACCGAGAAUAAAAGCUCGGAUGGGUUGAGCAGAGCCGUUGUGGUUGUACGUACACGUGUUCCAUGCCCAACAACAAUUGUUGUUGUCAUCGUCGUCGUUAUGCUUUUAUCUCUCUCCAGAAAAAGCUGUGGUCGUUGCUCCCUGAAUAAACACAUAUUCCCUUUGUUUCAUAAUGUAAGACAUUUUUUGGCACUAGUGUAGUAUCAAAAAACGUCUUAUAUUAUGGGACGGAUGGAGUACUUGUGUGUCAGUGUAUUGCGUCUCUGCUCAAUCAAAUAAAAAUCAGUUUAUUUGUGUCAAUGUUUAUUUGUGUCAAUAUAUUUGUUAAGAUAGCACAAAUAUAUUGUACUGUCCAGUUCAAAUGGUGAAUGGAUCCUUCUCGGUGCUCAAGCGUACGUACGGUCGUCACACUUGGUGCGUGUCGGGAUCAUUAAUUUACGCAAGUCACCCCAAAAAAAACUUUGUUCGUUCCUAAAUAUUUGUCUUAUUACAGAUAUGGAUAUAUAUAGACAUAUUUUAGAGUGUAGAUUCACUCAUUUUUGCUCCGUAUGUAGUCAUUUCUUAAAAUCUGUAAAAUGACAAAUAUUUAAAAAUGGAGGGAGUAAUUACGCAAGUUAGGGGUAUGAUAUUUAAGCAUCUACACCUCCCGAGUCACGAUACGCUCCUGCCUCCUCCCGAGCCGCCCCUGUGUGGCGGCCGGGAGGCUCCAGAUCCAAUCGCCCGACCUCCCCUUCUCCUCUUCCUCCUCCCUCGCCGCCGCCUGAGGGCGCGGCAGGGCGAAGCCUUGCCAUCGCCGGCGGCGGCGGGGACUCGGGGCCCUCCCGCUCGUGAGGGGCUGGCGCGGGCCGGCGCCCCCGGGCCGAAGCGUGGUGUUCGGCCGGACGUCACGGCAGGGAAUGGCGGCUCUCCGGUGAUUCCAUACCUCCACGGCAGUCGGCUUCAAGGUCUGGGGCGUCGCGGUCGUUAGGGACGGCAGCGGCGCGACCGGAUCGGUGGCGGCGCGGCCGGAUCAGGGCCCAGGCGUGGGCUUGGUCUCCGGGUCGCAGGCGAUGGCGGGUGCGGCAUGUCGGCAGCUUUACGGAUCUGCAGAUUCCAUCCUUGUUUGGUCCUUAACGGCGCGGGCAACUCCGGGGAAACCCUAGAUCUCCUUGGGAUCGAGCGAUGGCGGUGUUUUUGCGUCGUAGUCCCUCUUCAGGGCAUCGUUUUGGAGUUUGCUAUGGUUGAAGGGACCAGCGACGCCGAUGGCGCACGCCCGGUGGUGCAAGUGCCGAUGAAAAUCGCGUUGACUACGGUCAUGACGGACGAUGGCAGCGUCUUUGAUGUCGUUUCCUUGUCAAGGCAUCGUCGUUGCAGUUUGCGUCAUCAGGCUCGGGAUGCUCCGGGAGAAACCUUAGAUCUGGGUCUUCCGGAUCAGACGAUGAUGGUGUUCUCUGUAUCACAUUCCCUCAUGGGGGCAUCGUUUUGGAGCAAGUGAUGGAUGGAGGUGGCAAGAGGAGGAGCGGUGUUACAUCUACCGCAAGGCCGGCGACGGAUCACGGCGGCAUGGCGCUGCGGAGUUUCGGCGAUGGGCGUGCGUGGAUGGACACGCACAGGAUGGUGGCGUUGUCUGGCGUCGUGGUGGUGUCGACGGCAAGCCUAGCAAGGUUGAUGCAGCAGUACAACACUGAAGAUGGAUUGGCAGCAGGUGGCGACGGCGGCCUCAUACCCGGCAGGCGUCCUGGUUGAGGAGUGCGCCGGACUUGUGGGUGCCCAUACCCGGCAGGUGUCCUGGUUGGGACCUCAGGUCUUAAAUGUUAGGUUUGGUUGCGAGUUUUGUUUGGUAUUAGGCCCAGAUUAUCAGCAUUCCUUCAUCAACUGGAUAGGAGUAACGAUAGUUGUUGUCUAGACAGUAGCUUUAGUCUUAGUGUUAUAUGACUUUGUAAGGUCUUAUGUGAAUAAUUAAUAAAAUGGUUGCAUACAUCGUCCAGAUGCAGAGGCCGGGGUCUUCCUCCUUUUUCUAAAAAAAAGAUAUUUAAGCAUGCAUGCAUGCCGAUCUCAUCUUGUCGGGUAUGGAACAUGCUAGUAUUCCAUUACAUCUCGCGAAUAUGCAUGCAGCAUGCAUCACGGACGUUAUAUAGCAGGAUACGCAUCUCGUGAUCUCGUCUAGCUUGUCGGUCGCUAGUUAGCUAACAUGGAGAUGCAAAUAUACUAGUACUAAGGUAGAUCUCUCUUAGGUAUGACUUGAGCAAUAUCACCGUUCACCAGGGCAUGUAAACACUGAGCUGCGCGCUCACAGUGUCGGUCAUGCAGCAUGUUUGAAGACGGUGCAGCGAAUCGGUGACCCAGAUCCAUCCCUCGCUGUCCCGUCGGCACCAGCACGUGAAGAGGAGGGCCAUUCACUCGGACUCGACAAGUCUACCCAGCACAAAUUGACCAAAUCUAUCCCAUCGACCUAUCGAAUUUAUUUGCUCUCUCAUAUCCUUUUUCAACCGUGCCAGACGUCUUCCAGCUCUGCCACCACCCUUGCUUCACAGAUGUUUCGAGUCUCAGCGCCGCCAGGACCGAGACACCAGUCCUCUCCCCCGUGCUCGUCGCCACGGACAACGUCGCCGGCCAGGACGCCACCGCGGUACGUCCGGCAACUCUCGGGGCUGACCCUGCACUCUAUGGGUUCGACACAUUGUCUGACACAGUUUUUUGUGAUUUAUUCGUAGGGAAGACGAUGAAUUUUGAUAGGAGUAUGGACCGACAGAGCUUGAUAAAAUAAUUCAAGAUGAGUUUUUCGAUUCGUCAGAAUCGGACGGAGAAGUGGACAUGCAAGAGAAAAUGGACCAGCAGGUGGAGCAUAUUCUCAACAUCAAGGGGGAAGAUAAUUCAUGGGUUUGAAGCUUUGAUUCGCUUAAUUUAGUGGCAUUAGGGAGCGGUGAGAGCGAUUCGGCCGGGGUGGAGAGAAGAAAAGAGAGGGUUUGGGAAAAAGAGUAAGGGCUGACCGUUUAGUUCCACGAAGAGGCAUGGCGCCCUGAACUGGGGCGUUGUGAUUAUCAACAUGUCUCUCUCAUUCAGGAUGCUUCCAGGGCAAGCCGAUGUGGCAAGUUAGCGCAGAUCAGUGACAGAUCUAGAAAGAAAAUGAAGGGUAGGUUCAUAGUUAAUGAUUAGCUAGUAAGCCUAACACUUUUCCCACAGAAAAAGAGUAAGCUAAACACUUUUUUACCAAAUUUUGGCACAAUUUAGCAAGAUUGUCAUUCUCUUCUAACCCUAUUACCCAUAUAACCUCAAUGUUUCCCAGAUAACUACCGGGAACAUGUCUAUUUCCUAGUCUCUUUAGGAUUGUCUACAAAAUAUAAGUUUAAAAAAAAACCCAGAUCUGUGUAGUAAAAUAGCCAUUAUCUUUCGAUCAUUUUGCGCUAUGUACGAGAAAGAAGAGGUCAGAUAUGGCCAUUUUCUGCCAUAUGAGCGAGACGGCCAUCCUGAGUUAUUACCUAGCGACCCAAGAUAUGCUCCUCUAUGCUCACCUGUAAACUCUUCAUGUGGCUUGCCCUUCAAUAUAGGGUAUGGACAUCGGAUCGCCGGCAGAGACAUGAACUGCAAGACCACAACUCGUCUUGCUUCCUAUGCGACCAGGAGGAAGACAAGGUGGAUCAUAUCCUCCUGCAAUGUGUUUACGCGAGACAAGUGUGGUUUUUGUGCUUCAAGAAGAUGGACAUAUCGACAUAGCAUUGCUACCAACCACGGAAGACACGUUAGGAGAUUGGUGGGUGGCUGCGAGAAAACGCAUCGACAAGAGAUACUUGAGAGGUUUCGAUACACUCUGCACAUCCGUCUGUUGGAACCUUUGGAAACCGAAGAAUGACAAGGUAUUUCACAACAACAACAUCGUCAAUGAGUGGGGGGCGGCCGAUCUAACUCAUCAAGAGAUCAUGCUAUGGGCAUCGGCGCGAGGAAGAGGAGAGCAAUAUGGUAUAGAGUAGUAGCCUAGUGUGUGGAGUGGUGGGGUGGAUGUGCCUGCCGUGUGUGGCGGUGCAUAUUGUUUGUAUUUCUUGUGUAUAACCUUCUCUCUUCUAUAAAGUUAAGGUGCACACUUUGCGUACUCUCGGAAAAAAGAAUCUGCUACUUCCAAAAGAGCAUUUUUCUAUUUCUGCAAGUUGCGUCGGAACAACGAGAGUGUGCAAAUGGGCUGGGGAAGUGACGGGUGGCUGGUAGAGAGAAGUAGAACAAAUAUUCAUUAUUUUGAAGCUUGUCUACGGCGUCGGUCAUGGCGCCCAGAGCCGAGCGUCAUGAAAACAACCCAUUUUAUGAAAUAAUUUUAAAUUGUUUUUUUGCUGAACUUUGUGAAAAGGACCAUUUUUAUCGAUUUUCAGAAACUUAUCUAUGGUCUGGCAGUGUGAAUCUUGGGGCGCCGAGUUCGAAAUACUAUGCUUUUUUUUCAGAGACAGACCCGGACCAAUGAGAUUGUCCUUAGUGGUAGUAUCAUAAGUUAGUAUAGUGUAUAUGAUAUUUGUGUUUGAUAUUACCUCCACAAUGCAUACAGUAGUAUUCUAGAUGACUUUAUUUAUUAUUAUGCAUGAUACAUGGUAGCAUAGUAUUUAUUAUGAUACGGUAUCAUUAUAUGAUACUCAACCUUUUUUUAUAUGACAUAUACGACUCCCUCUUGUAAACUAAUAUAAAAACAUCUAGAUCAUUAGUUUACGAAGGGAGUCCUAGUCAUCAUUACGGGAAGGCUGAUGUACCUUAUACUCCCGAGUGGUAUGAAAACAAUCUCUGCUGUCGUGGCCUAAAUCAGUGUGCACGUGAUCUGGUUUUGCUGGACAUGGGUGGUGUCCAUGUCAAACAAUCCACGCCGCCUAUAAAAAACCCUGGAAAACGAGUCCAAGUUUCCAAGCCAGCUGCUAGUAGUCAAACAUCUUUAUCCCCCAACUAACCAGAUAAUGGACAUAGCGAUCGCAGCAUCGCAGCCGAGAAAGCUUGCCAAUCAACUUUUACGAAAUCGGCGCCUAUAUAUAGAGCUGCUCGCAGCUUUAGCCAGCCACACCACUACAACAGCAGAAAGCAUUCUACCACUAGACCGACCGCACCAGGUGAAGUGGGAGCUUUGCGCUAAGGGCUCAUUAGCAACCAUGAAGAGCACCAAGCUCGCGGCGAUCCUGAUCCUCCAGGCCGUCCUGGUCAUGGGGAUCCUCUCACACGUGAACGGUAAGCUGCUGAUGCUCAAUCAUUUCACCUCUUCCUAAACAAAGCUCGAUCAUUUCGUGAUGCCCAGAGGGAAGGGGAGGGUUCUCGUCUCGUCUUAUGAGUGACAUAUUAUCUGAUUCUGAUGCCGUCGGUGUCUUGCGUGCGUGCAGCCGACUAUUUCCCCAAGUGCUGCAACAAUUGCAGGUCCUUCUCGGGGGUCGACGUCUGCGACGACGCCCACCCCCAGUGCCCCAAGGGCUGCUCGGCCUGCCGCGUGGUGACGCCCAGCCCUCACAAGACGUUCCGGUGCGCCGACAUGAAGAGCACCGUCGACGGCACCUGCGGCGGGCCAUGCAAAAAGCACUGAUCCGUUCAGGGCUUCAGGCUCAGACGAGGUGUGCCGCCUAAAAUAAAGCUCAGAUGAGAUGAGCAGUCAUGGUGCCUAUGCUUGUGUGUGGGUCGUG